UUCCAGUUUCCUCAGUGCAAAUGCUGCUUCUAGAUGCUAUAGCCUUCCAUUCUUUCACGGUGGUCUUGGUACGAAGUACAGAGCCCAGUGCACUUGCAGCUAAAGGAGAGCCACGACAUCUGUUCACAAUCUGAUCAACCAUCUUGACUAGCUCAACAGGCUUUUUUUUUCCGGAACUGAAUGCUCGAGCCUCAAUAAUUUCCUUUAAGAAUAUAUCAUCCAAACGACCGAGAAUGUGGGUAUCUGCACCCAUAAUUUCAGCAACUCCUUUAUCACGAGUUGUUGUCAGCACCGCACUACCCAUGACACCAUGCUUAAGAUGGUCCUUCAGCCUUUCCCACUUAUGGACUUCUCUGUUCCAGACAUCAUCUAAUACAAGGAGAUACCUCUGCCCGGUGACCAAUUUCUGAAGUCUCUCUAGUUGUGGUUUGUUUGUAUGAUAAUUUUUCUUGGGAGAUGCUUCAACUAUACUCUUGGCUAGGGAGUUCACAUCAAAGAUAUCCGAGACACAGACCCACAGCAACAACUGGAAAUGCUUCUGAAUUCUAGGUUCAUUGUAUAUGAGCUGUGCUAAUGUGGUCUUACCAAAGCCCCCCAUUCCAACGAUGGCAACCACUGCGAGAUCAGCACUAUUAGCUUGGCGAAGUAGUCUACCAACAACUUCCACCUUAUCUUUGUCUCUGGAUCUGCUAGCAAUGUCUUGCAGGUCGGUGAUAACAGAAUCCGUCUGCCUCCACUGCUUGGACACGGGUGGCUGUGGUCGGUACUUGAACCUAAAGGCAUGCAUCUCUGCUAUGAGCACAUCAAUGGCCUUCAGGAUCCGGCAAAGCUUGCGACCCAUUUUGUAACGGAACACAAUACAGUUGUGAGUAGGGAAGAGUUUAAUUACAUCGAAGCCGAGCUUGCUGUAGUGCCCCUUCUUCCUGGCUUCACGACGGAGUGCUUCGUACUUGAAUUCGUCAAACACUUCAUUUGCCUCAUAUGCCACCGUCUUGAGCUCCUGGAGCCAGGUUUUGGCCCCAUCUCUAUGCUCCGUCGCCUGCUUCUCGGCGUCGGUCAUGACGUCGAGGAUGGCCGGAAGCUUGCGUUUGAGAAUCUUGUGCUGCUCCUCCAUUCCCUCCAUCACCUUGUACUGGUCCAGGAGGGAGUUGCCCGCCUUGUUCACCAGCAUGGACACCAGCGGCCGGAUGGCCAUGGCGGCCACCACCUCCGCCAUUGGAACGCCCACACGAUUGGCACAGCAACACGAAGCAGUGUGGAAUGGAGAAUGGAAUGGUGUGAGCAAGACGUGCUUGCUUUGCUAGUAAUGAAACUGGAAGCCAAGGUGAGUAUUGACUUUCUGGGAGCGAAGUGGAUGAGCUCGCGUUACGGGAACCAAUCACAACUAUCCAAUCCUGAACAGCUCAGCACUGGGCAUUGUUUUUGGGCUGAUGCAUAAUAGGACAAUCAGCAUACCACAUUAACAGCUGGGGGCAUCUUCAUUUCUUAAUGAGACACAACCAGAGUGCAAGACGACGCGGGCAACCAUAAUAUUGCAAGUAGAUCAUUGUAUUAGGUAUUUGUGUCAGUACAUCCAAUCCAGUUUUUCAAAAGUGACGUUUCACUGGCUGUGACCUUAGCAGAUGGUACGAAUUUCCUUAACAAAUACAAAGAGUUGCAGGAAUGCAAAUUAAAUAAUUACUUCCACUGGCUAGACGUGUGACAGCACACCUACUGCCUAACUACAGCAUAUACUUAUCUCAAGUGCCUGCCGCCCAGGGAGACCAGAAUAAUGGUGUUCUUGGAUUAGUUGAACCUUCAAUGCAUCACUACUUAUCACCGAAGCAUUAUUUUAUUGUUCUUUUUUUUUUGGAAUGGCCUCUAAGUAUGAUUGAGUACAGGAUUGAUCUCAGAGCAAACAUAAUCGGCUGGCAGAGAAUUAUGUCUUGUUCAUAUAGUCUGAUGCAAUUUUGUGGUUACACACUCCUCAGUUUUUAUAACUAAAUACAGAAUUUUAAUCUGUUGACAGAUCAGACAAACGUAGAAACAGUUAGCAAGAGCCCCAAUGAGAUUAUAUGCAGCAUCAUUUUAAUCGGAAAGCAAUUGCCCUCAUGAGAUCAGCAACCAUACACAGUGCCAAUAAAAAAAGGUGGCUCGUACUAACGACGCAGGUUUCAAAUUAAUCAAGUGGCUAAACCGAGGCAUCGACAGCCAUAUGGGACAAUGUGCACUUCAGUUAGAAAAUGAACACUUGCAGGCAGUAAAAUAAUUUAUGUCAGUACACCCACGAUAUUGCAAAUAGAGUAUUAAUUACGUAUUUGUGUCAGUACAUCCAAUGCAGUUUUUCAAAAGUGACGUCCCAUUGGCUGUGACCUUAGCAAAUGGUACGAAUUUUCGUUCUAAGUACUACAAAAAGUUGCAGGAAUGCAAAUUAAACAAUUACCUCCCAUGUCUAGACGUGUGAGAGCACACCUACUGUGCAACAACAAAAUAUAUUUCAUCUCGGGCACUUACCGCACAGGGAGGACCACAAUAUUGGUUUUCGUGAAUCUAAAAUACAUCACAUGCUUCCUGCUGAAGAGGGAAGACCCGGUGGCAAGUGGUUAAUUUCUUGUCCUUUUUUAAUGACACCUCUAACUAACAUUGAAGGGGCAUGAUUGAUCUCAGAGAUGAGCAUAAUAAGCUGGCAGAUGACCAUCCCUUGCUCAUAUGGACAAAUGAUACACUUAAUAUACUGAUAUGAUAAAAUACAACUUGACAAUCUCCUGAUAUUCGACGAUGAAAGAUAUGUAUGAGUAUGCGAUUCAAUUUGGUGGGCUUAAUAUGUUCCGUUAUUGAGAGACAGUGAAAAGCGGAAUAAAGGGCAGGGUGGAAUUCUCUAUAUCAGGUUAAGGAGAUCGUCUUAACUAACUAAAAUCAGAUGAAGCCUAACUUUGCAACCAUACGACGGAAGCAACAAAAAUAAAGACAGGGAGCCAGAACAGAACAAAGAUAAAUUCCAGUGCCCUUUUAUUGAUCACUGCCUAUGGCCAUAUAGAUGAGAUCUGGGACUCGGCCAGCUGAAACAUUCCUCUAGAAAGCACAUUUCCGCUGAUGCACAUAUGAAAUACGACAGUACAAAGCAGAAUAAACACUGAGAUUAUACAGAUGAUUGGACGCUGUAACUAAGUUGGAUAUCGCGGCGCGCAUAGGCGGAAAUGAGAGAGAAACGGAAUGUCCAAAGCCACAAAUGUACAUCGCUGUCAGGCUACCCAGCUGAAUCCUGCUUCCUGCUGACCCUCCUGAUUCACGCAGACGCAGCUAGCAUGGAGAUGGGCACGCCUCUCGAAUUCAUGUGAAUCGAAUCGCUGGAAGAGACGGACGGACAGGAUCAAUACCUUUGUGUCGACGGGGAGGGGAGGCCGGAGUGGCUGCCGUCGACGUACGGCGCGCAGCCGACGGGGGAGCUCCGGGACCUUCUUGUCGACACCAUCUGCAAUGGAAGUAAAAAAGAGCUGUUAGAAGAGGAUACGAGAGAGGCUCACGGUAGGAAGGAAUGGGGAAGGGGGAUGAGUGAGUACCUCGAGCGGCCGCGGUGGUGGUGGGCGGGCGGAUGCGGAGGGUGGGAGGGAGGCUGACACCUCCGCCGCCACAGACGUACGUGGAGCGGCCACGGGCGUUGCGUUCUGGUAGAGGCCACGGGCAGUGGGGUCCGGGAGACGUCGUGCGCCGGCGAGGAGGACGGGGAAGGGGAGACGAAGACGACGCGGAUCGGCGGAGUGUGGGCUGGGCUUGUGACGUUGGGGCCUCCGAAAACUAUAGCCCAGUUCGAAUUGGUGCCCUAACACACACAGCGCUUACGUCGGCUAAAUCCUAUUUGGCGCCUUCAGCGCCCGCUAUAGGUCUUUCGGCCGGCCCAGUUUCGACAUUUUUUCUGUGUUUCCAAAAGGCAAAAAGGGCGCUAGAGCUGGGUAUCGAAAACGCUACAACCACUCAACCACACCCCUUGGUGUGAUUGGUUACAUGUUUUCUCGUCUUUUCUUAUGCUUCUUUUCCUUUUUAUUCCUUUUUUUCUUUCUUUUUUCAAAUUCGCAAAACUGUUUCUUCAUGAAUAUUUUCUGCAAAUCGAUGAACUUUUCUCUUUGAAUUUGAUGAUUUUUUUCGAAAAAUUUGAUGAACGUUUUUUCAGAUCCGAUGAACUUUUUUUUGAAUUCCAUGAACUUUUUUCAAAUUCGAUGAACUAUUUUUCGAAUUCAAUGAACUUUUUCUGAAUUCGAUGAACUUUAUUUCGAAUUCAAUGAACUUUUGAUCGAAUUCGAUGAACUUUUUUAAAUUUGAUGAACUUUUUCAAAUUCUGAUGAACUUUUUGAAAGGACAAGAGUACAUACCGUAGCAAAACGGUUUGUUUUUUCCAAGAAAAUCAGUACACACUGUAGCAUUUUUUGAGCGAGAGAAAUAAAAAAGUGAUCGAGCGGUAGCUAGCGACCGAGCGGCGACAGCAGCGAGCGUUGCUGGGCCAGGCCCAUGCAAGCGACGCAGUGGGCGCCGUGUUCACUCGCUCCACCUCUGCAUUGAUGUCUCUAGCUUGUAGCAAUUGCCAUCCUUUACAUGUAAAGAGGAUUUGAUGAGUCAUGUCAUGCUCUAUAGGCGUCAGUUCAUCUUAUCACCUUAGAGGAAAAUACAAAGUUAGUUUUUCGAAAAGCAACCGAGCCUAGAAGAACCGUACCCUCGACACGCAAGGCUUUAGCAUAUCUUAAUAGCCGAGACACGAUUGCGACUUGGUUCCACACAAGUUUCGUCUUUCUUGUUAAUGGCUGACAGCCCAUACAAGAUUCCAAACUCGGUUGCAAAAGUGAUACUAUCCUGAUAAGUGCGUGACAUGUAAAGUGAAUAAGGUGAUUCAUCUAUAGCAAACUUUAGGAUUUCUAUACUUUGUGUAUAAUCAUAUGCACAACUAAAAAGCAACUUUGAUGAUCAAUCCAAAAGUACGCUUGUAGCUAGUGCAACCUAACACAAUGUACCAAAAAUCCAUUUCAGAAACAUCCAAACAUAAUUAUUAAAGCUGAUGGAAAGAAGGAAAGAGAUGGUGCCCGGGCUACUAUAAAUAGGCAUGAAGUAUCAAGAUCAUCACAGGCACAAUCAUCAAAACCAAGCAAUACUAGUUAACACCAAUCCACCAUGAAGACCUUCCUCAUCUUUGCUCUCCUUGCCAUUGCGGCGACAAGUGCCAUUGCACAAAUGGAGACUAGCCGCGUCCCUGGUUUGGAGAAACCAUGGCAGCAACAACCAUUACCACCACAACAACAACCACCAUGUUCACAGCAACAACAACCAUUUCCACAGCAACAACAACCAAUUAUUAUACUGCAACAAUCACCAUUUUCGCAGCAACAACAACCAGUUCUGCCGCAACAGCAACCAGUUAUUAUACUGCAACAACCACCAUUUUCGCAGCAACAACAACCAGUUCUACCACAACAACCACCAUUUUCACAACAACAACAACAACAACAACAACAACAACCACCAUUUUCGCAGCAACAACAACCAGUUCUACCACAACAACCACCAUUUUCACAACAACAACAACCACCAUUUUCGCAGCAGCAACAACCAUCUUCACAACAACCACCUUUUCCACAACAACACCAACAGUUUCCACAACAACAAAUCCCUGUUGUUCAACCAUCCGUUUUGCAGCAGCUAAACCCAUGCAAGGUGUUCCUCCAACAGCAGUGUAGCCAUGUGGCAAUGUCGCAACGUCUUGCUAGGUCACAAAUGUGGCAACAGAGUAGUUGCCAUGUGAUGCAACAACAAUGUUGCCAACAGCUGCCGCAAAUCCCCGAACAAUCCCGCUCUGAGGCAAUCCGUGCCAUCGUCUACUCCAUCAUCCUGCAAGAACAACAACAGGGUUUUGUCCAACCUCAGCAGCAACAACCCCAACAGUCGGGCCAAGGUGUCUCCCAACACCAACAGCAGUCGCAGCAGCAGCAGCAACUCGGACAGUGUUCUUUCCAACAACCUCAACAACUACAACAAUUGGGUCAGCAGCCUCAACAACAACAGAUACCACAGGGUAUAUUCUUGCAGCCACACCAGAUAUCUCAACUUGAGGUGAUGACUUCCAUUGCACUCCGUACCUUGCCAACGAUGUGCGGUGUCAACGUGCCGUUGUACAGCUCGACCACUAUUAUGCCAUUCAGCAUUGGCACUGGAGUUGGUGGCUACUGAUAAGAAAAGAUUUCUAGUAAUAUAUAGUCGUUAGAUCACCGUUGUUUAGUCGAUGGAUAUGUCGAUGUAGCGGUGACAAAUAAAGUGUCACACAAACGUCAUGUGUGACCCGCAAACUAGUAGUUAAAUUCUGGAAUAAAAUACAAAUAAAGUUUUCUCUAGACAAUGUUCAUACCGGCGUUCUGUGGACGUCGAUGUGACUACCAUGCUUGCAAGUUCAUAAGUUCGUCUUGUCUGGUCACAAACCUGGUGCGUUAAUUUAUUAUUCAUGUAUAGAAAUAAUCAAAAUUUAAAUAUAAUAGUGUUAUUGUAAAAUUUUGGUUGAGUUGAAGCAAGGACUAACAUACAACUCUUUAAUGGUUGGAGAUUCAAGAUCUUAUUUUUAUUGGUUUGUAUCUGGUUCCAACUACCACCAUGGUCUACAGUGACAACCACAACUGGUUUGAUCGUUAACUCUCUUUGCUUGGUUUUUUUGCAAAUAUGUUCAUUGAUUCUUUGCACAAUUUUUUUGUCAAGAAAAAGGUCAGCUUUUGCUUGAACUUCACACACACACACCACUACAUAGUUAAUUCGAAAUAAGUUGCUGGUGAUGUCCUAGACCAGCUAGCACAGUCAGUGUGUGUGGGGAGGGGGAGUUGUUGCAUGCGUAUUCUUCGCGCAUUAUUUUAUUUUGUUCUUUUGAUGCUCUUACACCAUACCACAUUUUUACUUGAUGGAAAGCAAAAUAAACAACGCAGCUAGAAACCAUAGAACUUGAUACUGGGUGUGUGUCAACUUCACAUCCUCCUCCUUACGUCAUUUCAAUUGGAAAGCAAUAGCCCUCAUGAGAUCAGAUAUCCAUACAUAAUGCCAAAAUAAACAAGGUGAUGGCAUUAACGAUGCAAGUUUUAAAUUAGUCAAAUGGCUAAACUGAGGCACCGGCAGCCAUAUGAGACAUCCACGAGCAUGUAAUCCAUCUUAUUGCAAGUAGAGCACUGUAUUAUGUAUUUAUGUCAGAACAUCCAGUGCAGUUUUUCAAAAUGACGUUCCAUUGGCUGCAACUAGCAAAUGAUACGAAUUUUCUUUCCAAAUACUACAAAAAGUUGCAGGAUUGCAAAUUAAACAAUUACCUCGACUGACUAGACGUGAAACAACACACCUGCUGUGCAGCAACAACAGAUAAUUCAUCUCAAGCACCUACCCAGCAGGGAUUAGUUCUCGUGAAUUCAUGGAAUUUAGAAUGCAUCACAUGCUUACUGCUGAAGAGACAAGACCCAGAAGCAAGUGGUCACUUUCUUGUCCUCUUUAAAUGACACCUGUAAUUAAGAUUGAGUACAUCAUCGAACUCAGAAGUGACCAUAAUCUGCUGGUAGACCAUUAUUUCUUGUUCAUAUGAACAUACAUAAUACUUAAUAUACUGACAUGAUACAAGGCAACUUGACAAUCUCCUGUUAUUCGAAGAUGAAAGAUAUAUAUGAGUAUGCGAUUCAAUUUGGUGAGCUUAAUAUGUGCCGUUAUUGUGAAACAGUGAAAGACUGAAUAAAGGGACAUAUGGAAUUCUUUUUAUCAUAAUAACGAGUUUCUAAACACAGAACGAAAGCAACAAAAAAUAAAGACAGAGCGCUAAAAUUUCAGAGAAGUUUUUGAAGAUAUAAAAUGCAGUGCCCUUUUAUUGAUCACUGCCUAUAGCCAUAUAAAUAAGGUCUGGGACUCGGUUCGCUGCAACAAGCCUCUAGAAAGCACAUUUCCUCUGAUGCACAUAUGAAAUUUGAGAGUAAAACAUAAAAACGCCGAGAUAUACGGAUGAUUUAAUGAUGUAACUAACUUGGAUAUCCUUCUAGUGACCACGGAAUGGACAAAUUUUCUUCCGAGACGUCGAAAAGGGAUGGAACCUCCACACCCACUGCUUCUCCUUCACCUGCAUAGCGUGCGUAGGCGGAAAUUUGAUGAGUAUUUGAAGUGACAUCCACAUAGAGCAGGAGUUAUUCGGCUAGCAAAGUGCAAAUGUACAUCACUCUCAGGCUACAAGACUGAAUUCUGCUCGAUGAUCUUCCUGAUUCAUGCAGCGGAUAUGCAAAUGGGCGUGCCCCUUAAAUUCAUGUGAAUCAAAUUGCAGAAGAGACGGACAAACAGGGUUAAUAUAUACCUUAUUUCUUGUGUUGACGGGAUGGCUGGAGUGGCUGUCGUCGAUGUACGGCCCGCACUCGACGAAGAGCUUGAAGACCCUCUUGCGAAGACCAUCUGCGAGAGGAAGCAAGAGUUGAGGUCAGAAGAGGGUACAGUAGAGGUUGAGGGUGGGAAGGAAGGCAUCAACACUAGUAGAAAAAGGGCCUAAUGUGAAGCACAUUAGUCCCGGUUUGUAACAAAACCGGCACUAAUGUGUCCAUUAGUGCCGGUUCCAACGGCUAGGCGGGUGGAGCUAAAUUAGACUGAAUUGAACUUGUUCUUUAUAACUAGCUUGGGACAGAAAAAUUACUAUGAAAUGCACUUGAUUAUACUUGAUUUUAUGGGCUACAAAAAAUAUCAUCCAAAAAUGCUCUAAAAAACACGUUCUAAAGUAGGUUUGGCAGGAGAUGCGGCACAUUAUCAUUCAGAAAUUAGACCAAGAUAAAUGUGGAGUUGGCGGCUCAACACUCUAUAAGACUGUAACAGGUUGUCCCAGUGUCUCAGUCCUUUAGGACAUAGAUCCAGAAAAUGUAGAACUAACAUAUUAGCGGUUAGGAUCAUAUUUGCAAUGUGGGAACUUGGUGCGCUCGCUCCAACAUGCCUAGUGGAAGCAUGUGUCCUCUGAUGCACAUAUGAAAUAUGACUGGUACAAAACAUAAGAAACACUGAGAUUAUACGGAUGAUUGGAUGCUGUGGCUAACUUGUGCGUCGCUCCAGUCAACUGAGUGGACGAACUCGCUAAGAGCUUUCUUCUCGGAGAUCAAAGGGGACGGAACUUCCUAAGAGCUUUUGAUUCAACCUCCAUGCUAACUAACUACUUCUCCACCUGUUUAGUGGGCGUAGGAGAAAAUUUGAUGAGUAUUUGAAGUGACGUCCACAUAGAGCACAUAGCUAUAUUCAGUUAGAAAAGCCACAAAUGUACAUCACAUCCAGAUUAAUGGAGGUGGAAUGUGAAUGUGUGUGCCCUUAAAUUCAGGUGAAUCAAAUCGCAGAAGAGCCAGACGAAUAGGAUAGAUACCUUGAGUGGACGUGGAGGACGGAGUGUCUGCAGACAAUGUAUGGCCCACACCUGAAGGAGACCUUCUUGCCGAAAGCAUCUGCAAGAGGAAGUAAGAACAUGGUUGUUGACAUCAGAUUUUGGCAUGGUACAAAAAGCAAUUAAGAUUGCCCCAAAUGGAGAAGUGAUUUACAUGAAAAAGUUCCAUUUUGUCGACCUGAACAUCUUUGAAGUUUGUGCCAUCGCCAUCUAAUCUCAUCUCGAAGGCCAAAGUUAUGUUCGAAAUACUGAGAUUUUGUAUCCAGAGCACUGUUCGGCCGAUUAUGCCUCAAGGGAUGGUCACUUUCUACAUGAAUUGUCUUCGUCUCAUCAAAACGGUCGAUUUUGAUAAAAAUUCAUGUCAAUCCGAGGUUGUAUGUAAAAGUUAGAGCCACCCGAGUGCGGUCAUGAGCCAAAAGUGGCGAGUAAUAGUCUAUUUUGCACGAGCAAUUCGUCCCUGAAGUUGGCAUCUAUUCGAAACAUGUUUAACAUGAAUGUUGUUCGUCUCGGUGAAACGGUUAAAUUUGGUUCUUACACGAUUUUGAUCUGAGGUCAUUUACUACCCAAAAAAUGACCCGCAAGGUGAAGCCAAUUUUUAGAUCGAAUAGUUUUGGGAAGUUCGGAUCGAACAAUCCGAAUAGGAAUCAAAUUAGGGUUUUGGACAUGAAUUCUAACCUUUCCUUGCACGGGAAGUCCAUCCACCUCUUAUAUACAUGAGGGGUGACGGCCGAUUGAGAAACAACACACAAUCGCAAAACCCAUCUACAAACUUUCAUCUCCUAUCCUACUUUUCUGCUUCUCGUUCAUCAGUGUUCUUUGCUUCGGAGAGCUCUGAUCUAUGAAGUCCUAGGGGUGGGCGAACCAACCUAGGGCAGCCCAGCACUGUCGUGCGGCCAGACAGGGUCUCUUCCGACCGCGUGGGGUUUCGGGUCUUCAAAAGCGCUCGCCGGAUUGUAUUGCGUACCACUCUUCCGGUGAGCCUCCUUCGGCGAUGUGUCUUGCGUAUCGCGCUCGACGCCGAGGGUACACGGUGACGUGUUUGUGUGUGAACACACUUUUUGGCGACUCCGCUGGGGACCAAAGAGCAAUCAUCAUCAUCCAUCAUGGUCAAUCUUCCCAAGCCAUCUGAAGUGGAUGCCGAUAACAUCAACAAGCCCAAUUUUGAGGAAUUAUCGGCAGAACAUCGCCAAGCUUGUGAGUAGUACAAGAAGGCACGUGAAGGGAAGGAGAUGCAGGAGUUCCUUGCUAAGUUCAAAAAGGAUCGCCAAGGCAACAUCACUUCAAUUGAAGAAAUCAAGUUUCCUCCUCUUCACAAUGAGUAGGUAGAGUCGGCUGAAAUCACUACUCUUAUUGCUCAGAAUAAUGAUCGAAAAAAUACUCCUCAAUCAUCUAAUGGUAGAAAAUAAUACUGAUCGAAAAAAUACUCCUCAAUCAUCUAAUGGUAGUGGUAGUAUGUCUGCUGGUGUGGAAAACUUUAGUCCAAAUUUACCUAUUCCAGCGGUGCUGCCCAUGCCAUUGAAUUCUUAUCCCAGUCAGACAAACCAACUUGUUGCUCCACCAUUUAAUCCAGCCAGGAAUAUGCCAAGUUCAGUGAAUCCAACUGCAUUGCUAGGUUAUGGUUCGGCAAGUCCAAGUGGAUUGCUGCCGAACUAUGGUAUAACAUACACACCACCAUCUCUUCCGACUAGCACUAUACCAACUAGUAGAAAUCAUAUUCACCAUGCGCCACAACCACACGCAACGCCGCUCAAUACGAGUGAUAUUUUGGCUAAUGUCAGAGAGGAGAUGUCGAGGGUGUUCCGAGAGCAUUGCGGGAUUGAACUACCUCAACCACGAAUUUCUAGGAAACCAUAGCUAGAAAUUUUUGAUGUCGUGCCAUGUCCUCCCGGAUAUAAAGUUCCAGAUUUUGUUAAAUUUAGCGUAGAGGGAAGAAAGACUACAUGGGAGCAUGUUAGUCGGUACUUGGCACAAUUAGGUGAGGCAAGUUCACGAGACGAGUGGAAAGUACGUUAUUUUCCUUUAUCUUUAACCGGUACUGCUUUCCCGUGGUUUUCUGCAUUACCACCCGGUUCUAUUACUGCAUGGUUUCACUUGGAGCAAAAGUUUCAUGACCACUUCCAGAGUGGUGACAAUGAGCUUAAACUAUCCCAUCUUACAUCGGUUAAGCAAAAGCAUGAUGAAUCAGUCUUCGAUUAUGUCAAAAGAUUUAGAGAUACAAAAAACCGGUGCUAUAGUUUGGUGAUAACCGAGAGAGAUGUGGCUGAUCUCGUGCUUAGUAGUUUGAGAACUCACAUUAGAGAGAAGCUGGAAGGCUAUGAGUUUUCAAGUAUCAACCAUGUCUUAGAAAAGGGCUUUGGCUCAAGAAAGCCAAAGCAAAGAGUUUAAAGAGGUGCAUAGGUAUAACACUGAUCAUCCUAAGAUAAAUAUGAUUGAGUAUGAUGGUGAGCACUCGGAUGAUGAGGGUGAUAUUUAUGAUACUGAAUUUGUUUGGCCAUCUAAGGCCAAACCAUUUACUUGCAAUGAUAUAAAGCCAAUUUCAUAAGAAUCGUGAUGAAGAGAUGAAAAUUACUUUCAACAUUACUAAGUGUGAUAGAAUAUUUGAUGCUUUGUUGCAAGCGAACAUUAUUAGAAUAUCUCAUACUUUACCGCCGUUUCAAGAGCUGAAACGGCGUGCUUAUUGCAAGUAUCAUAAUUCUUUUUCUCAUGCCACUAACGAUUGUAAUGUUUUUCAACGACAAAUACAGCCGGCCAUUAAUAACGGACGAUUGAAAUUUUCUCAGAUUCCACUUGAUAAGCAGCCCUUUCCAAUGAACACCAUGGAUUUGGAGGGAAAAAGAUGUUAAUUCGGCCCGAUAUAGCCGAAUCAGCUAAUAAAAAUAAGAUUGUCAUUGGUGAGCCUCAGAAAAGCAAGGAAGACGACAAGGCCUUGGGGAGACAAGUUGUGCUUGACAAGCGACCCGGUGGCAAGGAGAUCAUUAAGAUCACCAUCAAGAANNNNNNNNNNNNNNNNNNNNNNNNNNNNNNNNNNNNNNNNNNNNNNNNNNNNNNNNNNNNNNNNNNNNNNNNNNNNNNNNNNNNNNNNNNNNNNNNNNNNNNNNNNNNNNNNNNNNNNNNNNNNNNNNNNNNNNNNNNNNNNNNNNNNNNNNNNNNNNNNNNNNNNNNNNNNNNNNNNNNNNNNNNNNNNNNNNNNNNNNNNNNNNNNNNNNNNNNNNNNNNNNNNNNNNNNNNNNNNNNNNNNNNNNNNNNNNNNNNNNNNNAAAUUUGUUAAACCAAAGAAUCCAGAGGUUGGCAAGUGGAAGACGAAUGAAGCUAAAGUACAACGCAAGAGAAUCAAGCCAACUUUUGUUAUGUUGCUAUGCAAAUGUGCCAAUCAAGCGGCCAAUUCUAGCUCUAACCGGUCAUCAAAUUUAAAGCUCUCCAGGUCACCUCCUCGACAAGAAUUUCAUCAUCAUGCAAGGCCAUAUGGGUCUUGGGCACCUUGACCAUCGAUGGCACCACCCCCCCUAUGUGUCAUACUACAUGGGAAACUUUAAUGGAGGAUGGGGGCAACCUCCAAUGACCCCUUAUGCUUUUCAUCCGGGUUGGGUAGAACCAAGGAGGCCCGUUUGUGAGAGGCUUUCUUACCCUAUACAUGGCCGUUUGAACAAUGGUGUCAAUCGGCCAAUGCAGGAUAAUCAAAAAAGGUUCAGCAAUCAAGUGUGGCGAGCUAAAUCACCAAGUGCUGAAAUUUCAGAGGCUAGCAACCAAAAGGAGAAGAGUACUAGUGCUGAAACUAUUAUUGUAGGCACUAAAGAAUUAACAAUCAAAUAGCCGAUUAUUGUUGAUAAUGCAGCUAUUUCUAACAAGGAUGUGGCUGCUGUCCAACAAGGUCCCGUGGCUAAUGAUCAUGAAGCUAGCACAAGCAAGGCCAAGCUGAGGGAUCCAAAAUAUACUUAGCCUAAGUGGUGUCCCUCCGGUCUGACCAAGGCACAAAAAAGUAGGUUGCAGCACAUGAGAAGCCACGAGAAGGAGGGAUAAGAAGCGGAGAGGCAAAGGGAUAAACUGUUCAAUGAAACCCGUCCCAUGAUGUCCGCAAAACAAGUGUGGAGGCCUAAGCAAAAGGAAAACAUAGUAGCUUCUGCAUUGGUAAUAACAGCACCUACACCACCAAUGGAGGACGAUGCGACUGCUAUUACAUCGUCCACUUCACCUAUUACUUCCUCUUCACUAGGAGAUAUUUCGGAGUCGAUGGACAUGCUUCAGGAUGGAGAUGGUAUUUUGGAUUAUGAGUCUACACCGGUUCAUGAAGGUAUUGAUAUUAAUAUGGUGCACUACUUACCCGCUGAAUUCCGUGCUAUAUAUGAAGAAGGGCAAGUACCUCAGUUGGAUUUUGGUCCUAAAAAUGCUAUAAUCGAGAAGCCAAAAGAAUGGGUGACGCACCUGAAGCCAUUGUUCCUUAAAGGUCAUAUUAAUGGAUCGCCGAUUGCUAGAAUGCUUGUUGAUGGUGGUCCUGUGGUGAAUCUUAUCCCAUAUUCAGUCUUAUAAAAAAUGAGGCUGCGUGAUGAAGAGUUGAUAAAGACCAACAUGGUGCUCAACGGAUUUGAAGGUAAAGAGAAAAUUGAAGCCAAAGGUGUGAUGUAUGUGGAGCUUACGGUGGGAAGCAAAACUUUGGCUACCGCAUUCUUUGUCGCCGAGGUGCAAGGUAACUCCAAUGUGAUAUUAAGCCAUGAUUGGGUUCAUGCAAACCAAUGUGUGCUAUCUACUAUGCACCAGUUUUUGAAUCAAUGAGUUGAUGAUGAAGUGGAAGUCAUUCAUGCGGAUAAUUCGAUCGGCUUGUGUUGCUUUGGCCGAUGAAUCGGUGGAUUGGCAACAUCCCAAUGCUACUUGCUUGACGGGGCGCGACUUAUCAGAAUUUGAUUUUCUUAGCGCUACAAAAUUGGUUUCGUGCCCCUUUCUAUAAAGCCGGUUGGCGAUAAUCGGCUCCAAGGUAUGAUGUAUUUAAAUGGAUCCUAUCUCAGAGUGGUUUCAAAAGCGUCUUGUAGAAUAUCGGUCCAAUGAGAAUGAUAUGUAUGAGUCCAUAGAAGAGUUAGAUGAUAUGGAUAAAUUAGGACAAGGUUUUACAUCGGCGAUCCAUUAGAAGAGAUAGAUAUAGCAGAUGGUUCAUUUCUUAGGCCGACAUUUGUAAAUAAAAAUUUAAGAGUCGAUCAUAAACUUAAGUUGAUCGAGCUGUUAAAAGAAUAUAUUUGUUGCUUGGCAUGGGAAUAUCAUGAGAUGCCCGGUUUAAGCCGAGAGCUAGUGGAGCAUCGAUUACCUAUAAAGGCUGGUUUUUGACCGUAUAAGCAAUCGACCAGAAAGUUUAAUCCAAAAACAUAUGACCGGAUCAAGGAAGAGAUCGGUCGUUUGCUGAAAGCUAAUUUUAUUAGACCUUGCAAGUAUGCCGAGUGGAUUUCUAACAUUGUACCAGUGAAGAAGAAAGGCUCGGGCAAGUUGAGGGUGUGUAUUGAUUUUAGAGAUUUGAAUAGAGCUACACCCAAAGAUGAGUAUCCCAUGCCCAUAGCCGAUAUGCUUAUUAAUGAUGCCUCUGGACAUAAGGUCAUUAGCUUUCUUGAUGGUAAUGUGGGGUAUAAUCAAAUUUUUAUGGCCGACGAUGAUAUGACCAAAUUAGCUUUUCGAUGUCCCAGUUUCCUUGGUUUAUUUGAGUGGACAGUGAUGACCUUUGGUUUAGAGAAUGCCGACACCACGUAUCAAAGGGCUAUGAAUUUAAGUUUUCAUGAUUUACUUGGUGUUAUACUUGAAGUCUAUAUUGAUGAUAUUGUUGUCAAAUCGGAUGCUUUUGAAUCUCAUCUAGCUGAUUUGUGCUUAGAUUUUGAGAGAAUGAAAAAAUAUUGACUAAAGAUGAAUCCUUUGAAAUGUGCUUUUGGUGUAUCGGCUGGUAAGUUUUUGGGUUUCAUUAUUCAUCAACAUGGCAUAGAAAUUGACCCAAAAAGAUAGAGGCUAUACAAAAGGUGUGGGCUCGAACAUGCAAGAGAGAUAUGCAAAAAUUCCUUGGCAAAGUCAAUUAUUUGAGGAGAUACAUAGCCAAAUUGUCAGGGAAGGUUGAUACAUAGCCAAUUAUUUGUGCACUUCUCUAGUGUUGAAAGCCCCCAAGCAUAGAGAGCCCUUUAGGCUUUAUAUUGCGGAGGAGAAAGCCCCCAGGCAUAGAAAGUCCCCUCAAGAGACCGAAGGAAAGGAGCAUGCUAUUCUUAUUUGAGUCGACGCUUAUUGGAUGUCGAGAUAAGGUAUACAUUGAGAAAUUAUGCUUAUGCUUAUAUUAUGCUUGCACAAAAUUGAGACAUUACCUAGUGCCUAGUACAUGCAUUAUAGCUUUUCAAACUGAUGUCAUCAAAUACAUGUUGCAUAGGCCAAUUCUUAGUGGUAGAAUUGGCAAGUGAGCUUAUGCUUUAAUUGAAUAUGAUUUGGUUUAUGAAUCUCUGAAAUUCAUGAAUGGGCAAAUCGUUGUUAAUUUUGUUGUUGAGCAUCGGAUUGAUGACAAGCAUGAUAUUGAUCUUAAACUUGUCUAUUAGUACCAUGGAGAUUAUAUUUUGAUGGUUCCGUUUGUAGCAAUGGACAAGGUGUUGGUAUUGUUUAUAUAUCUCCUCAUGGAGCUAUUUUUCAAGCCUCAUGCCGCUUAGAGUAUUUUUGUACAAAUAAUUAGGCCGAAUAUGAAGCAUUUUUACUCGGUUUAGAGAUGUUGCUUGCCAUAGGCGCUACACAUAUUGAGGCUUUUGGUGAUUCGUUAUUAGUAGUGCAACAAAUAUCCAGAGUAUUUCAAUGUUUUCAUGAAUCACUUAAUGUUUAUCUUGAUAAAUGUCUAGAUAUAAUUUCUACUUUGGAUUAUUUUAGCAUUCCUCAUAUAUCUAGACAUGACAAUUGGAGAGCAAAUCAGUUGGCACAACAAGCAUCUGGCUAUCAUGUUAAUCAUGACAUGUUUCAUAUUUACCAAAGGCCGAUGUCUAUUCUUGCCAACGUAGGGGAGGCUGAACCGGAGCCCACCGUUUCGGUCACAAAUGAAAAUUUUAAUGUAGAAAAUCUGGACUAGAGGAAAGCCAUUAUUGAUUAUUUGCGUGAUUCUAAUAAAAUUUUGGAUGAGGACCAAGCAAGAGUUGCUAUGAGAGAGGUUCAUGAAGGAAUUUGUGGGACUCAUCAGUCGGCUCCCACUAUGAAAUGGUUAUUGCGACAGGCUGGGUUUGAUUGACCAACGAUGAUUAAUGAUUGCUUCAGGUAUUAUAAAGGAUGUGCAGCUUGUAAAAUGUCUGGUGAUAUUCAGCUAGCUUCUGCUGCUAUGUUACAUCCUAUUAUUAAGCCGCGGCCUUUUAGAGGUUGGGGAUUAUACUUUAUUGGAGAGAUUCAUCCUUCUUCUUCAAAGGGGCAUCAGUUUGUGUUGGUGGCAACUGAUUAUUUCACUAAAUGGUCUGAAGCAAUACCGCUAACAAAUAUGACGCAUACGGAGGUAAUUCAAUUCAUAACUUAGCACAAUAUUCAUAGAUUUGACAUUCCUCAAAUGUUAACUACGGACCAAGGUUCAUCUUUUAUGUCAGAUCAAGUUAGAGAAUUUCCCGAAUCAUAUAAGAUAAAGUUGCUCAAUUCAUCUCCGUAUUAUGCCCAAGCCAAUGGACAAGCUGAGUCUAGCAAUAAAAUAUUAACCAACCUCAUCAAGAAGAAGAUUGAGGAUAAUUCAAGGAGAUGGCAUGAGCUAUUGUCCGAAGCUUUGUGGGCACACAUAAUCUCAAGGUAUGGUGCUACAAAGGUAACUCCAUAUGAGCUCAUAUAUGGUAAAGAGGCCGUUUUACCAGUGGAAGUGAAUUUGAAUGCUUUGAGAAUAGCAAAACAAAAUGAUUUAUCGGCGGUGGACUUUUAUAACUUGAUAAUGGAAAAUAUUGAUGAAGUCGCUGAUAAAUGUUUUGUUGCUUUGAAGGCCAUAGAGAGAGAUAAUUUGAGGGUGGCAAGAGCUUACAAUAAGAAGGUCAAGUUGAAGAAUUUUCAAGUUGGCGAUCUCGUGUGGAAGGUGAUUCUACCAAUUGGUUCGAAAGACAUAAAAUUCGGGAAGUGGUCUCCAAGUUGGGUAGGUCCUUUUAAGAUUACAAGGGUAGUUCCCAGAAACUUAUAUUUAGUGGAAUCCGUACAAAGGACAUUGUUACCUCGAGCUGUCAAUGGCAAAUAUUUGAAGAAGUACCACCCAAGUGUGUGGCAAGAAGCCUAGAUAAUCAAUGGCCGAUAUACGACUAUGGCCCUUAGCAUAAACAUGGCCGAUAUAUAAUUAUCGCACCGAGAAGUAUAAAUGACACAUGGAGUGUUGACAUCGUCCUUAGAAUAAACGCGAUGCAAAUUAUUUUCCGGCAUUCAAGCUCUGCCCAAAACAGAGGAUAAGGGUUGACACCAGAUUUUAGCAUGGUAGGAAAUGCAAUUAAGAUGGUCCCAAAUGGAGAAGUGGUUUACAUUAAAAAAAAGUUCCGUAUUGUCGACACAAACAUCUUCGAUGUUUGGGCCAUCGCCAUCCGAUCUCAUCUCGAAGGCCGAAGUUGUGUUCGAAAUACUGAGAUUUUGUAUCCCGAGCACUGUUCGGCCGAUUACGCCUCAAGGACGGCCUCAAAUGAGAAAACUUUCGACAUGAAUUGACUUCGCUUGGUCGAAACAGUCAAUUUUGAUAUAAAAAUCGUCUCAAUCCAAGGUCGUAUGUAAAAGUUAGUGUCUCCUGAGUCCGGCCCUGUCACGAGCCAAAAGCUACGCGAGUAAUAGUCUAUUUUGCGCGAGCGAUUUGGCACUGAAGAUUAUAUCGAAUCGAAAACUGUUCAACAUGAAAGUUGUUCGUCUCGUCGAAACAGUUAAAUUUGCUUCUUCCGCGAUUUUGAUCCGAGGUCGUUUACUACCCCAAAAAUGACCCGCAAGGUGCAGCCAAUUUUUAGACUGAACAGUUUUGGAAAGUUUGGAUCAUACGAUCCUAAUUGGACUCAAAUUAGGGUUUUGGACAUGAAUUCUAACUUUUCCUUGCACGGGAAGUCCAGCCCCCUCUUAUUUACAUGAGGGGUGAUGACUGCCCCUCCUAGAAAAAACCAGACUGGGAGGACAUUUUUUUCCUGUCCGAAAGCCGUUUCCGCCUCUUGGAAGAAGAAGAAGAAAAAAGAGAAAACACGUUUUUUUUCGUUUCCGAGAGCCUCUCGCGGAAACAAAACAAUGCCGCUCAUGGAAGAAAAACAAAAAAAUGCAUUUUUUCACGAAAGCAAAACCGUGCCUCUCGUGAAAGAAAGAAAAGAGAAAACACAUUUCUUGUCCUUUUCGUGAGGCACGGCAGUGCCUCUCGCGGAAGCAAGACCAUGCCUCUCGCGGAAGCAAAACCGUGCCUCCCGCGGAAGAAAAAUACAGGGAAAACACGAUUUUUUUUCGUUUAUGAGAGGCACGACUGUCUCGCGGAAGCAAAGCCAUGCCUCCCGCCGAAGGAAAACCGUGCCUCUGGUGAAAAGGGAAAAAAAGAAAACGUGUUUUGUCACAGGAAAAAAAUUAAAAAAAAUUGGUCCAAAACCUAGGGAAGACCGGUGAACAACCAAAAAGCCGGAAAAUUAAAAAAAAAAACAUCUAAAAUACCAGAUGGAGGUUGAGAGUGCACCAAGUGACGCGCUCUCGGCCCAUCCACAAAUGACCCUUGGGAAGGGUGGGAACGAGCGCUCUUUAGUAUUAUUUUUUGAGGCAAACCGUUCUUUAAUUAGUUGCUCCGGGGAAGGGGAAUGGAAGACGCAGAUCGGCAACGUGUGGGCUGGGCUUGUGACGUUGGGGUCUCAGAAAAUAUAGCCCAGUUCGAAUUUAGUGGUCUCAGCAAGUAAAACCAGCGCUUAUGUUGGGCCUAAUCACUCACUCCAGGCUGUGGGCCUCGCUAGCAGCCCCAUCUUACCAUUCCCCUCGUUCUCUCUCUCUCUCGCAAAAAAAAACCAUCAUUUCCGUCAAAAAGAAAAGACAUCUACCCGUCUCGCCGCCAAGAGAUCCAGGAACCCCGGGGUCGUUCCAUUGUUUUGCAUAGCGUGUAGAUUAGGUUUUCUCUGUUAGUUUUAUGUGUUCUUAGUGGCGAUGGCUUGACGGUGAAGGCGAGAGUGAUGAUGGUCUCUCGGCUCCAUUCCUGUUCUGAUUAUGCGUUCCCGGCUAAGAAGGCCAUCAAACAUAACAUAAAUGGGGUGCUUUCUUUUCUUCUUACCGAUCUCCUCCUAGUUUACCGGCUCAAGGUGUAUCGGCUCUACAAACAUCUUGUAUCCACCUCACGUCCUGGGAAAUUACUGUCGGUAACUUUCAUCGUAUUGCGAUAACAAUAUUUUCUUUCAAGAACCCGCCUUCCUUGAAUUUCGUACAAAGUUAAUUGUCAAUGUCAUAACUAAUUGCAAGACCAGGUACAGCUCUUCUCUACAGGAAGUUACAGUUUCUAAAUUGCAUGACCCUGUAUCACUUUAUGAAGCAAGCACAUCACCUUCAGCUCCUCAUUUGCAAACUUAGGACCCAUUUGGACCACAUAAAUUUUACAAUAUGUUUGCUGCAUUUCACAAGAAACCAUCGAUUUUGUGAAGAAAGAAUUACAUUGUUUCAUCGCCGUUACAACACAACAUUAAUCAGAUCACCUUAAUACCUCCCACUGCGUUUUUUUUUGGAAAAAUACACAACAUACUGAUUGACCUUAAAGAAUGAAGGAGGCCAUAAGGUCUUGUACAAUGCUAGGUGUUUAGAAAGAUAAACCGGAUUUUACUGAUACACCGGUGCCUAUUUCUACCGGAGAGACGUCUAAUUAAGCGUAUACCCUGUACAAAUAAGUAUCAGUGCUUAAGGAAAGCCUGGUUUAUUUCUCGAAGCACCUCUCCUAAGCACCUUGCAGUGUACAAGGCCGAGAAGAAAGCUCUGACUUCCUAUUGUUGCUGCAUCAGCAGGAAAAGUAGUCUUCAUUUCAAAAAGAAGCUGAAAGUGCUAGAGUGAAAAAUAUCAUAUGUACAGAAGCUGGAUAUAUAUUACCAGCAAGGUGGAGAAGUGGGGAAAAAAAUGCUCAAAUGUGGUUAUCAAUCUUUUGAAAUGCAAGCAAGUAAGCGGAUGGGUGUUUGAGCUAUCUUUGUGUGAUCAGAACAAAUCCAUGUCCAUUAAUUAGUCUUAAUAUCAUCUUCACAGUACCAGGGACUCCCGGAUACUAAGAGUGCUUAAUAAUCUUAUAAUUAGGUGGAGACAUUUUCAUUACCUGCAUACAAAUGCGUACGAAUGAUGAUAUUUUAUAUUUUUUUCUUUGCAACUUCGGAGUGCCCACAAAGUGAAAUAGAAGGUGUAAACAUAACUUCUUUCAACCUCCAGUAAAAGUAACAAUUCUCUCUCCAUGUACCACUCUAUACCAACUUCUUCAAUACCUGUUGACUCUCAUGUUUUUGUUUUCCUUCAAUAUUUCAGACGUUCUAAAGCUCGGUCGAAAUCACUCGAGCUGGUCAACCCUGCCCCCGUGUCGCCCGCAACAGACGAUACGGGGAAAACUUUCGUCGCCGCCGGUAGCCUUCCUCCGCCAGUGCCCCUCCCCCCCCCCCCACAUCGCUGCCGCAGGAGGGUCGGCCAGCGAAGUCGCGCCGCGCUCGGGGAUGGCGGCGGCGGGGCGGUUUCGUACCCUCCCCCCCGAUGCGCUGCCCCAACAACCCCUUCGCCGCCAUCACCUCCCCGCGCCGCUGCUGCCGCGUCGCGCCUGAGGGUGGGGGCGGCAGGGCAGCUUCAUUCCCUUCAUGCUGUAGCUCCUCGUCCCCAACCUCCUCGCCCCCCAGAUCCAAUCUGGUGCGCCGCGGGCUCCCCUACCCUCCAACUGCUACUGUGUUCGUCCUGCCUGUCCGACGAGGUGGCGCGGCCGUGCCCGUCGUGCACCUCCCCAGUCUACCUCUUUCACCUUGCUGGCGCAGCUUCCUUCUUGUUGUUGUUCGCUGGGGCAUGCGAGGACUCGUGUGGAGGUCACGGGCUGGCCAAGGCUCGGUCUUGCCCCGUGUUGCAGACCACCCUUCGUCUCUGAUGGCGUCUCCUUCUAGUUACGGCGGCGACCUCUGCCCGUGUGUGGUCAAGGUGUUGUUUUGGGCAGCGGGAUGAAGCUUCGCGGUGGGUCCUUGCCGACACUGCUCCGGUCCCAGCGGCCAUCGACCAGCGUUCUUCGGCCUCCCUACCGCCGUGAAUUCAGCCCCAACACUCCGGUCGCUGCGUCUCCUUCCGGCAUCUUCGGUUUGCCGGUGUUCUGGUGGUUCCACCUCCGGCAGCUCGGAGUUGUGCUCCCUUCCGCCUCCAGCUUGUCAGCGGCGCCGGUCACCAUCCCACCCUCCAUGCCGGCUUUCUACCAUGCUGCCUUCCCGACCCUGUCGACACCCGCAACAUGUCAUUUCCAAAGCUCGUGUUCUUUCGGCAGCAGGUGCAGCCCCACCACCUCCGUACCGGGAUGGUGGUUGACUAGCGGAUUGUCUUCCUCAUCUUCGGAUCCUGAUUUGGCAGCUAUGGCAUUGCUCAGACUAAGGCCAGGCGAAAUCCAUGCUCUGCUUGCCAAUGUUGGCAGAGGCGACACUCGUGAGUGCUUUGCCAUGGCCUUUAUCCGGGCCCCUCUUCGAGCGCUGGGGGAAACCCUAGGUCCGGUUCUUCGGAUCGGAUGGUGGCGGUGUCACGAUGUCGCACCCCUUCCUGAAGGCGCUAUCUUGUUCGCCCCCGGUGUCCCUGUUUGUUUGAUUUUGAGAUGUUCGACGUCGUGCUUGUUCGGCCUGCCUCUCUGUUUAGGAUUUGUGGGUGUAGUUGUGUCAUUUCCCCUGUUCGGGCUGAGCACCCCUUGUCUCUCUGCUCCGGGUUCCAUGAUCAUGCCUCUUUGGGUUCAUGCCAUGUGUUGUAUCCUCUGUUGUACGCAUUCUCUUUCUUCUAUCAAUAAAGGAUAUGCAAGCUUUGUGUAUUCACAAAAAAAAAGACGUUCUGAAGCUCUGAAGCUAAAGAUGUAAAUAAAUCUGAACUCUCGCACUCACUUUUAAAUCGUGGGGCAGUAUACUCUAAUCUAUCCAGCUCUUCCUGUAAAACAAAUAUACUGUCAGCAUGUGAUUUAUCAUUCAUGAAUCGUUUAUCAUGCCAUUUUUAGAAUGUGACUGGCAAAAUGGUGUGACUGUACAAUUCUACUUUUUUCGAAAAAGAGGAUUACCCCUAGUAUCUACAUAGAGCCAUGCACACAACCAUUUUAUUAUAUUAUUUAACGGAACCAAACGAAACAAAUAUAUGGAUCAAGCCAAAGCCACCUCCCUAGAAACUAUUGUCGUUACACGUACAAGCUUUAAUGGCGUGCCCUGACCACUUAUCAACACACAUCAUAUAUUCCGGUCGCCUCACCAAGAUGCCUGCCGGCAAUUUGAGAGCAUCUACCGGUCUAGCUAGACCCUCUGCACGCACAUCAUGCACACGCUUUAGAUUCAGCCACCGCCAUGUUCCGCGGUCCCACCUUCAAGAGCGAUCAACGUAUUCAUCUCGCUAGGCCAUCUCGACACCAGAUAGCUCCACUAUCCAGCGCGGGCGCCCGUCGCCGACACUCCGCCGUGCCACGCCACCGAGACCCUGUGUCGUCCUUUCGGUAGAUGUAACACCGCUCCUCCACUUGUCUCUUCCAGUCGGCUCCUACUCGAGACAAUGCCCCUAGGAGGGAGAACGGCGCUGAAGGCACCAUCAUCGUCCGAUCCGGGAUACCCAGAACUAGAGUUUCCCCCGGAACAACCCGAGCGUAGUGACACAACUUACAAAUGACGAUGCCUCGAAAAAGGAAACAACGUUAGAGACGCCACCAUCUGCCAUGACCGCAGUUAGCACAAUUUCACCGGAAGUCGCGUCGACAUGGAGACGUAAGCUGUCGCCGGAACGUCGGCAUAGGGCCUCCAGUCGCCCCUGACCUGUCCCUGCACGCAUCGCCUGCCGGCCAAGGCCACGCCAAGAUGGAUCUGGAUGGGACGCUAGUUCCGCGGCCACUGCCGCCACCCAUCACAUGGUCGGCCAGGUCAACGACUAAUCCCACAGCCAUGGACAAACCGGUCGCCGCCGCCAGCCCGGGUCACCACCCUGACCGCACCGGCUGAAGACACAGGUGUCGUCGCGAGAUUGAUACGGUGAACAAGGCCCGAAUCCCUCGUGCUCGACCUUGAUCAGCCACACACAAGCAUCUCUCCACGCUGACGAGGGGUCCACUAUGGGAUCCAUCGCGCCGACUUCCGCCACCGCGCCGCGGGAAUAGACUGCCCUGAUGCUGCCGCCCACUGAGGCGGGCUUCGCCUGUUCGGCCUCCUCCAACAGCGUCCGGCCGUGGGCUGCNNNNNNNNNNNNNNNNNNNNNNNNNNNNNNNNNNNNNNNNNNNNNNNNNNNNNNNNNNNNNNNNNNNNNNNNNNNNNNNNNNNNNNNNNNNNNNNNNNNNNNNNNNNNNNNNNNNNNNNNNNNNNNNNNNNNNNNNNNNNNNNNNNNNNNNNNNNNNNNNNNNNNNNNNNNNNNNNNNNNNNNNNNNNNNNNNNNNNNNNNNNNNNNNNNNNNNNNNNNNNNNNNNNNNNNNNNNNNNNNNNNNNNNNNNNNNNNNNNNNNNNNNNNNNNNNNNNNNNNNNNUUCAGCCUCUCCACUUGUGGGAACAAUAUCCUUGAAUGUUUAGUUUCUCAUAUCUUUACGAAAACGGAGUAAGGGAAAUAUCGUGUGUGGUUGCAGGGAACUCACAUCAAAUGAUUGGGAGAUGUUCAUAAAUCAGUGAUAAUAGCCUUUGCAAACAGGCUAAUCCCAAAUGAUUCAAUGAAACCAACCUUCAUGUACUCAAUGAACGUAUUAUGCAUGUUAUGCUAGUUCAAGUCAUACUAAAUAUCACUUGUCUGGCAAAUAACAACAGCGUUCUCUGAAACCAUUGCAUCAUGAGAGAAUUGUGUGAAAUGGAAAUUGACACGAUUUAAAUUUUCAGGUUCCUUUCCUGGUGAGCCUAUCAUAGUAAAGAAACCUGGAAGAAAACAUUGGAGAAAGGAAUUCACAAAAUGCGGAAUUAUUAAUACUAAAUGACUGUUGAUGUUCAAAUGCAUGUCAGUUCUAAAUAAAUAAAUGAUUUUCUUCUUCUUUCUGCUCUUCAAUGUUUUCUUCCCUUACAAGAUUCUAGCAGUCUUAACACCAUUAUGGCCACAGAAAAAAAAAACAUCUAUCCCAUUUGUUACACGAGCUAAAAAUAAAAAUAGCACAUGAGCAUGGGCUGCAGAAAUGCACAUUCUUACUUCUAAGAAUAAUGUCAUCAAGAGAAGCAAAAGGCUGGUUUUUUGUGACAAUAAUUUAUUCAAUGAAAAGAGUGAGCCCGGGUUGCACGAAAUAUGAGUUUAUCUAUUUUUCUUCCAACAAAAUAUCUGGUCUACCAUCACUGCACCUUCGAACAUCAGAGUGCACACAGAACAAGAAAUAAAGAAGCAAAAGGGCCCUUGCGUAACUCAUGUAUUUUCAAACAAUGCUACAGAAAAUAUCCCUUAUACUCCCUCCGUCUAGGUUUGUAAGUCAUCUUACGAAAACAAAAUAAUCCCAAAACACUUAGGCGCGGUGCGUUAACUUCUACCUCGUUUCUUGUUUCUUGACAUAUCAACCAAUAAGAGAUAUGGGUGUGCAUGCUUUUAAUGACUUGAGACUACCAAACACGACAUGCAGUGGUUAGUUCAUUGCAUGCAAUGCUAUUAAUUAGCAAAAAACAUUAAGUUCUCUCGUUUUCCCUCCUCCUUGGUCACGGUGCACAACAUAAGAUGACUUAUUCACUUAGACGGAGGGAGUAUCAUGGAUUUGCGCCUGCAUCAAUUGUUUCCGAGUGCUGUCAAAGAGAAAAAUUUACUAAGAUUUCCAUUGUCAAACUGUGAUGUCCGACUAGUGUUGGUGGAAGAAUCACAUAUUGGAGAGGAUAAUUUGGAGUAGGGGAUGAGAAGAAGUUGAAGAACAGAUGAAGAGGGUGAGAUGUAGAACAGAGUAGGUGAGAGUUCAAACAAUUCUCAUUUCAUCGAUAAGUUACGGCACAUGUCUGAUUCACUUGCCCCUUUUAAACACAUAGGCACUCUCUUACAAGUGGGCCCUCAAAUCCACACGCCCAGUGCACUAGAUGAUCUUCCUAUGGCUCACUCCUAAGUUGUCUCUCUCUAGUUGUUGGGCCCUUCGUCCUCCAUAUCCUAGUCCUCCUCAUUCCACUGGACUGGGAUCUUGAUUUCCGUCGAGGGUGUGGUAGAGAGCAGAUGCAUGACACAAUCUUUGUUCCAUUACGCUUCCUCAAAGUCGCCAUUUUAGACAUUGUCAUGUCUACAACACACAAUUAGACGCUUGGUGACCUGUUGCUUCAAAAAUAUAUUUUGAAAUCAUGUGCCUAGAGGUGUUUUGAAUGUAUGGCUACAAAUGUCACUGAGGUUCCUAGUUCCUGUUCCAUCAGCAUACCCUGCCGAAGUGGUAAUCUGACUUCAAGUGGAAUAAGCAAGACAGGAGAAAGAAUUAAGGUGGUAUUCAGCUCGUUUUCCCCUCACCUUUUUGACUCUCACAUUUUUGUUUUCCUCCCAUAUCUUAGAUGGGGUGAAGCUAUAUGCAUAAACAAAUAUGAAUUCAUAUCACACUCACCUCGACAUCUCAGUAGUACAACACAGGGCUUUCGUCACAGGGCAAUUUUCACAUUAGUCCCGGUUCAGUCACGAACCGGGACUAAUGUGAGCAUUGGUCCCGGUUCGUGCGGCUAAGGCAUUAGUCCCGGUUCACCUGGGCCCUUUAGUCCCGGUUGGUGCCACGAACCGGGACUAAAGGGUGCGAUGCCCAUUAGUACCGGUUGGUGGCACCAACCGGGACUAAAGGUCUAACCUUUAGUACCGGUUGGUGCCACCAACCGAUACUAAUGCGCUUUGAGGCAUUAGUACCGGUUCAUGGCACGAACCGGUACUAAAGGGCCCAUUUUCAAACUCUACCCCCCCUGGUGGACCGCCUUUUCAGUUUUAGGAAAAACAAAAGAAAAUGAUGGAAAUGUCAAAAAAAUAAAAUAAAAUAAGUUUCCCAUGUGAUAUGUGGUCUAGUUGUUGGGAAAAUUAACAAAUAUGAAUUUCGACUUUAUUUGCAAAAUCUCUCUGAAAUUUCUUAAAAUGGGCAUAACUUUUGCAUACGAACUCGGAUGAAAAAGUUUUUUAUAUGAAAAAUCAUCUACUCAAAAUCCUCAAAAACCUAACAGAAAAAAAGAUACGGGACUUUUAAGAUCUGGAGAGGCAAAAAAAUUCAAAAAAUUUCAAUUUGUGGUCAAACUGUGGUCAAACAAUAGUCAAACUAAUUAUUCUAGAAUAUUAGUGUUACUAAAUAAUUAUUUCAGUUUUUUUGAAUUUUGGUCAAAUCUGGUCAAACUGUGGUUAAACAGUGGUCAAACAAUGGUCAAACUAAUUAUUCCAGAAAUAUUAGUGUUACUAAAUAAUUAUUGUUUUUAAAAAUAAUAGUUUCAAACUCAAACAGUGAAAUAUGUCACUUCAUGCUCAAGCUAAAUUCCUGAGGGUUAAUAAAAUUGACAUCUUACUAUUGUCAGGAAAACAACAAGUGCAGACUUGGAAACGAGGGAGAAUAGAACCCAGAAGUUAAGCGUGCUCAGGCUGGAGUAGUGAGAGGAUGGGUGACCGUCCGGGAAGUUAGAUGAUUUGAAAUGAUGAGGGGUGAUUAGAGAUUAGAGGAUAAAUUGAGCAGUGAUGAGGGGUGGUGAUUAGAGAUUAGAGGUUAAAAUAAUUCAGAAAUUUGAAAAUCAAAAAAAAAGUUCGCAAAUUUUUUUUUCAAAAAAAAUAUAUCAUAAAAUUCUGCGUCCACGUGGACGGCCUUUAGUCCCGGUUCGUGUCUAAAGGCUUGGGUAUAUAUAGACCUUCUACACGUCUCCAAUCUCUAGUAGCUCUUCAUAUGAUAAAAAUAUAUUGUGAGUAUGGGAUAUGUGUUGAGAAGGCCAUUCAGGAAUCGUUUAUCAUGUGAGUAGACUGCAAAAUGACAUAACCAUUCCACGAGCAUGCUUAAGUUUGAAAACUCUUUCCCGGGAAGUAUCCUAUGUGAUUGAAUGUAACUCAUAAUUAUUAAAGAAUGUAUAGAAGUUUCUAAACGAGCGAGUGGUUGAAUGUCAAAUGCAUCUGAUACUCGGCGAAGACUUAUGUUUGCCAAAUUCGGUACUCGGCAAAGUUUCGCCGUGUUUAUUAUGGGCUCUGCCAAGUUUCUAAGAAGACAAUCCGGGUAGUGAUGGAUGCCUGAUCUUUAACAUGGAAUGUCUGUAUACAUAGUCCUCAAUGUGGGGCAUAAUGUAGUAGCCGGACAAGACGCUUGAUUAAUCUGGUUCUUCUCUACAAUAGAAACUCGCCUUGUACAUGAACAUAUUUUGUUUUGGGUAUAUAUAGACCUUCUACACGUCUCCAAUCUCUAGUAGCUCUUCAUAUGAUAAAAAUAUAUUGUGAGUAUGGGAUAUGUGUUGAGAAGGCCAUUCAGGAAUCGUUUAUCAUGUGAGUAGACUGCAAAAUGACAUAACCAUUCCACGAGCAUGCUUAAGUUUGAAAACUCUUUCCCGGGAAGUAUCCUAUGUGAUUGAAUGUAACUCAUAAUUAUUAAAGAAUGUAUAGAAGUUUCUAAACGAGCGAGUGGUUGAAUGUCAAAUGCAUCUGAUACUCGGCGAAGACUUAUGUUUGCCAAAUUCGGUACUCGGCAAAGUUUCGCCGUGUUUAUUAUGGGCUCUGCCAAGUUUCUAAGAAGACAAUCCGGGUAGUGAUGGAUGCCUGAUCUUUAACAUGGAAUGUCUGUAUACAUAGUCCUCAAUGUGGGGCAUAAUGUAGUAGCCGGACAAGACGCUUGAUUAAUCUGGUUCUUCUCUACAAUAGAAACUCGCCUUGUACAUGAACAUAUUUUGUUUUGUGGAACUUCCUCCGGAUUAAAAAUACUUGAAGAUAGCAACAUAAUUGAUGAACUAAAAAAUGGUACUCUGGUAGCAAUGGGAUAAAACAAUAUUAUGCCUUUCUUUCAUUAGUUAACUAAAAAUUUGUGCUGCAGUAGUAACGGGAUAAAACAAUAUAAGUAGAAACAAUUUUGAUAAGCAAUAACAUUUCCUUUUGCUAGGGCAACGCUAUAGGUAACUCCUACAAACUAUUUCUCCUAGGUGUUGAUUAAUAAAUUAGCCAUAUGCAAAAUUAAACUGCAGUGGAUUAGUAAUACACGGUUGAAGUCAACACUUCCGGUUAAUCUUAUAAAAUCUAGCCUCUUUAGUCUCCAAUCUCACAUUGAGACAUGGUUAAUAGUUGUUGGUAUAUCUAAAUCCUAUGGGAGGACAUCCUCUUAUUCUCAGACACAUGAGCCCAAGUAUCUCCACAAAAAGUUCACCAGACAUACAUAUCAUGUCCUUUCAUAGCCAUCCAAAAAAAGGAAGGUGCUAUGAUGUAGUGCAACAUUGAUGGAAUAAUACCAAAAAAUGUAAAAAGGGUGUUUCAUUCUCAAAAAUAACUUUGGAAGUAUAUCGGUGAACCAUCUAAACAGGAACAUACUAGUAAAUUUGUUGAGGAAAUUGUUAACUGGUAGCAGCUUGGUUGGCUAGGGAGUAGGGGAUUAAUAGGGUGAUCGGCAAGUUUAUUGGCCUAUUAAGCAAUUAAACGGAGGAUUUAUCAGUUUAUUGGCUACAUGGUGACCUUACAAGUAGGGAUUAAUUCCCAAGUUAACUGGUUAAUCAGACGAAUUCUUCAACAGGACCAGUAAUCAUGCUAAUAUGGUACAUGAUAAUCUCUUAUGGUUGAAUGAAUAUGAGUAAUGUCUGUAGCUAUCUUUAACAGUAUUUUAUUGAGUACCUAAAUAUGUAAAGUUCAGUAGUUUGUACUAUCAUGUUAUUGCACAAAAAAAAAGGAAAUCUCUCAUUCCAAUUUUUUUAGCUAAACUAAACAAAAGAUACUAGCAUGUUGCUCAGGAGAUAGGAAUGGUAGCAGGGGUAGAUAGCCAACAAAAACAUUAUGUUAUUACAGUGUGAAUAAUAAAUAAGAUUAUUUGGAUCAUAUGAAGGAUAAAGCCAUCAAUCUCGCCCAUGUGCAAUAAUUUUAAUUUGUCUUUGUGUAGUAUAUAUUGUUGAUUAAUCAUUCGUGAUGAGAUAUGCACCUUCAUAUGGUUUAACAAAUAGAAGAUGGGUGGCGCCAGAAUAAUUUUUCUGACCGUGCAAAGAUAGAGAUCUGCAUUGCUCUCAUCAAUGACCUGCAACGAUUCAUGCAUGCUUCUACUAUGAUCCUUGAGCCUAUCAAAAUUAAUUGCUAUAAUCUUGACUGACCGAGCUACUGAUAUGUGGGCGUCUUGAUGAGUAUGGCGAAUUCUCUUUUAUCUUGGUGGUUGUUCAUUUCAUAGACAUCUCAAUAUAUUGUUUAUUUGGAUGGUUUUGUCUCCUCCUUUAUUUUGGGGUUAUUUUUACAAAGAGAAGUCUAGUUUUCUCCCUAACAAUUUCACAUGGAGAAGUGUCACUCAUAUUUAUUUCAAUCACAUUUACCUCUUGACCUUAAUAUUCACUCACAUUUACCUCCUGACCUUUUGGUUUUGGUUUAAUUUUUCCAUUAAAAUUUCACAAAUGAUAGAAUCCUCCCUGGAAGUUUUAAGAAAAAAAAAAUCUAGUAAAGGCAUAUGUAAUUUUUUUGUAAAGGAGAAUGUAUUAAUAUCAAGCAGAUACCAAUUAUUCCCAGACUCUGCAACAACAAGAUGCCUAAAAACAUCCAGGAUGCACACAGCUAAAAAUUAAAAUAAAAAGGGAAGAAAAAAUGAGAAAAAAUAUCCCGCCACGGUGAUCAAUCACCCGAUGUAGCCGCACUCUAACCACCACCAAAGAUGUCACCCGGACUACAAAAUAGGUUCUCCAAAAGCAAUGCCUCUAGAAAGGAAACAAAACACAAGCAUUGUCGUUGCCCGAUCAAAGAUAUUACGUUUUCACCCUGGAGAAAGAUCAGGUUCCCAACAAUAAUGCCUUCAACAAGACUACCGCCAGGCACAACCAAUAAAGGCCAGACCUUGGGUUUUCACCUUGGAAAUCCUGAUUGGGUACUCAAAGGAGCACCGAAUAACAAAGAAGUCCUCCAAUGCCGCCACCCCCACUUGCGGAGGCUAAUACUGCAAGUCACGCACCAUUAGGCUCACAGGAAUUCACAUCCCGCCUGGACGGGAACAUAUCCUGUAAGCCAUGUCUAAACAACUGCCUAUGAAGCAAAGUCUUCAUCGCAUCCAAGACCUCGCAUUCGCCACUUGCAAGUCCUUCAAUCACGCCAUGGCAUUCUCCGUAUGUGUUGAUCCCAUGGAAAUCUUGGUGCAGACAUGUCCCAAGGUGCCAACAAAAACAGAGCUUCACGAUACCCCGGUAAACCUGGUUAUGCUGAUGUUGCGGGUGCGCACGACAGGCCCCUAUCUAGUCAAGGUGUCCAAAGAGCGCCAUAUGUGCCAGUCCUUUUUUUCCUUCAAAGGAGAAGUCCGGAAAUCGCAGAUGGCCAGAUUGAAGAUCUCAGGUUCUCAAUUGCAUGAGCUUGUGAGCAACGAGAAUGAGCAAGACCGAACAAGGGGAAACCAUCCAAGGACGGGAACACCGUGUGCACAAUAUAUAGGAUCCAAUUUGCACCAGCAAUGUUUAUACAGGAAUAACCAAAAUGUGAGUGUUGCCACGUACAUGUAUUUACUACUGCAGAUAGUUUUCUUUAUUGCACAGGUAUAAAACUUGUUCUUAAUUUUAAUCAAUUCUCUUGCACAAAUUUAUCCACAGAGAGCACAUAUAUGAUUUAUCUAACACUAUGUUUUCAAUAUCACAAGAUAAAAUCUUGUCUUUACAGAGCAAAAUUAUACACCGAUAAAAAUGUGUUGUCUGCCUGCAUGAAAUUACAUAUGCUAUGCAAAACUCUUUACUUCGUAUCGUCAUGAUCAUCCACAAUAUUAAAAUUGUAAAUAAACAAAAAAAGAGGUGCCGGCAAAUAGUUUUGGAUAGAGUAGUUUGGCACAAUAUAUAUGUUAUCCCUGAAAAUAUAACGUCUUCCUGGAUCACACUGUAGCUUCGUGAUAGUUUUGACGGCUAUGAUAACAAAAGCUGCCGACACAUGGCUCUGGAAAUAGUUAUGGCUGUAGGGGUAAAUAUAAUAGCUGACAGCUCUAAAAAAUAUUCCCGCAAAAGAAGGCAGCUCUAAAAAACAAGCCGACAAAAGAAUCAUGAAGCUACAGUGUGAAUUAUACUCUCUCCAUUCACAUUAUUAUGGGAAAACGAAUUGUGCGAGUACAGUCUGCCAAAAUGAGUGGUCGUCCAUGCACCUUGUUUAGGGGCAACUUUAUUUUAAUGUGUCUUUUUGUAGUAUAUAGUGUUGAUUAAUCGUCCGUGAUGAGAUCUGUGCCUUUGUGUGAUAUAACAAAUAGAAGAUAUAUGGCGCCAGACUAAUUUUUCCAUCCGUACGUGCAAAGAUGAGAUAUGAAUGCAUUGCUCUCAUGAAUGACCUGCAACGAUAGACAUAUGCAUUCAUACAUGCUUCUGCUGUGAUCCACGAGCCCGUCAAAAUUAAUUGCUAUGCAGUGGCUUAACUACUCAGAUGAACGUGGGCGUCUUAAUGAGUAUGGUGACUUCUCUCUUAUGUUGGUGGUUGUUCGUUUCAUAAACAUUUCGAUAUAUUGUUUAUUUGGAUGGUUCUGCUUCCUCCUUUAUUUUGGGGUUGUUUUUACAGUGAAAAUUCAAGUUUUUUCACUAACAUAUUCGCAUGGAGAAGUGUCACUCAUAUUUAUUUUCACUGACAUUUACCUCCUGACAUUUAUUUUCACUCACAUUUAACUCCCGGCCUUUUGGUUUUGGUUUAGUUUUCCCAUUCAAAUUUCAUAAAUCAUAGAAUUUUCUAUCGAAGUUUCAAGAUUUGUUUUUCUAAAAAAGGUACAUGUAUGCACUAUAUAUUAGAUCUAAUUUGUACCAGUAAUGUUACCAGCUACAUGAAUUUACUGCUGCAGAUAGUUUUUUUUUGUAUUGCAUAUGUAUAAAUCUUGUCCUUAAUUUUACUCAUUUCUCUUGCACAAAGUUAGCUUCAUAGUGCACAUGUAUGAUUUACCUAAUAUUAUUAUUUCAAUAUUCCAAAAUAUAAUUUUGUCUUAACAGAGUGAAAUAAUACACCAAUAAAAAAACAUUGUCUGUAUGCAUGAAAUUACAUAUGCUAUGCAAAACUCUUUAGUAUGUAUCGUCAUGAUCAUCCACAAUAUGAAAAAAUAGUAAAGAAACAAACAAGAGGAGCAGACACAUGGUUUUGGAUAGAGCAGUUUAGCACAAUAUAUUUUAUCCCUGUUUAUAUAACGUCUUCAUUGCUCACACUGUAGCUUCGUGAUAGUUUUAUUGGCUAUGAUAACAGAAGCUGCUGACACAUGGUUCUGGAAACAGAUAUAACAGCAGGUGUAAAUAUAAUAGCCGCAGCUCUAAAAAAUAAGCUGACAAAAGAAUCAUGAAGCUACAGUGAACUAUACUCCAUCCUCCCUUGUCUAGGGGCAACUUAAUUCGCUUUGCGAAGGAUAAUGCAUCCAUGGCAAACAGUUUCAGGGUUGUCAGAAUAAGAAAUCUUAUGCCUCCCGAUCAAGAUCUAGACAGAUUUUCAGGGCAUGGUGUGGCCGUCCAACUACCUGAUAAAAAAAAAGAUAAUGAAAAGGGCCCACAGCAUCAAACCAAUGACAGAUAUGUUCAGUUUCGAAUCUCUUAAUAUUUAGUUUGAAAGCUGCAGAUUUUCAGGUUGUGAGAGCCGAAACUCUUGGACCAAGCCAUAUGUUCAGUUUCGAAUCUGACCUAGUAGCGUCCUGGAACUAGUUAUCAUCGAUUGGCUGCCAAACUCCCCCAAGAAACUCCGCACACAUCUCUGCAAUCGAACCAGGGCAAAUUAAUUUAGCGAAGGGAACUCACAACGCAGUGUCUCUUGACACAUCAUCCUAUUUAGUGAAAACUAUUUAGAGACAAUGACCCCUAUUCAUUAUAUACUCAACACGUCUCUUAAUAUUUAAAGUAUCUUAUAAAUGUCGUAUCUAAAUGAUAUUCCAUUUAAUUAGUUUAUGGACCUUUUUUGCAUGUCAACAUUGUGGCCUACUCCAGUUGUGAAGACAAAAAUUGUGAGAUAAACCACAAAGGCUCAAAGCGUUAGUCACUAUACGCAGAAAAACAAGUUAAUUAAGAGCCAUAUCUACACUAAAUAGAACAUAGGGAAGCUCAUCGAUCCAUCACCGGCCACACUUCUUGAGUUAGGCGAAUGUUCUCUUUUGGAGACCAUUGAGGACAUGCGCAUUUCAUCGCUCCAUCUGCCUGUCACUACAAGGGAUAAGGCUACACUAGUAGAAAACAGGGUUUUGGUUCGGCCAGAAAAGAGCAUUAAUCCCGGUUGCAUUACGAACCGGGACUAAUGUGAGCAUUAGUCCAGGUUCGAGCGGCUAGGGCACCGUACAUGCAUUAGUCCCGGUUCAAAUGGGACCUUUAGUCCCGGUUGGUGCCACGAACCGGGACUAAAGGGUGCGAUGCCCAUUAGUACCGGUUCGUGGCAUCAACCAGUACUAAAGGUUAGAUCUUUAGUCCCGGUUCGAGCCACCAACCAGUACUAAUGGGGUUUGAGGCAUUAGUACCGGUUCAUGGCACGCCUUUUCAGUUUUGUAAAAAGCAAAAGAAAAUGAUAAAAACUUCAAAAAUUAAAAUCCUUCCAGAUGUAGUUAUGUUACUACAUGUCCUAGUUAGGAAAAUUUAAAAACUUCAAUUUGGACAUGUUUCGCAAAAAGUGUAGGGAAAAUGUAAAACGGCUAUAACUUUUGCAUACGAUGUCAGAAAAAACGUAUAAUAUAUCGAAAUGUUCAGCACGAAAAUCCGCAUCCGAUUUUGACAGCCUACGGCCUGUUUGUAAAUUUUUAGAAUCCUCAAAUUCUAAAAGGGAAAAAAGUUAUGCUAUUUCUGUUUUUUUAAUUUUUGUUAAAUCUGGUCAAACUAUGGUCAAACUACUUAUUCAAGAAGUAUUAGUGUUACUAAAUAAUUAUUCAAGAAUAUUAGUGUUACUAAAUAAUUAUUUCAGUUUUUUUGAAUUUUGGUCAAAUCUGGUCAAACUGUGGUCAAACAAUGGUCAAACUAAUUAUUCAAGAAAUAUUAGUGUUAGUAAAUAAUUAUUUCAGUUUUUUUGAAUUUUGGUCAAAUCUGGUCAAACUGUGGUCAAACUACUUAUUCAAGAAAUAUUAGUGUUACUAAAUAAUUAUUGUUUUUUAGAACAAUAGUUUCAAACUCAAACAGUGAAAUGUGUGACUUCAUGCUCAAGCUAAAUUCCUGAGGGUUAAUAGGAUUGACAUCUUACUAUUGUCAGGAAAACAACAAGUGCAGACUUGGAAACGAGGAAGAAUAUAACCCGGAAGUUAAGCGUGCUCAGGCUGGAGUAGUGAGAGGAUGGGUGACCGUUCGGGAAGUUAGAUGAUUUGGAAUGAUGAGGGGUGAUUAGAGAUUAGAGGUUAAAUUGAGCAGUGAUGAGGGGUGAUUAGAGAUUAGAGGUUAAAAUAAUUCAGAAAUUUGCAAAUCAAAAAAAAAAAUUUAAAAAAAAAAUCAUAAAAUUUCCUUCAGUACCGGUUGGUGUUACCAACCGGGACUAAAGGUGGACCUCACGUGGAGGGCCUUUAGUCCCGGUUCGUGUAAGAACCAGGACUAAAGGGGGAGGCUUUAGUAACGACCCUUUAGUCCCGGUUCCAGAACCGGGACUGAAGGCCCUUAUGAAGCGGGACUAAAAGCCCUUUUUCUACUAGUGCUAGUAGUGGCGCGGUUUAAAGGCAUAGGAGUAGCGCGGGUUGCCUCUCUACUUACAUUAGCAACUAUAUAAAAACUCAUCAUCAUCAUCAUCAUCAUCAUCAUCAUCAUCAUCAUGUAACAACUCAUCAGCGCGUAGCUAACUGGUUCCUAGUAAGACGGGCCAGGCUCGGCUCUAAUACUACUUACAUUAGUAGCAGCGCGGUGUUUGGCCCGUGCUACUAAUAACUAGCUAUAGCGCGAGGCCCCCCGCCACUACUAACUCUAUGUAUUUCCUUUCUACAUAUUAUACUAUAUUAUACAAUAAUUAUACAGAUUUUUAUACACUAGCAACUAUAUAACAACUCAUCAUCAUCAUCAUCAUCAUGUAACAAAUCAUCAUUAUCAAAAUGAUAUAACUCAUCAUCAUCGUAGUGAUAUAACAGCUCAUCAUGAUCAUAAUUAUAUAAAAAUGUCUCAUCAUCAUCGUCAUCAUCACCAUCAGCAUCAUCAUAAGUUAACCACUACUAGCUAAUUGUCAUCAUCCUAGGUAAGUAACUUUCAAGCACAUGACAAGUACUAUGACCUACUCUAGUGUCUUAGGUAAAAUAGAAUAAAACAGAAAAAAUAACUACAUCUCCAUGAUGGACCACAGAGAUCCCCGGUCUCCAAUUUGUUGCCCGCGCUCAUUGACUAUUUGCCUCCAUCAUUCAAUUUUGAGGCAUCCAUUUGAUUAACACUCAGUCAAGUAUGUAUAUUUGAAUCCGAUCUUCAAAGGGCAAAUAAUAGUCAUCUCACUUUUGACGUCCAUCAGCAGAGGCACAACAACAUUUGGGACCUUCCGCUGAAGUACAUAAUAGUAACAUAGUCGAAAUAUGCAGAUAUAGCAAGAAUGAUCCUAAUUUAUUUAGGCAUCACUACCAGUUUGCCCUCAAUGCCUCGAGCGCCAUCUGGCAGAUCAACCAAGUUCCAAACUUGAUUGUCAUCCAUGGACUUUAAUUCGGAUCUCAUGGUCUUAAGCCAUAACUCAGAAUCAGGGCUCUCCGUCGCUUCUGCAUACAUUGCCGACUCGUUGUUCUCCAAGAACAACACAUUGCAGUUAUGCAUAUUGCGCAACCUUUCCGACCUCUGUGGAAUCAGCGUCGACUCCACUAUGGGUUCCUUGACUAACUCCAUGUGGUUCUCGAAUUUCCUCUAGUCGGAUCAUCCUCCCACUAGCCUUCCGAUUGAGAAACUCUUUCUCAAGGAAAACUCCAUGUCGAGCGACAAACACUUUGCCCUCUUCACAGAUGUAGGAGUAAUAUCCCAAGGUUUCCCUUGGAUACCCCAUGAAUAUGCACUUGUCCGAUUUGGGUGUGCGCUUGUCUGACUGGAGUCGCUUGACGUAUGAUUCACAACCCCAAAUUUUUAGAGAAGACAAAGUUUGGCUCUUCGCAGUCCAUAUCUCAUAUGACGUCUUAUCUACAAACUUGGAUGGUACCCUAUUUAGUGUGAAAGCUGCAGUUUCUAGAGCGUAUCGCCAAAAUAACAAGGGUAAAUCCGACUGACUCGUCAUUGAUUGGGCCAUGUCUAACAGAGUCUGAUUCCUUCGUUCCAACACGCCAUUUCUCUGUGGCAUACCCCGAGGAGUCAGUUGUGGAACUAUCCUACGACUCUUCAGAUAAUCAUCAAACUCCUGGCUCAUAUACUCAUUCGCCACGAUCAGAUCGCAGAAGUUUGAUUCUCUUGUCGAGUUGAUUCUCCACUUCAUUCUGAAACUCCUUGAACUUUUCAAAAGUUUCUAACUUGUGCCUCAUCAAGUAGACAUAUCCAAAUCUACUCAAGUUAUCUGUAAACGUCAUGAAGUAUUGGAAACCACCUCUAGCUGGACUUGUUUUACCAUUGUUGAAAUGUCUUGUGCAUCGGGAUUCCGAGUCUGAUCGGAGGGUCUCGAGAUGGAGGAUUGUCUCUGCGGAUCGUGAGCUUGUCAUGGGCAAAGUUGGGACACCCCUGCAGGGUUUAAACUUUCGAGAGCCAUGCCCGCGGUUAUGUGGCAGAUGGGAAUUUGUUAAUAUCUGGUUGUAGAGGACUUGAACUAAACUCAAUUAAAAUACACCAACCGCGGGUGUAACCGUGACUGUCUCUUUCCAGGUGCGUUCGAGAAGAGAAUACGGUUGGGUUAUGUUUGAACGUAAGUGGUUUAGGAUCACUUCUUGAUCACUAUUAGUUUGCGACCGUUGUGUAGAUUCUCUUCUUACUUUUGUACUCGUAAGUUAGCCACCAUACAAAUGCUUAGUGCUUGCUGCAGCUUCACCACUAUCCAUUCCAUACCCAUUAAGCUUUGCUAGUCUUCAUACCCAUGGUAAUGGGAUUGCUGAGUCCUCGUGGCUCACAGAUGACUACAACAAUAGUUGUAGGUACAGGUAAUGCAAUGAUCUGACGUGAGAGCGAUGCUUGAUUGCUUUUGGAGUUCUUCUUCUUCUUCGAUCAAGGGAUUAGGUUCCGGGUCGGGGAGCCUGGGAUUAGUGGGGUGGAUAUUAUUCUUCUUUUUUGUUUGAUUUCAUCCGUAGUCGGAUCCUGCCCUUCUGUGUGCGCUCGAAAUGCGGUUGGAACAGACGAUCGCUAGACAGCGCGCCCGCAUUGCCACCCUCAAAGACGGUGAUGCCAGCUCUGCCUUCUUUCACCGGCAGUGCUCGUUUCAAUGACAGAAAAACCGCAUCUUCUGCCUCUCUGCGAACGGCACGCUACUCACAGACCAUGACGAGAUGGCCGAGGCUGCAUUCCGGCACUAUGACACACUGCUUGGCACGGCGGUCGAACACGACCACUCGAUGGACCUGUCGCAGCUCAUCGAGGGGAGCGAUCUCUCCGACCUUGACGCGACCUUUUGCCCGGAGGAGAGAUGGGAAGCUGUGAAACGCCUCCCCGCGCACAAGGCAGCUGAGCCUGAUGGCUUUAGCGCUGAAUUUCUCCGCGUGUGCCGGAGCAUCAUCAAGCAGGACUUCAUGGAUGUGUUCCAGUAGCUCUUCGAGCUGCGUGGCCGUGGCUUCUGCAAGGUCAACCAGGCCCUUCUCACGCUGCUGCCGAAGCCCAGGAGGUGCGCAACUACCGCCCGAUAUGCCUCAUUCAUAUCGUGGCCAAGGUACUCGCGAAGGCCCUCUCGCUCCGGCUAGCUCCAAAACUUGACCGCUUUGUCAGCCGCAAUCAAAACGCGUUCAUCCUCGGACGGAGCCUACACGACAACUUUAUGCUCGUCAGGCAAUCGGUCAAGCUGCUGAGCCAACUUGGGGGCCCCAGGGUGAUGCUCAAGCUCGACCUCACGCGCGCUUUUGACUCCAUCUCCUGGCCGUUCCUCUUUGAGGUUCUGCGCCAAUUUGGGUUCGGGAAUCGCUUCCUCGAAUGGAUCGCCAUCCUCCUGUCCUCGGCAAGCACUCGGGUGUAGUUGAUUGGUGUCCCAGGCCCACUGAUAUGGCAUAAGGGAGGGCUGCGGCAGGGGGGACUCCUUGUCCCCGCAGCUGUUCGUGCUCGCGGUCGACACUCUCGGCCGGCUGAUUCGGCGCGCCCAUGAUACGGGCAUCCUCCAGCCGCUGCAUCUGCGGAGGCCGAUACCGGCUAUAUCCCUAUACGCCGACGACGUCAUGCUCUUUUGCCAUGCCACGGAGAGUGACGUGACUGUCGUCAAGGAAAUCCUUGACCUGUUUGGUAGAGCGUCCAGCCUCAAGGUGAACUACACCAAGAGCUCGGCCACGGUCUUGCAUCGGGAAUAGGUUGCCUCCGAGAUGAUCACCAGCUUGGGGUGUUCGACUGCCGCGCUCCCGGUCACCUACCUCGGUAUACCUCUGACGAUGCGCCGCCCUUCCGCCGGGCAGUUGCAGCCCCUUGUCGACAAGGUCACCGGACGCUUGCCCACCUGGAAAGCAUGGCUCAUGAACAGAGCCGGCAGGCUCGCCCUCGUCAAGUUCUUCCUUUGCACUAUCCCGGUGCACCAGCGGGUUGCAUUUGCCCCCUCGAAGAAAAGACUGCAGCAACUCGAGAAAAUUCAACGAGGGUUCCUCUGGGCCGGGCGAGCCAUCACCAACGGCGGGCACUGCCAUGUGAACUGGCAUCAUGCUUCCCGCCCGCUCGCGCUUGGCAGCCUUGGGGUUCGUGAUGUCGAGCGCGUUGGACUCGCGCUCAGGCUGCGGUGGCUCUGGCUCUCGCGAACGGACGAAGGGCGCGCCUGGCAGGGGCUGGACCUCCAAUUUUCUAGCAACGAGCGUACACUGUUCUUUGCCUCCACCUACAUGACCAUUGGAAAUGGCAUGAACGCCCUGUUCUGGGAGGAUCGAUGGCUCAACGGGCACUCGGUUGGCGAGCUCAUGCCCCUGUUCUACAGCUGCAUCCCCAAACGCCGGCGCAAAGCUAGAACGGUGGCCGAAGGUCUCAACUGCAACGCAUUGGCCCAUGACAUCCAGGGCGUCCUCGUCAUCCACGAGAUAGGCCAGUAUCUACAGCUUUGGCAACUCACGGAACAGGCUAUGCUCAGCGAUGCUCCUGACCAGCUGAUCUGUAAGCAGACUGCGAGCGGCAUCUAUUCGGCGCAGUCUUGCUACGCGGCUACCUUCCAAGGAUCAGUGCACUCCUACUCUUGGAAGUUGAUCUGGAAGGCUUGGGCUCCCCCUCGACUCAAGUUUUUCCAUUGGCUUGCCAACCUGGAUCGCUGCUGGACUGCCGAUCGACUGGCCUGCCAAAGACUGCAGCAUCAUCUGUGCUGCCUUCUUUGCGAUCAGGCGCCGGAAAUGAUCCGGCACCUCAUGCUUGACUGCCCCUUCUCUAGGCAGGCAUGGCAUGAGACCCUGGCCUGGCUACGCAUACCGGCGUCGAUCCCCAACCAGGAGCCCACCCUCAUGGACUGGUGGCGGCACGCCGCAAGCACAACGCAAGGCCCUGCAAUCCGUAGUGCUACUCGUACCAUGGCUCGUCUGGAAGCAUAUGAACAGCCACGUCUUCGACAGCGCGACGCCCUCCCUAGGCACGCUAGUCGACCGGAUCAAGGAGGAAGCCGACUCCUGGGCUAAGGCCGGAGCAGUAGGCCUUAGAGUAGUCCUACCCCCUUUAUGGGACGUGCACUGAGCAUUGUAUCUGAUCCUUCAUUAUUCAUCCUAGGACGACUGUAACUGACUCCCUACCUUUUCAAUGAAAAGAAACGGAAAGGUCUUUUGCAUUUUCUCGAGAAAAAAAAGAAUGACCUUGAGGCAAGCUCAAUGAAAAUACGUUUUCCAAAGGUUUCAAGACUAUCUUCCUUGUGCUCUGGGAUAAAGCCAUUUGCAAUUCAUAGUCAGAUCAGCUUGUCCACAUCAAUCUUGUAAUCCUUUGGAAAUAUAGCACAAAAGGAAAAGCAUUGCUUCAUGUGUGAUGGCAAGUCAUUGUAGCUAAGCUUUAAUAUUGGCAGAAUCCAGUUUCCAAAGUGCAAAUGCUGCUACUAGAUGAUAUAGCCUUCCACUCUUCGACGCUAGUCUUGGUACGAAGUACAUAGCCCAAUGCAGUUGCAGCUAAAGGAGAGCCAGAACAUCAGCUUACAAUCUCAUCAACCAUCUUGCUUAGCUCGACAGGCUUUUCUUUCUCCGAACUGAAUGCUCUAGCCUCAGUAAUUUCCUUUACGAAGAAAUCCUCCACAAUAUUGAGAUUGUAGGCUCUACCUGCACCCAUAAUUUCAGUGACUUGUUUAUCACGAGUUCUUGUUAACAUUGCACUACCCAUGCCACCAUGUUGAGGACAGACCUUCAGCCUUCCCAACUUAUAGACCUCUCUGUUCCAGACAUCAUCCAAUACAUGGAGAUACCUGUGCCCGCUGUCCAGUUUUUGAAAUCUAUCCAAAGGUAUCAUAGACCUCUCUGGGGGAUGCCCGCUGUACCCAGAGCUGCAACUGAAAAUGAUUCUGAAUUUCAGGUUCAUUGUAUAUGAGUUACGCUAAUGUGGUCUUGCCAAGGCCCCCCAUUCCAACAAUGGGAACUACUGCGAGAUCAGUAUUGCUAGCUUGACCAAGUAGUAUGUCAACGAUAUUAUUCUUAUCUCCGUGUUUGGAUCUGUUGGCAAUUUCUUGUUGGUCGCUGAUGACAUAAUCUGUGUGCCUCCACUCCUUGGACACUCGUGUUUGCCUCAACUGAUUAGACACCAACAACGUCUGCCUCAACAUAAGCGCGACGCGUUGUUGGGCUAGGCCCAGAACGGUGCGCGGGCAGGUGGGGCGUAUUUUUACCGUAGUAACUGUUUCGUCCGCUGCGCUUCCCCACGACCUGCGUUGAACACGCACGUGGAGGGUCGUGCGUGACGUGGGGGUCAUGCGUGGGGCGGUCUCCACACGCAUGCGUCACAUCGCAUUUAAUGGGAAAAGAGGCGGCCCACGCCUUCCCCGUAAAAAGGAAUAACAGCGGGCGCGCUGUUCAUUUACCCCCUGCGUCUUCUUCAAUCUCGGAAUCGCCGUCCCCUUCUUCUUCCUUCUCAAACUCUCGCCUUUGCUCGUUGCCGCCGCAUCUUCGCUGUCCUCCGUCCUUUGCCUCUCGCAGCCGCCAUGGCCCCCAAAACAAGUAAAGGAAAGGGAGUGGCCAAGGAUGCCGGGGCGAAGGAGCCGCCGGAGAGCGAGUUGGUGGCGCGGCGGACGCAUCUCGCCUACUUCCCCUCGACGGUCGACGCGGUCGAACUCCGGGACUACUUCAGGNNNNNNNNNNNNNNNNNNNNNNNNNNNNNNNNNNNNNNNNNNNNNNNNNNNNNNNNNNNNNNNNNNNNNNNNNNNNNNNNNNNNNNNNNNNNNNNNNNNNNNNNNNNNNNNNNNNNNNNNNNNNNNNNNNNNNNNNNNNNNNNNNNNNNNNNNNNNNNNNNNNNNNNNNNNNNNNNNNNNNNNNNNNNNNNNNNNNNNNNNNNNNNNNNNNNNNNNNNNNNNNNNNNNNNNNNNNNNNNNNNNNNNNNNNNNNNNNNNNNNNNNNNNNNNNNNNNNNNNNNNNNNNNNNNNNNNGCGUGUCAUCCCCGCCAAUUGCGCCGAGGCCGCCCCGAAUCGGUAUCCGUUCUUCGUCGAUUACUUUUCUUGCGGUCUCUGCCCCCCUUUCUCCGAUUUCUUCAAUGAUGUCAUGCACACAUUUGGCUUCCACCUUCUGGAUUUCACUCCCAAUGCCGUGGCGUGCAUGGCUCUUUUCGCCCAUCUCUGUGAGGGCUUCGCCGGAGUUCUUCCCAACACAUUGCCCUUCCGCUAUUAGUUUUACCCUCGCAUCCAAAAGGGAGGCGCCAUCUCUGGUUGCGUCGCCUGGAUACCAAGGUCCAAAGGGACGUACCCGGAGGGCGCCCAGAAGGAGAGGUUGGAAGAGUGGCGGGGCCGGUGGUGCUGGAUUGGGGAGGACGACCCGCCGGAAUUUUUCCGGGUUCGUCAGGCGCCGCCGGUUCGCAGGAACGACUGGGGCGAUGUCAACGCCCUGGAUGACAAGCUCAAGGUCGCCACCACCAGGAUUCACCGCCUCACCGUUGCCGGGCUCACCCUGGAGAUGAUUGGGGCGGACUUGAUCCGCCGCCGAAUCGCUCCACUGCACAACAAGGGGAGACCGGCCUGGCUCUUCCAAAACGCGGCUGACAUCAUGAGGCUUCACUCUGGCCUCAACAACAACUUCACGGUGAUGGGGCACGCCCACUUCUGCUAGCGGAUCUUUCAGCUCGACGUGAACCGCGACGGCAGGGCCAAGAGGUCCGGCAAGGCUGCAAAGGCCGGCAAGGUCCUCAAGGGGCCCUUGUUUGGGUUGCCAGCGGGGGUGGUCCCGCUGAGCAACAACUCGCGCCAGACCGACAUCAUCGCCAUGAUGUCGGACUACAAUGCACACGGUCCCGUCCCAAAUUGGUUCGAGCCGCUAGCGGAUCAGGUGCAGGAGUUCUUUGAUACUUUGGCGGAGAAGUAUGUCUGCGACGAGCCGCUGCUCAUCUAGGACACCACCCAAGCAGAGCUGGACUACAUCGCCGCCAGGGCGGCGGAGGCGGAGCUCGCUAGGGAGGCCGGCAGCGCUGGCGGCAUGGAGGACGAGGUCGCAGCAGCCGCAGAGGAGAGGGAGCUCGCCCAGUGGGAGGAAUCCGAUGGGGAGGCCAGCAGCGCCAGCACCGGGGCCCCUCUUAUUGAAGAUGUGGUCGACGAUUCGGAGGAGGAGGAGGUCGAGGCUGUCGAUCCUCCGGUCAUGGGGAGAGGGCGAGUCCUGCGGCGGGCCAGCUCCGGCAAGCCGGUCCAGCCCGGCAGGGCUGUGCAACCGCAGCAGACCUAGGAGGGGUAUGUGCGCCAGACAAGGGCCGCGGUGGCGAGGAAGUUGGUGAAGGCCGUGGUGGCGAAGAAGAAAGCAACAACCUCUUCUUCGUUCAAGCGUGGCCAGACUCCACCUUCUUCCCCUCCUCGGGCAGACGUUGACACGGAGGUCGUCUUCGACUUUGGGUCCCUCAGCCCAAGGAGGAAGAGGAAGGCAUCAGAAGAGGAGGUGGAGGAUGAGUAAGUUUCUUGUUACUUUUUGUCAUCUCCGUCUCCUCAGACUGUGCUGCUUAUCUCGAUUUGUUUUCAUCUUUGCAGGGAUGCGGAGACGCUGGCCCAGAGGGUGAAGAGGGCCAGGUCCUCGGCUGGCGGCCGGCCUCCGGCGGGCACUUCGAGGAUGCCACUAGUGGUGGUGAGCAGCCCGGACAGCAGUCCCCGAAGCAGCCCCCGGCGUAAGUUCCCCACUCGUCCCUCGUCAACGUGUGUUGGGGGUACGAUCCCUUGGCGCUAACCUUGCCGUGAUUGCAGGAGGAGGACAACAGGAGGAGGAGCCACGGAGGGUUACCCCCAACACGCUGCCCCCAUCGACCACGCCGCCCCGAGGGGUGGUGUCUACUACGCAACCUUCUUCUUGUAGACGUUGUUGGGCCUCCAAGUGCAGAGGUUUGUAGGACAGUAGAAAAUUUCCCUCAAGUGGAUGACCUAAGGUUUAUCAAUCCGUGGGAGGCGUAGGAUGAAGAUGGUCUCUCUCAAGCAACCCUGCAACCAAAUAACAAAGAGUCUCUUGUGUCCCCAACACACCCAAUACAAUGGUAAAUUGUAUAGGUGCACUAGUUCGACGAAGAGAUGGUGAUACAAGUGUAAUAUGGAUGGUAGAUAUAGGUUUUUGUAAUAUGAAAAUAUAAAAACAGCAAGCUAACUAAUGAUAAAAGUGAGCACAAACGGUAUUGCAAUGCGUUGAAACAAGGCCUAGGGUUCAUACAUUCACUAGUGCAAGUUCUCUCAACAAUAAUAACAUAAUUGGAUCAUAUAACUAUCCCUCAACGUGCAACAAAGAGUCACUCCAAAGUCACUAAUAGAGGAGAACAAACGAAGAGAUUAUGGUAGGGUACGAAACCACCUCAAAGUUAUUCUUUCGGAUCGAUCUUAUUCAAGAGUUCGUACUAGAAUAACACCUUAAGACAAAAUCAACCAAAACCCUAAUGUCACCUAGAUACUCCAAUGUGACCUCAAGUAUCCGUGGGUAUGAUUAUACGAUAUGCAUCACACAAUCUCAGAUUAAUCUAUUCAAACCAACACAAAGUACUUCAAAGAGUGUCCCAAAGUUUCUACCAGAGAGUCAAGACGAAAACGUGUGCCAACCCCUAUGCAUAGGUUCAUGGGCGGAACCCGCAAGUUGAUCACCAAAACAUACAUCAAGUGGAUCACGUGAUAUCCCAUUGUCACCAGAGAUACGCACAUGCAAGACAUACGUCAAGUGUUCUCAAAUCCUCAAAGACUCAAUCCGAUAAGAUAACUUCAAAGGGAAAACUCAAUCCAUUACAAGAGUGUAGAGGGGGAGAAACACCAUAAGAUCCAACUAUAAUAGCAAAGCUCGCGAUACAUCAAGAUCGUACCACCUCAAGAACACAAGAGAGAGAGAGAGAGAGAGAUCAAACACAUAGCUACUGGUACAUACCCUCAGCCCCGAGGGUGAACUACUCCCUCCUCGUCAUGGAGAGCGCGGGGAUGAUGAAGAUGGCCACCGGUGAGGGUUUCCCCCUCCGGCAGGGUGCCGGAACAGGGUCCCGAUUGGUUUUUGGUGGCUACAGAGGCUUGCGGCGGCGGAACUCCCGAUCUAUUCUGUUCACCUAUGUUUUUAGGGUAUAUGGAUAUAUAUAGGCGAAAGAAGUCGGUAAGGGGAGCCACGAGGGGCCCACGAGGGUGGAGGGCACGCCCAGGGGGUGGGCGCGCCCCCUACCUCGUGCCUUCCUUGUUGCUUCCCUUACGUACACUCCAAGUCUUCUGGAUUGCUUCGGUUCCAAAAAUAACUCUCCCGAAGGUUUCAUUCCGUUUGGACUCCGUUUGAUAUUCCUUUUCUGCGAAACACUGAAACAAGGAGAAAAACUGAAACUAGCACUGGGCUCUGGGUUAAUAAGUUAGUCCCAAAAAUAAUAUAAAAGUGCAUAGUAAAUCCCAUUAAACAUCCAAGAUGGAUAAUAUAAUAGCAUGAAUACUUCAUAAAUUAUAGAUACGUUGGAGACGUAUCAGCAUCCCCAAGCUUAAUUCCUGCUCGUCCUCGAGUAGGUAAAUGAUAUAAGAAAUAAUUAUGAAGUGUGAAUGCUAGCAGGUGCACAAGUUUGAUCAAUGAUAAUUUCAAUCACCUUUUCAAGCAUCAUUAUAUGUCAUAACAGUAGCUCAACUCAUAAAACUUUUCAUGAUCAAGUAACAAGCUAUUCACAUAUUAAAGCAUAGACCAUAAACUUUCUUGAAAACUAACAAACUAUGUUCUCAGUCAUCAAACAAUUGCAAUUCAUCUUAUUUUCAGGAAGGGUCUAUGUAAGAGCUUUGAUUUAGCAAAUCCCACAUACUCAACUAUCAUAUAGUCUUCCAUGAUUGCUACCACUCAAAGCAUAUUUUCGGAACAAAUAGCAUCCAUCGAACACAGAGAAAGAUAGGGGCUUAAUGUUUCGCCUCCCAACUUAUUUAUCAUAUAGAUAAUUGUCAACAAUAAUAAUUCAUGAUCAAAUAUAUUUGAAUGGCCAUAUAUGCUUAGAUCUUUCCAUCACAUGAUGCUUGCCAACUAAAAAGUAGGUUGGAAUGAGAAGGAAUACUACUGACUCUUGCAUAAAAGUAAAAGAUAGGCCCUUCACAGAGGGAAGCAGGGAUUUGCAGAGGUGCCAGAGCUCGAAGCUAAAACAGAGAUGAAAAUAAUUUUGAGAGGUAUGCUUUCAUUGUCAACAUAACGACCAAGAGUUCCCAAUAUCUUCCAUACUACAUACAUUAUAGGCGGUUCCCACGCGGAAAGGUAAAGUUUUUACUCCCCCUCCACCAACAUUCACACUCCACGGCUUGUCCGAAACAAUGGGUGCCGUCCAACUAUCAACAUUCUUGGGGGAGUUUGUUGAAAUUAUUUGUGAAUUUGUUUUUGAUCUUUUGAUCAUAGGACUGGGCAUCCCAGUUACCAGCCAUUUUCUCGUGAAUGAUGAGCGGUGUCCACUCAUCGUGAGAAUAACCCACCCAGCAUGGAAGAUACUGACAGCCCCUAGUCGCUACAUGAGCGAUUCGGGCAUACAAAACAGAUUAUUAUUUGAAGGUUUAGAGUUUGGCACAUGCAAAUUUACUUGGAACGGCAGGUAAAUACCGCAUAUAGGUAGAUAUGGUGGACACUCAUGGAAGAAACUUGGUUCGAGGAAUUUGGAUGCACAAGCAGUAUUCCUGCUUAGUACAGACAUUUUGGCUAGCAAAUGAUUCUAAAUAGCAAGCACCACAAGUUAGAGGAUCCAUAACAAUAUAACUUCUAUACAAAUAUACCCAAGCAUAACUCAUUAUGUUGUCUUCCUUGUCCAACUUCAACUAAUUUGCUCAGGUUUGCUAAUAAUUAAUGGGGCUCACGAUCAUAGAAGAUGUCCAAGAUAGUAUUAUAUGUGAAAUCUCUCUUCCUUCAAUAUUCUUUCAUGAAUUGUUCAAGUGACAAAUACAAAGUUUGCUAACCUUCAAAAAAUUUACCACCUCUACUUCUUAUAUGUGAAGUCAUUACUCCCCAUGGGAUAAGUAUAUGAAACAUAUAUAAUUUCAGAUUUAUAAUAUUCAAAUCAUUCAACUAUUUACUCAUAGGAUAUAAGUGAAGCACACGAGUAAAUGACAAACUACUCCAAAAAGAUAUAAGUGAAGAUCAAUGAGUAGUUAAAUAAUUAUGUAGUUAUCUGAAGACUCUAUCUCAUUUAAGAAUUUCAGAUCUUGGUAUUUUAUUCAUACAGCAAGCAAAACAAAAGAAAAUAAAAUGACGCUCCAAGUAAAACACAUAUCAUGUGGUGAAUAAAAAUAUAGCUCCAAGUAAAGUUACCGAUGAACGAAGACGAAAGAGGGGAUGCCAUCCGGGGCAUCCCCAAGCUUAGGCUCUUGGUUGUCCUUGAAUAUUACCUUGGGGUGCCUUGGGCUUCCCCAAGCUUAGGCUCUUGCCACUCCUUAUUCCAUAGUCCAUCGAAUCUUUACCCAAAACUUGAAAACUUCACAACACAAAACUUAACAGAAGAUCUCGUGAGCUCCGUUAGCGAAAGAAAACAAAACACCACUUCAAGGUACUGUAAUGAACUCAUUAUUUAUUUGUAUUGGUGUUAAAUCUAAUGUAUUCCAACUUCUCUAUGGUUUACAAACUAUUUUACAAGCCAUAGAUUCAUCAAAAUAAGCAAACAACACACGAAAAACAGAAUCUGUCAAAAACAGAACAGUCUGUAGUAAUCUGUAACUAACGCAAACUUCUUGAACUCAACAAAUUCUACCAAAAUAGGACGACCUAGAUAAUUUUAUUAUUGAUCUGAUGCAAUUGGAAUCAGUAUUUUAUCACGUUCUGGUGAUUUUAAACAAUUGUUUUCGUGAACAGAAAGUUUCUGGAAUUUUCAGCAAGAUCAAAUAACUAUCAUCCAAGAAGAUCCUAUAGGUCUUACUUGGCGCAAACACUAAUUAAAACAUAAAACCACAUCUAAACAGAGGCUAGAUAGAUUAUUUAUUGCUAAACAGAACCAUAAAGAAAGAACAAAAAUAAAAAUCGGGUUGCCUCCCAACAAGCGCUAACGUUUAACGCCCCUAGCUAGGCAUGAUGAUUUCAAUGAUGCUCGCAUAAAAGAUAAGAAUUGAAAUAUAAAGAGAGCAUCAUGAAAAAUAUGACUAGCACAUUUAAGUCUAACCCACUUCCUAUGCAUAGGGAUUUUGUGAGAAAACAACUUAUGGGAACAAUAAUCAACUAGCAUAGGAAGGCAAAACAAGCAUAACUUCAAAACUUUAAGCACAUAGAGAGGAAACAUGAUAUUAUUGCAAUUCAUACAAGCAUACAUUCCUCCCUCAUAAUAAUUUUCAGUAGCAUCAUGAAUGAAUUCAACAAUAUAACCAGCACCUAAAGCAUUCUUUUCAUGAUCUACUUGCAUAGAAAUUUUCCUACUCUCCACGUAAGCAAAUUUAUUCUCAUCAAUAGUAGUGGGAGCAAACUCAACAAAAUAACUAUCAUGUGAUUGAAAAUUAAGAUCAAGAUGACAAGUUUCAUGGUUAUCAUUAUUCUUUAUAGCAUACGUGUCAUCACAAUAAUCAUCAUAGGUAGGAGGCAUGCUUUCAUCAUAAUAAAUUUGCUCAUCAAAACUUGGGGGACAAAAAAUAUCAUCUUCAUCAAACAUAGCUUCCCCAAGCUUGUAAUCAUGCUCAUCAUUCAAAUAUUUAGUGCCAAACAUUCUAAUGCAUUCUUCCUCUAGCAAUUGAGCGCAAUUAUCGGAAUCCUUAUUUUCACGGAAGACAUUAAAAAGAUGAAGCAUAUGAGGCACACUCAAUUCCAUUUUUUGUAGUUUUCUUUUAUAAAAUAAACUAGUGAUAAAACAAGAAACUAAAAGAUUCCAUUGCAAGAUCUAAAUAUAUACCUUCAAGCACUCACCUCCCCGACAACGGCGCUAGAAAAGAGCUUAGUUGACGGGGUGUGAGUGCCGCUUACCUAGCCUCCCCGGCAACGGCGCCAGAAAAGAGCUUGAUGUCUACUACGCAACCUUCUUCUUGUAGACGUUGUUGGGCCUCCAAGUGCAGAGGUUUGUAGGACAGUAGCAAAUUUCCCUCAAGUGAAUGACCUAAGGUUUAUCAAUCCGUGGGAGGCGUAGGAUGAAGAUGGUCUCUCUCAAGCAACCCUGCAACCAAAUAACAAAGAGUCUCUUGUGUCCCCAAAACACCCAAUACAAUGGUAAAUUGUAUAUGUGCACUAGUUCGGCGAAGAGAUGGUGAUACAAGUGUAAUAUGGAUGGUAGAUAUAGGUUUUUGUAAUCUGAAAAUAUAAAAACAGCAAGGUAACUAAUGAUAAAAGUGAGCACGAACGGUAUUGCAAUGCGUUGAAACAAGGCCUAGGGUUCAUACUUUCACUGGUGCAAGUUCUCUUAACAAUAAUAACAUAAUUGGAUCAUAUAACUAUCCCUCAACAUGCAACAAAGAGUCACUCCAAAGUCACUAAUAGAGGAGAACAAACGAAGAGAUUACGGUAGGGUACGAAACCACCUCAAAGUUAUUCUUUCGGAUGAUCUUAUUCAAGAGUUCGUACUAGAAUAACACCUUAAGACACAAAUCAACCAAAACCCUAAUGUCACCUAGAUACUCCAAUGUCACCUCAAGUAUCCGUGGGUAUGAUUAUACGAUAUGCAUCACACAAUCUCAGAUUGAUCUAUUCAAACCAACACAGAGUACUUCAAAGAGUGUCCCAAAGUUUCUACCGGAGAGUCAAGAUGAAAACGUGUGCCAACCCCUAUGCAUAGGUUCAUGGGCGGAACCCGCAAGUUGAUCACCAAAACAUACAUCAAGUGGAUCACGUGAUAUCCCAUUGUCACCACAGAUAUGCACAUGCAAGACAUACAUCAAGUGUUCUCAAAUCCUUAAAGACUCAAUCCGAUAAGAUAACUUCAAAGGGAAAACUCAAUCCAUUACAGGAGUGUAGAGGGGGAGAAACAUCAUAAGAUCCAACUAUAAUAGGAAAGCUCGCGAUACAUCAAGGUUGUACCACCUCAAGAACACGAGAGAGAGAUCAAACACAUAGCUACUGGUGCAUACCCUCAGCCCCGAGGGUGAACUACUCCCUCCUCGUCAUGGAGAGCGCGGGAAUGAUGAAGAUGGCCACCGGUGAGGGUUCCCCCCUCCUGCAGGGUGCAGGAACAGGUUCUCGAUUUGUUUUUGGUGGCUACAGAGGCUUGCGGCGGCGGAACUCCUGAUCUAUUCUGUUCCCCGAUGUUUUUAGGGUAUAUGGAUAUAUAUAGGCGAAAGAAGUCGGUAAGGGGAGCCACAAGGGGCCCACGAGGGUGGAGGGCGCGCCUAGGGGGGUGGGCGCGCCCCCUGUCUCGUGCCUUCCUCGUUGCUUCCCUUACGUACACUCCAAGCCUUCUGGAUUGCUUCCGUUCCAAAAAUAACUGUCCCGAAGGUUUCAUUCCCUUUGGACUCCGUUUGAUAUUCCUUUUCUGCGAAACACUGAAACAAGGAGAAAAAACUGAAACUAGCACUGGGCUCUGGGUUAAUAAGUUAGUCCCAAAAAUAAUAUAAAAGUGCGUAGUAAAGCCCAUUAAACAUCCAAGAUGGAUAAUAUAAUAGCAUGAAUACUUCAUAAAUUAUAGAUACGUUGGAGACGUAUCAAGGGGCGUCCCCGGCAAGGGCGCCAAGCACCGAGCCCAUGCACACAGAGGAGGAGGAGGCAGACUUGGGCGCUAGUGGCUCCGCCUCGGUGCCAGAUGUUGGCAGGGAAGGGGCUACUUCUUCCCAGCCCGGCACGGGUACGUCACUUGCCUCCUGUCCCUGCUUUUUCUUCUUCUUUUUGAAUCUUGGUCUUGGCUCCGCCUCAUCCCCUUCUCGAUAUCCAGACCCUCCCUCGGCGGACCGGGAGGACAUAGACACCGUCAUCGAGGAUGUCGCCAAGGACACCGCGGCGGAGGCCGAGAAGAUUGCCGCCGAGGAGGCCGCCAAGGGCGCUGCCGAGGACGCCGCAAAGCGAUCUGCCGGGGAGUCCGGCAUGUCUACUGCCAAAGUGGCCGGCAAGGGGCCUGCCGGGGAGGCCGGCAAGGCCGCUGCCGGGGAGGAGGUGGUUAACGACCAACCUUCCUCCUCUGCUGCCUCUGGUUCCGGCAGGUAUCUGAAGGUGAGCGACGACCUAUUCGUCAACCUCCUAGGGACGGCGAGCACUAGGGCGCCCACCGAGGGAGAGGUGUUCGACGAGGAGGUGCUUGCCGCCGCUGGGCUCGAGGUUGUUGACGAGUCGAGCGCCGGUGGCGACGGUUCCCAGGAAGAGCGGCUCCUUCAGGCCAUGGGCGCCAGCUUUCGGAAGCUCCAGGCGCUCCACCGCGCCCGCCUGGACAAGGCCAAGUCCAGGAUGGCAGCGGUGGAAAAGGCGGAGGCGGACCUCGAGGGUCGCAUCGUCGAGACGCAGGCUUGGUUCCGCCAGGGCUGCGAGGAGCUGAAGACCGCCCAGGACGAGCUGGCCAAGCGCAAGGUGGAGCUCGUCAUGAAGCAGGCCGACAUCGAGAGGGGCCAGGAGUUGGCGAAGAACCAGGCCGCCAAGGACGAGGUCGCUCGGUCCCAGCACCAGGCCGCGCUGAACUCCCAGGAAGAGGACCUUGCCGCUCGCGAGGAGAAGCUCGCCGUGACACUCCGCGGCAAGGACGAGGAGGUCAAGAAGCUUGUCCUGCAGCGGACCCAGGAGUUGGAGCAGAAGCACGAGGAGGCGCUCAAUGCCCAGGCUUAGGUCCACGCCGGCAAGGUGAAGGAGCUGGAGGUGGAGCGGGACGAGCUGAAGAAGCAGGCCCUGGAGUUGACGGCGGAGAGGGACGCUGCCAAAGGUGCCCUGGCCGACGCGCAGGCCGCAGUCCUCAGCAAGGCCGGGCUACUCUCCACGGCCAACGAGACCAUCAAGGACCUGAAGCUGAAGCUGGAGGGCCUUGAGGGGACGCUCUCGGAGGCCAAGGCCCGGGAGGAGACCCUGGCCAAAGAUUUGGAGGCCGAGAAGCAGCUGCGGAAGAACGAAACCGCCAACCACAAGGAUUUUGUGGAGGGCGAGAACCGCUGGAUCAGCCGCCUCAAAGGCGUCGCCGGCAGGAUCACCACGCAGCUGGCUACGAUGGGGAUGCCAAAUGUGAGGUACGCCCCGGAGCCCAAUGUGACUCCCAAUGCCAAGCUGACCCUAUUCUUCGAGGGUGUCCUUGGAGCCCUGGAGCAUCUUCGCUCCAGCAGGGCGGCCUCUUUGGCCGAUGAGGCCCGGAAGCUUUGCCGGGGUGCCAUGACCAAGGUCCUCACCAAGGUGGCGUACUGGAACCCCGACCUCGACUUCGACGCCGCACUAGAGAGCUUGCCGGAGGAUGCUGACCUCGCGGCGCUCAAGGAGCGUAUCAAGCCCAUCAUCAGUCGCGUCGACGGAAUCCAGAGGGUGGAGGGCCAGCGCUGGGAUUAGGCACCCCGUUUCUCAUUGCCGCUGCAGGUUCAUGACCAUGACAAUUUCUAUCUUUAGUUAGAACCGCGGCAACAACUGAUGUAAUAUAACUCUGCAGUACAUUCGUGAUGAUGUAUGUUAUCUUCCUGUUUGAUCUUCCUUUGUAUGUUCACCCUACGUUAAUCGGGUAGGCUUGCCGGCGCGUAAACCCAGGCCGCGGCGCCUUGAGGAUGGAUCCCCAAUGGCCUGCCGGGUAUGCUUGCUGCCAGGCGAACCACCUUACCGCAUUAGUAGAAAACAGGGCUUUGGUUCCGGCCUGGCCAGCCCAUUAGUCCCGGUUCUUCAUGAACCGGGACCCAUGGGGGGCAUUAGUCCCGGUUCAUGAGCCCAGGGGGCCGUCCGGGGCCUCGUGGGCAUUGGUCCAGGUUCCUCUGGAUCCAUUUGUACCGGUUCUAGAGGGCCGCGCUCCUUGCCCACAGCCAUUGGUACCGGUUCGUGCCUAUAACCGGGACAGAAGGGGGGGGGGCUUUAGUACCGGUUCGUGCCACAAACCGGGACAAAUAAGUUGCCUAUAUAUACUCGUCGCCGCAGCAGAGCACUCCACAGUGCUCUGUUUUUUCUGGCCGGCGAGGGGAGGGCAUUUGGGUGCUCUAGCUCACCUCCUAUGCACAUGAGGUGUUUGAUGAAAUGCCCGAGCGACACUAGUUAAGCUUUCUCCUCUUGAAGCUCGACCUCGGAGCUCCAUUUUUCCCAAGAUUUGUCUAGAUUUAGCGGUCCGUCACGCCCCGUCCCCGUUUUCACCGCCGUCAAUCGCCCGUGCCGAUCUCGUCGCCGGCACCAUCGUGGUGAGCCUCUUGUUCUUAUCUUCUUUCUGAUUUGCUUAAUUUAGAUAGAUACUUGUCUGAUUUUCUUACUUUUGACACACAUAAUUAUAUAUAAUGCACGCAGAUGAACCGGCAAUGGAUGUACGGUGACAGACACACCUCCGAGUACAUUAAGGGCGUGCAUGAAUUUCUCGAAGUGGCAGAGGCAAACAAGCAGAAUGGUUUUAUGUGUUGUCCAUGCCCUAAAUGUGGGAAUACGAAGUCUUACUCUGACCGGAAAAUCCUGCACACCCACCUGCUUUACAAGGGUUUCAUGCCACACUAUAAUGUUUGGACGAGGCACAGAGAAAUAGGGGUUAUGAUGGAAGACGACGAAGAAGAAGAGGACGAUGACAACUAUGUGCCCCCUGAAUACGGUGAUGCUGCAACGGGGGGAGCUGCCGAAGAUCAAGAGGAACCAGACGAUGUGCCCGAUGAUGCUGCAAUGGGGGAAGCUGCUGAAGAUCAAGAAGAACCAGACGAUGUGCCCGAUGAUAAUGAUCUCCGCCGGGUCAUUGUCGAUGCAAGGAUGCAAUGCGAAAGUCAAAAGGAGCAGCUGAAGUUCGAUCCCAUGUUAGAGGAUCACAAAAAAGGGUUGUACCCCAAUUGCGAAGAUGGCAACACAAAGCUCGGUACCGUACUGGAAUUGCUGCAGUGGAAGGCAGAGAAUGCUGUGCCUGAGAAAGGAUUUGAGAAGCUACUGAAAAUAUUGAAGAAGAAGUUUCCAAAGGACAAUGAAUUGCCUGACAGUACGUACGCAGCAAAGAAGGUCGUAUGCCCUCUAGGAUUGGAGGUGCAGAAGAUACAUGCAUGCCCUAAUGACUGCAUCCUCGACCAUGGUGCGUACAAGGAUUUGAACGCAUGCCCGGUAUGCGGUGCAUUGCGGUAUAAGAUCAGACGAGAUGACCCUGGUGAUGUUGACGGUGAGCCCCGCAGGAAGAGGGUCCCUGCGAAGGUGAUGUGGUAUGCGCCUAUAAUACCACCGUUGAAACGACUAUUCAGAAACAAAGAGCAUGCCAAGUUGAUGCGAUGGCACAGUGAGGACCGUAAGAAAGACGGGAAGUUGAGAGCACCCGCUGACGGGUCGCAGUGGCGAAAAAUUAAGAGAAAGUACUGGGAUGAGUUUGCAGGUGACCCAAGGAAUGUAUGGUUUGCUUUAAGAGCGGAUGGCAUUAAUCCUUUCGGGGAGCAGAGCAGCAAUCACAGCACCUGGCCCGUGACUCUAUGUAUGUAUAACCUUCCUCCUUGGAUGUGCAUGAAGCGGAAGUUCAUUAUGAUGCCAAUUCUCAUCCAAGGCCCUAAGCAACCCGUUAACGACAUUGAUGUGUACCUAAGGCCAUUAGUUGAAGAACUUUUAUAGCUGUGGAAUGGAAACAGUGUACGUGCGUGGGAUGAGCACAGACACGAGGAAUUUAACCUCCAUGCGUUGCUGUUUGUAACCAUCAACGAUUGGCCCGCUCUCAGUAACCUAUCAGGACAGACAAACAAGGGAUACCACGCAUGCACGCACUAUUUAGCUAACACCAAAAGUAUAUACCUGGACAAAUGCAGGAAGAAUGUGUACCUGUGCCAUCAUCGAUUUCUUCCGACCAACCAUCAAUGUCGAAAGAAAGGCAAGCAUUUCAAAGGCGAGGCAGAUCACCGGAAGAAGCCCGCCAUGCGUACCGGUGAUCACGUACUUGCUAUGGUCAAUGAUUUACACCUAAUGUUUGGAAAGGGUCCCGGCGGACUAGCUGUUCCGAAUGACGCUGGGGGACGCGCACCCAUGUGGAAGAAGAAAUCUAUAUUUUGGGACCUGCCCUACUAGAAAGACCUAGAGGUCCGCUCUUCGAUCGACGUGAUGCACGUGACGAAGAACCUUUGCGUGAACCUGCUAGGCUUCUUGGGCAUGUAUGGGAAGACAAAAGAUACAGCUGAGGCACGGGAGGACCUGCAACGUUUGCACGAAAAAGACGGCAUGCCUCCAAAGCAGUAUGAAGGUCCUGCCAGCUAUGCUCUUACCAAAGAAGAGAAGGAAAUCUUCUUUGAAUGUCUGCUUAGUAUGAAGGUCUCGACUGGCUUCUCGUCGAAUAUAAAGGGAAUAAUAAAUAUGCCAGAGAAAAAGUUCCAGAACCUAAAGUCUCAUGACUGCCACGUGAUUAUGACGCAACUGCUUCCGGUUGCAUUGAGGGGGCGUCUACCGAAAAACGUCCGAUUAGCCAUUGUGAAGCUAUGUGCAUUCCUCAAUGCAAUCUCUCAGAAGGUGAUCAAUCCAGAAAUCAUACCAAGGCUAAGGAGUGAUGUGGCGCAAUGUCUUGUCAGUUUCGAGCUGGUGUUCCCACCAUCCUUCUUCAAUAUCAUGACGCACGUCCUAGUUCAUCUAGUUGACGAGAUUGUCAUUCUGGGCCCCGUAUUUCUACAUAAUAUGUACCCCUUUGAGAGGUUCUUGGGAGUCCUAAAGAAAUAUGUCCGUAACCGCGCUAGGCCAGAAGGAAGCAUCUCCAUGGGCCAUCAAACAGAGGAUGUCAUUGGGUUUUGUGUUGACUUCAUUCCUGGCCUUAUGAAGAUAGGUCUCCCUAAAUCGCGGUAUGAGGGGAGACUGGCUGGAAAAGGCACGCUUGGAGGGGACUCAAUAAUAUGCAGGGACGGAUAUUCUUGGUCUCAAGCACACUACACAGUUCUACAGAACUCUACCUUGGUGACCCCUUAUGUCGAUGAACACAAGAACAGUCUGCGCUCCAAACACCCGGAGCAUUGCGACGACUGGAUUACAUGUGAACACAUCAGGACUUUCAGCAGUUGGUUGGAAACACGUCUCAGAGGUGACAACACUGUUUGUGAUGAGAUGUACUCGUUGUCCAGGGGACCAUUUUCGACUGUAUUGACUUACAAAGGAUACAAGAUAAAUGGGAAUACAUUUUACACGAUCGCCCAAGAUCAAAAGAGCACCAACCAAAACAGCUGUGUCCGCUUUGAUGCAGCAACCGAGAGGGGAAAGGACACAUAUUAUGGUUACAUAGUGGACAUAUGGGAACUUGACUACGGACAUGAUUUUAAGGUCCCUUUGUCUAAGUGCAAAUGGGUCAAUCUGUCAGGAGGCGGGGUACAGGUAGACCCACAGUACGGAAUGACAACAGUGGAUCUGAACAAUCUUCGGUACACUGACGAACCUUUCGUCCUAGCCAAUGAUGUGGCACAGUUUAUCUAUGUGAAGGACAUGUCUACCAAACCGAGAAAAAGAAAAGAUAAGGAAGCGAAUACAUCAUACGAUGAGCCAAAGCACCACAUAGUUCUUUUAGGAAAAAGGGACAUCGUGGGAGUGGAGCGCAAGACAGACAUGUCUAAAGAUUAUGAAAAGUUUCCUGAAAUUCCUCCCUUCAAAGUCAAGGCUAACCCAAGCAUCCUAAUAAACGAUGAAGAUUAUCCAUGGUUACGGCGCAAUAAGCAAACGACACAAGCGAAGAAAAAGUGAAGACUUUCUCUCUACAACUAUUAUGAUGAUGCCUUUGAUCUAGAAUAUCACUGCAAUUACAUGUGAAGAAAUGAAAUGCAUGUUGUAACAAACGAGUUUCCGUGUGAAAUGAUGAUACCAUGCCAAUUUGCAACCUUAUCGGAGUUCAUUUGAAAUGGUUUUCAAUUUCCGGGUCUUAUAGCUCAAAAAAGCAGUAAAUGCAUGAAAAAUAACAAAUGAAGUCAGAAAGGGUUGAAAAUUGAUGAUGUUGCUUUGAAUGGUGCAUUUUGAACACACAAGAAGUCUGGAGUUCAAAUAAGUUCGAAAAAAUGAAAUCCCUUUGUAACAGAUGAGCUUUCGUGCGAAACCCUGAUACUUCGAAAGAGAUUGUCCGUUUUGUACACAAAGUGCAUCUAGUUUUUGCCGUAACCCUCUCAACUUUCUUGCACAUGCUAUGUGGGUGAAAUGAUGAUAGCAUGCCAAUUUUCAACCUUUUCGGUGUUCAUUUGAAAUGCUUUUCAAUUUUCGGGUCUUAUAGCUCAAAAAAGCAGUAAAUGCAUGAAAAAUAAUAAAAUGCAUAAAACUAUAAUAUUUGUUAUGAUCACUAAAAAACUAAAAUCAAUUAAAAUAUUAAAUAGCAGGAAAAAGAAUCACUCAAAAAUCUAUUUUUAUAGUAAAUUUAUUCAUAAAACUAGUGAUUCACAUACAUUUAAAAAAAAUCAAAUUUUAAAACUAAUGGCACUAACAGAAAGUUUAUAAUUUUGUGACCCAAAAGCAAAAAGAAAUCACUAAAAAACUAUAAAAUUUAGUUUUAAGUAGAAAUAAAAAAAUAAAAAGAAAAAAAGGAAAAAAAAUGCCACCUACUGGACCUCCUCGGCCUAAAUACGACUAGAAACCCUACAAUGGGCCAGGAUUCAGGCCCGCAGAAGGCCCAAUAGGCCCAACAGGCAUGGCAAAGUAGAGAUUAGGCCCGUAAGCCUGCAAUAGAGAGGAGCUCGAGAGGGUGGCGGCAGCAAAGCUUAUAAACCACCCCGAGCCCCUCUCAACUAGCGAGGUGGGACUAAACAUCCCACCGCACCGUGCCAGCACAAGGCCUAUGGUCCCGGUUCAUGCCACCAACCGGUACCAUAGGCGGGCAUUCGUACCGGUUCGUGGCACCAACCAGUACCAAUGCCCACCUACGGUCCCGGUCCGUGCCACCAACCGGGACCAUGGGCCUCUGUUUCCCGCCCUUGGGGCUGCCGAAAAGAGACCUUUGGACCCUGUUGGUGGCACGAACCGGGACCAUAGGUAGGCAUUGGUACCGGUUGGUGCCAUGAACCGGUACCAUUGGUUUUGCUAUAUAAGGUAGCACUUGUGAAAAUUUCGCCAACUGCUCCCCCAUUCCCCCCGACGCCGCCAGGCCGUUCCUCGUCGUCGUCGCCGUCGCCGCCCCGAGCCCCUGCCCCGACGNNNNNNNNNNNNNNNNNNNNNNNNNNNNNNNNNNNNNNNNNNNNNNNNNNNNNNNNNNNNNNNNNNNNNNNNNNNNNNNNNNNNNNNNNNNNNNNNNNNNNNNNNNNNNNNNNNNNNNNNNNNNNNNNNNNNNNNNNNNNNNNNNNNNNNNNNNNNNNNNNNNNNNNNNNNNNNNNNNNNNNNNNNNNNNNNNNNNNNNNNNNNNNNNNNNNNNNNNNNNNNNNNNNNNNNNNNNNNNNNNNNNNNNNNNNNNNNNNNNNNNNCCCGACGACGUCGCCGCGCCCUUGACCCGCCGUUGACGUCGUCCUCACCGUCGCCGUCGUCGUCACCGCCCCCGAGCCGCUCCUCCCAGAGCCCUCGCUGUGCGCGUACCCCUCCCCCAAGAGCCCACCGUCCUCGUCGCCGUCAUCGUCACCGGCCUCGUCGUCGUCCUCGUCACCGGCCUCGUCGUUGUCCGGCCUUGAGCCCCCAGUGAGCCCCUUCCAAUCCCGAUCCGUGCACUGCCGCAGCUGCCGCCGCCCCCCCGCGCCGCGCCGCCGCCCCUGUUUUUUAUAUGUAUGUAUGUAUGUAUCUAUGUAUAUGGAUGUAUGUAUGUACGGAUGGAUGGAUAUGCAUGUAUAUGGAUGGAUGUAUGUGUAUGUGUUCAUAGUUUUUUUUUGUUCAUAGUUUUUUGUUGAUAGCAUUUUUAGGCUGUAUAGUUUUAUUUUUGUUCAAUUUUUAUGGUUAGAAGAGGAGAGGAAAAAAUUGUGUUGCUAAAGUUACAUUUAAGGUUAGUUGAUUUAGUUCAUUUUAGGUUAUUAGUUCUACUGUUAGUGCAUUUAAGGUUAGUUUAUUUUUAGUUGAACUAGUUGAUUUAAUAAAACUAAUUUAUUUUACUAUACAUAUAAGUAGUUUAUUUUUAGUAAGUACUACUUUAUUUUAUUUAUAGUAAGUGCUUAGUAGUUGAACUAGUUGAUUUAAUAAAACUACUUUAUUUUACUAUAGAAGUAGUUUAGUUUUAGCAAGAAAAUUAAUAGAAUUAGUUUAUUUUUUAGUUCAAGCAAUUAUUCCCGCAUCGACAUCGACGAUGCCUAUCCCGCAUCCUCGUCGUCGACUCGGCGGAGGAGGCCGACUUGAUCAGAGGGGCCAUGUCCGGGACUGGGCUCCGCCGGGCUGGUAUUGGGAGGUGCUACCUUCCGGGGGGCGUAGGUUGGUGAGGAGCCAGCCCGUCGUUGACCCGAUCCUUGUUUGGUGGCGGUCGCGUGGGCCAGUGACUGUAUCGAGGCUUCCGGACACCGCGGAGGUGGUACGUCACCAUGUCAGCGAGGAGGACGAGCACGCCCGUCGCUACAUGGUUGCGUUGGAGGGCAGGUUCGACAAUACCUGGCAGCUUCUUCAGGGAUCUCAUUGGAGCUAUGAUCAUGUGAUGGUUCCUUCUCUUUGGGCAUCCACCGCCCGCGCCGAUACCCGUCGGGCGCUACGGUUCUAGCUGUACUAGCGAUGCUAUAUGUAUGAUAGUAUUCGAGGUGUAUUAGUGAUAAUAUUCGACGAUGUACGGACGCAAGAGAUGAUGUAGUUUUGCUUAUAAUUGAAUGCAUCCUAAUUUGAAUACUACUUUAUUUUGCGAUCUGAUUUUGCUUAUUGAAUGCUCAAAUUGGAAAACUACUCCUACUUUGAAUGCUAAAAUUAGAGAGCACUAUGCAAGGCGUAUGCAUAUGAUUAGUUGAUAGCUUAUAGUGUUUUUGUUUUCGCAAAAAUAUAGGAGCCCCCAACCAUCAUCCCCGCCGUCGUCCCCGUCACUGACCCCCUCCGACGUCGAGGUGAGACCAGCCAAAUCUCCAUGUCAAUAUGAGUCCUAUAAUAUGAGUCCUCGGGUCGACUUUAAGUCUGUCGAGUCUCCACCAUAUAUGAAAGGACGAAGAAUCAUGACUGUUGUCGUGGGGGUAGCUUCUCCUUCGUUCCCGUGAUGAAUAAUAAUGAUCUAACUUAGGUUUUUAGUACAUAUAUUUAAUUGUAGAUGUUUAAUAUUUGAAUUAUGAACAUAGGAAAUGUCGUACUCAGACUACGAAAGUCUCCCGGGGGAGUGCGACUGGUGCCACGACGACCGAGGUUAGUGCGACCGGCCUCACCUGGACGAAGAUCAGCGCUUCAGCAUUAAGCUGGAGGAGACCUUCGAUGUUGAAACGGUACGCAACGACGACAAGUGUUAUUUUUUCGUAAUUAAGCACGACUUCAAGUAUUUCAACGUGUACUUCUUAUCUUUUACAAUUCGACUAGCUUAUCCCAUGCCAUGCAAGACGCUAUGUCUUGGAGAGGAUGGGUUUUGAAGACCAGGAAAGUUUCGAAACAAAGAAAAUUCAUCUAAGGACCCAUCAUGGUGUGGAUUUUGAAGUAAAGCGGUACAAUUCUGAGAGCGUAACCCAUUUUGGUUGCAAAAAAUGAGAAGCACUUUGCAAGAUGUAUGGUUUUGAUGAGGGUAUGCUUGUCACCAUUGAUCUUGGUGACCCUGAAAUCGAGCAAGACAAUAUGGACAUUUGGGUCCUUGUUGAUACGCCUCCAAUUCUACCGCUAUGUGAGUUUCUCAAACAUAGUUAUUAGCUAAUUUAUAUUGUUUAUUUCAAAAUAGUUGACAACUUAUUUCCAUUGACAGCUUAUUUUGAUUGUUCAAACAAUGUGCGGAACAUGGUAGACAAAACCCACUACACCGAUGGCUCCGAAUUAACUUAUCAGGAGAAAAAUCAUCUGGUCUGAUUUUGUACUGAUAUUGAGAAUUACAAUAUCUAGAAUCAAACUCCUCAACAUUAUUGUCAAUACGUGCCACUAGUGCACGUGUUGAACUACAGUAACUACCAUGGAGAUACCCUGGUAAGAUUUUUUACUAUUACGACAUCCGUGCAUCUUUUGCAUACUUCUAAAACUAGUACAUCAUUGCUAACUAUGAAGUUAUUACUAUGUUUUUCAACAGAGAAUCCCAGAGGAUUGUGUGCCUCAUUUGAUGUAGCAGAAUGGCAGCCUUCGUGUUUUGAACAUAUAUCCAAGUCAUCCAACGAAUCUCAACUGUCCAUACCGGAUUUAUCAAUGAAGUGGAGACAUGCUAAUCAAAAAAUGGAAAAAAUGUAUGGACAGUCGUAAGGAGGUUCUUGGAAGCAAAAGGAAGCGAAGCGUAAGAAUUGGAGACAGGAUGAUCUCCAUUCUCCAUAAUGGAGAGUCAGGGUCUAUAUUGUUUUAUGCUAUUUUACCUUAAAGAGGGUAUUUAGGUCCUACCUAAUACUGAUGAUCAUGUGCUAAGAACAAUUAAGUAGGGCUGGUUCGAUGACUAUGAGGAUGAUGAUCGUAUGACUUGUUAUUAAUAACGAGUAGAAGUUGUAUGAUGAUGAUUAGUAGGACUUGUUAUUAUAUAAGAUGAUGCAUGAUGCGAGCAUGAAGAGUUAUUAUAUAUCAGCGGGUGAAAUGAACAUGGAUUGGAUUGAAGUGAAGGCAACAUGCAUGUGGUGCAUGUCGAAAGUACUACAAUCCAAACUUGAUCAAAGUUAGGAUUAGUAUUACUUUCGACAUGCACCACAUGUUGCCUUCACUUCAAUCUAAGCCAUGUUUAGGCAUAGCAGUAGCGUUGGUAAACCAAGCACGGAGAUAUAAGAGAGGACACUUCUCUCUAUUAUAUUAGCUAGCUAAUAACAACCUAAAUUAACCCCCAAAACCCCUAAAUCAGCCCCUUUAAAAAAACAAAAAGCUCAACUCCAGCCAGCUGCUGACGCGUGGAUGCCUUUUGGUCCCGGUUGGUGUCACCAACCGGGACCAAAGGCCCCCCUGCCUGGGCUGGCCGUAGUGGCCACGUGGAGGCCCAUCUGUCUCGGUUCGUGUAAGAGCCGAGACUAAAGGCCAAGGGCAUUAGUAACGACCUUUUAGUCCCGGUUCCUAAACCGGGACAGAAGGCUCUUACGAACCGGGACAAAUGGCCCUUUUUCUACUAGUGCCGCUCUAAACGCGGCCGCUCGAACUGUUGAGCUUGACUCGAGUCAGAAUCGAGAGCGUUGCCGAUUGCGGAAGGCUAUGUUGCCGUUCUCGACGCGGCCGCUUGAGCUAUUGAGCGGACUCGAAACAGAGUAAGGGCGUUGCCAAUAGCGGAAGGGCCCCUUUGCGUGCAUGUUUUCCAUACAUAGGGCAGGACCUUCGAGUACAAUAACCUUCUAUAUAAAAAGAUAUUGCUUAAAGUUUCACACGACUUAGCUUUUCUGUCAUUGCACGGGCGUCCACCGCAUCUGCAGAUGGUGCCGUCAAGCUUGGUCGUCUUCUAUCUUGGAACGACGGCCACGAUGAAGCCGCUGCUCCGAUCAGACCAAAUUUCCACAACUGCGCCCCCUACCUAGCGCGCCAAAGAUGUCGGGGGAAAUCGACACCUAUGGAAUCACAGGGAUCCCUUCUACGGUUGGCGGGCGCGGGGUUGUGCAAAGAGCAGGUCUGACAGGAAGCACGCAGAUCGUUUACCCAGGUUCGGGCCGCGGAGAUGCGUAAUACCCUAGUCCUGCUAUGGUGGAUGUAUUCGAGUGUUCUUGUGUUCUUGAACUAGCUACGGGGUGUAACUUGCCCAGAAGAUCCGAAUCCCUGUCCUGGAUGCCUCGGGCCUCCUUUUAUAGACAAAAGGGGUUGCCACACUGGCACACAGGAGGUGGAAAGGUGUACAGUGGAUGAGUCUAUCCUCUGGCACCGUUGGACGAACACAUUUAAUGCGCUGCCAACGUGACCCUCUCGCUUUAUCGGGGACGGUCAAGGAAGCUCGUCCCAGCUGUCGCCGCCUCGCCUGGCUUCGACACGCGUCCGAGCUGACGAGGCGUCGUGGCGCCACAUUGGCUGGCUGCUGGGCUGGCGCGGUGGUGGAGCCUUCACGAAGGUCUGCAUGCCACCACGCAGGUGCUUGCUGUGUCGGUGUAGAGGCCGCUCGUCGCCACGCAGGUGCCUGCCCAGCUGGUUGGGCUAGCAGCUGCACGGGGACGGCGGUGGAGUCUUGGCAGGCGCGGGCCUGGCUGUGGCCCCGCUGAUGCCCUUGGCAAGGGUCUUGCCGGGGGCCCGGCAAGGGUCUUGCCGUGGUGCCGCGGUCGUCCCCGGCAAGGCGCUUGCCGGGGGUCUCGUGGAUUUCCUCGGCAAGGACCUCGCCGAGGAUCAUCGUCUUCUGGUCCUCAUCUGAUCUUGUGUAUUUAUGAUCUUCACAAAGAUCAGCAUGCCACCACGGAGGUGCCUCCCGAGCCUUGGUCCCAAUGUGGUUGAUGGCGUUGGAACCCUUGGGCUCAAUGGAGGCGCGCUUCGUUGGCGUCAGGCAAGUUGCCCCGGCAAGGCUCUCGCCGGGGCUGAGGAGGCCGUCCCGGCAAGGGUCUUGCCGGGGGAGUCCACCUCGCCCUCUUGCCCUUUGUGUCUCUGGUCUUGGCAUUGCCAUGGCUGUCUUGUGCUCCGGCUUCCCUCCUCUGCCCUGCUAAGUGUGGCCGUGGGCGCGGCUCUGACUACCAGUGCACAAGUAAAGGGGUCAAAAGGAGAGCCCCUAGUUUUAUACACCGACAUGUAUCCUCCCAGAAUCUCGUAGAAGUACCGUUACUGAUCACAAGCUUUGUCUGAUUGAAAAAAAUGGAUUUAACUCUCAUCAGUCCUUUCCAAAAGGGCUAGUCCAUUGGCCUCACUGUGACCUGGGAUAAAGUUCUGGAAUGAAGGUACUUAUUACGCAGUAUUUGUGCCCAUGUAGCCCCCGUCUCGCUAGAUAGCUUAUACAGCCAUUUGCUGAGAAGACAUAUGUUCUUCACCUUAAGAUUUUUGAUACCUAGACCCCCUUGGUCUUUGGGUCGACAAAUAAUAUCCCAUUUAGCGAGUAUACUUUCUCUUCAGAUCAUCACUUUGCCAGAAGAAACGGGAUCGAUAGAAAUCUAGUCUUUUCCGAACUCCAACUGGUACCUCGAAAAAAGACAAGAGAAACAUGGGCAUGCUCGUGAGAACCGAAUUAAUAAGAAUUAAACGGCCUCCAUAUGACAUGAGUUUGCCAUUCCAGCAACUGAGUUUCUUCUCAAAUCGAUCCUCAGUGCACUUCCAUUCUCUCUUUGUUAGCUUACGAUGGUGAAUUGGUAUGCCCAAUUAAGUGAAAGGCAAAGCCCCCAAUUCGCAUCCGAACAAUUGCUUAUAUGCCUCUUGUUCCUCAUUGGCUCUUCCAAAAUUGUAUAAUUCGCUCUUGUGGAAAUUAAUUUUUAGUCCGGUCAAUUGUUCGAAUAAGCAUAACACCAGCUUCAUAUUUCUCGUUUUUGCCAAGUCAUGGUCCAUGAAGAUGAUAGUAUCAUCGGCGUACUGUAGGACAGACACACCUCCAUCCACUAGAUGAGGUACCACAGGAGAGCACCUGCGAUAAUUAUAUCAUGCCACACGAGUACAAAGGAUGAAGCAUCUUAGACGUUUGGAAUAGAUUUGGGCAUCACAUACGAUUUAUUUUUCCAAAAAGGUAUGCAUGAUUGGGCUCUAUCUGUAGGAGAUAUGCCCUAGAGGCAGUAAUAACAGUUAUUUUGUAUCUCCAAGUUUGUAAUGAAUGUUUAUGAUCCAUGCUAUAACUGCAAUGAUUCUCGAGUCUACAAUAUCCACGAGGCUCGGAGGGAACUCAUAUGCACGUGUGGUAUUAUAAACGGUAAAAUAUAUUCCUAGUCUUGCCUCUAAGACUAGCUCAAGUAUUGCAUGAUGAUCCUGUUUCCUGAUCAUGGGCAUGACUAUGCCGGCAAUUUUGAGGGCACAAGUUUGGUAGAACGCUUGUGUUGAAUCAACCCGGAUUGAUGUUGUGCUAUGAGAUGCCUUCGUCACAAGUUUAUGGUUAAUAUCAUUGAGAUAGUUAAUGUUUGCAUAAUUCCUUAGACCAUGAGAGUAUCAAGUUCCUUCGUGCUUGCUUCGUGAACUUUGGGGUUUGUUAAACGUCAUCCGUAACUUGGUGGCUAUUAUGGCAGCUUUCGGGUUCACGGAAAAGUAUAGGAAGUAACAAGAUAGCUCAAGAUUGGGAUUUGCUCCUCCGACGAUGGAGAGAUAUACUCGGGCCCUCUCAGUGUAACGGUAUCCAUCAUCGUCUGGCCAGACACAUUGUGAUUUGAUCACUGGGAUGCCGGAACACGGAAACGAGAAAAGAGAACAAAACCGGUAACGAGGUAACUUGCAUGGUGGACAAAUUGUUCGUCCAUGGGCAUGCAAUAAAUCUCACCUCGGGUGUUUGUGACAUAUCGCGAAGCAACAGGAAUAGCUCACUACAACUAGAGGUUCACUCGAAUAUUCAUUCGUGUGGGUAUAGGGGUCAAUAUGGGUGUCCACGGCUCCGAUGUUGAUCAUUGAUCGGAAGGGGUUCCAGGUCAUGUCUAUACUUCACCGAACCUAUAGGGUCACACGCUUAGGGGUCAUCUAUCUGUUGAAUACUAGACAGGGAGUCUGAGAGAAAAUCACCGAAAAAGUUUCGGACACCGAAAAGUUUCGGACAGCGGAAUCGUACCGCAGAGAGAGGUCAUCGGAUAAGUUUCGAUGAUACCGAAAAGUUGUUUCGGGAUACACCAUUAAGUCAAAUUGGUUUCGGCACAUGCCUGAUAAUUCUUGGAGGAUGCCAGAAUCAUUCUGGAAGCUUUUUGGAAUUUUCUGACAUAAAAACCGGAAAUGUUCCGGAGCUGCCGGAGCCACUUCAGAUGCGUUUCGCAGAUGAAAAUCACUAAAACCGGAAUUGUUUCGGAACGCGUUGAAAAACAUUUUAGUGGGUACUGGAAAUGUUCUUAGCCCACAUAAAUAUUUUCAGUUCGAUCAGACGCUGAAAAAUGUCGUCGUGAAUAGUGAAAAUCAGCUUUAUGGUUACUUUAUGGAAAGCCACCUUUUGGGGCUUUGCUCCAAAAGAUCUUGGGGAUGACAUGGAUGGAUAGGACCCAUUUUUUGGGCCCCUCAUGGGGGUGUGGCCGGCCACAUGGGGUAUCCCCCCUUGGGGACCCUUUUGUUCAUUGGUUUCACUUCUAGGUCCUUGUGGAAGGACUUCAUUCAUGUGCAUUUUGGGUUUUUGUGUGAAACUACCCUACCCCUUGGGAUUUCCUAUAAAUAGAGGUGGAGGGGCAGCCCUCCACACUCAUCCCUUGCUCUCAUACACAUGCCAUGCAUUAUCUGGCUUCUUCUCUCCCUCCCACGAAAAGAGUUUCGUAGAGCCGUAAGGCUGUCUGGGUUCCGGCAGGAACUAGUUCUGGACGGCGAAGCCCUGCCGGAUAGCUGACACCGUAUGUGUGCAACCCCGUAGAGAGAUUGUAGUUUCGAUCUUUUGCCCGAGGGGCUGUUCGAGUGUCCUCCCGAAGGGCUGUCCGAGUCUCCGUCCGAGUUUCGAGGGUCCUCCCGAAGGGCUGUCCGCGACAUUGUCCGGGGGACUGUCCGACCGCCUCCCGAAGGGCUGUCCGGAGAGGGAGUACAUCCUCGCGGUUGGGAGGUUGUAAAUCCUAGCUGCGGGGAUCUGCACCGACGAUCUACACCGACUCUUCUUCCGCUGCGCUUCGAGUCGGUACGGAUCAGAUCAAACCUUGUAUGCAGUCUCCAUAGUGGUCCUGGGCGUGCUCGCUAUACCGAAAAUUUUCGUUUUCUGUCGCGUUCCCCUACAGUGGCAUCAAGAGCCGUGCUAUGCGUAGAUGCAGGUUACGAUCUAGAAUACAUGGAGAUGUAUGGGUAUUGCAUAAUAUAAUUUUGGAGUAGAUGAGAUGUAUUGCUGAAAAUUAUUUAUGCGGGUGACAGAUGAAAUCUGUUACCCGACGUUCUUGUUGCUUCCCUAGAAUUUGCGUUUGCUCAAUCUCGAGACAGGAUGGUGGAAUUUGACAAAGUUCUGGCAAUCCGUGAUCCUGAUUGAUCAUGGAAGUGCUAUCAGUUCUUUGGGUUCUGCCAUAGUCAAAAGAAAGAUGAAAUUCGCAGAUGAAAGGGCAUUGCAGAUAUGAUCUGCACGGGGGUCAUGCGUAUGACGAAGUUUAGUAUGGGGCUCGAGAUUUAAUUAUCUCGUGUUUCAUACACCCCGAGAUGUUAAUCUAGCAACUUGAAUAAUCAUACUUGAUGAUAAAACGUUGGUAGCUGCGGUUUAAGUCAAAACCUUAGAAGCCACGUAAAAUAAAAUUUUGCAUAAACCGAUUAGAGGCGUCUAACUUGGUUUUGCAGGAUGUGCAUGUGAUGUGGUAUAGCAAUGCUCAUAUUCAAUUUGAUUAUGUAUGAGAUGACUAUAUGAUGUAACUAACAUGACCUGCGUGUCAUGAUUCUGCAUGAUGGCUGGAGCCAUAUGAUUGCACUUUAAUGACCUGCGUGUCAACCUUAAGUAAUGCACUUAUUUUAUUAGCUAUAGAGAUAGCAAUAUUAUCUGGUGCAUCGACAAGGUGGUGGCAAUCUUCGCGAAGGUGAACACCGACGCAAAUGCCGAAGACGAAGAAUUGAAAGACUUCUCCGUCAGAAAGGGCUAUACCAUAUCAUGCUAAUUAUGAAUUGCCUGAGAUGUUUAUCCCCUAUGAUGCACCCUUCUUGAUUGCGCGGUAGUCGCUUUUAUUAGGGUGAUCUCUCACUUAAAAAUAUCAAGUAGAUAGUGUUCUCCCAAGUGUAGCACCGUCACGGCACCUAUCGUUUCGGGGUGCGCCGUGUCACACGGGUACGAACGAUUAGAGAAGUGUGAGGCGGGUGAGUUGAGACCUCGCAGCGAGAUCACUUGGUUGUCUUGACGUUCAGGCAUGACCGUCAUGAGCUCGGAACACACGCAUCGAAAGAUGAACAAGAGUCACAUAGUGAUGUGAUUGGCAAGUUGGCCUACCGGUUAAGAUUUUCGUCAUCAGUGGUGUUACACCAAUGGCGAACAAUCAAGACACGGAUCUUGAAUCACUCAUAAUCAAUUUUGAGAGAUAUUGAUUUGAGUGGGAGUGCAUUUUAGAAUAAAAUGUUUAUUCACUAGUGCAAAUUUCAUUAUAAACAAAGUCUAAGUGAAACUUGUGUCUUCGUUGUAGAUCAAAUGGCUCGCAACACCGCGUUCAACUUAGGCCCGAUGUUAGAGAAAGAGAAGUUAGCUACGACUGGAAACAACUAUGCGGACUGGGCCCGUAACCUGAGGAUUGUCCUCAGGAGCGCUAAGAAAUUGUACGUGCUUGAAACUGCUCUUCCAGCUAAACCGGCGGCAGAUGCACCGGUAGAUGAACAAAAUGUCUGGGCCACUAAGGAUGAUGAUCACAACUUAGUGCAGUGCCUCAUGCUAGCUUGCAUGAGUCCAGGGCUUCAAAAACGUUUUGAAUUCCAUAAAGCCCGUGAUAUGAUCCGGGAAUUGGAUGCUCUGUACAAGGAAACCGCAAAGUCUGAACGAUAUGAUAUCAUGAAGGCUUGGAUGGAUUGCAAGAUGGCUGAGGGUAGUUCAGUUGGCGAACACGUGGUCAAAAUGAUUGGCUAUUCUGAAAGGCUUAAAGCCCUAGAAUUUCCACUUCCACCUGGCCAUAUGAUGGACAUGUUGCUUUCUUCACUCCCCCCGUCUUACGACGGUUUUGUCAUGAACUACAACAUGACAGGGAUGGAGAAGACGCCGAAAGAAGUGCUCGCCAUGCUGAAAACUACAGAAGGAGGACUGCGGAAAAAUCGCAAGUAAGUGUUGCUUGUGAAUAAAACCGCCUGUUUCAAAAAGAAGAAAGGCAAGCCAAAGAAGGGCAAGGGCACCGGUAAGACCGGCUCCCAAAGCAACUCUAAGGGCGGAGCCAAGAAUGAAACUGAGUGCUUCUACUGCAAGGGCACAGGACACUGGAAGAGAAACUGCAAGAAGUAUCUGGAAGAUAAGAAGACCGGGAAAACCGGAAAAGGUAUAAUUGUUAUACAAGUUAAUGUCAUUGACGUUUUGCUUGCUAGCGAAAACUCUAAGUCUUGGGUAUUUGAUACCGGAUCGGUUGCUCACAUUUGCAACUCGAUACAGGGACUUCAGAAGGUGCGCAAGCUAGCAAAGAAUGAAGUCGUGAUGCGCGUCGGGAACGGCGCUGGGAUCGCCGCUCAAGCCGUCGGCAUUAUGCCUCUACGUCUCCCUUCAGGAUUUAUCUUAGAACUAAGUAACUGUUAUUUUGUUCCACUGUUGUGUAGAAACAUUAUCUCCGGAUCAUGUUUGGUACACGAUGGGUAUUCGUACAAGUCUGAGAACAAUGGUUGUUCACUUUAUUGUAAGGAUAUGUUUUAUGGAUUUGCACCCAUUGUUGGGGGCCUUUUCAUACUAAAUCUUGAAUGUGGAAGUGAUGUCUUUAACAUGAAUGCUAAACGCCUUAAGAAGGCUGAUACCACCACCACUUUCAUGUGGCACUGUCGCCUUGGCCACAUCGGUAAGAAACGCAUGCAAAGACUCCAUAAAGAUGGAGUUUUACCGUCCCUUGAUUUUGAAUCAUUUGACACAUGUGAAGCUUGCCUGAUGGGGAAAAUGACCAAGACGCCGUUCACGGGUCAUCCUGAACGGGCGGGUGAAUUAUUGGAAAUAAUACAUAGUGAUGUAUGUGGUCCAAUGAACACAGGCGCACGGGGUGGAUAUUUUUACUUCGUGACUUUUACUGAUGAUUUGAGUAGGUAUGGCUAUAUCUACUUAAUGAAGCAUAAAUCGGAAACCUUUGAAAAGUUCAAAGAAUUUCAGAAUGAGGUAGAAAAUCAUCGUAACAAAAAGAUUAAGUUUCUGCGGUCUGAUCGCGGAGGCGAAUAUCUUAGUCAUGAGUUUGGCCAACAUCUGAGUGAUCGUGGAAUCGUUUCACAGCUUACGCCUCCCGGAACUCCACAGAGAAAUGGAGUAUCGGAACGACGUAACCGAACCUUGUUGGACAUGGUAAGGUCAAUGAUGUCUCUUACAAAUCUUCCAAUAUCUUUUUGGGGUCACGCACUACUUACUGCUGCUCACACACUAAACAAAGCACCGUCUAAAUCUGUUGAGACGACGCCACAUGAGAUGUGGCACGGGAAGAAACCCGACCUGUCGUUUUUCAAAAUUUGGGGUUGUGAAGCUUAUGUAAAACGUUUACAGCCAAGCAAGCUUGAUCCCAGAUCAGACAAAUGUUACUUUGUAGGUUAUCCCAAGGAGACAGUUGGGUAUUCUUUCUACCACGCCUCCGAGAAUAAAGUGUUUGUUGCAAAACAUGGAGUCUUUCUUGAGAAAGAGUUUCUCACUAAAGAAGUGAGUGGGAGGACAAUACAACUCAAUGAGAUUAGUGAAUCUUCGGGAACCGUUGAUAUGGCUAAGGAACCGGAAGAAAUUCCGCUAAUUAUCCCUACAACCGAGCCGGAAGUUGUCGCAUGUGAUGCGGAGACUUCAGACAAUGUUGUAACUGAACCGCGCAGAUCAGGUAGGGCUAUCCAGCCACCUGAGUGGUUUCAUAACGAAAUCUUCAUUCUUGAAGACGAUGAACCUGCGCACUACAAGGAAGCGAUGGCGGGGCCCAGCUCAAAAGAAUGGCACAAAGCCAUGAGAUCCGAAAUGGAAUCCAUGUACGAAAACCAAGUUUGGAACUUGGAAGAACUUCCAGAAGGCAUAAAGCCCAUUGGUUGUAAAAUGGAUUUUCAAAAGAAAGACGGACGCGGAUGGUAACAUUACUAUCCACAAAGCUAGACUUGUCGCGAAAGGGUUCACACAAGUUCCAGGAGUGGACUACGACGAGACUUUCUCGCCAGUAGCUAUGCUUAGGUCUGUUCGGAUAUUGCUAGCAAUUGCUGCUUAUUUCGACUAUGAAAUAUGGCAGAUGGAUGUCAAAACGGCUUUCCUAAAUGGAAACCUCAAAGAGGAUGUAUACAUGAUACAGCCAGAAGGUUUUGUCAUUCAUGAGGAUGCUGGAAAGGUAUGCAAACUUCAGAAAGCCAUUUAUGGUCUGAAGCAAGCAUCAAGGAGCUGGAACAUUCGUUUUGAUGAAGUGGUCAAAGAGUUUGGCUUCAUCAUGAAUGAUGAAGAAUCUUGUGUUUACAAGAAGUUUAGUGGGAGCGCAAAAGCAUUUCUAAUCUUGUAUGUGGAUGACAUAUUGUUGAUUGGAAAUGACGUGAAUUUUCUUAGCGAAAUAAAAGACUCAUUGAAGAAAAGUUUUUCAAUGAAAGACUUAGGCGAAGCGGCAUAUGUAUUAGGCAUCAGGAUCUAUAGAGAUAGAUCAAAACGCCUGAUAGCGCUUAGCCAAAGCACGUACAUUGACAAGGUGUUGAAAAGGUUCAACAUGGAGAACUCCAAGAAAGGCCUACUCCCCAUGUCACCUGGCACAGUGCUUUGCAAGAAUCAGAGUCCUCGGACUCUGGAUGAGCGAGUACAAAUGAAUGAUGUUCCAUAUGCCUCGGCAGUUGGUUCUAUUAUGUAUGCCAUGCUAUGUACAAGACCAGAUGUUUCCUAUGCGCUAAGUGUUAGCAGCCGGUACCAAAGUGAUCCAGGGUUGGAACACUGGGCCGCAGUCAAGGGUAUUCUUAAGUACCUCAGAAGGACCAAGGAUUUACUCCUUGUGUACGGAGGUGAUGAAGAGCUCAUUGUAAGUGGUUACAAUGAUGCAGGCUUCAUGACUGACCCAGAUGACUUCAAAUCUCAAUCAGGCUACGUUUUCAUAUUGAACGGCGGCGCAGUUGAUUGGAAAAGUUCCAAACAAAAGACUGUGGCGGAUUCUACGACGGAGGCGGAAUAUGUUGCUGCUUCAGAAGCCUCCAAGGAGGCGGUAUGGAUCAAACAAUUUCUUGAAGACCUUGGUGUGGUUCGUAGUGCCCAGGACCCGGUGGAGAUCUAUUGUGAUAAUAGUGGCGCCGUGGCUCAGGCAAGGGAGCCAAGUUCGAACCAUAAGACAAGACAUAUUCAACGCAAAUAUAAACUCAUUCGACAUCAUGUCGAAGAGGGUUUAGUGAAAGUACGCAAAGUUCACACGGAUCUGAACGUGUCAGACCCGAUGACAAAGCCUCUACCACGAGCAAAACAUGAGCAACACCGGAUAGCCAUUGGUGUUAGGGAAGCCAUGUAACUGGAUUAUGACUCUAGUGCAAGUGGGAGUCUGUAGGAGAUAUGCCCUAGAGGCAGUAAUAACAGUUAUUUUGUAUCUCCAAGUUUGUAAUGAACGUUUAUGAUCCAUGCUAUAACUGCAAUGAUUCUCGAGUCUACAAUAUCCACGAGGCUCGGAGGGAACUCAUAUGCACGUGUGGUAUUAUAAACGGUAAAAUAUAUUCCUAGUCUUGCCUCUAAGACUAGCUCAAGUAUUGCAUGAUGAUCCUGUUUCCUGAUUAUGGGCAUGACUAUGCCGGCAAUUUUGAGGGCACAAGUUUGGUAGAACGCUUGUGUUGAAUCAACCCGGAUUGAUGUUGUGCUAUGAGAUACCUUCGUCACAAGUUUAUGGUUAAUAUCAUUGAGAUAGUUAAUGUUUGCAUAAUUCCUUAGACCAUGAGAGUAUCAAGUUCCUUCGUGCUUGCUUCGUGAACUUUGGGGUUUGUUAAACGUCAUCCGUAACUGGGUGGCUAUUACGGCAGCUUUCGGGUUCACGGAAAAGUAUAGGAAGUAACAAGAUAGCUCAAGAUUGGGAUUUGCUCCUCCGACGAUGGAGAGAUAUACUCGGGCCCUCUCGGUGUAACGGUAUCCAUCAUCGUCUGGCCAGACACAUUGUGAUUUGAUCACUAGGAUGCCGGAACACGGAAACGAGAAAAGAGAACAAAACCGGUAACGAGGUAACUUGCAUGGUGGACAAAUUGUUCGUCCAUGGGCAUGCAAUAAAUCUCACCUCGGGUGUUUGUGACAUAUCGCGAAGCAACAGGAAUAGCUCACUGCAACUGGAGGUUCACUCGAAUAUUCAUUCGUGUGGGUAUAGGGGUCAAUAUGGGUGUCCACGGCUCCGAUGUUGAUAAUUGAUCGGAAGGGGUUCCAGGUCAUGUCUAUACUUCACCGAACCUAUAGGGUCACACGCUUAGGGGUCAUCUAUCUGUUGAAUACUAGACAGGGAGUCUGAGAGAAAAUCACCGAAAAAGUUUCGGACACCGAAAAGUUUCGGACAGCGGAAUCGUACCGCAGAGAGAGGUCAUCGGAUAAGUUUCGAUGAUACCGAAAAGUUGUUUCGGGAUACACCAUUAAGUCAAAUUGGUUUCGGCACAUGCCUGAUAAUUCUUGGAGGAUGCCAGAAUCAUUCUGGAAGCUUUUUGGAAUUUUCUGACAUAAAAACCGGAAAUGUUCCGGAGCUGCCGGAGCCACUUCAGAUGCGUUUCGCAGAUGAAAAUCACUAAAACCGGAAUUGUUUCGGAACGCGUUGAAAAACAUUUUAGUGGGUACUGGAAAUGUUCUUAGCCCACAUAAAUAUUUUCAGUUCGAUCAGACGCUGAAAAAUGUCGUCGUGAAUAGUGAAAAUCAGCUUUAUGGUUACUUUAUGGAAAGCCACCUUUUGGGGCUUUGCUCCAAAAGAUCUUGGGGAUGACAUGGAUGGAUAGGACCCAUUUUUUGGGCCCCUCAUGGGGGUGUGGCCGGCCACAUGGGGUAUCCCCCCUUGGGGACCCUUUUGUUCAUUGGUUUCACUUCUAGGUCCUUGUGGAAGGACUUCAUUCAUGUGCAUUUUGGGUUUUUGUGUGAAACUACCCUACCCCUUGGGAUUUCCUAUAAAUAGAGGUGGAGGGGCAGCCCUCCACACUCAUCCCUUGCUCUCAUACACAUGCCAUGCAUUAUCUGGCUUCUUCUCUCCCUCCCACGAAAAGAGUUUUGUAGAGCCGUAAGGCUGUCUGGGUUCCGGCAGGAACUAGUUCUGGACGGCGAAGCCCUGCCGGAUAGCUGAAACCGUAUGUGUGCAACCCCGUAGAGAGAUUGUAGUUUCGACCUUUUGCCCGAGGGGCUGUUCGAGUGUCCUCCCGAAGGGCUGUCCGAGUCUCCGUCCGAGUUUCGAGGGUCCUCCCGAAGGGCUGUCCGCGACAUUGUCCGGGGGACUGUCCGACCGCCUCCCGAAGGGCUGUCCGGAGAGGGAGUACAUCCUCGCGGUUGGGAGGUUGUAAAUCCUAGCUGCGGGGAUCUGCACCGACGAUCUACACCGAUUCUUCUUCCGCUGCGCUUCGAGUCGGUACGGAUCAGAUCAAACCUUGUAUGCAGUCUCCAUAGUGGUCCUGGGCGUGCUCGCUAUACCGAAAAUUUUCGUUUUCUGUCGCGUUCCCCUACACUAUCGCAGCCGGUUAACUUGCGUUGUGUGUGAUGGACACCCUUUUCGCACACCUUCACACAGCGAUGCAUCAAAGGUACGUGAGCAAAAGGGGUUUUUAACCGUUUGUGUUGGACUUGCGUGCACUAGUGUGACAUGCGUUACUUAACCUAGCUUUUGUUUAGUUUAGUUAAAUUUCAAGUAGUUUUUUAUGUAACUUGUUAAAUUUUAUCAUAUAUGCAUAUAUGUAAUAUAUCGUACUAGGUUUAUUUUCAUUCGUAAUUCAUUUGAAAUGUGUUCCGAACCGGGGGGUGGUAGUUAAAUGCAGAAAAAACACCACAAUAGCCAUCUCAUUAGCAAAAACAACCACUUUACAAUUUGUGGCAAAAAGGACGACACGCAACAACGGACAGUGGCAAAAGAGCCGGUCGGGACCGGCUCUUUCAAAAUGUGGGGUCCCACUCACCCACUCACUCUCUCACUCACCAGCUCUCGCUCACACUCGACGCCGGUGCCGCUCCUGCUUGACGCUGCCACACAAUGCAUUCAUGGAAUGACGAAGAGGAGAGCAGCAAGGAUGCCCUCAAGUACAGCAGCAUGGAUAUGGAUUUGUGGGUAAGUUUCAGCGCUCAAUAACUAGACGUUUGGAUUAGGGUUAGUGUUUGGAUUUGGGGAUUUAGGGUUUGUGCUCGUUUCCAGCCUUAUUGAAAGGAUUUGUUAGUUAAUUUAGAUAUUGUCAAUGCAGGAGAACCCUGAGACCAUUGUGAAUUCAUUUUACUAUGGGACAGUGGCAUUUUCGGCCAUCAAAUCCAAGCUUUACCAGGCAAGAGCCAAAAAAUCUGUUGGUUUUGGUGACAGACACUAGGAGGAAACUUUAUGGCUGCACUGCACAAGUACUCCCUCCGUCCUAUAUUAAUUGAGCUAAAAUGGAUGUAUCUAGUACAUAUGGAUACUUUCAUUUCAACAACAAUUAAUAUGGGACGGGGCAGUAAUUUUAACUUGCCUUGCUGUUUCACCACUUUGCUCUGUAGCUGUUUGAUUUCGCUGUGUAGUUAUCUAUGUAGUGACGAGUCAUCUGAACUUAGUUGUAUCUUGUUCAUUUUGACUGGAUUAAACUUAGUCUUGCUGCUAUUAAAGGUUAGUCUGUAAUUUAGUAAAUCGAAAUUUAACUGAAUUUUGUUGUUCAAGUUCAGUAUGUAGUUUAGUGAAUCAGAAUUUAACGGAAUAUUGUUUUUCAAGUCCAGUCUGUAGCUUGCUGAAUAUGUAUUGUACUGAUUGUUGUUACUCAAGUUCAGUAUGUAGUUAAGUCAAUCUAAAUUGUAGUGUCAUCAUGUAGUAAAAUAGGUAGUAUAUGUGAAAGAAAUAGGCUUGAUUUAUUGUUGUGUAGUUUUGGAAACAAUAAAUUUUGAGAUACUUUUGUCUGUCUGAACAAUAUGUCACUAGUAGAAAACAGGGCUUUGGUUCGGCUAGAAAAGAGCAUUAAUCCCGGUUGCAUUACGAACCGGGACUAAUGUGAGCAUUAGUCCCGGUUCGAGUGGCUAGGGCACCGUACAAGCAUUAGUCCCGGUUCAAAUGGGACCUUUAGUCCCGGUUGGUGCCACGAACCGGGACUAAAGGGUGCGAUGCCCAUUAGUACCGGUUCGUGGCACCAACCGGUACUAAAGGUUAGACCUUUAGUCCCGGUUCGAGCCACCAACCGGUACUAAUGGGGUUUGAGGCAUUAGUACCUGUUCAUGGCACGAACCGGUACUAAAGGUCCCAUUGUCAAACUCUACCCCCACCCUGGAUCGCCUUUUCAGUUUUGUAAAAAGCAAAGAAAAUGAUAAAAACUUCAAAAAUUAAAAUCCUUCCAGAUGUAUAGUUAUGUUACUACAUGUACUAGUUAGGAAAAUUUAAAAACUUAAAUUUGGACAUGUUUUGCAAAAAGUGUAGGAAAAAUGUAAAACGGCUAUAACUUUUGCAUACGAUGUUAGAAAAAAAGUAUAAUAUAUCAAAAUGUUCAGCACGAAAAUCCGAAUCCGAUUUUGACCGCAUAUGACCCGUUUGCAAAUGUUUAGAAUCCUCAAAUUCUAAAAGGAAAAAAAGUUAUGCUCAAAUUUCUGUUUUUUUUAAUUUUUGUUAAAUCUGGUCAAACUACUUAUUCAAGAAGUAUUAAUGUUACUAAAUAAAUAUUCAAGAAUAUUAGUGUUACUAAAUAAUUAUUUCAGUUUUUUUGAAUUUUCGUCAAAUCUGGUCAAACUAUGGUCAAACUAAUUAUUCAAGAAAUAUUAGUGUUACUAAAUAAUUAUUUCGGUUGUUUUGAAUUUUGGUCAAAUCUGGUCAAACUGUGGUCAAACUGUGGUCGAACUAUGGUCAAACUACUUAUUCAAGAAAUAUUAGUGUUACUAAAUAAUUAUUGUUUUUUAGAACAAUAGUUUCAAACUCAAACAGUGAAAUGUGUGACUUCAUGCUCAAGCUAAGUUCCUGGGGGUUAAUAGGAUUGACAUCUUACUAUUGUCAGGAAAACAACAAGUGCAGACUUGGAAACGAGGGAGAAUAGAACCCGGAAGUUAAGCGUGCUCAGGCUGGAGUAGUGAGAGGAUGGGUGACCGUCCGGGAAGUUAGAUGAUUUGGAAUGAUGAGGGGUGAUUAGGGGUGACAAGUUUUUGAUUACUUGUCCGGUAAGUAUACGAAUUAGAAACCGAGUCGGUUUGGGAUUGUGGUCGCGACACAAUACCGCCUCUGGUCCUAAUAUAUAUACAGCUACCGGCUGCGGCCAGAGACACACCGAAAAACACCUAGGGUUUUGCCUCAUCUCACAACCUGCGCCGCCAUUGUAGUCUACUCCAUCCCAAACGCCGGCGUGCAUCGACGCGUGGGAGAGCAGGUCUCCGGAACCGUUCGUCUUUGCGAUCCUGCACCGGGAGAGGACGAAUUAGGUUUAUGGGAAGCGUUGUGCGCGACUGCUCAAAUUCGUCAUCACGGGUCGUCUUCCGUCCAAGUCGGGCGGUGCUACUCAUCGUCGUAUUCAUCGCCGUCAGCAGCAGAUCGUCACCAACAUCGUCAUCAACACUGUCACACCCUUAAUAGCUAACGAUCAGUACGUCCGACAUCCUCUGUUCAUGUCUGCUUCUACAGCUAUUGUUACGUGUUUGCUGCUGUUAUGCAUGUCUUGCUGUUCUUCUAGUUUGCUAGAUUAUUGCAUGCUAGUAUCUCUUCUAGUCAUGAAUUAUUUACUGGAAUCAAUCAUGAACUUGCCUAAUAUUCCAACAAUCCAAAAACCUAAUUAUAGGCAAUUUCCUGAGUUAACUAUGGCUGGAUUCGCUGAUGCACUGAGGCCGGAUAAGUUUACCGGUGUGCACUUUAAGAGGUGGCAGUUGAAGACCACGCUCUGGCUUACUGGUCUGAAAGUUUUCCACGCUAGUGUUGGUGCUCCAGAGGGAAUGACCGACGAAGAUCGGAGAAAAUUCCAGGAAGCCAAUACUAUGUUUGUGGGAUGCAUUCUGAGUGUUCUUGCUGACUGUCUGUGUGAUGUGUACAUGCACAUAAAUGACGGAAAGAUUCUGUGGGAUGCACUGAAUGCAAAAUUCGGUGCAACAGAUGCAGGCAGUGAACUGUACAUCAUGGAGAGUUUUCAUGACUACAAGAUGGUGAAUAACCGUUCUGUGGUUGAACAAGCUCAUGAGAUACAGUGCAUUGUGAAGGAACUUGAACUCCUUAAAUGUGUUCUACCUGACAAAUUCGUGGCUGGGCGCAUGAUUGCAAAGUUGCCUCCUUCAUGGAGGAAUUUCGCCACAACUCUGAAGCAUAAGAGACAGGAGAUAUCAGUUGAAAAUCUGAUUGCAUCUCUUGAUGUUGAAGAAAAAGCUCGGGCUAAAGAUACUACUGAAAAAGGAGGUGAGGUUCAGCCUACUGCUAACAUGGUGCAGAGGUACCCACAGAACAAGAACAAAGGGAAGAACAAACCUGUUUUCAACAAGCCUACCAAGACUACUACCUUCAAGAAGAAGAAGUUCAACAAGGCUGAGCUAGAGUGCUACGCCUGUGGGAAGCCUGGACACUUUUCCAAGGAAUGCCCUGAACAUGCAGACCGCAGAGGGAAAAUAAGCUCCAAGACUGUCAACAUGGUGACCGCUAGCAAUACUGAUGGGUAUGGUAAUUUACCUAUUGUGCUUUCAGUAUUUCAAUCAUCUUCGUGGUGGAUUGAUUCGGGUGCUAACGUUCAUGUGUGUGCUGACAUCUCCCUAUUUACUUCUUAUCAGGUCGCAAGGGAUUCUUCCGUCCUAAUGGGGAAUGGGUCACAUGCUUCGGGAAAGAUCGUGCAACUAAGGAACGUGCAGCAUGUCCCUACUAUGAACAAGAAUCUAGUUAGCGUCUCCCUUCUAUGUCGAGAUGGAUUUAAGGUAGUUUUAGAGUCCAAUAAAGUAAUCGUGUCAAGAUUUGGACAAUUUAUAGGAAAAGGCUACGAGUGUGGAGGCUUGUUCCGCUUUUCUCUUUCAGAUUUUUGCAAUAAGUCAAUAAACCAAAUUUGUGCUAGUGAUAAUGAUGAUGCAAGUAUUUGGCACUCUCGUUUAUGUCAUAUUAAUUUUGGUUUAAUGUCUCGGCUAUCCAGCAUGAGUUUAAUUCCGAACUUCAGAGUUGCCAAAGGUUCUAAGUGCCAUAGUUGUGUGCAAUCUAUGCAACCUCGAAAGCCUCAUAAGGCCGCCGAGGAGAGAAACUUGGCACCUCAAGAACUCAUACAUUCUGAUCUUUGUGAGAUGAAUGGUGUGUUGACAAAAGGUGGAAAGAGAUAUUUCAUGACUUUGAUUGAUGAUGCGACUAGAUUUUGCUAUGUUUAUUUGUUGCAAACUAAAGAUGAAGCAUUAGACUACUUUAAAAUCUAUAAAGCUGAAGUUGAAAAUCAACUAGAGAGAAAGAUCAAGCGUCUUAGGUCCGAUCAUGGUGGAGAGUAUUUUCCAAAAGUUUUUGAUGAAUUUUGUGAGGAACAUGGUAUUAUUCAUGAGAGGACGCCUCCCUAUUCACCUCAAUCAAAUGGAGUGGCCGAGAGGAAAAACCGCACAUUGACUAACUUGGUGAAUGCCAUGUUAGACACUGCUGGUUUAUCUAAGGCAUGGUGGGGGGAGGCUCUAUUGACUUCAUGUCAUGUCCUGAAUAGAGUUCCCAACAAUAAUAAGGAGAAAACCCCUUAUGAGGAGUGGGUUGGGAGAAAACCAUCACUUUCUUAUUUGCGCACUUGGGGAUGUUUGGCAAAGGUCAAUAUUCCUAUUCCUAAGAAACGCAAACUUGGACCAAAGACAGUGGAUUGUGUCUUUCUAGGGUAUGCUCAACGGAGCAUUGCUUAUAGGGUUUUAGUGGUAAAAUCUGAAGUUCCUGAUAUGCAUGUUGAUACUAUAAUGGAAUCUCGUGAUGCAACAUUUUUUGAGAACAUAUUUCCUAUGAAAGAUAUGCAUAGCAUUGCUAGAUUUUCUUCUGAGAUAAUUCCUGUAUCUAGUACAACUGAUGAAUAUUUCGAACAAUCACAUGAGGAAGUCCUUGAGAAGGAUAACAAUGAAGUUCCUAGAAGGAACAAGAGACAAAGGAUUGCAAAAUCCUUUGGUGAUGAUUUCAUUGUAUACCUUGUGGACGACACACCCAAGACGAUUGCAGAAGCAUAUGCAUCUCCGGAUGUAGAUGAUUGGAAAGAAGCUGUUCAUAAUGAGAUGGACUCAAUUAUUUCUAAUGGAACUUGGGAACUAACUGAUAGACCAUAUGGUUGUAAACCUGUGGGCUGUAAGUGGGUGUUCAAAAAGAAGCUCAAGCCUGAUGGUACUAUUGAUAAGUACAAGGCGCGGCUAGUGGCCAAGGGCUACACUCAGAAAGAAGGCGAAGAUUACUUUGACACCUAUUCACCCGUUGCUAGAAUGACCACCAUUCGAGUGUUACUUUCCUUGGCUGCCUCUUAUGGUCUUAUCAUUCAUCAAAUGGAUGUAAAGACAGCUUUUCUCAAUGGAGAGUUGGAAGAGGAGAUCUAUAUGGAUCAGCCUGACGGGUUUGUGGUUAAGGGUGAAGAGAGAAAGGUGUGCAAGUUGUUAAAAUCUUUGUAUGGUCUGAAACAGGCACCUAAGCAAUGGCAUGAGAAGUUUGAAAGAACUCUGACUUCUGCAGGAUUUGUCAUUAACGAGGCUGAUAGGUGUGUUUACUAUCGCCAUGGUGGGGGCAAUAGUGUCAUAUUAUGUUUGUAUGUGGACGACAUACUGAUCUUUGGUACAAACAUUAAUGCAAUUAAUGAGGUCAAGUCUUUUCUAUCAAAAAGUUUUGACAUGAAAGAUCUGGGAGAAGCCGAUGUAAUUCUAAACAUCAAACUUAUUAAGGAUGAGAGUGGGAUUACAUUAACGCAAUCUCACUAUGUUGAGAAGGUCUUGAACCGAUUCGGUUUUAUGGAUAGCAAGCCUUCUCCAACACCUUAUGAUCCCAGCGUGACACUCAGAAAGAACAAGAAAGAAACGAGAGAUCAAUUAAGAUACUCUCAAAUUGUCGGUUCACUCAUGUACUUAGCUAGCGCUACAAGACCAGAUAUCUCUUUUGCUGUGAGCAAACUGAGUAGGUUCAUGUCCAACCCGGGUGAUGAUCAUUGGCAUGCACUAGAAAGGGUCUUACGCUAUCUGAGAGGUACUAUGAGUUACGGAAUUACUUAUUCAGGGCAUCCUGCUGUGCUAGAAGGAUAUAGUGAUUCAAAUUGGAUCUCCGAUGUUGAUGUACUUUACGCAACAAGUGGGUAUGUAUUUACUCAUGGUGGUGGCGCAGUGUCAUGGAGGUCUUGCAAGCAAACCAUAUUGACGAGGUCAACUAUGGAAGCAGAAUUAACUGCUUUGGACACAGCUACUGUUGAGGCAGAAUGGCUGCGUGAGCUCUUGAUGGACUUGCCGAUUGUUGAAAAACCUGUACCGGCUAUUCUUAUGAAUUGUGAUAACCAAACGGUUAUCGCUAAAGUGAACAAUUCUAAAGAUAAUGCAAAGUCAUCAAGACACGUGAAAAGACGUUUGAAGUCUGUCAGGAAGUUGAGAAACUCCGGAGUAAUAACUGUUACAUAUAUACAAACAGACAAAAACCUGGCAGAUCCCUUUACAAAGGGACUAUCACGAAAUGUGAUAGAUAUUGCAUCGAGGGAGAUGGGUAUGAGACCCAUAGAUGUUACACCAUAGUACUAACCCAACCUUUGUGAUCGGAGAUCCCGUGAAUUAGGAUCUGGGAAGAACAAGCUAUUGGUUAACUGAGGAGAGUAAUAACUUAUGAUCGUCUCCAAGUGAAGAUGCAAAACUCUCAGAGCUGUAAAGCUCAGAUCUGUAAGGCAGGUUGGCAACAUGCCUUAAUGUGGUUCUAUUGGCUAUAAUUAGCAAAGAUGCUGUCCUACAGAGCAGUCUUGAAAGAACACACCUAUAUGAGUUCUGACUGUAAACGUCGCAGUCUAUGAGAUUUGGGUGAUCUCUAGUAAGCUCACGAAGAGACAAGGGAGUAUGACGUAUAAGCUCCAAACCGCGGGGUAGCCUACUGACGUAUAAGCUUCCUUUUGCCGUUUUAUUUUUAUGUCUUGGCAUACAAGUUUUUUAUUACUUGUCCGGUAAGUAUACGAAUUAGAAACCGAGUCGGUUUGGGAUUGUGGUCGCGACACAAUACCGCCUCUGGUCCUAAUAUAUAUACAGCUACCGGCUGCGGCCAGAGACACACCGAAAAACACCUAGGGUUUUGCCUCAUCUCACAACUUGCGCCGCCAUCGUAGUCUACUCCAUCCCAACGCCGGCGUGCAUCGGCGCGUGGGAGAGCAGGUCUCCGGAACCGUUCGUCUUUGCGAUCCUGCACCGGGAGAGGACGAAUUAGGUUUUUGGGAAGCGCUGUGCGCGACUGCUCAAAUUCGUCAUCACGGGUCGUCUUCCGUCCAAGUCGGGCGGUGCUACUCAUCGUCGUAUUCAUCGCCGUCAGCAGCAGAUCAUCGCCAAUAUCGUCAUCAACACUGUCGCACCCAUAUAGCUAACGAUCAUUACGUCCGACAUCCUCUGUUCAUGUCUGCUUCUACAGCUAUUGUUACGUGUUUGUUGUUGUUAUGCAUGUCUUGCUGUUCUUCUAGUUUGCUAGAUUAUUGCAUGCUAGUAUCUCUUCUAGUCAUGAAUUAUUUACUGGAAUUAAUCAUGAACUUGCCUAAUAUUCCCACAGACGCAAUAAUUGUUUUCGGGAUUUUGAAUAAAUCAGAAAAUGAUUUGUUUAAUUCCGAAAAUACUCCAAAAUUUGGAAAAUCAUGGAAAAUAAUCUGUAACUCAGAUGGAGAUAAUUUAUAUAUGAAAAAUUAUCAGGAAAAUAUGAAGAAUCUAUUUAUAGCAUUUUCAUGUAUGUUUGAACAAGUUAAGUUUUCUGUAUAAGACAAUUUGAAUAAAUGUCAUUUUAAAUUCUUAUGUGGAGUUUGAAUUUGAACCUUUGGUUCAAACCAACUUUAUUUAAAUUGUUGCUAGUUGCAUUAGUCCAAACACCAGCAUGCCAUGUCAUGAUCAUGCAUCAUACUGCUGCAUUGCAUUGAUUGUGUUCCCUCUCUGUUGCCGGUGUUUGUUCCUUCUCGAUAGAAGACGAUUCGGACGUUGUGAUCAUUGACACCGAUGAAGAGCUACUAUCUUCAAAGUGUCAGGCAAGCAAAUCCCCUUUGAGCAUUCUGAUACAAUCCCACUCUCUAACUCUUGCUCUCUUUUACUGCAUUAGGACAACAAUGAUUCAACUGUUACAUGUUGUGGUAGUUGAACCCAUUCCUCUGCAUGAUCUGUCUUUGCCACAGUAAAUAGUAAAACCCACUAGCAUGAGUAGGAGUAUUUUGAGCCAUGAUGUGCCUACUCAUUCAUGCUUGCUUGUUAUACCUGCUAUGCUUAGAGUUGUGUCAGGUUUGAUUCAUCUGGGUUGGCUUGGAAUGGUGAUGAACAUGUCCUACUGCUGAGCUCUAAGUGUGUGAACACGAUUUGGUAAAGGUAGCGAUGAGAGGCAAUGUAGGAGUACAUGGUGGGUUGUCUCGUUGAAAUCGUCCUUAGGAACUGAGUUCCGUGUUUGUGAUCCAAGACAGUUACUACCACACAUCGGGUUUCGAUAACUUGACCCCUCUCGACUUACUAAUCGCCUUGAUCUCUAUCUAGGAGUUGUAACUAGUUUCUGGUGUUUGUAGGAUGUGCUGGGGGCUGUACCUAGCGCUGACCGGAGGGGUAGGCUUUGUUACGGUAGGCACCAUGGCACGGUGUAUCAAGCGCAGUACUAUUGGUCGAGGUGGACAUGGGAAUCCUGCACACAUCGUUUGACGCCGUGAUGGAAACUUCGGCCGAACAUCCGUUACGGGUCAGUUCUCAGAUAGGCGAUAAACCUAGACUAGAGUCUUGCGUGGUUAGUCAGGUUGUGGCUGACACCCUCGCUAGGCUUCCGCUUGAAGGUUUCCGAGAUACAUGACGUGUAUAUGGUGUUAAGUGGUGAGAGCGUGUGUGAAGAAAUACACCCCUGCAGGGUAAUAUAAUCUAUUCGGAUAGCCGCGUCCUCGGAUAUGGACUACUUGGAAAGCUUGUAUGGUCCAUAGAUAACCUGAAGUGGAUACUCUAAAUGCGCAAAAUAAGUGUGAGUGCUAUGGAUGGCCUUCUCAUGGGGAGACGGGAGCGGAUCCAUAGUGGUGUAUUGAUAUGGUGAAUAUGUGGACUCACGUGCGCUUUCUCACCUCAAAGAAGUUAUUGGUAGUCAUAGUACAUGAAAGCCACUGAGUCAAAGCUGGCUUGCUGUAGUUAAACUCCACAACCCCAUUGUUGAUACUGAUGCAUAAGUAGAUAGUUCUGAUGUAAGUCUUGCUGAGUACAUUUGUACUCACGUUUGCUUAAUUGAUGUUUUUGCAGAGGAGAUUUCAAUCUCGCUAGUAGUUUCACAUGGGCUUUGACGGUUAGCUUGGGAAUCCCAGACAGAGGUAUGGCUCCUAUGGAGGGUAUUGUAGACAGACAUGCUUCCUAGCCUUCUUUCUUUUCAGCUGUCUAUAUUCAGACAGGUUUAUGCUUCCGCUUGUUGCUUGUAUGACUUUGUAUGUUGGGUCAUGAGACCAAUGUUCGUAAUAUCAUGUUAUGUGUGGCUCUUCAGAGCCUCUUAAAUAAAUACUUGAGUCGUAGAGUUAUAUUGUGACGACAUGUUGUAUCCACACAUAUUUGCAUGUUCUACAUACAUAUGAUGUGUGUUGCAAUGUGUUGGGUCACGAUAAAUCUUCUAUUGGAUUGCUUGAAUCUUUUGAUCUUUUGGUCCAACAAAAUUAUACUGUAAUAAUUAGGUCCAACAGAACAAAUCAGAAAACUUUGCUUGUACCAGACAUGGUUAGGUCCAAUAGAACAAAUGAAUCAUCUCUUCUUGGAGGAUUGUUUAAUUUAUCUUAGAUGUACCAAAAAUGAUCAUUGUGUUGGUCACCAGGAAGCAUCACAAGAUAAUUUAACAUCCAACAUGAAAGAACAUAGAUCUCAAUUCAAACAUCAUGCAAUAACUAACAGACUUCUCAAGUGUAAAUGGAAUCAUCACCACUAUAGCAGCUAUAUUUUGAACACCACGGAAACUCCAAUUUGAAACUGCAUCCUCAUUAAUAGAAACUGGAAAUUAGCUUGUCUAGUUCCAGUUUGAUUUGUUCAUCAACUAAAGAGUUAUAGUUUAAAUGACAAAUUUCACAUCCAAACUACAUAUCACAUCACAAAUUUAGGGUAAUUCAUACAUAGUAUAAAUAUAGGUAGCAUAGUACAGAAGAUCAGUUCCCAUCAAUCAAAUAUAGCAAUAGUCUUUGCAACAAAAUAUAUAAUAUAGACUUUCUUCUUGAGCUCAGCCACUUAGAUCAAUGACAUCAUCCUCUUCAAAAUUCCCUUUGAUAUUUUUCGGCUUGCCCUUGUGAAUUUCCCCAAUUUUAAGAAGCUCAGCUAUGACAUACUCUACCUUCUUAAUAUCUUUCCGGAUAACAUCCAUGUCCUUCAUCAUAGUCUCGAGCUCAUAUAUGUCCUUCUUCAGAACAUCCCUCUUCUUCAUCACAUCAUCCGAAGGGAAAGCUAGCUCCUUCCUAUCCUUUUUUAGGUCAAGGGUCUCCCUCAUGAUCAGAACCAUCUCCUUCUUGAGCCCAUCUUUGUCCACUUUCAGCUUAUCAUUAUCCUUCCUAGUGUUCUUGGUCACUUCUCGCUGAACAACAUGAAUGGCCUUGAGAUCACUGAUUACAUACUGCUUGUUCUCUAGCUGCUUCUGCAGGUCUAUAGAGUCCUCUGACAUCAUUUUUGGUAAUUCUCUUGCCACACCUUUUGGCAUUGCCUGACCCAGUGCUUGUUCCCAUCACUAGCAAACUCAGUGAAUUGGAAGUCCAACUACUUAAUCUUAUCUUUGAGAUUGAGCACUUCCUCUGCAGGAUCAAGCCCUUCCUGGGUUCUAGCAACCAUACACUUUUCAUAUUUUUUCCAGAGCAUGUGAAGUGCCUUUUUCAGGGCUUCGGGCCAGUCCUUCACUACUAGGGAAAACCUUAUACACAGAGGUAUAGCAGUAGCGCUGGUCAAAACAUGGCGCUAUUGCUACUUAUUAGUUGCGCUUGUUACAAAAGCACGCUACAACCAUUGUUGUAGCAGUAGCGCGUCUGCCCGGAAAAGCGCUACUACUAUAAUUCCCUCGUUGGUGCCGGUAGGCUAGGAAUAGUAGUGGCGGUUCUUCCAGAAGCACGCUACUGCUAAAAACUUUGUAGCAGCGCAUUUAUGCUGUAGAGCGCUACUGCUAUGAAAAGGAAAAUAAAUAGAAAAAUAAGUAGAAAAGUAAAUGAAAAUGAAAGAAAUAGAAAAAGGAGAAAUGAAAAAAAGAAAAUGUAAAGAAAACAAAAGAAAAAGAAAAAGAAAACAGAAAGGAAUAGCUGUAGCGCGUUUCGCUGGAAAACGCUAUAGCUAACUUAGCUAUAGCGUGUUUCGGUAAAACGCACUACUGCUAGUUUGACUUAACCCCCAGCCGCGCGGGCUCAAAAUUUUGCUAAGUCCUUCCCCCUCCACUCCCCCCUCUCCCCCAACUGCUCCAUCGCCGUUGUCGCCCUGCCGCCUUCAACCACACCGCCGCCACCCAAGGCCGUCUUCGACCACACCGCCGCCGCCCGAGGCCGCCCUCGACUUCACCGCCGCCGCCCGAGCCAGAGCCUGCCCUCGCCGUCGACCGUAAAGCUCUGCCUCUCCUUUCCCCUACCCUCCUAUCUCUCUUUGCUAGGGUAAUUCAUAUAUAUGUUGACGUUGUGUUGAUGUUCAUAUGAACCCUAGGUGUUCAUAUGAACCCUAGAUUUGUUGAGGGCAGUAGGCAUUUUUUGGCAUUUAGGAAAAAUGAUUGGCAAUUUUUUUAGGAAAUUAGCUAGGGAAAUUUUUUAUGAAAAUGCCUAAACAGUAAUUCCAUUUAGCUUUCAAUUAAUAGAGGGUAUGUAAAUAAUAGUAGCAUUUUGAUUAGAUUAAUAGACGCUAUAAACAAAAAACACUUAGAUAUAAAAAUUUAUUUGGACUAUGGACUUGAAUCUGUUCCAAAUUUCAUUCAAAUGAAAUUUGAAUUAUUUGGACUAUGGACCUGAAUCUGUUCCAAAUUUCAUUCAAAUGAAAUUUGAAUUAUUUGGACUAUGGACCUGAAUAUUUCUGAAGAAAUUGGGUGUAGGUACUAAGCUCUUGCUGCGGAAUUUUUGGUGAGGUCAGAAGGGUUAGAGAAAAUGGAGUUCCUAGACUUUUAGCUUUAGACAAAAAACAAAAGUAUUUAGCUAUAAAUAAAAAACAGUAGCUAUGGCAUUUAGCUAUAAACAAAAAACAGAAUUGUUUUUCUUUUCAAAAACUUGGUUAAACUAAUCGUUGCUAUGUAAACAAAAAACAAGAUUUUUGUUAUAUCAUAUAUGUCAUUGAUGUUCAUUUGCACAUUCCAUUAUUGUUGAUUAUAUCUUUUCAUUGAAGUGGCUAUGUUAUAUGCAAAUUCCUCAAUAGUGUUUGCUCAUGUUAUAUCUUUUCAUUGAAGUGGUUCGAUUGUGCCCAAAGUGGCUUCGUUGUUUCCAGGGAAUGAAGCCGAGUGGCCUAUGUUUUUCCGGAAUGUUGAUUCGUUUCCGUUCCGGCAAAUUUCAGGCUCUCGAUUUGUCCACUUUUUAGCAAAAGUCAUGCCGAAAUUUUCCGUGAAUUUCGGCAUGACUUGUGCUACAAACUAGGACAUAUCGAGUGCCCGGGAUUUGCCGCACAGGGAAGGAGUCAACGUUCCUGCAGAGCAUAGACCUUUUUUUAUGUCAUUAUUCAUUUUAUUAGGUCUAGAAUUAAUUGACUAAAUUUAAUCGUAGGAAACAUGGCUAGCAACGAUGAAGGACAGGGUUCUGGUGACUGCGACAACGUCUACCUGGCAGCAGAAGAAUUUUUUAUGGAAGAUGACGAUCAAGAGUUGAUGUUGCUGGGUCCACCUGUCACAUCAGAGAUUGAGACCGACAUCGAGACCGGCGCUGAGAUAGAGACUGGCACUGAGAGUGAGACCGGCAUCGAGACCGGCACUGAGACUGAGACCGGCGCCGAGACCGGCGCCGAGACUAGCGGAGCCGGUAUAGACCCGAAAGCAAAGAGGCAACUGCUUCCUAACAAGCUCAGGUCUAAUAGACUGGUGGUCACGGAGGUGGACGACGGCAAUUUUGAACCAAACGCGCCCUAGGAAGCGCGCGCGUGCUACGACAAUCAAAUAGGAUGCAUCAUACGGACAACCGCCACCAUCAAAGAUGAGAAACUAAAGAAGAUAGAUAAUAUGAGGCCCUCCCUCCUAAAGAAGUUGCACCUGAUAUUCUUGUUCCCGGGCCGGAAUGAAAAGGAUUAUAAAGAUCCAGAUAAGGACCUGGCAAUGAAGAAGAAAAACAAACACGUCAUGACCAAGUUUAGCGACGCGUUGGCCGCCUGGAAAUCAAGGGUGAAAUAUCGGAUCGUUGACAAAAAGGAACCCUACUCCGAGAUUGUAAAGGAUAAUCCGACAACCAUGGUAGAGCACUUUCAAAUAUUCAAGGCAGCUUGCGAGGCCGAAGCUGCCAAAAAAUAGUCGAAGUACAUGAAGGGGCUUCAAUAGAGGAACAUUGGGUGCCCCCACCUCGGAAGUCGUGGUUACGGCAGGAAGAGGUCCAUAUGGGCCAUGGAGGACGCGGAAGCCGCGAGUCCGGGCAUCCCAGACCCCUUGGCGGAGUUCACCGUCCCGCAGGAGCGUGACAUCCUCAGGGCCCGGCACCGUUGGGAUCCAAUGAAGAAGGUUUUCGAGACGAACGCGGUCACGGCGGAGUUCAUGUGACUGCUGGCAAUUUUAGUUUCUGAUCAAUUCGACUGCACGUUAGUCAUAUUUAUAAACGAUCCUUGUGCCAUUUGCAGAGAGAGCAGCGCAGGAUUGCGGCCGAAAGCGACUCGCCGUCUGAGGCGUUGGCGAGGCCCAAGUGGGACACUCCAUUCAACCGGGCGUUGAACAUAUUGAAAGGACUCCCGGUGGAGACUCGACUGUCGUAUGGACGCGUGCACGGUGUCGGAGAUGGCGCCACGUGGAAGAAGUACUACCGUGAGACCACGGAGGAGAGAAAGGAAAGACGGAGGUUAACUGAAGAAAACAUUGACAAGAAGGUUGAGAUUGCGGUUGAGAAGAAAUCAUCUAAGACAGUCGCAAUAGCGGUAGCUGCCGCAAAACAGGUGCUUGUACAUAUGUCUACUACCUUGGUUCCGGCCGUUUUCAAUUGGAGCAGGCAAAAUCUAGAAAAAAAUGCAGCGGAGUUUCCCCUUGCUGACUUCUUUGGGAGCAGCUCGACUAGCGUUGCACCAGCACCUGCAGCUGCACAUGCUCCCGCACCGGCUCCCGCACCGGCUCGUGCACCUGCUCCCGCACCGGCUCCCGAACCUGCUCCAGCACCGGCUCCGGCACCGGACGUGCUCGGCGGUGCUUCGUCUUUGGCUGAGCUCGACGCCCUCACGGUGUCUGUCACACCGGCCCCCAUCAAUAAAUGUAUUAUCUCCCGUUUUCGUUGCCUUUCGGAUGUCUCACGUCACAGACUUUUCUUUGCAGGCCGACGAAACCCCGUGCACCAUAUUGUACACCAUCGGCGACAAGAAGGUGGACGUGGGGAAGGCGACGAUAAUGGAGCCGAAGGAACCAUUGUUCCACAGCGGCUGAUCCCCCAGGACGUCUUCAAGGUUUCCGUGGCCAGUGUCAAACCGGGCCACGAGAAUUUGACUCCUCUGGUACUAGUGGGGGAUGACAACGAGACCCCACGGCGGCUUGGUAAUUGUUGCAAUGGGUGGGUCCUGUUGUGGCCAAAGAGUCUGCUUCGUCUGGAGGUGGCCGGGAGCACACCCACGAGCACACAGUUAGGUAUGAACAUCAACACCUCACCUACCCAAUUAGCGUCGGCUGUCGUGCUAGGUGAUAGCGGAGGGGGUGAGGAAGAGGCUCCAUUAGUCACUGGUGAUGUCGCCAUAGAUGAGGAUGAGGAUGACGAUGACACUCAACAGUAUGUCAAUACUGGUGCCUACUUAGGGUUUGAGCGUCAUGAGUCGGUGCCUGAAUUGCCGCCUCCGAAGUCUGAACGUAUUAUGGACAACCUUCCGGUAGUAAAGAAGUCUAGGAAGAGACCGAGGAAAGGCAAAAAAGCUGCUUCUAUGAUCCAGCCGCCUCAGCAGCCUCGGGUUCAAGACUGUAUAGAUAUCCCCGGUGCGGCAAAAUGGCAUAUCCAUGGUCAACCAAUCCUACCUAAAGCAGCGCUAGGGGCUAGAUUCGGCGAUUUAAGGAGACUUCAUGACGAUGUGCUGCGGAUAGAGAAAUGGCUCAUCGCCUCAAAAAAUCCAGGAUACCCACUCUACAUGGUUAACGUGCCGCGGCAAUUCUCGUACGUCGACACAUUCCCCGCGGAGAAGUUCUUCCUUCGAUUCGAUUACAUCUUCGACAUGUUUCACUUAAAGAAACUGGAUUUUACGUUUGUCCGCCUUUAUGUCUUGCACAUGAACUACCUCAUCAGGGUUGAGCAGAUACCUCAUAUCUGUGUCGCUAGCCCGUACUUCAUGCAUGAGGGCUUCUUGGGAGUCUGCGCAGAGCACCGUGAAUAAGCAAGGGAAUACAUCGCCAAUUUCAUGCUCACCAUAAGGACAAGGAGGCGAUUCUCGUGCCUUAUCAUCCCCUGUAAGUCAUCUGCGCGGAUAUCCUUCCUUUGAUUUCAAUCAUUCAUUUGCACAGUGGAGGCUAAUUAAUUUGAGGUGUACUUAUUUUUCGCAGCGGCGGGCGCGCCGUCCUCAUCAUCCUCUACCCCCGAUACUCCCACGCUCUUUACUUGGACUCGUCGAAGAACAUUAACAAAAAGGAUUACACCCACAUGAAGUCUGUUCUCGACAGUGCUAUGUUUUACUACGGCGCACGGGGUGGAGAGGUCAAGGACAAGAAGAAAAGGGACGGCAGGCCCGCCUUUGGCCAUAAGACCGACUUCUGCUGCAUCCACCAACCGAGUUAUUCUCUUAAUGAUGGAUUCUAUGUCCUACACCACAUGCUGGAGUACAGACGGGAUCACCAGAACCUUCGCAUGUCACCUAGAUCCGGCGAUGCCCAUAUUCUGCAAUGGGCAAAGAACUUAGGAGAUAUCGAGGAUCAUCGACUUCGAGCUGAGUUCUAUCACAUCCAGCGCAAACUUGCCCAAAUCAUCAUGAAGGAGGUCGUCGAAAAAACAGGGAUUUUCUAUGAAGAAGGACAAAUGUCGCGGGAAGACGUCCGAACACGCGUAGCGGCUCAGCUUCUCGACCUGAAGCCUUUCACUAAGCUUGGGGACUAUCUCCCUGACUUGGAUGCAUGGCACGACAUGUUGGAGUGAUUGUCGAUAUAUGACAAUGUGUCUGUUUAGUCCAUACUAUCUGUAUCACGAAACUCUGAGUUAUGCAUGACGAAACUUUAUUUGUUAUGUAAUUAAACCGUCCUCCUCGACUAGUGAAGAUCACUCUAGUUAGGGCUUUUUGGGUACGAUGAAUUUUGUUAUAUAUGCUUAUGGUAUGUUGCUUCUAUUUUUGCCAAGUCUGUCUCUUUCUGUUGCUCAACUAUAUAUGUUGCAUAUCAUCGACUCAUGUGACGAUGCAGGUGUAUAGAUCAUCGAUGGCGAAGAAGUGCUACGCCAGGAGUAUACGACGAGUGGCCGGAAUGUCAGGCCCAGGUGUACCGGUUUCCGGUUUCCGAGCGACAGCCAGUAGUUAGUUUAGGUUCACGCUAAUGCGAGAGAGGGAUACGAACUCAUGUACUGCAUAGUUCCGCUCUCACUCAAAGUGAUAGCUCUUCUCGCGUAUAUCAUUGUUUAGAUGGAUGACGACGUAGUUGCAAGUAAUCGAGACUUGUAUCGCUAUUUUUGAGAUGAUGACGAGAGACCACUUGUUGUUGGAUGAUGAUUAUGAUGAUGGCAUGAUUUGAUGAGACUAUUUGUAUGUAUAUGCUAUGAUUACAUUUGUAUGUGUAUGAUAUGCUAAAGAUUAUUGUAUAAAGCCUAUUCAAAUACAAAACAAAUAUGCAUAAAAAAAUAAAAACUAAUAAAACUAGCAGUAGCGAGGGGAACAAAGUUAGCAGUAGCGCUCCCUUACCAGUAGCGCUUCGUGCUAAAAAGCGCUGCAGAUAUUAGCAGCAGCGCUCUGCACUAAAGCGCGCUACUGCUAGCCAUGUAUAGCAGUAGCAUGGGAUGACAGGUGCUACUGCUACACGUUAGCUGUAGCGCCUUAUCAGUAGCACGUCGUCCCGAGCUACUGAUAGGCAAAAUACCCGCGCUACUGCUAGGGUUUUCCGUAGUAGUGCUUGUCAACCCAAUGAAUAAAUCUACCGUUUCCUAGUUGCAAUAAGAAACAAUUAGCAUUUAAUUAAUGGACACACAUUAGUCAAUAUAUUUUGAAAUGAGCAAAGUAUAGCAUAACUAGAUGAAAACCAAAUAUAGCAUAAGUGAGCUAGAAUGUUCCACAAACACGACAUGUCACAACUAAGUUACAAUGUUCUACCAACACAGCUUAGCAGCCAAACAAAACAUAGCUAUAAGACAUCCAAAUAUAGCACAAUAUAGUUGAAUUGUUCCACAAAAGUUGUGCAUGGGAUAACUGAAAUAUACAAUGGGUAUUGUCACAGAACACUAACUCUAGUUUAUACCAUUUACAUAUACUUUUUCCAGACAACCAUCACUUACUGAACAAGCAUCCCAUCAUUAGAGUCUGAGAAGAAAUGCAGCCUUCUCAGGGCGUCGAGAUCUGGGCCGUUGGAUUAAGCUUUCAAAAGAAUUGCGACCAUCAGAUCUUCAGAUGGAUCGAUCCGGGCCGUCGGAUCAUAGCAAACACUGCUACAGUGAAUAGUGUUGUUUCUUUUUUAUUUUGGUCUAUUAUUACUAUCUCGCUGACUGAUGGGCCACGCGGUAAGUGGUCCAUUGCUGUUAGUGAGAGCAGAGCACUAAGCGGUCGGUGCUGGUUCGUACAGGCUCAGGGGUCAGGCCAACGCCUGUGAAAUUGGGUAGCCGCUGAGGGCAAAUUCAACAUUUCACGUCAUCGCCCCUGCGUGACGCUCCGUGGAUGGCUAGUCAGCAAGUAAUGGCGAGGGAGCGACCCAUUGGCUAGAAACCUAGCCGCCUCUUCCCCGUCGUGUUCCUAUCUGUGUCGUUUGAGCUGCGGUCGCCAUCGAGGACGUGUCACUCGCACCGCCACUUCCCUGUCGAGCUCAUGCGUCCACUAGCCACACCGUCUCUUUUCCAUGCCUGCUCAUCCUCCGUUCCUCUUCGAUCACCGAGCUCGCCGUCGCUAUCGUCGGGAGGAAGCGAUUGGUGGACCUAGCCCACCGCCAUCAACGGGUGGAGCGCAGGAACCCGCGAUGCCCCUCCAGCGACCAGCACUUAUCCCUCGCCCAGCGACGAGGCCCCAUCGAACUCGCGUGUGGUCGCAGCUGGGAAUCCUCCUGUCCGCUCCUUGCUCCCCGCCGAGAGCCUUGAUUGGAUCUGGAUCCUGAGCUCUCCGUGCCCGCAUCGCCCCACCAUUCAUGGUGCACCACCAGCACGAGCUGCACAUCAUCAUGUCGUCAGAGGGAGAGCGGGAGGAAGUUGGCGCUGUUUAUCCCCACGAGGUGUGCCGUCGACGGUAGGAAGCCAGGCAGGGCGACGGGGAAAUACCGACGUAGUUCAAGCCGCAUCAAAAGGAAUUUCUGGCGCAGUUGCCAGGGAGACAUCAUCAACAUCUAUGAGGUUCCUAAUCACAAAUCCCAUCUCCUUGCAAUUUACAUUAUUUGCCAUUUGCCUCUCGUUUUCAUCUCCCCCACUUCACAAAAAAUUGCCGUUUUAUUCGCCCUCUUUUUCGUUUGCCUUUUUCUGGUUCGAUCUUAUGUUUGUUUGUGUCUCCAUGUGCCUUCUAUUUUGCUUGCAUCUUUUCUUGCUAAAACCUAUUGUUAUGGAUCCACUCAAAGUUUUGUACCUGGAUCUUGUUCGACCCAUAUGUGCUCGUGCUGAAACCCCAACUAGUUUAGUUGAGGGAAAAUCAUUAGAUGAGCAUGCUCUUUUUGCCCGUCAUCGUUUGUCUGAAAAAGGGAAGCUCUUAUGGAAUCAAAUAAAUUGUUUGCUAUGAUAUGCUUGGAAUCAUUAUGAAAUUUGUGAUUUUACUUGUUGCUCUAAGAACCCCAAAAAACACUUCCCCUAUCUAUGUGAGUUUAAUGACAAUGAAGUCUUAUGUUCUUAUGCCAAGGAGGUUUAUAGUUACUAUGAUAUCGAACAAAUUGAACAAUUUGUUGCUUUUAAGGGUGCUUAGAAGUUGCUUAUUUGAUUGAAAAGUAUGAUAUUACUCUCUACAAAUCUGAAAAUUUUGACAUACUUAAAUAUUGCUAUGAAAACUAUGCUCAUAAUGCCUAUGUUAAAGAAUUUAUUGAGAGAAUGUCCUAUGCUUUGAAAGAAAAUAGUGAUAUGCAUGAAGCUAUGGAUAACCAUGAUUCCGUUGAUUUGAUUGAAUUAUCCCCUCUUGAUGAACACGUUGCUAGCUAUUCUUGUGGCCAUGAUGCCAAUAUUAAUGAUGCUUAUGAAGAUGAACUUGCUAUAGUUCUUUAUGUUAAACAUGAAAUUAUUGCUAUUGCACGCACGCUGGAUAGCUCCUUUAAUGAAAAGCAUGAUUGCAAUGAUAUUAUUAUAGAUUCUAUUAAUCUCAAGUUUGUUAGUGAUAUGCAAAACCCCAAGCUUGGGGAUGCUUGUUUUGUUAUGUCCGCUACUUAUUGCAAUGAUCAUGAUUGGGGUGAUGAUGACUUUUAUGAUCUUGAUAGUCUAUUUAAGCCUCAUGAUGAAUAUGUUUGCAAUAAUAUUAAAAGUGGGUUUGGAAGAGUGUCAAAUAUUGAUAAAAAUAAUCCCACAAAUUUGGAGAGUGUUCAAUCUUAUGAUUUUUUUAUAAAAGUGGGCUUGGAAAGGUCAUGACUUUAUUUUAUGGUAAUCCCACUAUUUUGGAAGAGUGUCAACUUUGCAUGCAUGUGGAUCAUGUAGAGAAUAUGUUAUGUGAUAUCUAUAUUAUUGAAUUUGAACAUGAUUCCACAUGUAAUUGUUAUGAGAGAGGGAAAUAUGGUUGUAGAAAUUUCUUGCUACUAAGUCACCUCUCGUUAUGUUGAAUUGUCAAAGUUUUAUUUGUUUCCUAUGUAUAUGCUAGAUAUUUCUUGUUUUGAUAAUUUGUUUGCCUGUAAAAUUCCUAUACAUAGGAAAUAUGUUAGACUUAAAUGUGUUUAUCACAUGUUUUAUGAUCCUCUCUUUGUGUUUCAAUUAUUAUCUUUCAUGUGAGCAUCAUUGAAAUCGCAAAGCCUAUCUUAAUGGCUAUAAAGAAAGAGCUUGUUGGGAGGCAACCCAACGAAUAAAUUUUAUGUUUGCCUUUUUGUUUCUGUACAAUUAUGCCUCUGUUAUGAUUAUGUUUUUUAUGUUUUAAUUAGUGUUUGUGCGAAGCAAAGCCUUUUAGGAUCAUGUUGGGUGAUAGUUGAUUUGAUCUUGCUGAAAAACAGAAAAUUAUGAGUCCAGUAACACAAUUAUUAAAAUUCACAGAAGCGUGAUAAAAUUCUGAUUUUUUUACAGAAGAUUAAUACAAAUAGCGUAUGUUGUCCUAAUUUUUCAGAAUUUUUGCAGUUACAUAAGUAUACGAAGUUUUCAGAUUGCUACAGACUAUUCUGUUUUUGACAGAUUAUAUUUUCUUUUUGUUGUGUGCUUAUUUUGAUGAAUAUAUGGACUUUAUUGGAGGGUAUAAGCUAUAGUAAAGUUCGAAUACAGUACAUAUAAUGCAAAAAUAAAAUAUGAAUGGGUUUGCAACAGUACUUAGACUAGUGAUUUGCUUUGUUAUACUAACGGAUCUCACGAUGGUUUUGUUGAGUUUUGUGUGAUUGAAGUUUUUCAAGUUUUGGGUGAGAUCACGAUGGAUGAAGGAAUAAGGAGUAUGAAGAGACUAAUCUCGGGGAGGCCCAUGGCACCCCAAGUUAUUAUCCAAAGAGGAACAAGCAAUUAAGAUUGGGGAUGCCCCCGAGUGGCAUCCCCUCUUUCUUCUAAUGACCAUCGGUAUUUUACUUGGAGCUAUAUUUUUAUUCGUCACAUAUCAUGAGUUUUGCUUGGAGCAUCUUGUAUUAUAUGAGUCUUUGCUUAUUUUGCUUUUUUAUUUUGUGUCAUCUAUCCUUGCUGGACACACCUAUUUGAGAGGGCCCAAAUUAUGCUAUGGAAUCUUUUUGCUUCACUUAAAUCUUUUUGAGCUAUGGAAUUGAUCUUUGUGCUUCACUUAAAUCUUUUUGAGCUAUGAAAUUGCUCUAGUGCUUCACUUAUAUCUUUUUGAGAACGGUGUGCUUUGGUAUUUUUGAAGAAAUGCUCUCAUACUUCACGUAGAUUUAUUUGAGAGUUAGUAAAUUUUUUAAGAAAUCCUCUCAUGCUUCACAUAAAUUAAUUUGAGAGAAGAAAUUUUUUAUGCUCGUGUUCUUCACUUAGAUUUGUUUGAGCUAUCAAAAGCAACAUAUGAAAUUAGUCCCAAAGUGAUAGAUAUUCAAGAGGGAUAUAAUAAAAACUUUCAUGAAGAUCGUUAGACAAAAUAAACUUGAUUCUUUGUAAUAGUUUUGCGGUAUGACGAUAUAAUAUGUGAGUCAUGUUGAUGAGUUAUUACGCUUUAGUGAGAAUAUUGAUGUUAAGGUUUGUGAUUCUCUAUGUAAGCACGAAAGUCAAUAGUUAUGCAAUGAAAUUACAUCCUACUUGUCGUGCAUUAUUCGGUGUUAGUUCUGCUUAAUUCUUGCUUAUGAGAUUUUUUGUUUCUUGGUUGGAUGCUUCUCAAUAUUUUGCUAGCCUUCAAUUGUACUAAGUGGGAUUACUACUUGUGCAUCCAAAAUCCUUGAACCCAGUUUUUGCCAUAUGAGUCCACUAUACCUACCUAUAUGCGGUAUUCAUUUGCCGUUCUAAGAAAAUUUGUAUGUGCCAUCUCUAAUCUUCAAAAUAACUUCCUUUUUGUGUGCUCGUACCGCUCAUGAAACGGUAGGGGGUGGCUGAUAUUUUUCCAUGCUAGAUGUGUUAUUCUCAAGAUGAGUGUUUAUUCACUUGUCACUGCACGAGAGUAUGGCAAAGUUAUUAGGGAUGCCCAGUCCUGAAAUGAAAAAUGAAUUUACUUUAUGUUGUCAAAUAAUAAACUCCUUGGAAAGUGUUGGUAUGGACGGUACCCGUGGAUUCGGUUCGCCGUGGAAUGUGAAAGUAUGGUGGAAAAAGGAAUAAACUUUAUUUUCUGUUUGGGAACCACCUAUGAUAUAUCUAGCAUGGAAAGUAUUGGGAACUACUCGAUCGUUUUCAUUGACAGGAAAGGCAUGCCACCCAAAAUGUCUUAUCUCUAUCUUUUUCCGCUUUUAGCUCUGGCACCUCUACAAAUCCCUACUUCCCUCUGCGAAGGGCCUGUCUAUUUACUUUAUGAAAUUUUUAUUUUUAUUUCAAGUCUCCAUCUUCUCUUACAAAGCACCAACUAAGGGGCACUACGAUCGUACCAUAGCAUUGGGUGUAGCUAAUAUGCGAGUGUGUUUCAUGAAUGGAUCAAUGAUUGAGCAUAAUGGGCUAGGGAUAAAUUGCUUUAGUGUUGAUAUUUUGAAAGACAUGGUUGCUUGUUGAUAUGCUUGAGUAUUGAAAUCUUCAUAUCAACACUAGACUAUUCCUUUGAAUCAUAUAAAAGUCCAAAUGUCCAUGCUACAAAAGAAAAAGAAUAUGUGAUGAACAUGAUAGGCAACAUUCCACAUCAAAAAUUCUAUUUUUAUCAUUUACCUACUCGAGGAGGAGCAGGAAUUAAGCUUGGGGAUGCUGAUACGUCUCCAACGCAUCUAUAAUUUUUCAUUGUCCCAUGUUGUUAUAUUAUCAUUUUUGGAUGUUUUACAAUCAUUUUAUAACAACUUUAUAUCUUUUUUGGGACUAGCCUAUUGACAUAGUGCCUAGUGCCAGUUGCUGUUUUUUGCUUGUUUUUACACUGCAGAAAAUCAAUACCAAAUGGAGUCCAAAUGCAGCGAAACAUUUUGCAGAAUUUAUUUGGACCAGAAGACACACGAUGGGCCAAUAGAGUACUAGAGGGGGGCUCCGAGGGAAGCACAACCCACCUGGGCGCGCCCUGGUGGGUUGUGCACACAUCGGCUCGCUAUCGUGCCGCCUCUUUGCUCCAUAAAUACCCCGAAAAUCCAAAAACCCUAGGAGUCGACGAACACAAUUCCAGCUGCCGCAAGUUCCACAAAGCACAGAUCCAAUCUAAACACUGAUACGUCUCCAAUGUAUCUAUAAGUUUUUAUUAUUCCACGCUAUUAUAUUAUCUGUUUUGGAUGUUUUAUAUGCAUUAAUAUGCUAUUUUAUAUUAUUUUUGGGACUAACCUAUUAACCUAGAACCCAGUGCUAGUUCCUGUUUUUUCUUGUUUUAGAGUUUCGCAGAAAAGGAAUAUCAAACAGAGUCCAAACGGAAUGAAACUUUGGCGAUGAUUUAUCUUUGACCAGACGAUAACCAGAGGACUUGGAGUACACGUCAAGGAAGCCACAAGGAAUCCCAAGGGGGUAGGGCGGGCCCCCCACCCUUGCGGACCCCUAGUGACACCACCGACCAAUUUCUUCCGCCUAUAUAUUCUCAAAUACCCCAAAACCUUCUAGGAGAGCCACGAAACCACUUUUCCACCGCUGCAACCUUCUGUACCCGUGAGAUCCCAUCUAGGGGCCUUUUCCGGCAUCCUGCCAGACGGGGACUCGAUCACGGAGCGCUCCUACAUCAACAUUGCCUCUCCGAUUAAGCGUGCGUAUUUUACCACAAACCUACGGGUCCAUAGCUAGUAGCUAGAUGGCUUCUUCUCUCUCUUUGAUUCUCAAUACCAUGUUCUCCUCGACGUUCUUGGAGAUCUAUUCGAUGUAAUACUUUUUUGCGGUGGGUUUGCCGAGAUCCGAUGAAUUGUGUAUUUAUGAUCAGCUUAUCUAUGAAUAUUAUUUGAAUCUCCUCUGAAUUCUUAUAUGCAUGAUUUGAUAUGUUUGCAAGUCUCUUCGAACUAUCGAUUUGGUUUUGCCACCUAGAUUUGUUUUUCUUGCAAUGGGAGAAGUGCUUAGCUUUGGGUCAAUAUUGCGGUGCUCGAUCCUAGUGAUAGAAGGGGAACCGACACGUAUUGUAUUGUUGCCAAUGAGGAUAACAAGAUGGGGUUUUCAUCAUAUUGCUUGAGUUUAUCCCGCUACAUCAUGUCAUCUUACUUAAUGUGUUACUCUUUUAUUCAUGAGCUUAAUACUCUAGAUGUAGGCAGGAGUCGGUCGAUGUGUGGAGUAAUAGUAGUAGAUGCAGGCAAGAGUCGCUCUACUUGAUACAGAUGUGGUGCCUAUAUUCAUGAUCAUUGCCUUAGAUAUCGUCAUAACUUUGCGCUUUUCUAUCAAUUGCUCGGCACUAAUUUUUUCACCCAACGUAAUAUUUUCUAUCUUAAGAGAAGCCUCUAGUGAAACCUAUGUUCCCGAGUCUAUUUUCCAUCAUAUAAUCUUCUAUUUUCCAUCAUAUAAGUUUCCGAUCUACAAUUUUAGUUUCCUAUUUACUUUCUUUGCAAUAUUUUGCAUUCCGAUCUAUAAACCAAAAAUACCAAAAAUAUUACUUUACCGUUUAUCCAUCUAUAUCAGAUCUCACUUUGCAAAUAAUUGUGAAGGGAUUGACAACCCGUUUAUCGCGUUGGGUGCAAGUUGGUGUUUGUUUGUGCAGGUAUUCGGUGGCUUGUGCAUUGUCUCCUACCGGAUCGAUACCUUGGUUCUCAAAACUGAGGGAAAUACUUACUCUACUUUGCUGCAUCACCCUUUCCUCUUCAAGGGAAAAACCAACGCAAGCUCAAGAAGUACUGGGAAGAAUUUUUGGCGCCAUUGCCGGGGAGAUCUACGCCAAGCCGAGACAUACCAAGUACCCAUCAUAAACUCUCAUCCCUCGCAUUACAUUAUUUGCCAUUCGCUUCUCGUUUUCCUCUCCCGCACCUCUCACUACUAGGAAAAGGGCUAUAGACAAUAUGCACACUAAUGGCGCACCAGACAUGCGGUGCGCCACUACUAUAUAGCGGUGGCGCACCGUGUGCUGGUGCGCCAUUAGUGUGAUAGACACUAAUGGCGCACCACAACCAUGGUGCGCCACUACUAACAAAUUUUCUUUUUCUUUUUAAAAAAAUACUAAUGGCGCACCGCAACCAUGGUGCGCCACUACUAAUUUUUUUCCUUUUUUCCAAAAAUACUAAUGGCGCUACUUGGCACAGUGCGCCAUUACUAGUUUUAACUAGUAAUGGCGCACCAGUCACCCCGUGCGCCACUACUAUCAUUUUUUUGCAAAACUACUAAUGGCGCACCGCCAGCUGGUGCGCCAUUAGUAACCAGGGUUACUAAUGGCGCAUUUGUUGGUGGUGCGCCAUUAGUAACCUGGGACCAGCUAGAUAUUUUGGACAGCCACCUACACACUCACUUUCCCCACUUCAUUCUCUCCACCUCCUCCUCCAAGCUUGUCUCGGCUGCCUCCUCCUCCUCACCUCAUUUGCACCAUAGAUUCAUCCAAAUUAAGUGGUUAAAUUACCUUUUUUGAUAGGUAAGUAAGGGGAAAGCUUUCUUUAUGUUGUAGAUCUACUUUUUUCUCCCUCCAACAACGUGCACAUGCACUUUUUAUGGCCUAGCUAGAUCUAUGUAUGUUUGUGGUGUUGCAUAUGUUUGUGGUGUUGCAUAUAUGUUUGUGUUUGCACGUACCGGUAUUUGAAAUGCGAUAGUUGCCAAUAUUUUGCCAGAAUGUUGAUUCAUUUCCGUUUCGUCAAGAAUUUUGGCACUAUGCAUUCUUUUUUGUCCUAUUUUUAGGCAAAGUCAUGCCAAAUUUUUUCUUGGUUCUAAAAUAUCGUUUUGCUCUACCCUGCAGGCGACCAUGGUCUGCACGAUGACCGAAGGCAUCGUGAAUAGGUUUUUGAGCUCCGCGAAGGCCGAGAUGCUUCAAAAGAAUGAGACGGAGAUAAGAUGUCCGUGUCGAAGAUGCAAGCUGAGGAGCCUUAUGGACCCGGAUUCCGUACAGGUGCGGGACCACCUGCUCUUGCGUGGUUUCAUGGAUGGCUAUCGGUGGCAAGGUGAUGAAGAUGAUUAUGAAGUCGUCCAUGGGGGCCGGCCGGUAAGAAAUGAGGAAGGGCAGCAAGACAACCGCGGCGAGGGCGGGCGAGAAGACGAAGAAUCUCCAGGACAUGAUCACGAAGUAGAUGCAGUACGCAGUCAUCAUGUAGAAGAUGCCGGACAUAAAGAUGAGGAAGAUGCCGGAGCAGACGAAGGGCAUGAUCAUGAAGAUGAAGAUGCCGGAGCGGACGACGAUGGACCAUCGAUGGGCUGGGUGCAGGACCCUCAUAUUCAAGAGCUGCUUCUCAAGCAGACGGAUAACGCAAGAGCUGCCGCCCGAGAGAAAGCCAAGCUGGAUCAACUGGAGAUAGACGCGGUUACUCCAUUGUAUGAAGGAUGCAGGCCCGAGGAUACCCGCCUGAAAGUAACGCUCAUGGCUCUGGAGAUGAAGGUAAAACACAAAAUGACCGACGCAUGCUUCGACGAGAACAUGUCAUUCUGGCACGAACGUCUUCCCAAGGGGAACAAGUGCCCGACCAGUUUUGAGGAGGCGAAGAAAAUCGUGUGUCCUCUGGAUUUACCGCACGUGAAAUACCAUGUGUGCAUGAACAAUUGCAUCAUUUAUCGGGACGAGCACGCGGAGUCUACCAUAUGUCCGGUGUGCGGCGUCACUCGAUACAAGAAGAGGAAGAAAGCUCCUCGAAAAGCGGUGUGGUACUUUCCGAUCGCUCCUCGUGUGCAGCGGUAUUUCGCGGACCCUAAGGUAGCAAAGCUCUUGCGUUGGCACGCGGAUAGGGAGGAGAAGAAGCGAGAAGAUGACGCAAAUGAUCCGGAGAUAAAUAAAAAAGACAAGAUGCUGAGUCACCCUAAGGAUGGGAGCCAGUGGCAAGCGUUGAACUUCGAACACCCAGAAUUUGGGAACGAUCCAAGGAACAUCGUGCUGGGCGCGAGCACCGAUGGAGUCAAUCCGUUUGGCAGCCAGAGAAGCACACAUAGCACCUGGCCUGUGUUUGUGGAUGUACAACCUUCCCCGCUGGUUGUGCAUGAAGAGGAAGUACAUUCACAUGAGUAUGCUAAUUGAAGGGCCGAAACAACCAGGGAACGACAUCAAUCUGUAUCUGGGGCUGCUGAAAGAGGAGCUAGACACGCUGUGGAAAACGCCAGCCAAUACGUGGGACACCGCAGAGAAAGAAUAUUUCCCUAUGAGAGCCGCUCUGCUCACGACGGUGCACGACUAUCUCGAUUACGGAUAUGUCGCGGGGCAGGUGGUCCACGGAUUUUCUGGAUGCGUCAGGUGCAUGGAUGACACAACAUAUCGCCAGCUAGAUAGAGAUCUCAGGUCUUCGAAAACCGUGUUCAUGGGACAUCGAAGGUGGCUUCGCGACGAUGACUCAUGGAGGAAACGCAAGGAUCUGUUCGAUGGUGAAACCGAAACCCGAAGACGCCCGCGUACGAGGAGCGACAAGGAAAUAGACGAGUUGUUGAAAAAUUGGAAAGAUUGCCCACUGCCGGGAAAGAAGCAAAAGGCACCAGAGCCGGAAAAGAAGCGAAAGGCGCAAGAGCCGCUGCUGAAGGUAUGGAAAAUGAGGUCUGUUUUCUGGGACUUGCUGUACUGGAAGAUCCACCGUGUGCCUCACAGCCUUGAUGUCAUGCAUAUCACGAAGAACGUGUGCGAGAGUCUGCUUGGUACCCUGCUCAACAUGCCGGAGAGGACCAAAGAUGGGCCGAAAGCAAGGGCAGACUUGAAAUCAAUGGGCAUCAGGGAGGAGCUUCACGCUAAUGAUGAUGAUGAUGAGGCGAAGCAGGACACGGAAAGUCGUCGCAAAGGCAAAAAGGCCAAGAAGACCGAAAAUGACUUCCCUCCCGCGUGCUUCACUCUAAGUCAGGAGGAGAUCGAUCAGUUUUUCACCUGCCUCGUAGGAGUAAAACUUCCUUACGGUUACGCGGGGAAGAUAAGCAGAUACCUAGACUCAGCGAAGCAGAAGUUCAGCGGGAUGAAGUCUCAUGACUGUCACGUGCUGAUGACGCAGAUACUUCCAGUUGCAAUCCGUGGGAUCAUGGACGCGCACGUCCGUGAAACGCUAUUUGGCCUAUGCAACUUUUUCGACGUCAUCUCUCGGAAGUCGGUUGGUGUGAGGCAACUCAGAAGGCUACAUGAAGAGAUCGUAGUGAUACUAUGCGAGCUUGAGAUGUACUUCCCGCCCGCAUUCUUCGACGUUAUGGUGCAUCUGCUGGUCCAUAUCGUGGAGGAUAUCAUCCAACUCGGGCCGACGUUCCUGCACAGCAUGAUGCCGUUCGAAAGGAUGAAUGGUGUCAUCAAAGGAUACGUUCGCAACAUGUCACGUCCAGUGGGAAGCAUAGCCAGGGGCUUUCUGACCGAAGAGUGCAUCUCCUACUGCACGAAUUAUCUAGGCAUCGAGAACCCCGUUGGUCUGCCCGCCAACAGGCACCUCGGCAGGCUCGCUGGAUGGGGUCAUCGUGAGGGUUGCCGCGAAAUGCAUGUCGAUUUCGAGGGUCGACUCGCCGACUUUGAAAGAGCAAACCUAGUCGCGCUACAACACAUAGACGUGGUCGAUCCUUGGGUGGUAGAGCACAAAACCUUUAUUGAGAAGACGUACAAUGACCGAGACCAACAGAGGACGGACGGAGAUAUAAUCAAAGAGCACAACUCAUAUUUCACGCGUUGGUUCAAGCAGCAUGAGGAUUCUUCCGCGGAAGAACAACUCAAAUUCGCCUUGUCACAGGGCGCCGAGCACAACCUGAUGACGUAUGAGGCGUACAAUAUCAACGGCUACACAUUCUACACCGAGGGAAAGGACAUGAAGAGCGAUGGUUAUCAGAACUCUGGGGUAACGAUGGAAUCCUACACCGGUAACGAUAAGGACAGAUACUACGGAAGGAUCGAGGAGAUCUGGGAGCUGAGCUAUGCUGGAGAGAAGGUCCCGAUGUUCCGUGUCAGAUGGGCCAAGAGCGUCCUAAAAGAAGACCGGUAUUUCACCACCAUGGUUAUACCCGAAGCCAAAUCCAAGACCGCGGGCGCAAACGACACCGUGAAAAAUGAGCCAUGGGUACUGGCUUCCCAAGUGGACCAAUGCUUCUUCAUUACCGACCCGUCAAAGCCCAGUCGUGUUGUCGUGAGGAGAGGCAAAAGGAAGAUCAUCGAAAUGGAUGGAGUCGCCAAUGAGCAAGACUUCGACAAGUACGGCGACCCGAAGAUGGAACAUGACGACGAUGAUGAAGUACCAGCAUACACCACAAGAAGAAGCAGGACCACCCUACCUAAAGGACGUCCGUUCAAGAGAAGAACUCCAUUUACGAAAAAUAAGGGCAAGAAGAUUGUGAACAGAUAGCUAGCUAAGAUCGAUUGUAUUUAAAUUGUAGCCUUCAUUUCUCGAUUGUAUUUCAUGGGCACUUUUUGAACUCAUGAAUAUUUUUAAAUUUCAUGGGCACUUUUUGAAUUCAUGAAUAUUUUUUCAAAUUUCACCGCCGCCGCCGCCGACCCCCCGCACCCUCCCCCGCUCCACCGCCACCGACGACCCACCGCACCCUCCCCCGCUCCACCGCCNNNNNNNNNNNNNNNNNNNNNNNNNNNNNNNNNNNNNNNNNNNNNNNNNNNNNNNNNNNNNNNNNNNNNNNNNNNNNNNNNNNNNNNNNNNNNNNNNNNNNNNNNNNNNNNNNNNNNNNNNNNNNNNNNNNNNNNNNNNNNNNNNNNNNNNNNNNNNNNNNNNNNNNNNNNNNNNNNNNNNNNNNNNNNNNNNNNNNNNNNNNNNNNNNNNNNNNNNNNNNNNNNNNNNNNNNNNNNNNNNNNNNNNNNNNNNNNNNNNNNNNNNNNNNNNNNNNNNNNNNNNNNNNNNNNNNNNNNNNNNNNNNNNNNNNNNNNNNNNNNNNNNNNNNNNNNNNNNNNNNNNNNNNNNNNNNNNNNNNNNNNNNNNNNNNNNNNNNNNNNNNNNNNNNNUCCACCGCCACCGACGACCCCCCGCACCCUCCCCUCUGCCCUCUAUCACAGCGGGGACAACAGGAAGCCGCCGUCGCGCCCCUCUGCACCGGCUGCCCACGGCGCCUCCGUCCCGAAGCCGCAGCCCAAGUGCCCACCACUCUCUGUCCACGGUGAGCCAUCCUCUCUGUCCCAACUCUCUGUUCUUCUUUUUUAGCUAUCCUUUGUUGAAACAGUAGUUGCUGUGUAGCAAAUCUUUGGGAUUAGUGUUCAGUACUUUGUUGGGUGAGCGGCCAUCUGAGACAUCCUGCUUACAUAGUCUCCUUUUUAAAACUCGUCAAAUUGGUUUUAGAUAGAAAUGAUCAACACUCAAUUGGCCAACUGCAUGUGGAAUGAUUUCGAAGGGCGCCAUAACUUAUUGUAGAUGCUGACUACAAUAACAAUACUAAACUCAGUGUAGUCUGUUGUAAAGACACUUGUGCUUCUUUCAUCUGGAAAGGGGUCGUCUGGCCUCCAAAACUGUCAGAUUAGGUUGUGCUGUAACUCCUCACAUGGCCAUGUUUUUGGAAGAUUGGUCGUUUGUCACCGGCCCUUUGGUCACCCAGCAAUGGGACUUGUAUCAUAUUGCCAAUGAGGUUAAUAAAACAGUAGUGCAUCAGUACUUUGUUGGAACAGAAAGUCAGAAAAUCAGAAAAUCCACGGUACUUUGUUUAGAUCUUCACUGUUGACAAACGCAGUCAACUAAAAAUCCAGUUCAGUGCAUAAUUAGUGUUGACAAAUACACUGAUCUUUAUCUGCAGUAAUUCAGUUUAAACUGAAAAUUCAGUGUUGUAGUACAGAAAAUUUAAACUGAAAAUUCAUAGUCUCCUGGUGCAUAUUGAUCUCAGUGUAUGAAUUCAUAGUGUUUCAAAUUACUGAUGCUAUGGUCCAGGAGUAGAAAAAUUUGUACUCCAAGAUCAAUAUGGUUCAAUUUCUACUGUACUGUAAUCAAAGUGGAUAUAAAUUGCAGAGUGUUUAUGUUGGCAUUCGACAACAUCUAAAUUUACCAAAUGAUUGUGAACUCAGUUUAUGUUUGCAACCAAAUGCUUAGUUCAUUGUUUACUCCAAAUGAUUGUGAACUUAUUCAAAGUUUCCAAUAUUGUUCAGACACUACUUGUACUGGAACUGGAACUACUACUACUGAUGCAGCACCCCAUGUAGUUUAAGUUUUCUUUAUCUUAAACUCAGACAGCUCUCUAAUUAUUGGAGUUUAUAUCAUAUAUAUUGCUGGCAUGUAUUUCAUAUGUUCUGUAGCAUUAAGGCUACAUAGCAUUGCUUUUGUCUCUGACCAUCGUGUCGUGAUGAUAUUGUGGGGUGUUGUGGGGUUGCAGAGGCCCUUGAGUUUCAUCGCGAUGAUGCUAAUCGUGAUGACCGCAGCUCUCUUCUAUGUGAUGGUAGUUUAGAUGAUCGAUAUCGACUUGUAAUGUGAAGACAAACUCGCUACUCGCGGUUUCGAGACUUGUAGUGUUCUAACUUUGUUUGGUCUUUUGAAUUCGGAGACUAAUAUGAUGAAUUGUAUUCGGAGACUAAUCUUCUAUUGUAUUCGAUAACUCUGCUGUUUAUAUGUUGUGUGUCUAUAUUCUGUGCAGUAAUAUGUUUUGUAACCUGUGCAAAUAUCAGAAAAGAAAAAAAUCCCUAAUAUUCAUACUAGUGGCGCACCACCCAGAACUUUAGUGGCGCACUGCAAAAUGCAUACUAGUGGUGCAUCAGCAAGCAGUGCGCCAUUAGUAAGCCAGAGACAUGGUUAAAUAUGGCCCCCUGGGAGGCAUUCUAAUGGCGCAUCAUAGGGUGUACUAAUAGCGCACUACAUGGUGCGCCAUUAGUAUCUGAUAUACUAAUGGCACACUUGUGGUGCGCCAUUAGUAAUAAAAUCUAAUGGCAUGGUACUAGUGGCGCACCUGUAGUGCGCCAUUAGUAGGCAAAACAGGUGCGCCACUAGCAGCCCUUUUCCUAGUAGUGUCUAAAACGAUUUUCGAAAAAUUUGUCUUUUCUUCGCCCCUCUUUCGUGCGUCUUCUUCUUUUGCUCUUUGUUCGCUUGUCCGUUUGAUCUUUUAUCUUGCUGUCAUGGCUAGUUUUCCAUCCUUGUUAGCACUCCCAAUAAUAAGGUCCUCAACUUCAAACAAAGGGAAGGAGAAAAUUUAAAAGAUGCUUGGUAUAGAAUUUAUAAUGCUCAAAUUUGAUGAUUACUGCUGGAGAUGACUAACAUCCUAGAUGUUACUCACUAUGUCUAGAUACAUUCGUUUGAGUGUCAACUAAUUCUGAACAUCUUAGGUGUUACUCCCAAGUCUAGAUACAUUUUUUUGAGUGGCAACUAAUUCUGAAUGGAGGAAGUACACAAAGCUAAGCCACAGCCAUGAAAUAUAUAUAGGGCGGGGGGCGCUCGUUCCACAAGGAGCGGCGGGUAGCUUAGCUAUAGCUCGAUCGAUGAAUAUGGCUGUAGAUGGGUUUGGUGAGCUGGGCAUUCGUGUGGUGAGUCGCCGGCUGGUGCUCUGCCUGCCAGCUACUGCUCUGCCUGCCGCUCCACCUCCUUGUCGAUCGCGCCCACCCAAACGGACGUCCAUGACACAUACACCGACAAUGUGCUCCUCCACGGCCACGACUACCCAAGUAGUGGCCACGGCACCUCCUCCACAGGCUCGGGCGUGGGCGGUGCUGGUGGUGGUGGGGGCACGUUGGCCUCCACUCCGGCCGCCAAUUGGGCCAGCGCCUGCGCAAGGCCAGGCCACCUGGCCUUGCUCCUCGCGCUCGGCCUCCACGAUGGCCCUCCAUGUGGCCUCCUCGAGGGACACAACACAGGCCUCCUCGGCAUCCUAAUCCUCCUCCUUCACCACUCCCGGAAGUGGUGGUGGAGUGGCAAGAACGCGUGGUGCACCGGGCGCACACUUGACGCACUACCGGCAAUGUUGGUCGUGCUCGGUGGCAAACCACGCGUCCUAGUUACCGCAUACGUUGGGUCACGGCGGAGGUUGGCUAGGAGUAGAGCAUGGGAUCUCCGUCAGCUGUGCGCGGCCUGAGGCCGGCACCGGAACCCUAGCAAGGUUGAGGUCCCACCCGUGCGGUAGGUUCACACUGGGCUAUGGCGCAGGCACGCCAUACUCCCAAAAGUACUGGUAGCGGUGCAUCGGCAUGUAGUGCCGAAACCAUGGCUGCCGACUCAAGGUCGAUUUAUCUGUUCUUAUAAACUAGCGAAUUAGCAACUAUAUUACCCAAGAGUAACAACCAAGUCAUAUAUACAAUGUACGCUUGCAACCAUUGAAUAAAUUGUACAGAAUACCAAACAAAGAAGAUUGAACGAGGUCGUGGAACAACUCACAUGCACCAUCCACAGGUCAAGUGGAUGAUCCCAAUGAUGAGCGAAUGAUCCUAAUGACGAGCAGUUGGCGAGAUUAUGUUGCUCUUGUGAUGGUUAGUGAUGUCUGCGCUAGAGCUUGCUUACAACCUUGCGAGGUAAGGAGCUACGGCUACAUGCGUAUUAGGUUUUAUAAGCCGUGAAACCUCGAUAAAAGUUGCCGCUAUAAGUUUUUUCUUCAUGUCACUAUAAACCUUAUNNNNNNNNNNNNNNNNNNNNNNNNNNNNNNNNNNNNNNNNNNNNNNNNNNNNNNNNNNNNNNNNNNNNNNNNNNNNNNNNNNNNNNNNNNNNNNNNNNNNNNNNNNNNNNNNNNNNNNNNNNNNNNNNNNNNNNNNNNNNNNNNNNNNNNNNNNNNNNNNNNNNNNNNNNNNNNNNNNNNNNNNNNNNNNNNNNNNNNNNNNNNNNNNNNNNNNNNNNNNNNNNNNNNNNNNNNNNNNNNNNNNNNNNNNNNNNNNNNNNNNNNNNNNNNNNNNNNNNNNNNNNNNNNNNNNNNNNNNNNNNNNNNNNNNNNNNNNNNNNNNNNNNNNNNNNNNNNNNNNNNNNNNNNNNNNNNNNNNNNNNNNNNNNNNNNNNNNNNNNNNNNNNNNNNNNNNNNNNNNNNNNNNNNNNNNNNNNNNNNNNNNNNNNNNNNNNNNNNNNNNNNNNNNNNNNNNNNNNNNNNNNNNNNNNNNNNNNNNNNNNNNNNNNNNNNNNNNNNNNNNNNNNNNNNNNNNNNNNNNNNNNNNNNNNNNNNNNNNNNNNNNNNNNNNNNNNNNNNNNNNNNNNNNNNNNNNUAUAUAUGUAUAUAUAUAUGGGGCAUGAAACUGCAAACUACCACUAUUGUUGCCGGUGGACCUCCCGGCUCCGGUGCACAUCCCAACGUCGCCCUCGUGAAGCAAGCGAAUGGCCCCGCGAGCAUGUGGACGUUGUCCAUGUGGCAUUGGGUUCCCGCUUCUUGAGUGAACCGGAAAAAAAACCCAAAGCUGGUCAAUCUUCGGCUCGAAAGGAAGCCUGGCUUAUGGUUUUGUGUUUUCGCGCCGGCGUAGCCGCUCUCCGUCUGGGUGAGCGAGCGGUGGAGGACUGCCGCAAUGGAGGAGAUGGUGGUCCUUGGGCCCCGAUGCCUUUCGUGGCAUGAGGGCCGUGUCUUGUAUUCGAUGGCCGGGGACGCCAUCCGGAGCAGCUUGAGAAGGCACCGUCGGGGCUUUGCGCUUGCACCCCUAUGCAGCCAUGCCCGGCGCAGCGGGCUGUCCGCUGUGUGUCUUGCGGAGUCUGAGUGCAUCCAUCGGCUGAUUUUUAUUUUAUUCUUUCGAUGAGGAUUAGUAGUCGGAGAGUAGAUAGGUUCUUCCUCGAUCCCAUGAUAUAAAAGCUUGGGUGUUCGUUGACGCUAGCAAUGUCAAAAACGCUCUUAUAAAAUGGGAGGGAGUCCCUCGCAAAGAAAAAAAGAGAGUAGAUAGCUACUUUAUCUUUUAUUUUGAAGGUGGGAGUAGAUUGAUAACUACUUAGUGCACGUACGAAAAGAAAGACACGAUCGCCUAAAAAAAAGAAAUACUAUAUUGAGAUAUAUAUAGGGCGUGCGGGCGCUAGCAGUUCCACAACGAGCGGCGGGUAGCUAGGUUCAACAUCCAUAUAGGUUGAAUAUGGCUGUAGAUGGGUUUGGCGAGGUGGGCAUUCGUGUGGUGAGUCGCCGGCUGGUGAAGGCAUCCGACCCCUCCAUCCAACCGCAGGUGGUGCCCCUCUCCAACCUCGACCUGUACGUCGGCAACGUACAAGUCGCCAUACUAUGCCUCUAUCCCAAGCCUCCGGCGGGCAGGGAUUUCGCCGGCGUGGUGGCCACCUUCGAGUCCUUGCUGCCGGCUUUACUCAACGAGUUCUACCCUUUCGCCGGCCGCAUCGGCACCAACCCAAGCUCAGGCCUCCCCGAGCUGCUCUGCCAGAACCAGGGCGCAGAGCUGGUCGUGGGAGAGGUCCGCGUCGCUCUGGGGAGCCUGGACUACGGCCUGGCGGACAAGUCCCUGAAGAAGCUGAUGCUCCCGUACGCGGAGGACGUCACCUUCUCGGUGCAGCUGCUAUCCUUCGCCUGCGGCAGCUUCUCCGUGCUGUGGGCAACCAACCACCUCGUCGGCGACGGCCAUGACAACAUCAGGUUCCUGCGGAUGUGGUCUGAGCUCGCACGAACGGGCAAAAUCGUCGCCGACGGCGGGGACGGAAAGCUAAGCCACGACCGCUCGGUGUUCCGCCCUCGCAACCCGCCGUCAUACAGAGCCUCGCUCGCCACCGACCUAACGACGUUCGACCCGCGCCGGCUGGUAAACGUCCUGACGGCCCACGACAGCUUCGUCGACCGCCUCUACUACAUCGACGCGGCCGACAUCGCCAGGCUGCGCGAGAUGGCGAGCACCAAGCUGCAGCGCUCGUCACGCGUCCAGGCCGUGUCCGCGUACCUGUGGAAGGUCCUCGCCGGCGUGGUUGCCGCUUCCCGCGUGCCCGAGGAGCGCUGCCGCAUGGGGUGGUGGGUGAGCGCGCGCCGUCGUCUCACGUCGCCUGACCUCGCCUCUGCGAUGCGCAACUACUUCGGCAACGUCACGACCUAUGCCUACGGGGACGCGACGCUGGAGGAGAUCCAGCGCAAGUCGCUCGCGGAGGUGGCGGCCAUGGCGCGGGAGCCGGUCGCCUCCGUCAACUACGACGAGUACAUCCAGGAUCUGGUGGACUUCGUGGAGGUGCACAAGGGACAAGGGCUGAUGGAGACGGCCGUCGUCGGGCUGGGCAGCCCGACCCUAAGCCAGUCCGUGUUCGACUCAUUCCCACUCGACACCGACUUCGGCUUCGGCCAAGCUGCUCUCGCCAUGCCCAUCUCCGACUUCGCCAACCUCUGCUCAGCCUACCUGUCCAUCAGCGCGCGGCCGGCAGGCGACGGCUCCUGGCUCGUCAGUGCCUACAUAUGGCCGCGUCUCGCCGCCGCCCUCGAGGCCGAUGAGCAGCACAUCUUCAAGCCUCUCACGGCGGACUACCUUGGCCUCACAGCCUGCUAGACAACACCCACGCUAUUCUGUGUGUUCUUUUAGCCAACAAUAAAAUUCCUUGGUGUUUUGCUCUUCUUCCAACAAUAAAAUCCUUGUGUUGUGUUGUGUGGUGCUAUGUACUUUGGUUUUUUUCUUCAUCCAACAAUAAAGUUAGGAAGCGUUACUUUUUGAAAAAUAGCACACCUUAUAUAUACAUUUACUUUGAAAGUUAGAGAGGAUUUACUUUGAAAGUCACAGGUUUGCCAAGCACCUGAGGAAAAACACUCGGCAAAGCCAGCCCUUGGUUUCCGUCAGCCAAUAAAAGAUAGAUCACACGCGUGGCCGCCUGCUUAGCUAUAACCAAGGGCUCGCCGCCGCCAUACCCCCUUCACCUCCCCGCUGCCCCCAUCGGCCUCCUAAUUCCGACCACAGCCGCCUCUAUCCCCCACUAGCCGUCCAACUUUCUCCUCUUCAUAGAUCUAAAACUAGGAAUGGGUUGGAGGGCUCAAUGAACUAGAUCUACUAUAUAGUCAUCUUUGAGCUCAGCUAUUGGGCAUCAUUGCUAGUUGCAAGCUCCCAAUUGGUCACAUCACUGCUAUUCAUAUACCAGCGGGAUCAAAUUGGCCUCUACACGAGUAAGUUGGUCCCUACGGUGAAGUACAGCAGUGGGCCCAUAUUGGCACCCACCACUGAUAGGUGGCAAAGUAAAAUUGGCAUGUGAAAAGAAUUGCCAUGUACUGAUAAGAAUUUACCAGUGCGGUCCCACUUUGCACACACCACUGGGAAAAAAAUGAGACCAACCCAAGGGAUAACCCUCGUUGGCAUUUUCUUUAUAGGAGAAACUUCGCGAGCACCACACGUCCAAGCCGAAGCUCGAACUCGCGUGGGCUGGCAGCUACCCCAGCUACCGAGCCGACGGGUCGACGCCCCGUCCUCGCACACACCUAUGUGAUUUGGCUAUAUUAUGAGUUGGUGGGCCAUUAGUGUUUUAUGCAUAUUCCAAAAAAUCACAUUGUUUUACCAAUAUUCUGCGGCAGAAGCUUAUCCUCAAAGUGCACAUAUCCCAUAUUUACGAAAAAUACUCGUUUAUUCGUUUUUCUGCAGACCGCUCGGCGUUAAGGUUGGUUUACAGCCGAGCAAGCCGACUGCUCGGCGGGAUGAAGAUGAAAAGGCAGUGGGCUAAGCCGCGUGUGUUUUAUCAACUACAUGGGCUACAUUUAGGUAUUUCAAAACCAAAGGGCAAUAUAUAAGCCGAGUAAGGCGUUAGAGGACACUCGGCCAAUACCAAGACGUCGUCAUGGAGCCGUCAAGCACGUGGCAAUAGAAACACUGCAGUUGCUUGCGUGAGCCACACGUGUAUGCCGUGGUUUUUCUACAUAAUAUAUCGUGUUCUUUCUGUAGGCCAUGCGUCUUUUUACGUUGUAUUCGGUUUACAUGGAGCUAAGUUGAGGGACCUGCAAAUGCCGUGUGUUUUCAAGAUGGUACUCGGCUUAGGGUCUCUUUGAUUCAAAGGAUUUUGAUAGGAUCUUUGAAGGAUUAAAAUCCUGAGGAAGUUUUCCUAUGUUGGUCGUUUGAUUUGUAGGAUUGAAUCAUGUAGGAUUUUUUUCUAAAGAUGUAUUUGUACUACAUUUUACAGGAAUUCUAACAUCCACUCCAACCUUUUGGAAGAAAUCCUUUGUUUUCUCCAUGACACAAUCAAACAAACUCAAAUCCUAUAGGAAUCCAAUGGACAUGUCAUUCCAAUCCUACGUUUUUCCUAUGGAAAACUAUUAAAAUCAUCCGACUUAUUUUUCACGAACGUAAACCGUCUUUGACGGACGCCACGUGUCCCUGCUGGUCGCUCACUCCUUAUCCUUAUCUUUUCUCCAGAAGAAGCGUGAGCCACUCAUUCCUUUUCCUCCUUUUUCUUCUUCCUUCGAGCAAACAUGCUUUCCCAGGGACGGCUCUCUCCAGCAAUCCCAGUCGCCGCUCACUUCGUGUUGAUGUAGGGCUAGGCUGAGAGGAUGCUCCUUCCAUGGCCGGCGGCGGAGCUGCGUUUGGUGAUGCGCGACGAUGUUGCGGCCACGUUGACGGCAAAGCUGCGUUGGAGCAGAAGGUGCUACGAGCUGCUGCCAUGACCGGCGGCGCUACUGCACAGCAACGGCGAAGCUGCGUUUCAGCAGCAAACAGCUAUGAGCUGCUGCCAUGGCGGGCAGCAGAGCUACAUGGCAGCAUGCAGCAGGCGAUGCGUCAAUGAAACUUGGCCGGAGCUCCAUUGAAGCUUCGCCGGUGCGUCAAUGAAACUUCGCCGGAGCUCCAUUGAAGCUUCGCCGGUGCGUCAAUGAAGCUUGGCCGUAGCUCCAUUGGAGCUUCGCCGGGGCGUCAAUGAAACUUCGCCGGAGCUCCAUUGAAGCUUCGCCAGUGCGUCAAUGAAGCUUCGACGGGGUGGCUCGGUGUUGCUAUGGAGCAGCACCCGGUGGCUCUCGGUGUUGUGAUGCAGCGGUCGCCGGUGGCUCCGGGGACGCGAGGUCGCCGAGGCAGGGUGACAGGGGAGGGUCUGCGUUGCUCUGCAUCAGGAGGAGUUGUUGUGCGCUGCUCUGUAUCAGAUGGCUGGGGAUUAGUGGAGAAAGGCCCAGGUUGUGUCGCGGCGAUCGAACGACCAUCUGUGCGGACCGAACGGCUGGCUGGGCGGAUGAUAUCUCUAGGAAAUCAUCCGCCUGAUUUGUAGCAGCCGCCUCCUAUUCCUGUGUUUUUGCAAUUCUAUGAAUCUGUCUAAGACGAGUAUCCGAGAAAAUACACCCGGCUUACCAAAAAGCACUAAGCAACAUGUCUUUUUCUCGUAGUGGCCUUUUAAGGUUUUUAUUUUACUUCAUAUAGGGCUCAAAGAGCCAACCUCGCCACCAACAUCGCCUACCAAACUUUGCCCAAGACGUCAUGUCCAUGAUCACAGACCAGUCAGGUUUAAACAUGUUUUCAUCUCUAUGAAAUUCACACAAAAAUUCCAAAUUGACUAGGUGUUUAAACUUAUGUUUCGACAAAGACUCAGACACCUGGACAUUUGAAAAUAGGACAAACGUCGACGCUCACAUGGACGCACCUAGACUCACAUCUAUGAACUUAUACACUAUCUCACUAAAUAGCAUAAAACUACUACAAUUCGGACUAGAGUUUCAAAAAACUACUAAAUAUAUUUUUCCGCUCAUAACUACUAAAUCAGGGGUCGGCUGUUUCAAAAAACCCAAAUCAUCGAGUCUUUAGUAAUUGAUCACGAUUAUGACAGUUGGGGCCAAGCGUAAGAUAACCGUUUGUUUGACCGUUUAGUUUGAAUGUUAACUUACAUGUGGGUCCCACAUGUUAGUUUUUUUAAAAGCAAUCAGGUCCCUGUAAGUUUUCUAAAAUAGCAACCGGGUACAUGUGAGUUUUCUAUAAGGUCCCUAAAAGUUUUUGCAAAAAGCAAUAUAAUCAGGUCUCCAGAGGAGCCGCGCCCGCGGCAGCCUGCUCGAUCCCGAGCGCUCUGCCCGAACCACGACGCUGCCUCCAUCGGCCGGCCAGCCGCGCCCGCAACGGCCGAAUCCACGCCGUGCCUCGCCUGCCACCAUGGCGUGACUCGCAUGCCGCCAUGUCAUGCCUCGCUGGCGGCCGCUGCCACGCCGUGCCUCACCUGUGGCUGCCGCCAUCCCCUGCCGCGAGCUCCUCAAGCUAGACGUGGACGGCCUGCGCCGCUGCUGGAGUGCGCACCUCCCAUUGCCGCGGACGAGGUCGCUGUCUGCUAUGCCUCCUCGAAGCCACCGUCACCACCAGGAGCUACGGUGAGCACCUACCACGACCAUGGGGAGGGUGGGAAGGAGAGGGAGGGUCGCCGCCAGCCAGGCCCGGCCCGGAUGGAGGGGUAGGGGGCGGCCGCCCCAGGCCCCCGAAAUUGAGGGGACCCCACGUUCGUGUGCUCUCUGUAUCCAGCCCAUGUGCUCUCUGUAUCCAGCUGAUGAGAAAAAAUGAUUCUGGGCUACUUUUGAUGAAACAGACCUGUACAUGUAGUGGAACUUGUGUUUCCCUCGCGUAGGUCCGCGGAUGACGACAUGAGCGAUCAACCUAGCGAUAUAUCCUACAAGCCCGAGGGAAACCCCGCCGCCGACACAGCCUCCUCCCGUGGAGGCCUCCCCCGAUGAUUUCUCGUCCAAUGGCGGAUCGAGUAAUUUCAUGUUCAUCGCCCUGGACAGGAGUAACAACACCACCGGCCCUGGCAGGCAGUUUUAAACUACAGAGGUCAGGUUAGCAUCUUCCUGAUGCAUCAUCCAACGGAGCUAGCUAGAUUGAUAUGUGACUAGUUGGUGGCAGAAUUAUUAGAUCUAGUGUAUUAGCGGAGAGGAGUAGGACGUAGUUGUCCUUCUGACUAAUUUUUUUAAUGCAAUCCUUCCGAUUAAUUAAUCUGGUCGUGUUGGAGAUCGAUGAAAGAUGAGGGGAGAGGAUGUCUAGAAUCCAUGGGAUAAUGAUAAUUGGCAAGCUGAAAUUAAUUGGAGGAUUCAUGGUCGAUUCAAUAUGAUUAGGUGGCAAAAUUAAUUUUUAGUAGCUAAAAAAAUUAACUUUUAGUGUUGCAAACUAUGAAGCUAUUCUACCUGCAUGCCACCAAGAGCAGUUCAAAUUACUUUUUGUUUGCCAAACUAUGAAAUAUACAAUGCAUGAAACUUCCCUAUCAAAAUCUUAGCAAAAGUGAGAAAUAAUAAUUAUAAUAAUGUAUAAUUAGAACCCGGAACUAGGUCGACCAGCUGGUUUUGCACGCCAUGAUAAAAAAAUUAACAACAAUUCAUGUUUAAAAUUUAUCUAGACAUGCACAUAAUGAUUAUAAUUUUGGAUAUAUAAAGGGCCUCCGAUUGUAUUUUUGCCCCGGGCCCCUGAAAUCUCAGGACCGGCCGUGCCGCUAGCUUGGGAUGGGAGGGGACGGUCGUCGGCUUGGGAGCGGAGGGGAGGGUCGCCGGCUUGGGAGGGGAGAUGGCCUGCUCGGGAGACACCAGAAGAGAGACGAGAAGAGACAAAGAGGAAGAAGAAAGAGAAUAGCAAGAGGAAACUUACAUGUAGGCCCCACAUGUAAGUUAACGGCCAAACUAAGGUCAAACUGACAGUUUGUUUAGGUGCGGGCCCAACCUGUCGUGACCGUGAUCAACCGAUAAGGACUCGGGGAUUUGGGUUUUUUGAAACAGCCGACCCCCCGGCUUGGUAGUUAUCAGCAAAAAGAAUUUGGUAGUGUUUUGUAACCCUAACGUGAAUUGUAGUAGUUUUAUGCUAUUUACUCAAACGAUCUCUAUGAGCAUUUUCAAGAUACUGAACCGGCACAUCAUUUUGAGAUUGGUGAACACCACAGACGUCUUCAUAGUUGACAGAAACGUCUCCUCCCAAUGAACGAACAUCGCAAAAGCCUGAAAUAAAUCCCAAAAACUGUCAGCACCAUUACCAAGUUUAAAACUUGAACCCUGAUAGGGUUGGUUCCACCACAAGAAAUCUAACUAUUUGAGCCAUGCACAUCUCAUAGUUUUCCCUGUGGCCAUGGAGGGUGCCACAUAUGUAACCCAUUAAUAUGGGAACCCAUACCUGUAAGCUUGUCAGCAUUUAUAGGCUAUAUAUGCUAAUCAAUUAUAAAAAAAACUGGGAUAACAAGUUUGAACUACACCCAUUAUUCCUCCGCCUAUAUAUUGUCGUGCAUGCAUGCCAGUGCCAUAUACGGAAACAAACCGACCGAGAAGGCCCUUAAUUAACAGCUAGCUAGCUCUCUUGGUCGAAUAUGGUAACUGCUAAUGCUAUUGGCUCCGGCGACCUGAGCAUCCGUGUCCUGAGUCGCCGCCUUGUCAAGGCCUCCGACCCAUCUACCAAGCCGCACGUAGCCGCCUUCUCGAACCUCGACCUCUACCCUGGCAACGAGCAGGCCUCGAUAGUAUGCCUCUACCCCAAGCUCCCAAACGCCGGUGACUUCCCGGCGGUUGUAGCCACCUUCGACUCCAUCCUCCCGUCGUUGCUCAACGACUUCUACCAUUUCGCCGGGCGCAUCCGCACCAACCCAAGCUCCGGCCUCCCCGAGCUGCUCUGCGACAACCAAGGCGCAGAGCUGGUGGUCGGCGAGGCCGGUGUCGCCAUGGCCAGCCUGGACUACGGCCUGGCGGAGCAGUCGUUGAAGAAGAUAAUGCUUCCGUACGCCGAGGACGUCACGCUCUCGGUUCAGCUGCUCUCCUUCGCCUGUGGCGGCUUCUCCGUCGUGUGGGCGACCAACAACCUUGUGUGUGACGGCCAAGCCUUCACCAUGUUCGUCAGGAGGUGGUCCGAGCUCGCCCGAACUGGGCGCAUCGUCGACGGACCGCCCAACCAUGACCGCUCGGUGUUCAGCCCUCGCAGGCCGCCGUCGUACGGAGCCUCGAUCAGGGACAUGUUCGCGACGUACGACCAUGACCGGCUGGUGAACGUGCUGACGGCGCACGACAGCUUCGUCGAGCGCCUCUACUACAUCGAGGCGAGCGACAUCGCUGCCCUGCGGGAGGCGGCAAGCAGCAAGCUCCAGCGCCCGUCGCGCGUCCAGGCGGUGUCCGCGUACCUGUGGAAGGCCCUCGCCCGCGUGGUGGCCGCGUCCCGCGUGCCGGAGGAGCGCUGCUGCAUGGGGUGGAUGGUGGACGCGCGGCGGCGGGUGAAGGCGCCGGAGCUCGUCCGGGCGAUGGGCAACUACUUCGGCAACGUUACGGCCUACGCUCUCGGGGAGGCAGCCGUUGAGGAGAUACAGGAGAAGGAGCUGUCGGAGGUGGCGGCCAUGGUGCGGGAGACCAUCACGUCUAUCGACUACGAUGAGUACACCCAGGAGCUGGUGGACUGGGUGGAGGAGCACAAGACAGAGAGGCUGAUGGAGAAGGGCGUCAUCGGGCUCGGUACGCCCACCUUGAACCAGACGGUGUUCGCGUCGUUCCCGCUCGACACCGACUUCGGCUUCGGCCAUGCCGUGCUGGCAAUGCCCAUGUGCGACUACGGGAGGCUCAGCUCGGGGUACCUGUCGAUCGGAGCUCGGCCGGGAGGCGACGGCUCCUGGCUGGUCAACGCCUACAUAUGGCCUCGCCUCGCGGCGGCGCUUGAGUCGGACCAGCAGCGCAUCUUCAAGCCUCUCACGGCGGAGUAUCUAGGGCUCGUCUAGGCGUACCACUCUGCUGUCUGCCCGGUUUCUUCUUCAAUAAGUCUUUGCUUCGUCUUUUGAGGCAUGAAAGCAGCUCGUGCUUGUUUUACUUCCACCUAUUUUGCAAUACCCCAAAUAAAGCCCUUCUGUGUGGAGGGUAGUUUGUUUGAUCAAUAAAUGUUUGAGUCGUUCAUAAGGUUUCCUUGAUUAGUAUACAAAUCAGUUGAUGACUACGUUUCACAACUCAUGUGCAUGGAGAUGCUAAACCGAUAGUAUGGACUCGGGGAUGGAGACCACGCAGUCGGACAUACCAACUCUGAGACGCAGCGAGAUGUUGUCAUAUGUUAGUGUCAAGCACAAUGUUUAUGCCAUGUCCUAGACCUAAGGUCCUCGCAUGUUCUCGGGAUGAGUAUCGACUCACUUAAGGUCUAUCAAACGCUACUCCAUAACUGGCUAGAUAUAAAUGUAGCUUUUGGGUGGGUGGUGAGAUAUGCCGCGAGACAUGGCCGACCAAGAUGGGAUUUACCCCUCCUAUUUGAAGAGAUAUUUUCUGGACCCUCUCGAGGGAUCGGAUUCGGAAAGCAUGACCAUGCGACUUGGUUAAGUGUUAACCCAGUGCGGGAAUCUAUAUCACGGUGUCAAGAAGAGAGGUCGAGCUACCACAAGGGUGACAAGUACUCACCUUGAGCUUGACAACAUAUAUCGUGAGGCAAAAGGAAUGUUGCAGAUGAUACAUUGUCGAGGUUCUUCGAACGACUUUACACGCACAUGAGAGUUGGCACGUUCAGCGAGGAGCUGCUACCAACUAUCGACUCUGGUCGUGUCCAUGUGUACGUAAACCUAUAGGGUCGCACACUUAAGGGGCUGCAGGCCAUUCGGAUUGGAUUCGAGUGGAAAUGGUUUUACUCCUAGUGGGCCUCAAGUAUUGAGCCUAUCUCGGAGGUCUAUAUAUAGGGGAGUGGCCGCACAACUGAGGUUGAUCUUUUUCCACCAUGGACAGCCUCCAUCGCAACUCCCCACGCCCAUCCCGCGCGACCUAACCUAGAUGCCUACCGCCCGACGCUGCUCCCCGUACGUGUGGAUACCUUGCAGGCAUCGCAUCCGUGGUGCUUGGAUGAACUGUUCGAGGGAACCGCGAGGUGCCGUUCGCGGGAGAUCAACGUUCACAGGUCUUUGUUGUUCGCGGGAGAUCGACGACGCGAGGAGGAGACGCCUCGGGAGAUCGUCUACAUGCAUCUCCAACUCUAUUUUCUGCUGCGGUUACUGCGCGUCUAGUGGUAAACUCGAUCUCAUGAUCUAUUUCCAGCAACUUGAUCUUGGGUGCGUGGUAGAAUUUUUUUUAUUUGGCUCUAGCUUAGCAUACCGCGUGUUUCUACAGUCGUAUCAGAGCCUAUGCUACGUGGUAUUAGAUUCAAGGUAGAAUUUUCAAAUGAUGAUAUGUAGAUUGCUUUAUGUACUGGCCGAUGAGAUCGGUUGUCAAUAUGAUUGACUAUACAUGGUGUCAGGCAUUCGAAAUUGUGAUCUAAUUUUCCGUGAUGAUGUUGUGGAGGUCGUGGCACAAAUUACCUAUACCGGUCGGUUUCGGCCAUCGGGUAAGACAGUGGAACGUAAAGUCGGUCACAACACGCGAAGACCAAUGAGAUUGGUUGAAUCAGAUAGAUGGUCAAAAUAGGAUAAAUAUGAUUUGCCGGUGAAAAUUCCCAUGCAAAAAUGCAUAGAUAUUGCAAGGGCGCUGCCAGUUGACCCCACAGGGGGCAAAGCCCCAUCGACCCCCAUCCUGUUAAUCUCUUAGGGCGGUGGAUAACUUGUUUUUGCAGGUAAUGCUUGUGAUUUGGUACAACCCGGGUAUGUUGCAUGUACGUAAUUAUAUCAUGACCUGCGUGUCGAGAGUACAAUAACUGGUUGGAGCCAUAUGGUUGUCCCAUUAUUGUAUUAAUGACCUUCAUGUCAACAUGAGAAGCAUUGUAUUGUUAUUUACUUUCAAUAGCUAUUAGUUUGUAAUAGCGUAGUAUCUUAUGUAACACUUGGCGGUUGACACCAUGGCGUGGAGAUGAAGAUCUCCACGAGGACAACCAUGCAUGGAGAUGGAGAUCACCAUGGGCAGGCCGUGCAGGUGGAGACGAAGAUCACCAUGCGAUAUCAAAAGGGGCUAAACCAUAUCACACAUAUAAACUGCCUGUGAAAGUUUAUCUCUGUUAUGCACCCUUCUUUUGCAUGGUAGACGUUUCAAGUAGGGUGAUCCCUCAAAGAAUGUCAAGUAAAAAUGCCUCUCCAAAUGUUGCACCAUCACACAUCAAGUAUACUUAGUGGUGGGAUUAUAAAAUUAAGGUGCCAUUUGGUGUCCUUGAAGUGAUGGGUUCGGUUCGGACACUUACAUGCAUAGCAUUGGUUAUCUUGUCGUGGCUAUCAAAACAGUUUUGGGCCUCGAGGCGUAGGAGUUGGUGCGACAUGAGAUGUCCCCAACAACAAGAGUCGUAUGGAGACACGAUUAGCAAGAAAUACUUAUGGAGUGAUCUCGUCUUCUAGCAGUGAUGCAAAUGCUCACUAGUUAACAUGUUGAUCUUGGAUCUUGAAUCACUAAGUAUCAUCUGAGGGAUGUUGAUUUUAUUUGGAGUGAUGAUCUUAUUAAAAUGUUUAAUAUGAAUUACUCUUCAUGAAUACAUGUCUUAGUGUUUUGCAUCUUUCUGUUGGAGAUCAGAGGCACCACCUGCUCAAGUUACUCCUUUUGCGCUGAAAACAAUCCUAGAAAAAGAUAAAUGGAAUGGGACAAACUUUACGACCUGGUAUAGAAAUCUGGGAAUUGUUCUUAGGCAUGAGAAAAAGGACCAAGUUCUAGAAAAUCCGCUUCCAGAUGUACCUGCCAAGAAUGCUAAUGCCACAACCAGGAGUGCCUACCAGAAACCCAUUGAUGAAUAAAAUGAGAUCAUCUAUCUCAUGCCGGCUUCAAUGGAGCCCGAUCUACAGCAGCAGUUCGAAAACAUUAAGGCUUUCGAUAUGAUCGAGAACCUCAAAAGCAUGUUUCUGAUGUAGGCUAGGACCGAAAGGUUCAACGUCUGGCUAUCCUUGAUGGAUUGUAAGUUGAAUGAAAGUGAUCAAGAUGACUAGGUACAUGCAAGCUUUGGAUUGGUUGGGCUUCCCACUUGGGAACGUUCAACUCGAACUACCAUAUGCAUGGGAUGGAAAAGAAGCUCACUGAAUUGCAUGGGAUGCUCAAGGUGGCAGAGCAGGAUAUAAAGAAAGUUACGCAUCGUCAAGUGUUGAUGGUGCAGAACUGGGCUAAGUUCAAGAAGAGAUGUUCCAAGAAAAAGCAUAAGGCAAACGGCCAGGAGGAGAAGGCAACUCCAACUUCUGCCGUUGCGCCUAAGUCAGGGCCAGCCGGGGACCGUUUUCUUUCACUGUAAGGAACACGGCCACUAGAAAAUGAACUGCAACAAGUGGCUUGUCGAGAAGGGCAAGAAGACUGGAAGUGUCACUUCUUCAAGUACACUUAUUGUAUAUGUUAUAGACAUUUAUCUUGCUGAUGUUUCUAGUAGCUCUUAGGUAUAUGUUACCGGAUCGGAUGUUCACAUAUGCAUCUCGAUGCAGAGUCUAAGAAGAACUAGGAAUGUUGGAAGAGAAGUUGACAUACACAUCGUGAAUAAAGCAAGAGUUGAUGCAUUGGCCGUCAGCACUAUGCAACUUAAUUUACCUUCAGGAUUUGGAAUGGAACUUGAUAAUUGUAAUUAUGUUCCUGCUUUGAGUCAAAACAUUAUUUCUGCCUCAUGUUUGAUGAUACAAGUUUAUGAAAUAAGUAUUAAGGACAAUGGUUGUUCUAUGUACUUGAAUAAAAUGUUUCAUGGCUUUCCACCUAUUGUGAACGGGUUAUUAAUCCUAGAUCUUGAAGGUGAGCCAGUCUAUAACAUAAAUGUCAAGAGGCAUAAGCCUAACGAAAUAAACCCGACUUACAUCUGGCAUUGUCGACUAGUACACAUUAGUAAAAGUGCAUGAGGAAGCUCAAUGAUGAUGGAAUUCUAACUUCAUUUGAUUUUGAAUCAUUCGAGACAUGUGAGUGUUGCCUUCUUGGCAAGAUGACUCAGACUCCUUUUGCAAGGAGUUGCGAAAGGACGUCCGAGUUAUCGAAACUCAUCAUAGUGAUGUAUGUGGACCAAUGAGCACGACAGCAGGUGGUUUCCAAUAUUUCGUGACGUUUACAGAAAACUUGAGUAGAUUUGGAUAUGUCUACUUGAUGAGGCACAAGUUAGAAACUUUUGGAAAGUUCAAGGAGUUUGAGAGCGAAGUGGAGAAUCAACUCGGCAAGAGAAUCAAACUUCUACGAUCUGAUCGUGGCGGUGAGUAUAUGAGCCAGGAGUUUGAUGAUUAUCUAAAGAGUCGUGGAAUAGUUCCACAACUGUAUCCUCGGGGUAUGCCACAGAGAAAUGGCGUGUUGGAACGAAGGAAUCGGACUCUGUUAGACAUGGUCCAAUCAAUGACGAGUCGGUCGGAUUUACCUUUGUUAUUUUGGCGAUACGCUCUAGAAACUGCGUAUUUCACACUAAAUAGGGUACCAUCCAAGUUUGUAGAUAAGACGGCAUAUGAGAUAUGGACUGCGAAGAGUCACAGUUUGUCUUCUCUAAAAAUUUGGGGUUGUGAAGCAUACGUCAAGCGACUCCAGUCAGACAAGCGCACACCCAAGUCGGACAAGUGCAUAUUCGUGGGGUAUCCAAGGGAAACCUUGGGAUCUUACUCCUACAUCCGUGAAGACUGCAAAGCGUUUGUCGCUCGACAUGGAGUUUUCCUUGAGAAAGAGUUUCUCAAUCAGAAGGCUAGUGGGAGGAUGAUACGACUCGAGGAAAUUCGAGAACCACAUGGAGUUAGUCAGGGAACCCAUGGUGGAGUCGACGCCAAUUCCACGGAGGUCAGAAAGGUUGCGCAAUAUGCAUGACUGCAAUGUGUUGUUCUUGGAGAACAACGAGCCGGCAACGUAUGCGGAAGCCAUAGAGAGCCCUGAUUCCGAGUUAUUGCUUGAGGCCAUGAGAUCCGGAUUAAAGUCCAUGGAUGGCAAUCAAGCUUGGAACUUGGUUGAUCUGCCAGAUGGCGCUCGAGGCAUUGAGUGCAAACUGGUAGUGAUGCCUAAAUAAAUUAGGACCAUUCUUGCUAUAUCUGCAUAUUUCGACUAUGUUACUAUUAUGUUCUUCAACAGAAGGUCCCAAAUGUUGUUGUGCCUCUGCUGAUGGACGCCGAAAGUGAGAUGACAAUUGUUUGCCCUUUGAAGAUCAGAUUCAAAUAUACAUACUCGACCGAGCGUUAAUCAAAUGGAUGCCUCAAAAUUGAGUGAUGGAGGCAAAUAGUCAAUGAGCUCGGGCCACAAAUUGGAGACCGGGGAUCUCUGUGGUCCAUCAUGGAGAUGUAGUUUUUUUUCUCUGUUUUAUUCUAUUUUACCUAAGACACUGGAGUAGGUCAUAGUACUUGUCAUGUGCUUGAAAGUUACUUACCUAGGAUGAUGACAAUUAGUUAGUAGUGGUUAACUUAUGAUGAUGAUGAUGGUGAUGAUGGUGAUGAUGAUGAUGAUGAGACAUUUUUAUAUAAUUAUGAUCAUGAUGAGCUGUUAUAUCACUACGAUGAUGAUGAGUUAUAUCAUUUUGAUAAUGAUGAGUUGUUACAUGAUGAUGAUGAUGAUGAUGAUGAUGAUGAUGAUGAUGAUGAUGAUGAGUUGUUAUAUAGUUGCUUGUGUAUAAAAAUCUGUAUAAUUAUUGUAUAAAUAUAGUAUAAUAUGUAGAAAGGAAAUACAUAGAGUUAGUAGUGGCGGGGGGCCUCGCGCUAUAGCUAGUUAUUAGUAGCACGGGCCAAACACCGCGCUGCUCCUAAUGUAAGUAGUAUUAGAGCCGAGCCUGGCCCGUCUUACUAGGAACCAGUUAGCUACACGCUGAUGAGUUGUUAUAUGAUGAUGAUGAUGAUGAUGAGUUUUUAUAUAGUUGCUAAUGUAAGUAGCGAGGCAACCCGCACUACUCCUAUGCCUUUAAACCGCGCCACUACUAGCCUUAUCCCUUGUAGUGACGGGCAGAUGGAGCGAUGAAAUGCGCAUGUCCUCAAUGGGCUCCAAACGAGAACAUUCGCCUAACUCAAGAAGUGUGGCCGGUGAUGGAUCGAUGAGCUUCCCUAUGUUCUAUUUAGUGUAGAUAUCACUCUUAAUUAACUUGUUUUUCUGCGGAUAGUAACUAACGCUUUGAGCCUUUGUGGUUUAUCUCACAAUUUUUGUCUUCACAACUGGAGUAGGCCACAAUGUUGAGAUGCAAAAAAAGGUCCAUAAACUAAUUAAAUGGAAUAUCAUUUAGAUACGACACUUAUAAGAUACACUAAAUAUUAAGAGACGUGUUGAGUAUAUAAUGAAUAGGGGUCAUUGUCUCUAAAUAGUUUUCACUAAAUAGGAUGAUGUGUUAAGAGACACUGCGUUGUGAGUUCCCUUUCGCUAAAUUAAUUUGCCCUGGUUCGAUUGCAGAGAUGUGUGCGGAGUUUCUUGGGGGAGUUUGGCAGCCAAUCGAUGAUAACUAGUUCUAGGACGCUACUAGGUCAGAUUCAAAACUGAACAUAUGGCUUGGUCCAAGAGUUUCGGCUCUCACAACCUGAAAAUCUGCAGCUUUCACACUAAAUAUUAAGAGAUUCGAAACUGAACAUAUCUGUCAUUGGUUUGAUGCUGUGGGUCCGUUUCAUUAUCUUUUUUUUUAUCAGGUAGUUGGACGGCCACACCAUGCCCUGAAAAUCUGUCUAGAUCUUGAUCGGGAGGCAUAAGAUUUCUUAUUCUGACAACCCUGAAACUGUUUGCCAUGCAUGCAUUAUCCUUCGCAAAGCGAAUUAAGUUGCCCCUAGACAAGGGCGGAUGGAGUAUAGUUCACUGUAGCUUCAUGAUUCUUUUGUCAGCUUAUUUUUUAGAGCUGCGGCUAUCAUAUUUACACCUGCUGUUAUAUCUGUUUCCAGAACCAUGUGUCAGCAGCUUCUGUUAUCAUAGCCAAUAAAACUAUCACGAAGCUACAGUGUGAGCAAUGAAGACGUUAUAUAAACAGGGAUAAAAUAUAUUGUGCUAAACUGCUCUAUCCAAAACCAUGUGUCUGCUCCUCUUGUUUGUUUCUUUACUAUUUUUCAUAUUGUGGAUGAUCAUGACGAUACAUACUAAAGAGUUUUGCAUAGCAUAUGUAAUUUCAUGCAUACAGACAAUGUUUUUUUAUUGGUGUAUUAUUUCACUCUGUUAAGACAAAAUUAUAUUUUGGAAUAUUGAAAUAAUAAUAUUAGGUAAAUCAUACAUGUGCACUAUGAAGCUAACUUUGUGCAAGAGAAAUGAGUAAAAUUAAGGACAAGAUUUAUACCUAUGCAAUACAAAAAAAAACUAUCUGCAGCAGUAAAUUCAUGUAGCUGGCAACAUUACUGGUACAAAUUAGAUCUAAUUAUAGUGCAUACAUGUACCUUUUUUAGAAAACAAAUCUUGAAACUUCGAUAGAAAAUUUUACGAUUUAUGAAAUUUGAAUGGGAAAACUAAACCAAAACCAAAAGGCCGGGAGUUAAAUGUGAGUGAAAAUAAAUGUCAGGAGGUAUUUGUCAGUGAAAAUAAAUAUGAGUGACACUUCUCCAUGCAAAAAUGUUAGUGAAAAAACUUGAAUUUUCACUGUAAAAACAACCCCAAAAUAAAGGAGGAAGCAGAACCAUCGAAAUGUUUAUGAAACGAACAACCACCAACAUAAGAGAGAAGUCACCAUACUCAUUAAGACGCCCAUGUUCAUCUGAGUAGUUAAGCCACUGCAUAGCAAUUAAUAGAAAGAAAACUGCAUAGAAAUUAAUUUUGAUGGGCUCGUGGAUCACGGCAGAAGCAUGCAUGAAUGCAUAUGUCUAUCGUUGCAGGUCAUUCAUGAGAGCAAUGCAUUCAUAUCUAUCUUUGCACGGAUGGAAAAAUUAGUCUGGCGCCAUAUAUCUUCUAUUUGUUAUACUACAGAAAGACAUAUUAAAAUAAAGUUGCCCCUAAACAAGGUGGAUGGACGACCACUCAUUUUGGCAGACUGUACUCGCACAAUUCGUUUUCCCAAUAAUAAUGUGAAUGGAGAGAGUAUAAUUCACACUGUCGCUUCAUGAUUCUUUUGUCAGCUUAUUUUUUAGAGCUGCCUUUUUUUUUGCGGGAAUAUUUUUUAGAGCUGUCAGCUAUUAUAUUUACCCCUACUGCCAUAACUAUUUCCAGAGCCAUGUGUCGGCAGCUUUUGUUAUCAUAGCCGACAAAACUAUAACGAAGCUACAGUGUGAGCCAGGAAGACGUUAUAUUUUCAGGGAUAACAUAUAUAUUGUGCCAAACUCCUCUAUCCAAAACUAUUUGCCGGCACCUCUUGUUUUGUUUAUUUACAAUUUUAAUAUUGUGGAUGAUCAUGACGAUACGAAGUAAAGAGUUUUGCAUAGCAUAUGUAAUUUCAUGCAGGCAGACAACACUUUUUUAUCAGUGUAUAAUUUUGCUCUGUAAAGACAAGAUUUUAUCUUGUGAUAUUGAAAACAUAGUGUUAGAUAAAUCAUAGAUGUGAUCUUUGUGGAUAAAUUUGUGCAAGAGAAUUGAAUAAAAUUAAGAACAAGUUGUAUACCUGUGCAAUAAAGAAAACUAUCUGCAGUAGUAAAUACAUGUAGGUGGCAACACUCACAUUUUGGUUAUUCCUGUAUAAACAUUGCUAGUGCAAAUUGGAUCCUAUAUAUUGUGCACACGGUGUUCCCGUCCUCGGAUGGUUUCCCCUUGUUCGGUCUUGCUCAUUCUCGUUGCUCACAAGCUCAUGCAAUUGAGAACCUGAGAUCUUCAAUCUGGCCAUCUGGGAUUUCCGGACUUCUCCUUCGAAGGAAAACAAGGACUGGCACAUAUGGCGCUCUUUGGACACCUUGACUAGAUAGGGGCCUGUCGUGUGCACCCGCAACAUCAGCAUAACCAGCUUUACCGGGGUAUCGUGCAGCUCUGUUUUUGUUGGCACCUUGGGACAUGUCUGCACCAAGAUUCCCAUGGGAUCAACACAUGUGGAGAAUGUCAUGGCGUGAUUGAAGGACUUGCAAGUGGCAAAGGCGGGGUCUUGGAUGCGAUGAAGACUUUGCUUCAUAGGCAGUUGUUUAGACAUGGCUUACGGGAUAUGUUCCCAUCCAGACGGGACGUGAAUUCCUGUGAGCCUAAUGGUGCGUGACUUGCAGUAGUAGCCUCCGCAAGUGGGGGUGGCGGCAUUGGAGGACUUCUUUGUUAUUCGGUGCUCCUCUGAGUACCCAAUCAGGAUUUCCAAGGUGAAAACCCAAGGUCUGGCCUUUAUUGGUUGUGCCUGGCAGUAGUCUUGUUGAAGGCAUUAUUGUUGGGAACCUCAUCUUUCUCCAGGGUGAAAACGUAAUAUCUUUGAUCAGGCAACGACAACGCUUGUGCUUUGUUUCCUUCCUGGAGGCAUUGCUUUUGGAGAACCUAUUUUGUAGUCCGGGUGCCAUCUUUGGUGGUGGUUAGAGUGCGGCUACUUCGGGUAUUGAUCACCGUGGUGGGAUAUUUUUUCUUCUCUUUUUAUUUUGAUUUUUAGUUGUGUGCAUCCUGGAUGUUUUUAGGCAUCUUGUUGUUGCAGAGUCUGGGAGUAAUUGGUAUCUGCUUGAUAUUAAUACAUUCUCCUUUACAAAAAAAAAUUACAUAUGCCUUUUCUAGAAUUUUUUUCCUAAAACUUCCAGGGAUGAUUCUAUCAUUUGUUUAAUUUUAAUGGAAAAAUUAAACCAAAACCAAAACGUCAGGAGGUAAAUGUGAGUGAAUAUUAAGGUCAAGAGGUAAAUGUGUUUGAAAUAAAUAUGAGUGACACUUCUCCAUGUGAAAUUGUUAGGGAGAAAACUAGACUUCUCUCUGUAAAAAUAACCCCAAAAUUAUGGAGGAAACAAAACCAUCCAAAUAAACAAUAUAUUGAGAAGUCUAUGAAACGAACAACCACCAAGAUAAAAGAGAAUUCGCCAUACUCAUCAAGACGCCCACAUGUCAAUAGCUCAGUCAGUCAACAUUAUAGCAAUUAAUUUUGAUAGGCUCAAGGAUCAUAGUAGAAGCAUGCAUGAAUCGUUGCAGGUCAUUGAUGAGAGCAAUGCAGAUCACUAUCUUUGCAUGGUCAGAAAAAUUAUUCUGGCGCCACCUAUCUUCUAUUUGUUAAACCAUAUGAAGGCGCAUAUCUCAUCACGAACGAUUAAUCAACAAUAUAUACUACACAAUGACACAUUAAAAUUAUUGCACAUGGGCGAGAUUGAUGGCUUUAUCCUUCAUAUGAUCCAAAUAAUCGUAUUUAUUGUUCACACUGUAACAACAUAAUGGUUUUGUUGGCUAUCUACCCCUGCUACCAUUCCUAUCUCUUGAGCAACAUGCUAGUAUCUUUUGUUUAGUUUAGCUAAAAAGAUUGGAAUGAGAGAUUUCCUUUUUUUGUGCAAUAACAUGAUAGUACAAACUACUGAACUUUACAUAUUUAGGUACUCAAUAAAAUACUGUUAAAGAUAGCUAUAGACAUUAGUCAUAUUAAUUCAACCAUAAGAGAUUAUCAUGUACCAUAUUAGCAUGAUUACUGGUCCUGUUCAAGAAUUCGUCCGAUUAACCAGUUAACUUGGAAAUUAAUCCCUACUUGUAAGGUCAUCGUGUAGCCAAUAAACUGAUAAAUCCUCCGUUUAAUUUCUUAACAGGACAAUUAACUUGCCGAUUACCCUAUUAAUCCCCUACUCCCUAGCCAACCAAGCAGCUACCAGUUAACAAUUUCCUCAACAAAUUUACUGGUAUGUUCCUGUUUAGAUGGUUCACCAAUACACUUCCAAAGUUAUUUUUGAGAAUGAUGCACCCUUUUUACAUUUUUUUGGUAUUAUUCCAUCAAUGCUGCACUACAUCAUAGCAUCUUCUUCUUUUUGGAAUGGCUAUGAAAGGACACGAUAGGUAUGUCUGGUGAACUUUUUGUGGAGAUACUUGGGCUCAUGUGUCUGAGAAUAAGAGGAUGUCCUCCCAUAGGAUUUACAUAUACCAACAACUAUUAACCAUGUCUCAAUGUGAGAUUGGAGACUAAAGAGUCUAGAUUUUAUAAGAUUAACCGGAAGUGUUGACUUCAACCGUGUAUUACUAAUCCACUGCAGUUGAAUUUUUGCAGUUGAAUUUUGCAUAUGGCUAAUUUAUUAAUCAACACCUAGGAGGAAUAGUUUGUAGGAGUUACCUAUAGCGUUGCCCUGGCAAAAGGAAAUGUGAUUGUUUAUCAAAAUUGUUUCUACUUAUAUUGUUUUAUCCCGUUACUACUGCAGCACUAAUUUUUAGUUAACUAAUGAAAGAAAGGCAUCAUAUUGUUUUAUCCCAUUGAUACCAGAGCACCAAUUUUUAGUUCAUUAAUUAUGUUGCUAUCUUCAAGUAUUUUUAAUCUGGAGGAAGUUCCACAAAACAAAAAUGUGAGAGUCAAAAAGGUGAGGGGAAAACGAGCUGAAUACCACCUUCUUUGUCCUGUCUUGCUUAAUCCACUUGAAGCCAGAUUACCACUUCGGCAGGGUAUGCUGAUGGAACUCGAACUAGGAACCUCAGUGACAUUUGUAGCCAUACAUUCAAAACACCUCCAGGCACAUGAUUUCAAAAGAUAUUUUUGAAGCAACAGGUCACCAAGCGUCUAAUUGAGUGUUGUAGACAUGACAAUGUCUAAAAUGGCGACUUUGAGGAAGCGUAAUGGAACAAACAUUGUGUCAUGCAUGUGCUCUCUACCACACCCUCGACAAAAAUCAAGAUCCCAGUCCAGUGGAAUGAGGAGGACUAGGAUAUGGACGACGAAGGGCCCAGCAACUAGAUAGAGACAACUUAGGAGUGAGCCAUAGGAAGAUCAUCUAGUGCACUGGGUGUGUGGAUUUGAGGGCCCACUUGUAAGAGAGUGCGUAUGCGUUUAAAAGGGGCAAGUGAAUCAGACAUGUGCCGUAACUUAUCGAUGAAAUAAUAAUUGUUUGAACUCUCACCUACUCUGUUCUGCAUCUCACCCUCUUCAUCUGUUCUUCAACUUCUUCUCAUCCCCUACUCCAUAUUAUCCUCUCCAAUAUGUGAUUCUUCCACCAACACUAGUUGGACAUCACAGUUUGACAAUGGAAAUCUUGGUAAAUUUUUCUCUUUGACAGCACUCGGAAACAAUUGAUGCAGGCGCAAAUCCAUGAUAUAAGGGAUAUUUUCUGUAGCAUUGUUUGAAAAUACAUCAGUUACGCAAGGGCCCUUUUGCUUCUUUACUUCUUGUUCUGUGUGCACUCUGAUGUUCGAAGGUGCAGUGAUGGUAGACAGAUAUUUAGUUGGAAGAAAAAUAGAUAAACUCAGAUUUCGUGUAACCCGGGCUCACUCUUUUCAGUGAAUAAAUUAUUGUCACAAAAAACCAGCCUUUUGCUUCUCUUGAUGACAUUAUUCUUAGAAGUAAGAAUGUGCAUUUCUGCAGCCCAUGCUCAUGUGCUAUUUUUUCUUUUUAACUAGUGUAACAAAUGGGGUAGAUGUUUUUUUUUCUGUGCCAAUAAUGGUGUUAAGACUGCUAAAAUCUUGUAAGGGAAGAAAACAUUGAAGAGCAGAAAGAAGAAGAAAAUCAUUUAUUUAUAUAGAACUGACAUGCAUUUGAACAUCAACAGUCAUUUAUUAUUAAUAAUUCCGCAUUUUGUGAAUUCCUUUCUCCAAUGUUUUCUUCCAGGUUUAUUUACUAUGAUAGGCUCACCAGGAAAGGAACCUGAAAAUUUAAAUCGUGUCAAUUUCCUUUUCACACAAUUCUCUCAUGAUGCAAUGGUUUCAGAGAACGCUGUUGUUAUUUGCCAGACAUGUGAUGUUUAGUAUGACUUGAACUAACAUAACAUGCAUAAUACGUUUAUUGAGUACAUGAAGGUUGGUUUCUUUGAAUCAUUUUGGAUUAGCCUGUUUGCAAAGGCUAUUAUCAUUCCACCACUCAGUGAUUUAUGAAUAUCUCCCAUUCAUUUGAUGUGAGUUCCCUGCAACCACACACGAUAUUUCCCUUACUCCGUUUUCGGUAAGAUAUGGGAAACUAAACAUUCAAGGAUAUUGUUCCCACAAGUGGAGAGACUGAAAAAGUCGCGCGCGUUGCUCUCCNNNNNNNNNNNNNNNNNNNNNNNNNNNNNNNNNNNNNNNNNNNNNNNNNNNNNNNNNNNNNNNNNNNNNNNNNNNNNNNNNNNNNNNNNNNNNNNNNNNNNNNNNNNNNNNNNNNNNNNNNNNNNNNNNNNNNNNNNNNNNNNNNNNNNNNNNNNNNNNNNNNNNNNNNNNNNNNNNNNNNNNNNNNNNNNNNNNNNNNNNNNNNNNNNNNNNNNNNNNNNNNNNNNNNNNNNNNNNNNNNNNNNNNNNNNNNNNNNNNNNNGAGGCCGAACAGGUGAAGCCCGCCUCGGUGGGCGGCGGCAUCAGGGCAGUCUAUUCCCGCGGCAACUCAUCGCCCUGGACGGCGGAGCCCGCUCGCGGCACGGUGGCGAAAGUCGGCGCGUUGGAUCCCACGGUGGACCCCUCGUCAGCGUGGAGAGAUGCUUGUGUGUGGCUGACCGGGGUCGAGCACGAGGGAUUCGGGCCUUGUUCGCCGUAUCAAUCUCGCGACGACACCUAUGUCUUCAGCUGGUGCGGUCAGGGUGGUGACCCGGGCUGGCGGCGGCGACCGGUUCCUCCAUGGCUGGUGGGUUAAGUCCUUGACCUGGACGACCAUGUGACGAUGGGUGGUGGCAGAGGCCGCAGAACUAGCGUGCCAUCCAGAUCCAUCUCGGCGUGGCCUUGGCCGGCAGGCGAUGCGUGCAGGGACCGAUCUGGGGCGGCUGGAGGCCCUAUGCCGACGUUCCAGCGAUAGCUUACGUCUCCAUGGCGACGCAACUUCUAGUGAAAAUGUGCUGACUGCGGUCAUGGAAGAUGGUGGCAUCUCUAAUGUCGUUUCCUUCUUCGAGGCAUCGUCGUUUGUAAGCUGUGUCACUACGCUCGGGAUGUUCCGGGGGGAACUCUAUUUCUGGGUAUCCCGGAUCAGACGAUGACGGUGCCUUCAGCGCCAUUCUCCCUCCUAGGGGCAUUGUUCUGGAGCAGGUGCCGACUGGAAGAGACAAGUGGAGGAGCGGUGUUACAUCUACCGCAAGGAUGACGCAGGGUCUCGGUGGCGUGGCAAGGCAGAGUGUCGGCGACGAGCGCCCACGCUAGAUGGUUGAGCUAUCUGGUGUCGAGAUGGCCUGGCGAGAUGAAUACGUUGAUCGCUCCUGAAGGUGGGACAGCAGAACAUGGCGGUGGCUUAAUCUAAAGUGUGUGCAUGCUGUGCGCGCAAAGGGUCUAGCUAGACCAGUUGGUGCUCUCGAAUUGCCGGCAGACAUCUUGGUGAGGUGACCGGAAUAUAUGAUGUGUGUUGAUAAGUGGUCAGGGCACGGCAUUAAAGCUUGUAGGUGUAACGACAAUAGUUUCUAGGGAGGUGGCUUUGCCUUGAUCCAUAUAUUUGUUUUGUUUGGUUCCGUUGAAUAAUAUAAUAAAAUGGUUGUGUGCAUGGCCCGAUGCAUAGACUAGGGGUAAUCGUCUUUUUCGAAAAAAAGUAGAAUGGUACAGUCACACCAUUUUGCCAGUGACAUGCUAAAAAUGGCAUGAUAAACAAUUCCUGAAUGAUAAAUCACAUGGUGACAGUAUAUCUAUUUUAUAGGAAGAGCUGGAUAGAUUAGAGUAUACUGCCCCAGGAUUUUAAAGUGAGUGCGAGAGUUCAGAUUUAUUUACAUGUUUAGCUUCAGAGCUUCAGAACGUCUUUUUUUCACGAAUACACAAAGCUUGAAUAUCUUUUAUUGAUAGAAGAAAGAGAAUGAGUACAACAGAGGAUACAACACAUGGCAUGAACCCAAAGAGGCAUGAUCAUGGAACCCGGAGUAGAGAGACAAGGGGUGCUCAGCCCGAAUAGGGAAAUGACACAACUACACCCACAAAUCCUAAACAGAGAGGCAGGCCGAACAAGCACGGCGUCGAACAUCUCAAAAUCCAACACCAGGGACACCACGAGCGAACAAGAUAGCGCCUUCAGGAAGGGGUGCGACGUCGUGACACCGCCGCCAUCCGAUCCGAGGAACCGGAUCUAGGGUUUCCCCCAGCGCUCAAAGAGGGGCACGGAUAAAAGCCAUGGCAAAUAACUCACGAGUGUCGCCUCUGCCAACAUCGGCAAGAAGAGCAUGGAUUUCGCCUGGCCCAAGUCCGAGCAAUCCCAUAGCUGCCAAAUCAGGAUCCGAAGAUGAGGAAGACAAUCCGCUAGUCAACCACCGUCCCAGUACGGAGGUGGUGGGGCUGCACCUGCUGCCAAAAGAACACGAGCUUUGGAAAUGACAUGCCGUGGGUGUCGACGGGGUCGGGGAGGCAGCGUGGUAGACAGCUUGCAUGGAGGGUGGGAUGGUGACCGGCGCCGCUGACGAGAUGGAGCCGGAAGGGAGCACAAGUCCGAGCUGCCGGAGGUGAAGCCGCCAGAACACCGGCAAACCGAAGAUGCCGGAAGGGGACGCAGCGACCGGGGUGUUGGGGCUGAAAUUGAAGGAAAUAUGCCCUAGAGGCAAUAAUAAAGUUAUUAUUUAUUUCCUUAUAUCAUGAUAAAUGUUUAUUAUUCAUGCUAGAAUUGUAUUAGCCGGAAACAUAAUACAUGUGUGAAUACAUAGACAAACAGAGUGUCACUAGUAUGCCUCUACUUGACUAGCUCGUUAAUUAAAGAUGGUUAUGUUUCCUAACCAUAGACAUGAGUUGUCAUUUGAUUAACGGGAUCACAUCAUUAGGAGAAUGAUGUGAUUGACUUGACCCAUUCCGUUAGCUUAGCGCACGAUUGUUUAGUAUUCUGCUAUUGCUUUCUUCAUGACUUAUACAUGUUCCUAUGACUAUGAGAUUAUGCAACUCCCGUUUACCGGAGGAACACUUUGUGUGCUAUCAAACGUCACAACGUAACUGGGUGAUUAUAAAGGUGCUCUACAGGUGUCUCCACAGGUACUUGUUGGGUUGGCGUAUUUCGAGAUUAGGAUUUGUCACUCCGAUUGUCGGAUAGGUAUCUCUGGGCCCACUCGGUAAUGCACAUCACUUAAGCCUUGCAAGCAUUGCAACUAAUGAGUUAGUUGCGAGAUGAUGUAUUACGGAACGAGUAAAGAGACUUGCCGGUAACGAGAUUGAACUAGGUAUUGAGACACCGACGAUCGAUUCUCGGGCAAGUAACAUACCGAUGACAAAGGGAACAACGUAUGUUGUUAUGCGGUUUGACCGAUAAAGAUCUUCAUAGAAUAUGUGGGAGCCAAUAUGAGCAUCCAGGUUCCGCUAUUGGUUAUUGACCGAAGACGUGUCUCGGUCAUGUCUACAUAGUUCUCGAACCCGUAGGGUCCGCACGCUUAAAGUUUCGAUGACAGUUAUAUUUUGAGUUUAUAUGUUUUGAUGUACCGAAGGUAGUUCGGAGUCCCAGAUGAGAUCACGGACAUCACGAGGAGUCCCGAAAUGGUCGAGACAUGAAGAUUGAUAUAUUGGACGACUAUAUUCGGACACCGGAAUGGUUCCGGUGGUUAUCGGAUAUAUACCGGAGUACCGGGAGGUUACCGGAACCCCCUGGGGGUUUAAUGGGCCUACAUGGGCCUUAGUGGAGAAGAGGAGAGGCGGCUAGGGCAGGCCGCGCGCCCCCUCCCCCUCUAGUCCGAAUUGGACAAGGAGGGGGGCGGCGCCCCCCCUUUCCUUCCUCUCUCUCUCCUCUUUCCCCCUUCUCCUAAUCCAACAAGGAAGGGAAGGGAGUCCUACUCCCGGUGGGAGUAGGACUCCUCCUGGCGCGCCCCUCUCCUGGCCGGCCGCCUCUCCCCCUUGCUCCUUUAUAUAAGGGGGCAGGGGGGCACCCCAAAGACACAACAAUUGAUCAUUGAUCUUUUAGCCGUGUGCGGUGCCCCCCUCCACCAUAGUCCACCUCGAUAAUAUCGUAGCGGUGCUUAGGCGAAUCCCUGCGUCGGUAGAACAUCAUCAUCGUCACGACGCCGUCGUGCUGACAAAACUCUCCCUCAACACUCGGCUGGAUCGGAGUUCGAGGGACGUCAUCGGGUUGAACGUGUGCUGAACUCGGAGGUGCCGUGCGUUCGGUACUUGAUCGGUCGGAUCGUGAAGAAGUACGACUACGUCAACCGCGUUGUGCUAACGCUUCCGCGUUCGGUCUACGAGGGUACGUGGACACACUCUCCCCUCUCGUUGCUAUGCAUCACCAUGAUCUUGCGUGUGCGUAGGAAUUUUUUUGAAAUUACUACGUUCCCCAACAGUGGCAUCCGAGCCAGGUUUUAUGCCUAGAUGUUAUAUGCAUGAGUAGAACACAAGUGAGUUGUGGGCGAUACAAGUCAUACUGCUUACCAGCAUGUCAUUCUUUGGUUCGGCGGUAUUGUUGGAUGAAGCGGCCCGGACCGACAUUACGCGUACGCUUACGCGAGACUGGUUCUACCGACGUGCUUUGCACACAGGUGGUUGGCAGGUGUCAGUUUCUCCAACUUUAGUUGAACCGAGUGUGGCUACGCGCGGUCCUUGAGAAGGUUAAAACAGCACUAACUUGACGACUAUCGUUCUGGUUUUGAUGCGUAGGUAAGAAUGGUUCUUGCUCAGCCCGUAGCAGCCAUGUAAAACUUGCGACAACAAAGUAGAGGACGUCUAACUUGUUUUUGCAGGGCAUGUUGUGAUGUGAUAUGGUCAAGACAUGAUGCUAUAUUUUAUUGUAUGAGAUGAUCAUGUUUUGUAACAGAGUUAUCAACAACUGGCAGGAGCCAUAUGGUUGUCGCUUUAUUGUAUGCAAUGCAAUCGCCCUGUAAUGCUUUACUUUAUCACUAAGCGGUAGCGAUAGUCGUAGAAGCAUAAGUUGGCGAGACGACAACGAUGCUAUGAUGGAGAUCAAGGUGUCGCGCCGGUGACGAUGGUGAUCAUGACGGUGCUUCGGAAAUGGAGACCACAAGCACAAGAUGAUGAUGGCCAUAUCAUAUCACUUAUAUUGAUUGCAUGUGAUGUUUAUCUUUUAUGCAUCUUAUCUUGCUUUGAUUGACAGUAGUAUUAUAGGAUGAUCUCUCACUAAAUUAUCAAGGUAUAAGUGUUCUCCCUGAGUAUGCACCGUUGCGAAAGUUCUUCGUGCUGAGACACCACGUGAUGAUCGGGUGUGAUAGGCUCUACGUUCAAACACAACGGGUGCAAAACAGUUGCACACGCGAAAUACUCAGGUUAAACUUGACGAGCCUAGCAUAUAACAGAUAUGGCCUCGGAACACUGAGACCGAAAGGUCGAGCGUGAAUCAUAUAGUAGAUAUGAUCAACAUAAAUGAUGUUCACCAUUGAAACUACUCCAUCUCACGUGAUGAUCGGACAUGGUUUAGUUGAUAUGGAUCACGUGCUCACUUAGAGGAUUAGAGGGAUGUCUAUCUAAGUGGGAGUUCUUAAGUAAUAUGAUUAAUUGAACUUUAAUUUAUCAUGAACUUAGUCCUGGUAGUAUUAGCAUAUCUAUGUUGUAGAUCAAUAGCUCGCGAUAUUGCUCCCCGUUUAAUUUUUAUAUGUUCCUAGAGAAAACUAAGUUGAAAGAUGUUAGUAGCAAUGAUGUGGAUUGGAUCCGUGAUCUGAGGUUUAUCCUCAUUGCUGCACAGAACAAUUAUGUCCUUGAUGCAGCGCUAGGUGACAGACGUAUUGCAGGAGGACAUGCAGACGUUAUGAACGUUUGGCUAGCUCAAUAUGAUGACUACUUGAUAGUUUAGUGCACCAUGCUUAACGGCUUAGAAUCAGGACUUCAAAGAUGUUUUGAACAUCAUGGACCAUAUGAGAUGUUCCAGGAGUUGAAGUUAAUAUUUCAAGCAAAUACCCUAGUUGAGAGAUAUGAAGUCUCCAACAAGUUCUAUAGCUAAAAGAUGGAGGAGAAUAGCUCAAGAAGUGAGCAUGUGCUCAGAUUGUCUGGGUACUACAAUCACUUGAAUCAAGUGGGAGUUAAUCUUCCAGAUAAAGAUAGUGAUUGACAGAAUUCUCUAGUCACCAUCACAAAGUUAGUAUAACUUCGUGAUGAACUAUAGUAUGCAAGGGAUAACGUAAACGAUUCCCGAGCUUUUCAUGCUGGUGAAAUCAGAAAUCAAGAAAGAGCAUCAAGUGUUGAUGAUUAACAAGACCACUAGUUUCAAGAAAAUGGCAAAGGGAAAGAAAGGGAACUUCAUGUAGAACGGCAAGCAAGUUGCUGCUCAAGUGAAGAAGCCCAAGUUUGGACCUAAGCCUGAGACUGAGUGCUUCUACUGCAAAAGGACUGGUCACUGGAAGCAGAACUACCCGAAAUAAUUGGCGUAUAAGAAGGAUGGCAAAGUGAACAAAAGUAUAUUUGAUAUACAUGUUAUUGAUGUGUACUUUACUAGUGUUUAUAGCAACCCCUCAGUAUUUUAUACUGGUUGGCAACCUCUGCUUGCCUCUGCGAAGGGCCUAUCUUUUACUUUUAUGCAAGAGUCAUGGUGAUCUUCACCUUUCCUUUUUUUCAUUUUAUCCUUUGGCAAGUACCUCGUGUUGGAAAGAUUCUGAUAUAUCCAAUUGGAUGUAAGGCAUCAUGAACUAUUAUUGUUAACAUUACCCUUGAGGUAAAAGGUUGGGAGGCGAAUCUAUAAGCCCCUAUCUUUCUCUGUGUCUGAUUAAAACUUUGAACCCAUAAAUAUCGCGUGAGUGUUAGCAAUUGUGAAAGACUAAAUGAUAGUUGAGUAUGUGGAGUUUGCUAAAUCAAAGCUCUGACAUAGACUCUUCCUGAAAAUAAGAUGAAUUGUAAUUGUUUGAUGACUAAUAACACGGCUUGUUAGUUUUCAAGAAAGUUUAUGAUCUAUACUUUAACAUGUGAAUAGCUUGUUACUUGAUCAUGAAAAGUUCUAUGAGUUGAGCUACUGUUAUGACAUAUGAUGAUGCUAGAAAAAGUGAUUGAAAUUAUCAUUGAUCAAACUUGUGCACCUGCUAGCAUUCACACUUCAUAAAUUCUUUCUUUUAUCAUUUACCUACUCGAGGAUGAGCAGGAAUUAAGCUUGGGGAUGCUGAUACGUCUCCAACGUAUCUAUAAUUUAUGAAGUAUUCAUGCUAUUAUAUUAUCUGUUUUGGAUGUUUAUGGGCUUUAUUGAACACUUUUAUAUUAUUUUUGGGACUAACCUAUUAACCUAGAGCCCAUUGCCAGUUUCUGUUUUUUGCUUGUUUUUGAGUUCUACAGAAAAGGAAUACCAAACGGAGUCCAAUGGACGUCCCAAUUUUUGACGAUUUUUUAUGGACCAAAAGGAGACCCCGGAGCAAAAGGGUUGGGACAGGAGAGUCCCGGGCUGCCCACGAGGGUGGGGGGCGUGCCCUCCCCCCCUGGGCGUGGGCCCCUGCCUCGUGGACAACCCGGAGACCCCCCUGACAUGAGACCUACGCCAAAAAAUCCUAUAAAUACUGAAACCUCCAGAAAGCAGAAUAGAUCGGGAGUUCCGCCGCCGCAAGCCUCUGUAGCCACCAAAAACCAACCGGGACCCUGUUCCGGCACCCUGCCCGAGGGGGUAUGUCGGUGUCAAAACCGGCGGAUCUCGGGUAGGGGGUCCCGAACUGUGCGUCUAAGGCGGAUGGUAACAGGAGGCGGGGGACACGAUGUUUACCCAGGUUCGGGCCCUCUCGAUGGAGGUAAUACCCUACUUCCUGCUUGAUUGAUCUUGAUGAUAUGAGUAUUACAAGAGUUGAUCUACCACGAGAUCGUAGAGGCUAAACCCUAGAAGCUAGCCUAUGGUAUGAUUGUUUUUGUCCUACGGACUAAACCCUCCGGUUUAUAUAGACACCGGAGGGGGCUAGGGUUACACAGAGUCGGUUACAAGGGAGGAGAUCUGCAUAUCCGUAUUGCCAAGCUUGCCUUCCAUGCCAAGGAGAGUCCCAUCCGGACACGGGACGAAGUCUUCAAUCUUUUGUCUUCAUAGUCCAACAGUUCGGCUAAAGUAUAUAGUCCGGCUGUCCGAGGACCCCCUAAUCCAGGACUCCCUCAGUAGCCCCUGAACGAGGCUUCAACGACGAUGGGUCCGACGCGCAGAUUGUCUUCGGCAUUGCAAGGCGGGUUCCUCCUCCGAAUAUUCCAUAGAAGAUUUUGAACACAAGGAUAGUGUCCGGCUCUGCAAAACAAAUUCCACAUACCACCAUAGAGAGAAUAAUAUUUCCACAAAUCUAAUCUACUGACACAUUCUGCAGCAUGACAUCACACCAUGGCCCGGUCAUUAUUCGGACCGUUUUUCUUAACCAGCCACUGCACAUAUCGCGAGGCGGUUUUCUUGGCACGUCUUGUCGAAGCAGAGAUCGUGUCCCCCUAUCACGGGAUUGUCAUCAAUACGGGUGUGGGUAACCUAACCGCGCCAUCAAUUACAGCUCUUGGGGAAUAAGCGAGUUUACCAGGCAGGUGGGGAGGCGCAUAGUUCCUUCCGCCCUUAUAAAGAGACAAGGAUUCAUCUUUUUCACCCACGCCCUCUUCCUCCUUGCUCAUCCGUUCUUGCGCACUUGAGCUCCAACACCCAAGUUCGCAUUCUCUCCUCAAACCACUCCAAGCAUGUCCGGAGCAGGAGGCAAGUGGAUGGUCUCCUCCGUUACGAAGGAGGACAUCACAAGGCUAUGGGGAGCCGGAUACCUGGCCGCGGAUAUCGCGCACCGGCUACAAGAUGCGGGGCAGAUCGUCCCUACUCCAGAACCCCAUGAGAGGGUGAUAUUUCUUACCCACUUUGUCCGCGGACUGGGAUUUCCCCUCCACCUGUUUGUCCGCGGGCUCAUGUUCUACUACGGGCUGGACUAUCACGAUCUGGCCCCCAAUUUCAUCCUCAACAUCUCGGCGUUUAUCGUCGUGUGCGAGGCCUUCCUCCGCAUCAAGCCCCACUUCGGCCUGUGGCUGAAGACCUUCAACGUUAAACCGAAGGUGGUGGCCGGCCAGCAAGCGGAGUGCGGAGGCGCCAUGGUGGGCAAAAUGCCCAACGUCACCUGGCUAGAAGGCUCCAAUGUGGAGACCGUAAAGGGGUGGCAAUCGGGGUGGUUCUACAUCACCGAGCCGCGCGACACCAACUGGGUAGCGGCCCCCGAAUUUUUAUCCGGAAUCCCCAUGCGGCUCACCUCCUAGAAAGAGAAGGGCCUAUCCUGGGGUUCCUCGGUAGAGCUGACCGGACCCCAGACCUGCGUCAAAAACAUGAUGAGCAAGAAAAUCAAGCUUGUCAACAUGGUCCAAGUCAUGCUCUUCCGCCCGAUCCUCCCGUGUCAAAGACGGGCAUUCAAUUUGUGGGAGUUCGACCCGGCCGAGCACCAGACGCUGCGAGAGCUCUUCGACACGGCGCACAAGGACGUCUGGAAGGUGAUGUUCAAGGGCGCUGAGGUACCUCCUCCCCUUACCAAGGACCGCGGACUCAGCGCAAAGCGCCCUGCCAAUCCGGUAUGUCUUUUAUAUUUCAUAAGAUGUUCUUUUCCCCAGUAUAACCACACGCGGGAUCUAAGCCCCCACGCCAUUUAACAGGACUGGGUAGCGACAGCGGAGCAGAUCGAUUGUCCAGCCCCCCUGCCUGAAGAUCCAGCGGAUGCUCUCCUAACGGAGAUCCUGGUUUCGGCGCCUUAUGAGGUGCCGGAGAAGAAGGCCACGGGGACCAGGAAGGGUCUCCGGCGCAAGGUUAUAUCGGACUCAUCGUCCGAAAACACCGAGGCGCACUCCUCCCACGAAAACGGGGAGGAAGAGGAAAGUUCUCCCCCCCAGCCAGGGGGGACAGGACAAGGAAGGCUGCCCCAUCAGGGGAGGCCGAAGGGUCCAAGAAGGGAAGGACCCUCCUCCCGGACUGCUCCACAAAGGCCGCUUUUAGCGACGAGGAGUGGUUACCCAGGGACAAGCCCCUGGCAAAGUCGUGAGUAUCCGGAUACCAUAAUAAUUCUUGGUACGUCUUAUUGUACUGUUUCUUAUCACGCCGCGCAUGAUUAUGCAGUCCGUCCCGAGCCCAUAUCGACGUAUCUUCGUCGGAUGAUUCUUUGGGCCCGUCAGAUAUGAAUAGCGAUUCACUCCCGACUGCCUCCUCCCCCCGCCCUACGGACGACGCCGAGGUGUUGUCUCAAAGGGAACUAAACCAAGGGGAGACAGUUCCGGAGGCGCCCCAAGGCGACAUUCCAGGCGCUAGGUGCACGAGGGGCAAGACUCCCCUAGGCCCUAACACCGGGGGCAGUAAGUCUAGCCCCAAGCCGAAUACGGCGCCGGAACCUCCAGUGGUUCCGGAUUCUGUCAGGCAACCCCUCGCUAAGGGGGGUAAGCCGUCUGUGCCGAUGGCCUCUGUCCAUCCAGAGGCAUCGGACAACUUGCUAGAAGUGCUUCGCGGCGCUUCCAUUGACGAAGAGCACCGCACUAUUAUGAGUGCGGUAGUUAAGAAGGUUCAGUCCGCUAAGAGCGGACUGACUGAAGCCUGUGCCAACCUCCUAACCGGCUUUGAGGUAAGUAAUCAAAUUGUAAGAAAAUGUUACAGCAUAGACAGUAGCCCCUGAUGCUCUGUUUGGCGUUCGCGGAGAAAGGCCGAAUAGAGGAUCAAAUAAUAAUCGCAGGAGUCUAAUCAGAAUGUGUCUAUGUGAAUAAGCGGGCUUCACUGCUGGCCGCCGCCGCUCGUACUGCGGAGGUCACCGCACUGAAGCGGGACCUUGAGCGGUCCAAGGAAGAGCUCGGCCUUACCAAGAGGCAGCUCGAAGAGAACAAAGGUAAGUGACACCCCGUCUGAAUAUUGGUAAAGAAAAAUUUGGUUUUGGAAUAAUAGGAUCCUCAUGAAUUUUGCUAGGGGCCACGACCGAAGUGGCGGCCCUGCAGAAGGCGCUAUCUGAGGCCGAAGACAAAGCGGCCAAGGAGCACAUCGAGCGAGAGAAGCAAGAGGCCCGAGUAGGCGAGGUGCGGCAAGAGCUCCAGGCUCUCGUCAAGAAACACGAGUCCUUGGAGCUUGACUCUAUGACGCAAGGGUCCGAGCUUGCGAAGGCCCUCGAAAGCGCACAACAUGCCAAGGCCAAAGCCCAAAAGGCCCUCCAGGAAAUUUAGGCGGUUAAGAAGAUAGCGGCGGGUAAGGCAUUCAUUAUGCAAAGCAAGCAUGUGAAGGAAACUUUCUUUUUACUUACCCGAGUUCGGAGUUCUCCAGAAGCGUUCGCAGAUCUACCCCGCAGUGUGUCGGAUGCCACGGAGUUCUACCGGGCCGAGGAGGGGAGCUCGGCGGAGAAGUUGUUCUGGUCUCAGUAUACUGGGACCGAACAUCCAAUGCCCUUGAGCGACCAGUUGAAGCAACUGGUCGAGCUUCACAAGGCGGCCGAACAGGCCAUGAAGGGUCUUAUGGUCUGGAUGUGGCAUGGCGACCCCUGCCUGGUAGCUACUUCGGUCUGGUGAGGCGGCUUGUGAAUGCCUGCACACGGUUUGAAGUCAUAAAGCGGUCCGUCUGCAUUGAGGGUGCGCGCAGGACUUUUGCCCGGGCGAAGGUGCACAGGGCGAAGCUGGACGCCGAAAAGCUGGUGAAGGAGGGGCCGCCGGAGGGCAAGGAGCAUCGCCACCCCGAAAAGUAUUAUGAUAGUGUCCUGAAGGGUGCUCGCCUUGUGGCGGAGGAAUGUGCUAAGGAUGUAAUAUUUGAAUGAAUGUACUCAUGUGAUCCUGUAAUAUGAAACGAGUUCAUUUGCGUACGCAAUGCUUGUUAAUUUAAAAUAUUACCUUCUAUGCGGCCGUUUAUAAAAUCUGAGAGUUGGCCAGUCGUCGGCUUCUGCCCCCAUGUAACUAGUACUAAGGUGUUCGGGGUAAACCUGAGCACUCUUUAUCCCAAUUUUGGGUCCUUCGAAGGAGGUGUUUAGCACAAUGAACCAGGCAAUCGGACUAUAAAGCUUUAUCACUCUCACUUAGCCAUAGAAGUCUACAAUUUUAAAUUUUGGCGAAGCCCCUAGUAUUUCGAAGGCCGAAUUUGGGGCACUAUAUACGCCUAAGUCGGGCAAGACGACUCCUUGCCCGAAGCGGAAAGAGACUUUAAGGACUUGAGACCUCUCGAACAGCGACCAGCUCUCGCCUCAUUAUGACAGUCAGUUUUCGGCUUUCUCUACUGAGGUGCUCGUCCGGAAGAACCGGGACACAAUCGCAGUAGUUCUCCCAAGGCUACCUUAGCCGAUAUUGCGGAACGUAAGGUACCAAAACAUGGGAGCCGGGCAAACCCAACUAUUGACCCAAGACAUGAUUCGGAGCUGGUGCAUAUAAUUCUAUAAGUUCGGGGUGCCGCACUGUCGAAAGUGUUCGGACUUCUCACACUGUAUUAUGGGGUAUACUAAAGCCCCUGGCGCACUGGUCAUACCAGGAUGUACGGGUGCAAUUUGUCGUAAAUAAGCAGACAAGGAAAAAAAAGAAAGGGGAAUGCAAUAAUAGACUAACGAUAUGCAUUGUUAUUAAAUAAUACGUCAAAGCGACGGAUACAAGUAGUGCAAUAAGCAAAAAAUAAGACUAUUUGACAUGUCCUAUCCAAGGGCAAGCUGCGUAUGGGUAUGUAAAACAGGUAUUUCGAUCGUUAUCAGAGACCACCUAGGGAUUCCCUUGUACGUCAGAGCGUCUUGCUUCCUUGGUAUUUCCUUACCGCGAUGGGUCCAACAAUUAGAUUGCCGAAAAGGGCUUCCAGAGAGUAAGGUCCUGAAAGAGAGAAAAUGAUAAAGGUAUAUGGCCCCUGGGGCGGUUGAGCCACCUUGUGGGACGUGCCGUAGCUGUGCCUCCGCCUAUGCCCAUGGUAUCUUGAGUGCGUAGUUAUGUACGCGCGGCGCAAAUUUCGCCACUUGACUGGGACUAGGACGGAGGCCGAAUUGCUAGGCGAGCUCAAAACGUGCAUGGCGAUCCUCCUGCGGGGUACCCCGGACUCGCUUGAAGGUGUCCGGGGUCUUUUUCGCCGAAUUGGCGGUUUGCCUAUUAAGGCUGCUUUGCGCUUCUGCUGCGAGGGCUGCAGUGUGCUCCUCCGUGCGGAGCGAGCGCUCUGUGUUUCCAUUAACUGUUAUAACCCCGCGUGGUCCUGGCAUUUUGAGUUUGAGGUAUGCAUAAUGCGGUACCGCAUUGAAUCUGGGAAAUGCGGUUCGUCCGAGCAGUGCGUGAUAGCCGCUGCGAAAGGGGACGAUGCCGAAGAUUAACUCCUCGCGUCGAAAAUUGUCCGGAGAUCCGAAGACCACUUCCAGUGUGAUUGAGUCCGUGCAACAGGCCUCUACACCUGGGAUUACACCUUCAAAGGAGGUUUUGGUGGGUUUGAUCCUCGAGGGGUCUAUGCCCAUUUUGCACACUGUAUCCUGAUAGAGCAGGUUCAGGCUGCUGCCACCGUCCAUAAGGACGCGAGUGAGGUGAAAUCCGUCAAUGAUGGGGUCAAGGACCAAUGCGGCAGAUCCGCCAUGACGGAUACUAGUGGGGUGGUCCCUGCGAUCGAAGGUGAUCGGACAAGAGGACCAUGGGUUCAACUUUGGGGCGACUGGCUCCAUAGCAUAGACGUCCCUUAGUGCACGCUUCCGUUCCCUCUUGGGAAUAUGGGUUGCGUAUAUCAUGUUCACCGUUUUCACUUGUGGAGGGAACCUCUUCUGUCCUCCAAUGUUCGGCGGCCGAGGCUCCUCCUCGUCGUCGCUAUGGAGCCCCUUGUCCUUGUUUUUGGCAUUUAACUUGUCGGCCUGCUUGAAUACCCAGCAUUCUCUGUUGGUGUGAUUGGCUGGCUUAUCGGGGGUGCCAUGAAUUUUAACGAGCAAUCGAGUAUACGGUCCAAACUGGACGGGCCCGGAUUGCUUGUUUUGAACGGCUUCUUCCGCUGACCGGAUUUAGAGCCACUGAAUCCGGCAUUGACUGUCGUGUCUUCGGCGUUGUCGCCGUUGUUGUGGCGCUUGUGUCUGUUGCGACGUGGUCUGCCAAUAGUAUCUUUGGCGUCUGAAUUGCCGGGAUUUCUUGAUGUGCUGUUGCUGCGAGCUAGCCAGCUGUCCUCGCCCGCGCAAAAGCGGGUCAUGAGUGUCGUGAGGGCUGCCAUGGACUUCAGCUUCUCUUGGCCGCGGUGUCAGGCGAGCCACUCGUCCCGGAUGUUAUGUUUAAAUGCCGCUAAGGCCUCGGCAUCCGGACAGUCGACAAUUUGGUUCUUUUUAGUUAGGAACCGAGUACAGAAUUUCCUGGCCGAUUCCCCUGGCUGUUGGGUUAUGUGGCUCAAGUCAUCAGCAUCUGGUGGUCGCACAUAAGUGCCCUAGAAGUUGUCAAGGAAUGCGUCUUCCAAAUUCUCCCAACUGCCAAUGGAGUUUGCUGGCAGGCUAUUCAGCCAAUGUCGAGCUGGUCCUUUGAGUUUUAGUGGGAGGUACUUGAUGGCAUGUAGAUCGUCAUCGCGGGCCAUGUGGAUGUGGACGAGGAAAUCCUCGAUCCAUACCGCGGGGUCUGUUGUACCAUCAUAUGACUCAAUGUUCACGGGUUUGAAUCCUUCUAGGAAUUCAUGAUCCAUUACUUCAUCGGUGAAGCAUAGUGGGUGUGCAGCGCCUCUGUGCCGGGCUAUGUCACGACGCAGUUCAUACGAGUCUUGUCUGCUGUAUUCGGCCCCGCCGGAUUUGCUUUUAGUGUAUCCGGCAUGACGAUCAUCAUCACACAUUGGGGCGCGACCCCGUGAUCCGUAGAUCGAUCUUGUUUGUCCUGCUCUGUUUUCCUAUACGUCUCGCAGGUCCCGCGUGUUGCCCCAGGCCUUGGUAUUUAUGUUUGAAUGGCGGCGGGGUGCGGGCUGGACUUCGGGCUGAUAUGCCCCUCUGUCUCGGCCACGAGGUGGCCGAUCAGCCGCAUCAUACGCUGGUGAUGUAGGUUUUAAUGCUUCCUCCUCGAUUUGGGGUAGCAACCUGCGCUUUGGGUAACUCUUGGUUGGGCGCUCGAGUUCGUAUUCCUCUACCUCCAGGACUUCAGUCCAUCUAUCCGCUAGCAGAUAUUGAUCAGCUCGAAGCUGUUGUUGCUUUUUCUUCAGGCUGUUUGUUGUAGCUAUAAGCCGACGCUUGAAGCGCUCCUGCUUGACGGGAUCCUCAGGCACGAUAAAUUCUUCGUCGCCGAGGCUCACCUCGUCUUCGGAGAGAGGCAUGUAAUUGUCAUCCUCUGAUUCUCCGUCUGCUGCCUAUUCCGGAGGGCUAGCUUGUUCAUCCUCUCGCUCGAGGUCUGGCUGGAGGGGAUUGUCGUCGUCUUUGGCACUAUCCGGAGCGUUAUUGUCUCUUGUGCCGGUAUCGCUGCUUUUGCUAUGGCGGGACUUAGAGCGGCGCCGCUGACGUCGGUGCUUGGGUUGCUUCUUGGAGGGAUUAUCCUCGGUUGUCUUAUCGCCGUCGCCUUCUUUGGGGGUGUCCACCAUGUAUAUAUCAUAUGAUGAGGUGGCAGUCCAGCGCCCUGUGGGCGGUGGUUCCUGUUCGUCUCCUGUAUCGUCGUCCAUACCGUCGAUGUUUUCGGAGCCGAAAUCGAGCAUGUCGGUUAAAUCGUCGACAGUGGCUACUAAGUGGCUGGUGGGUGGGGAGCGAAUUUCUUCGUCGUCCGCAUCCCAUUCUAGCCAGACAUAGUUCGGCCAAGGGUCUCCUGACAAGGAGAGAGACCUCAAUGAGUUCAGCACGUCGCCCAGUGGUGAGUGCUGAAAGAUAUCCGCGGAGGAAAACUCCAUAAUCGGUGCCCAAUCAGAUUCGAUAGGCACAUACGCAGGCGGCUCAGAGCCCGUGGCCGGGGAUGAAUCCAGGUGUCCGGCGACACAGGUCUCAUAGGAGGUGAAGUCAGUAUUCGGCUCUAUCGCCACUCAGUGUGUGGCCUCCGAGGCGGGGUCCAUCCACCCGUCCUCGGACGGCGCAAUCGACUCCGGAUCUAGGGCCGGAGUAGCCAUGGGUGUGAUCUCCCGAACACCGUCCGGCGGCAGAGCUAAGUCGUGCUCGUCGUGACUGUGCGGCGCACCUGACAUGGGCUCGAAUCCGUCAAAGAUAAAGUCUCCGCGGAUGUUGGCACUGUAGUUUAAAUUUCCAAACCUGACCUGACAGCCAGGGGCGUAGCUCUCGAUCUGCUCCAGAUGGCCAAGCGAGUUGGCCCACAGUACGAAGCCGCCGAAUACAAAGAUCUGUCCGGGGAGGAAAACCUCACCCUGGAUCGCAUCGUUGGCGAUGAUUGAAGGAGCCAUCAAGCCUUUAUCGCGACGGCAGAGUGGAACUCUCAAUGAAAGCACCAAUGUCGGUGUCAAAACCGGCGGAUCUCGGGUAGGGGGUCCUGAACUGUGCGUCUAAGGCGGCUGGUAACAGGAGGCGGGGGACAUGAUGUUUACCCAGGUUCGGGCCCUCUCGAUGGAGGUAAUACCCUACUUCCUGCUUGAUUGAUCUUGAUGAUAUGAGUAUUACAAGAGUUGAUCUACCACGAGAUCGUAGAGGGUAAACCUUAGAAGCUAGCCUAUGGUAUGAUUGUUGUUGUCCUAGGGACUAAACCCUCCGGUUUAUAUAGACACAGGAGGGGGCUAGGGUUACACAGAGUCGGUUACAAGGGAGGAGAUCUACAUAUCCGUAUUGCCAAGCUUGCCUUCCACGCCAAGGAGAGUCCCAUCCGGACACGGGACGGAGUCUUCAAUCUUGUGUCUUCAUAGUCUAACAGUCCGCCUAAAGUAUAUAGUCUGGCUGUCCGAGGACCCCCUAAUCCAGGACUCCCUCAGGGUAUCCCUCACCGGUGGCCAUCUUCAUCAUCCCGGCGCUCUCCAUGACGAAGAGGGAGUAGUUCACCCUCGGGGCUGAGGGUAUGUACCAGUAGCUAUGUGUUUGAUCUCUCUCUCUCUCUCGUGUUCUUGAUUCAGCACGAUCUUGAUGUAUCAUGAGAUUUGCUAUUAUAGUUGGAUCUUAUGAUGCUUCUCCCCCUCUACUCUCUUGUAAUGGAUUGAGUUCUCCCUUUGAAGUUAUCUUAUCGGAUUGAGUCUUUAAGGAUUUGAGAACACUUGAUGUAUGUCUUGUCGUGCUUAUCUAUGGUGACAAUGGGAUAUCACGUGAUCCACUUGAUGUAUGUUUUGGUGAUCAACUUGCGGGUUCCGCCCAUGAACCUAUGCAUAGGGGUUGGCACACGUUUUCGUCUUGACUCUCUGGUAGAAACUUUGGGGCACUCUUUGAAAUACUUUGUGUUGGUUGAAUAGAUGAAUCUGAGAUUGUGUGAUGCAUAUCGUAUAAUCAUGCCCACGGAUACUUGAGGUGACAAUGGAGUAUCUAGGUGACAUUAGGGUUUUGGUUGAUUUGUGUCUUAAGGUGUUAUUCUAGUACGAACUCUAUGAUAGAUUGAACGGAAAGAAUAGCUUCAUGUUAUUUUACUACGGACUCUUGAAUAGAUCGAUCAGAAAGGAUAACUUUGAGGUGGUCUCGUACCCUACCAUAAUCUCUUCGUUUGUUCUCCGCUAUUAGUUACUUUGGAGUGACUCUUUGUUGCAUGUCGAGGGAUAGUUAUAUGAUCCAAUUAUGUUAUUAUUGUUGAGAGAACUUGCACUAGUGAAAGUAUGAACUCUAGGCCCUGUUUCCUAGCAUUGCAAUACCAUUUACGCUCACUUUUAUUAUUAGUUACCUUGCUGUUUUUAUAUUUUCAGAUUACAAAAACCUAUAUAUACCAUCCAUAUUGCACUUGUAUCACCAUCUCUUCGCCGAAUUAGUGCACCUAUACAAUUUACCAUUGUAUUGGGUGUGUUGGGGACACAAGAGACUCUUUGUUAUUUGGUUGCAGGGUUGUUUGAGAGAGACUAUCUUCAUCCUACGCCUCCCACGGAUUGAUAAACCUUAGGUCAUCCACUUGAAAGAAAUUUGCUACUGUCCUACAAAGCUCUGCACUUGGAGGCCCAACAACGUCUACAAGAAGAAGGUUUUGUAGUAGAUAUCAGGGGGAGGGGGGUGAAACCGCCCCGCCGCCGCCGUCCCCGAGCGCGGCGCGGCUUCGCUGGCCGGCCCUCCGGCGGCAGCGAUGCGGGGGGAGGGGGGCACUGGCGGAGGAAGGCUACCGGUGGCGAUGAAGGUUUCCCCCGUAUCGCCUGUUGCGGGCGACGCGGGGGCAGGGUUGACCAGCUCGAGGAUUUCGGCUGAGCUGUAGAACGUAUGAAAUAUUGAAGGAAAACAAAAACAUGAGAAUCAACAGAUAUUGGAGAAGUUGGUACAGAGUGGUACAUGGAAAGGAAAUUUUACUUUUACUGGAGGUUGAAUGAAGUUAUGUUUACACCUUCCAUUUCACUUUGUGGGCACUCCGAAGUUGCAAAGAAAAAAUAUAUAAAAUAUCAUCAUUCGUACGCAUUUAUAUGCAGGUAAUGAAAAUGGCUCCACCUAAUUAUAAGAUUAUUAAGCACUUUUAGUACCCGGGAGUCCCUGGUACUGUGAAGAUGAUAUUAAGACUAAUUAAUGGACAUGGAUUUGUUCUGAUCACACAAAGAUAGCUCAAACACCCAUCCGCUUACUUGCUUGCAUUUCAAAAGAUUGAUAACCACAUUUCAUCAUUUUUCCCCACUUCUCCACCUUGCUGGUGAUAUAUAUCCAGCUUCCGCAUAUAUGAUAUUUUUCACUCUAGCACUUUCAGCUUCUUUUUGAAAUGAAGAGUACUUUUCUUGCUGAUGCAGCAACAAUAGUAAGUCAGAGCUUUCUUAGGCCUUGUACAAUGCAAGGUGCUUUGAGAAAUAAACUAGGCUUUCCUUAAGCACCGAUACUUAUUUGUACAGGAUACUUUAUUAAUUUUUCUCACAAGAUCUUACAAAGUCAUACAACAGUAAGACUAAAGCCGCCGUCUAAGCAACAAACUGUCGCUACACCUAUCCAGUUGAUGAAGGGACGCAGAUAGCCUGGGCCUAAUACCAAACAGACAUCGCAUCCAAGCCUAACAUCUAAGACCUGAGACCCCAACCUAGCCACUUGCCGGGUCUGGGGCACACACUGGUCCGGCGUGCUCUCAGAGGCCGCCGCCGCCAACUGCCACCGCUCCAUCUUCAGAAUUGUACUGAUGCAUCAACCUUACUCGGUCUAGCUAUCGUCGACGCCACCACUGCGCCCAGCGGCACCUCCUCCCUGCCCGCAAACAACUGAGCACAUCGCGGUCGCCACUGAUACACCUCAGCACCAUGCUGCCAAGUACCACCAGCUGACACAGCUUGAAGUCCUUGGAAGAUCUUUCAUGCGUAGCACCUGCCGACCAAGUAUGACAAAGUGUAGCACCUGUCGGUCAGGCAUGACUUGACAUCUCCACCGAAGCUCCGUGCAAGACGAAGCCGCUCCACCUCCUGCCUCUGACUUCCAGCGCUGCUCCACAAACGAUGCUCCCAAGAGAGAAACGAGACAGCGGUGCCACAAUCGUCCGAUCUGGAACACCAGAUCCUAGAGUUUCCCGUGGAGCAGCACGAGUGGGUCGACAGUAGUUACACGAUGAUGCCUCCAUCAAGGUAACGACGAGAACGCCGCCAUCGCCUACCGUCGGCUCGAUUUUCACCGGCAACCAUGUCUCCCCUACUCGCAGUCGGGACUAGAUGAUGGAUCUCGAGAUCCGAUCACCAAGCCUCUGGCCGGCCAUCUCUGGAAGAAGAUGACCACCACGUCCACCAGCGUCACCACACCGGGCACGCGUUGCCGCCGGCACCCCCAUGGUGCCUAGAGGCCGACAAGCCCCGACGAACACCACGCCUCGCCAGCCGCCAUAGCCCAGGCCCAAGCACCACCAGAUCCAGAUCAGAUCGGGGUCAAGGGCCCCAAGCCGCAGCCGUCGCGGAGGCAGCACCACUAGACGGUGCCCUGCCCUCCACCCCGCUGUAGGAUCGAGUCAUCGCCGGAGCUCCGCCACGCCACGCCGCCAAGACGCCGCCGGAAGAACUCGCGCCGCCGCUAGGGGAGAGAGAGACGCGCUAGGGAGAGGCCCCGCCGCUGGCACUGCCUUGGCUUUGCCCGGCUGUGUCCCUCGGCGGCGGCGAGGGGGGAGGGAGGGUGGAGGAGGGCCGGCGGCGGAGGGGGCUAGGGUUCCCCCGAGUCGCCUCAGAGAGGGACGCAGGCGACGGGGUGAGAAAACUGAGAGAGUGGAUAUGGCCUUUACUCGAGCUCAUGGGGUGGCCCGACUGCUGGUGAGUGUUCUCGAUAUUGAGUUCGUGCCUGAUGUGGUUAAGUGGACAUAUAGGGGACAGAUUUUCAACCUCGAGAUUGAGUUUGAGGAUGCCGCUCUCUUCGCUGAGGCUAUCAAUGGGACUGAUGUAGAUAUGCACGAGGGUGAUGACAGCUCGGGUGCUAAGGAGGCACCGGUUGAUGAUGUUGGACGAGAGUUGUCCAACUAAUCGGGGCCCGUUCCUCAGACGCCCAGGGACGGGACGGCACCAUCCUCUUCGGUGCCUAUGAGUUCUCUGAGAUUUGGGUCGUUUGAGCCAGCUUCUGCUCCUCCCAGACUCUGGAGUGACCGGGUGGAGUCCGAUGACGUGUUUGAGCGCACGCUACCUACCCUGGAUUUUGUUGCUGCUGAUAGUCCCGUGCUUGGAGGUUUGGAGGGGAUUAUCUCUGUGCAGACCUCGGUAAGGGGAGGGGAGGCGGAGCUUGGGCAGGUGGCCCCUCUUUCCCCCGCUCUCCCUGCGGUGUCACCUCGGGAGACGGAGUCGACUAUGGAGGCUGUCCCUAGGGAGGGAGUCCAUGGCAGGUGGCCUCGGCUCCUUCUUCUCUUCUCGCGGUGCCGGAGCUGCAGAUGGCGGUUGUGCUUAGGGGAGGCGGUCCAGGGCAGGUGGCCUCGGCCCCCUCUUCACCUCUGGCGGCUAGGGAGGCCACACCCCCUAUGGCGCCGGAGACCUCUUCUAGCCAGAGGGCUGGGGCGGGAGGAGCGUACGGGCAGGCGGCCCACGCGCUUCCCUCUCCCGGCGCGCCAACGUCCCAGGGCCUCGGUUCGAGGUGGACGUCAGUGGGGCCGGGGAGGUCCCCGCCGCUGCCCCCGGCAGCUCCCGCCGACUCUUCGACGUGUGCAGCUUCGCGGUGUGCUGGGGGUGAGGCCGGUGGCUUUACUCCGAGCGGGGUCACUCGGGAGGAGGUCAUCGCCUUUGGAGGGAUUCUAGAUCCUGUCUCUGCGGGGCGACGGAUGAGCUGUCGUCUCUAGGAUCAUCCGGAGGUUGAUGACAUGCAGCAGCGGUGCGCCAUGAGGGCGGCCAAGCUUCGUGACAUUGAGGUCACUACUGGUAUGUCGGUCAACACUUCUAAUUCCAUUCUGCAUUUUUCUAAUAAUGAGAUUAUUAAUAAUUCAAAUCAAUUGGGAGUUUCACUAGGUAGUAAUGAUAGUGAAAUUUCUAACUUUGUAAAUGAUAUCCUGGAUUUGGAAGCGGAACGCGCUUUAGAAAUGAUUCAAAACUUAGCAGCGGUUAAACCCAUGAAUGAUGCAGAUAUCGAUGCGUUGGGGGUCAGGGUGCUCGAUAAUUUUUGUGCAGAUCUUGCACCAUCCAUUCCUGAGUCAGAGGAAGAGGAUAACACUUUUGAGGCUGCCGUAGAUCGAUCCAUGGAGCCCGGUUGUGAGGACUGGGUGGAGGAUCAAAACAAACCUAAACGCAAGUGGAAGCGGAAGAUCUACCCUGCUUCGGCGGUGCGUAGGAGUGCUAGGAUCCGUACUAUUAAAACAUUUCAUGAUGAAAUAUGAAAGGAAUCUUUUGGAAUAGCAGAGGUCUGAAAGACUUGGCUAAAAGAAGGUUUCUUGCAGAUGCGUCUAUCGAGCAUAGGUUGGAUUUUAUCACUCUCUCGGAAACUGGUAGAGAUAAUUUUUCGCCCCAGUUUCUCAGUACUUUAUCGGGAGGUGUUGAUUUCAAUUGGCACUGCCUGCCUCCGAGAGGAAGAUCGGGUGGGAUCUUACUUGGAGUGAGAUGCGAUUCGCUAGAAGUCUGAAGUGUAGUGAUGGGAGAUUUCACAAUUAAGUUCCGGGUUAGGUCGAAAGCCAACGGGUUUAAUUGGGCUCUGAUGGCGGUUAUGCUCCCGCGCAGCCCGAUCUCAAACCAGAGUUCUUGGCGGAUCUUGUUCAAAUUUGCGGCUCUGAGCAGCUCCCAAUCCUGGAUGGGGGUGAUUUCAACAUCAUUAGGAGGAGAGAGGAAAAGAAUAAUGAUAAUUUCGACGGCAGGUGGUCGUUUAUGUUUAAUACCAUUAUUGAAAGCUUGGAUCCUAGAGAGAUAGAGCUUUCGGGUAGAAAAUUCACCUGGGCUAAUACUUUGCCAAAUCCGACGUUUGAGAAGCUGGAUCGAGUCCUAGUGAGCGUCGAAUGGGAACAGAUAUUUCCUUUGGUAACGGUCCAGGCUCUUUCGCGUGGUAUUUCUGACCACACGCCUUUAUUUGUGGACUCUGGUGAGCCAACCCACAUGGGGAACAAAAACUCCUUUUCUUUCGAGCUGGCAUGGUUUGAACGAGAAGGCUUCUUGGAUAUGAUAGCCAGGGAAUGGGCUAAGGAUGCAGGAGGUAGGACUUCGAUUGAGCGCUGACAGAAUAAGAUAAGGCACUUGAGAAGUUUCUUGCGUGCGUGGGCUAAGCAUCUUAGUGGGGUUUAUAAGGUCGAAAAGGAAAGGCUCCUUACACUUAUUCAGUCUCUAGAUUUAAAAGCCGAGUCCACAAUUUUGCAAGCCACAGAGCUUCAUGAUAAACUGGAGGCGGAGAUGAGAUUGAAAGAGCUUCUCCGUGAAGAGGAAUUAAAGUGGGCGCUGCGGGCUAAGGUUCGCAAAGUUGUCCAGGGGGACGCGAAUACUCAAUUCUUUCACAUGAUCGCUAAUGGCAAGCACAGAAAGAAUAGAAUCUUUCAGCUUGAACCAAGAUGAAGGAACGAUUUUAGGACAGGAAAACCUAAAAUUAUACAUAACCGAAUACUACAAGCAGUUGUUUGGGCCUCUGGAGGAUAAUUGUGUAUCCCUGGAUGAGUCUAGGAUUGAGGAUGUGCCUCAACUUACUGCUGAUGAGAAUGAUAUUUUGAUUGCCCCUUUUUCGGGGAAAGAGGUGUUUGAAGCCAUUACACAGAUGAAAAACAAUAAGGCUCCAGGGCCGGAUGGAUUUCCGGCGGAAUUCUAUAAAAAGUGUUGGCAUAUUAUUAAGGGGGAUUUGCAACCAAUGUUCCAUGAUUUAUUCUCUGGACAGCUUCAGUUAUUUCACUUGAACUUUGGAAUGAUAACAUUGCUUCCUAAGAAAACAAAGGCUGUGAGAAUUGAGCAGUUCAGGCCGAUCUGUCUUCUCAAGGUUAGUUUCAAAAAUUUCACAAAGGUUGGGACUAAUAGGCUCACGCAGACUGCGCAUUCUGUGGUGCAGCAUUCCCAAACUGCUUUCAUGCCGGACAGAAACAUCCUAGAAGGGGUUGUGGUCCUUCAUGAAACGCUCCACGAAAUUCACACGAAAAAACUAGAUGGAGUUGUUUUCAAGGUGGAUUUCGAGAAAGCGUACGAUAAAGUCAAAUGGCCUUUCCUUCAACAGGCCUUACAUAUGAAAGGUUUUGAUGAAGCCUGGCGACGCCAGGUAGAAUCUUUCACGCAAAAAGGGAGUGUUGGAAUUAAAGUGAAUGACGACAUAGGUCAUUAUUUCCACACACAUAAGGGCCUGAGACAAGGGGUUCCGAUGUCUCCUAUUUUGUUCAACAUUGUAGUUGAUAUGUUGGCAAUUCUAAUAGGAAGGGCUAAGGAGGUUGGUCAGGUGGGUGGCUUGGUGUCUCAUCUAGUUGAUGGAGGUGUGUCUAUCCUACAGUACAGCGAGAAAUAUGAAGCUGGUGUUAUGCUUAUUUGAACAAUUGACCGGGUUAAAGAUUAACUUUCACAAAAGCAAAUUGUUCUGCUUUGGAAGAGCCAAUGAGGAACAAGAGGCUUAUAGGCAAUUGUUUGGGUGCGAAUUGGGGACCUUACCAUUUACGUAUUUAGGUAUACCAAUUCACCAUCGUAAGCUGACAAACACAGAAUGGAAGUGUAUCGAGGAUCUCUUUGAGAAGAAACUGAGUUGCUGGAAGGGCAAGCUCAUGUCAUACGGAGGCCGAUUAAUUCUGAUUAAUUUGGUUCUCACGAGUAUGCCUAUGUUUCUCUUGUCUUUGUUCGAAGUCCCAGUUGGAGUUAGGAAAAGGCUGGACUUCUAUCGAUCCCGAUUCUUCUGGCAGAGCGAUGAACUAAAAAGAAAAUACAGACUCACCAAAGGGAUAUUAUCUGUCGACCGAAAGACCAAGGGGGUCUUGGCAUUGAAAAUCUUGAGGUCAAGAACAGAUGUCUUCGCAGCAUGUGGCUGUCUAAGUUAUCUGUAGAGAUCGAUGCCACAUGGGCGCAGAUUCUUAGUAGUAAGUAUCUUCAUUCCAAAACUUUGUCCCAGGUGACAGCGAGGCCGACAGACUCACCUUUUUGGAAAGGGCUUAUGAUAGUCAAAUUAGCCUUUUUUAAUAGGACAAAGUUUAUUAUCGUCAAUGGCGCUAGCACGCGAUUCUGGGAGGAUACUUGGCUCGGAGAGACCCCCUUGCACUUCAAUACCCGUCUCUGUAUCGUAUUGUUCAACGACGUGAUGCUUUCGUUGCAACGAUACUUCAAUCCAUCCCCCUUAAUAUUUAGGUCAGGAGGACGCUAGCCGGUAAUCGUUGGGAAGAGUGGCUCCAUCUAGUGAGUAGACUGAUGGAGGUUCAGCUGUCUCAACAGCCCGAUCAAUUACGCUGGAAACUUACUAGGUCUGGAGAGUGUACAGUUAAAUCAAUGUAUCUCGAUGUGAUCAAUUCUAGCUCUAUUCCUAGUUCCAAAUAUGUUUCGACAGUCAAAGUUCCAUUGAAAAUUAAAGUGUUUACGUGGUUUGUACAUAAACAAGUCAUCUUAACCAAGGACAAUUUGGCAAAGCGUAACUGGACAGGACCUACUAAGUGUAGUUUUUGUGAUCGGGAUGAAACUAUCAAACACCUUUUUCUUGAUUGCUCGAUGGCCAAAGUUCUAUGUCGGACAGUCCACAUAGCCUUUGACAUUUCCGAGUUCUGUUAGCACGUUAUUUGGAACGUGGCUUAAUGGGAUAGAGUCCGAAACAGCGAGACACAUUCGCGUAGGAGUAUGUGCUUUAUUGUGGGCAGUCUGGAACUGCAGAAAUGAUUUGGUUUUUAACAGAACAACAAAUAUUCAUUUUUUGCAGGUUAUCUUCCAAGCCACUGCGUUGAUCCGUACGUGGUCACUACUCACUCCGACGGAGGCCAGGGAGCGUUUGGUUACUGGAUCUAUCCGGUGGGAGAUGGUAGCACGGGAUAUCUUCAACCGGUUUGAAUGGCGGUCAUGUAAUAGGAUAGGCAAUUAGUUUACCUAUCUUUCUUAUGCCGGCCGAUUGUGGCUUUUUGGCUAGUUUGUUAUUGGCCCUUUGGCUCUUUAUGAGCUUUCCUUUACUUUCGUUUGAGACUUUAAGACCUUGUUAAACCUAUUUGCUUUUUUAUAAAGUUGGCCGUAUGCAUCGUUCUGAUGCAGAGGCCGGGGAGCCCCCACUUUUCGAAAAAAAACCUCUUGUUAUCUUGUAUUCUUGUGUGACAAUGCUCGAAGAAUAUAAAAGGGCUAGGUGGAAAGACCCCCAUAUCGAAAACUUGCCUACCUACGAGUUUUAUAGACACAGAGCCUCAUUGGAUUGUACUAGAUGGAGCCUCCAGUGAGAGCUGAAGACGAGGCGAUGAGCACGGAGGAGCUGCUCCAAGCCCAGACGGAUCUCUACCACCACUCCCUAGCCUACAUCAAAUCUAUGGCGCUCGGUGCCGCCACAGAACUCAGCGUCGCCGACGCCAUCCACGGCCGUGGCGGUGCCAUCACCUUGUCUGACCUUGCGGCCGCGACCGGCGUCCACCCGACGAAAGUCCAACACUUCGGGCGGCUGAUGCGCGCGCUUACCGUCACUGGUGUCUUCACCUCGGAAGAAAAAGAAGGCGGUGGUGGUGCCCUGUACAAGCUCACUCGGAUUUCACGCCUCCUUCUCGGAGUCGGCAAGCGUCGGCUCUCCCCGAUGGUGCGUAUGCUUGUCAGCGAGGUCAGUUUCACUACUCCCAUGAGCAUCUGCGAGUGGAUCACCACUGAGACGCCGGCCAGGGCCAUGUUCGAGGCCCAUUUUGGCUCUACGCAAAAUGGGUUGUGGGAGAAGGACGACGCGUAUGGUGCCCCCUUCUACUCAGCAAUGGCUGCGGACAGCCGUCUCGUCAUGGAGGUUCUGCUGAGAGAGUGCAGCAGCGUCUUUGAGGCCGUUGCCGGCUCACUUGUCGAUGUCGGCGGCGGCAGCGGAGGAGUCGUGGCUGCCGCCAUUGCCACAGCGUUCCCUCACAUCAAGUGCUCCGUGCUGGACCUCCCCAACGUGGUAGCCGCGGCUGACGACACCACCAACGUGCAGUUUGUCUCCGGCGAUAUGUUUGACUACAUUCCACCAGCGGAUGCCGUUCUACUCAAGGUACGUACUUACAUAGUACUCCCUCCGUAAGGAUAUAUAAGAGCAUUUAGAUCAUUAUUAUUUUAGUGAUUGAUCCAAACGCACUUAUAUUUCUUUACAGAGGGAGUAGCACAUACAAAUGCAGCAAGCUAUCCAUUUCUUAUAUAUAUAAUGAACCAAAUUAAUCAACCAAUCCUUCCUAUAAAUUUUGUAGUGGAUUUUGCAUGACUGGGAAGACCAAGACUGCGUCAAGAUACUGCGCAAGUGCAGAGAGGCCAUCCGCACAAGAGGUGCUGGGGGGAAGGUGAUUAUAAUCGAUUUCGUCGUCGGUGCUGGUUCUUGCAAGGAGACGGAGACACAGGUUCUGUUUGAUCUUUACAUGAUGAUGGAGAAUGGGGCUGAGCGGGACGAGCAAGAGUGGAGCAAGAUUUUCUUUGAAGCUGGAUUUAGUGACUACAAGAUCAUGCCAGUCUUAGGCGCUCGUUCACUCAUUCAAGUAUUCCCAUGAAUUCUGGCGGUUUGAUGUCCAAAUGUACUUCCUGUUUCCAAAUGUUUGUUUGCUUUCACAUCAGAAUAAUGCCUAGGACUAUACUAUAUAGUCUCGACUUUGAAUCUGAAUAAUGAAACUGUUUGUUAUCCUACGUGUUGUUUUCGUUCAUAAUUCAUAUGCUCACAAUGAAAUACAGUCUGCUAUUUUUGUUUACAUUAAAUUAUACUUUACCUAGCAAUAUGGUAAACAGGCUCACUUAGCAGAGGCUGGCUUGUUCGCUUAUUCGCCGCCCUAGGAAUGCGAGCUCCUUGCCGAAAUGAAAUUCUAGUAGCACUGGUUACUAUCGGGUCCUGCAUGUUCGUCAUUUGUGCAAGUAAACACAAUGCAUACGAGUACUCUACUGAAUUGAACUUUUUUGUAUUGUUUUCAUUGGACCAUCCACUGUAUAGUAACAGAGUAUUUAUUGCACACAGACUAUUUUAUUCUUUCAACCCAUAGUUCAUCCACCCACACUUUUAGUCUGAUUCUAAAAUUUGUAACACUUUUAAAUUUUGAACUUGUUCUGAACAAGUAAAAUUCCAAAUUUGACACCAUAAUGAAACUUAUGUCAAAUGUGAGAUCAUAUGAAAUGAAACUGAAGUGAACCAAUAAUAAAAAAUGCAAAAAUAAUUUAAUAAACCAUAAUAAAACUUAUAUCAAAUUUGAGAUGAAACAUAGACGAAUUGUGGAUUGAAACAAUAACGAAAACAAGCUAAGGGGAAUCUAUGAAUAAAUAAUGAGAACAUGUAAAAUUACGAUGACACGGAAAUGAUAUCGUAUGGAAAAUAUGCUAAGAGAACACUUUCAUUGGCCAGCCCAACCAUGAAAGGUAAUUUAACAAAAUGAUAUGAAACUUAUUUGAAAGCUCGAAAAAUAGAAAUAAAACCAGAAUGAAAAUAAUAAUGAAACAUGUAAAAAUACGAUGAAACACAUAUGUAAAAAUAAGGCCGCGAGAUCGUCGUCCUCUGAGUUGGAAGUUUAUGGUGAAGGUGACGUGGGAUCCAUUGCAGGCGCGCCCGGGGUCUGGUGUGGUUGUGGAACACAUAUGUGGAGAUCAUAGUAGCGGUGAAUGACGAACGUGAGCGCUCCGAAGAAUAUGGUGCAGGAAGGAGAAGUCGGUCUGUUAGUGUAGAACCGGCCUUCUGCGAUGAAGGUGAGGAAGCCGAUGGUUAAGCCGUGAGAUUGCCAGCCGUUAUUGAGGAUCUGAUCUAGAGUCGGUCCCCAGCUGACAUAGCCCCUUCCUGUGCUAACUGAUGGUAUGGGAAUUUGCGAGUAUCCUUUGUAGGGUGGCGAACAUGUCCGGAAGUACAAGAAGGGAGUUCGCCAAGGGGGUUUUCCAGAUUUGCGCCCUCAUGGCGAGGAAAUACCUUACGUCCUGCUAUUUGUUUUCUAUUGAUGAUGGAGAACGUUGAGCGAGGGGUUACAAGGGACAUAAAUAUGGCCAUAGGAGUAUAGUCUACGGGAGUAGAUUGGAAUCGCUACCCCUAUCCUCACCUUAUAUAGGUGACGGGGCUAGGUUUUACAUGGCGCCUACAUGAUCUCACACUGCCAUCAUCUUGGCUUCCACCCAAGAUGGUCUUCUGGCUUCCAGGACCCCCGGGCUGUCUCUUGAUGCCAGACCUCCUUCAAGACUUUUGGGCCCGAAGGCCGGCCCACUAUUGGGUUCAUAUCUAGUGUGCCAUCCACGUUGUAAUGCACCAUCACCAACCCCGAUUUCUGGGGCCUUAAGAGUGAAGCGAUUCCUAAUUCUUCUUGGUAACAUGCCAAAGUGUUGUGUCCCAAAGGCUCGACUGGGUAUUUUCGUCAUUGCGGUUGAUAUGGAGAAGGGGUGGGUCGCAUGGAGGCAGAAAUGGGUAAAUGAAGACAGAAACGAGGGGCUGGCCUGACAGUGGUUCAUGUAGACGACGAGCAAGAGCAUGUGGCCAAUUUUUCCGCAAGCGUUAGAAGCAUAGCCAUAAUUCCAGAAAUUUUAGUGGCGGCAACUGAAUUUGCCCUAUUAUAAGAAGGUAUUGCCCCACAACGGUGCGCACACGGGUGACCUUCCUCUUGGUCCAAUGACAGGUGGGCCAUGGACUCGCCGGGGGCCAUAUUAAUGGGACAUUGUCUAUCGUGCUCUUGUGAUUUCUCUCUCGGGUGAUGGGCGGGCUAGACCCACCUGUCGGUUUUUUCGGACACCGUUGGGCUGGCUCAGGUGUGCCAGGGGGCCAGGUCAGACUGUGGUGGGCCUAGACCCCGGCGGGUGUGCGUCGUUCAGGAUGGCCGGCCACGCGGGUGUGCCAUGCUGUUUGAUCGCGAGAGCUGGCAAAGCACGGGCACCAGGUUGUUCGGCUUGUGUGAGCGAAACAGGCGACGGUGAGUCUAUCGUCCAAGAGACGGGCCGAAUAUACCGACAGGCGGAUCAGGCUUCCUGCUCUUGUGCAAUACGAUGAGAAAGGGUUCUCGCGGGAGCACCGAGGCCGCUCCAUGAGAGUGGCCCUGCACGCACCCGCGGUCCACCCGUCAUGGACCCCCGAGUGCACGUCCACUAGUUGAAAACGGAGUUUUAUCACCGGUUCGUAAGGGCCUUUAGUGCCGGUUCUGCAACCGGCACUAAAGAGUGGGGACUAAAGGUCCCCCUUUAGUACCGGUUUGGCACGAACCGGCGUAAACGUGCCACCACGUGGCACGAGCCAGGCCUGGGUGCGUGUAGGACAUUAGUACCGGUUGGUAACACAACCGGUACUAAAUGUUUGGGUGUGUUUUGGUUUUAAUUUUUAUUUUUCCUUUAGUUUUGUGUUUUCAAUUUAAUUUAGUGAUUGUUUUACAUUAUAAUGAGUUGUUAAAUCAUUAGGUGAAAGUACCGCAGAUUAGUUUCGACUGGAUGCAUGUGGAUCCUAGCUAAGUGAUAAAGUAUAUGCCAUAUCCAUAUUACUUAGAUCUAAGUAAUAUGGAUAUGGCAUAUAGUUGAUCACUUAGCUAGGAUCCAUCCAGUUGAAACUAAUAUGCGGUUUCUUUCAUAAAUGAUAUAAUAACUCAUCAUCAUCAUCAUCAUAUUAAUAUAAAAACUCUUGCAUCAUAUCAUCACCAACAACAGUAUAUACUAGCUAGCAAAGAUAUCAUCGAGUUCAACAUGGUCAUGAUAUUAUAAGCAUUCAUAACACCACAAAAGCAAAUCACUCUUUGAGAUUAAGUUCAUGACGAAGAACACGGACACGCAUGAGAGGACAAGAAGUACUAAGAGCAUGAUAACUAGCUAAAUCACUCCUGCUGCUCUCUCUCAGGUAAAAUAGCAUAGAACAUGUAUAGCUCUCCUGAUUCAUCAUAUUGGAUCAUGCAGAUGAACCUGUCUCCUAAUCGUGGGCUGCGCUUCUGAUUGCUGCCCCCUAGUACUUCUUUGCGAUCGUUAACAAUUUUGCUCCAAUCUUUCACUAUUAAGCAUUCAUCGCUUUCAGAAAUUCUGAAUGCACUCAUGUGCACUGUAGGAUAUCUUGGCCGUAAGCUAACAAUUGACAUGCGACCUUUAGUCUUGAUCCACUGAGGCACAACUAUUAAGCAUUCAUCGCUUUCAGAAAUUCUGAAUGCACUCAUGUGCACUGUAGGAUAUCUUGGCCGUAAGCUAACAAUUGACAUGCGACCUUUAGUCUUGAUCCACUGAGGCACAACUGUCAUCGGGAGUCCCUGUUGAAGAACAUCGUAUAGUAAUUAAUAUACUUAGCAAUGAAAGUUUAGCUUGAAAAAUAAUGUAUGCAAAAGAUGCACUGAGGACUAAUAGUAAAAAUCUUACCAUCUUUCCUAAAUACAUGUGACCGUAGUUCAAUACGAUCACUAUUGGUCGCACGUUUUGAGUACUAAGAUUUUCAAAUUCAGGAAAAUGAUUUCUCUUAACAGCAUCAAGAUCCUCAAGCCAUGAAACAUAAUGACUUAUCUCCUCGCAGUUUAGUUCAGCCCCGGGACAGUGGAUGGUCCUGUCUACCAAGCGCCGAACAUGUUUGCUUGAAUCAAAAUAAGCUGUCAAUAGAAAUUACUUGUCAACUAUUUUUGAAUAAACAAUAUCGAAGACAUAAAUAUGGUUGAGAAACUCACAUAAUGGUAGAACUGGAGGCAUCUGCACAUCGACCCAGAUAUCUCUAUUACCUUCAAUAUCAUCUUCCGGACGAAUAUCAAAGGUGAUAACCAUAUCAGGCUCAAAUGCAUAAGUCUUGCAUAGUGCUUGCCAAGUUUUGCAUUCAAAAUAGGUGUAUGUGUCUGCAUUGUAUAAUUUGACGUUGAAAGUAUAACCAUGCUCGGUCUUCAGGUAAACUCUCUUUGCCUCCAUAGUUUCCAUAGCACUGAAACCUAUCUUAUCCAAGACAAAAAUUCUUGCAUGGCAGGGGAUGCGCUACUACAAUAGUGAAAAUUAAAAAUUAUAAGUUGAAGCAAAUGAAGCAUAAGUCAUGCUUAAUUAUGAAAAAAGACUUGUCGUUGUGACUUACUGUAUCCACUUCGAAGGUCUCAUCCAGCUUGAUGCUGAAGCGCCUAUCAUCAACAAGGAAAUUUCUGUCGCACAGGCCGCGCUGGUCUUCACAGUAUUCGCACUUAAUGAAAUCUUUUUCGUCGUCAGACGACAUUUCCUAUGUUCAUAUAGGUGAAACAUUAAACACUUACUAGUUCUAUUAAUUCAACUAGUUCAACUACUUCUAUUAAUUCAACUAGUUCUAUCAAUUCAACUAGUUCUAUUAAUUCAACUAAUUCAACUAAGCAUUUACUAAAAAUAAACUAGUUCUAUAUAUAUAUAUAUAUUAAUAUUUUAAUUAGAUCAUCAAAUCUCAAAUACCUAAAUUUUCUUACUAAAAAUAAACCAGUUCUAUUAAUUCAACAAAUUCAACUAAGAAUUUACUAAAAAUGAACUAGUUAUAUUAAUUUUCUUACUAAAAUAUAUAAAGUAGCUAUGUAUAGUAAUAUUUUAAUUAGAUCAUCAAAUCUCUUAUACCUAAAUUUUCUUACUAAAAAUAAACNNNNNNNNNNNNNNNNNNNNNNNNNNNNNNNNNNNNNNNNNNNNNNNNNNNNNNNNNNNNNNNNNNNNNNNNNNNNNNNNNNNNNNNNNNNNNNNNNNNNNNNNNNNNNNNNNNNNNNNNNNNNNNNNNNNNNNNNNNNNNNNNNNNNNNNNNNNNNNNNNNNNNNNNNNNNNNNNNNNNNNNNNNNNNNNNNNNNNNNNNNNNNNNNNNNNNNNNNNNNNNNNNNNNNNNNNNNNNNNNNNNNNNNNNNNNNNNNNNNNNNNNNNNNNNNNNNNNNNNNNNNNNNNNNNNNNNNNNNNNNNNNNNNNNNNNNNNNNNNNNNNNNNNNNNNNNNNNNNNNNNNNNNNNNNNNNNNNNNNNNNNNNNNNNNNNNNNNNNNNNNNNNNNNNNNNNNNNNNNNNNNNNNNNNNNNNNNNNNNNNNNNNNNNNNNNNNNNNNNNNNNNNNNNNNNNNNNNNNNNNNNNNNNNNNNNNNNNNNNNNNNNNNNNNNNNNNNNNNNNNNNNNNNNNNNNNCUGGGGCGGCGAUGGGGGCGGCGACGACGGCGGCGACGACGACGGCGACAGGAUGGGCUGGGGCGCGAUAGGGGCGGCGACGGGGGCGAAGAACAAACUGAAACGAACUGAAAAUAUUCGUAAGUGGUGCUUAUAUAGCGGUGGCCAUUAGUACCGGUUUGAUACUAAAGGCCUAUUUUGGCCAGGCCAAGAGGCGGGAAGAGCAGGCCUUUAGUACCGGUUGGUGGCUCCAACCGGUACUAAAGACCCACCUUUAGUACCGGGUUGGGCUACCAACCGGUACUAAAGGGGGUGCGCUGCCACCCGCGGUGUAGAAAGUUUAGUCCCACCUCGCCGGGCGAAGGGCAGCCGCACUGGUUUAUAAACCCAGCCGCGGCUGCUACUUUGAACUCCCUUGUAAAGCAGGCUUCUGGGCCUAACUAUGGCACGCUGCCCUGUGAGCCUGCUGGCCCUUGUGGGCCUGAAUUUCCACGCCCGUGGUCUUGUAGGCCCAUUGGGAAGCGCCCCAAUAAUUUUUUAUAUAGUUUGUUUCUUUUCUUCUUUAUUUAUUUUCUUCUAUUUAUUUCUGAGUAGUUUUUUAUAUAGUUUUUUCUUUUCUGCUUUUUUUUAUUUUCUUCUAUUUAUUUCGGAUUAGUUUUUUAUAUAUUUUUUUCUUUUCCCCAAAUCGGUAAAUGACUGAAAAAUAGCAAAUGUUGUCAGAAAGUGUUGAAAAUUGAUGACGUCGCUUUGAAUGGUGUGUAUGGAACGCAAAAAAGUCUGGAGUUGUAAUAAGUUUAAAAAAAUGAAGUGCCCAUGUAACAGAUGAGUUCUCGUCAGAAACCCUGAUACUACAAAAAAGAUAGUCCAGUUUGUACACGAAGUGCGUCCAGUUUUUGCCAUAACCCUCUCUACUCUUUUGCACAUGCUAUGUGGGUGAAAUGAUGAUACCAUGCCAAGUUUUGACAUUUUCAGAGUUUAUUUUGUAGUGAUUUUCAAUUUCACGGUCAUUUAACUCUCUAAACAAAUCGGUAAAUGACUGAAAAAUAGCAAAUGAUGUCAGAAAGUGUUGAAAAUUGAUGACGUCGCUUUGAAUGGUGCGUACGGAACGCAAAAAAGUCUGGAGUUGUAAUAAGUUUAAAAAAAUGAAGUGCCAGUGUAACAGAUGAGUUCUCGUCCGAAACCCUGAUACUCCGAAAGAGAUUGUCCAGUUUGUACACGAAGUGCGUCCAGUUUUUGCCGUAAUCCUCUCUACUCUUUUGCACAUGCUGUGUGGGUGAAAUGAUGAUACCAUGCCAAGUUUCGACAUUUUCAGAGUUCAUUUUGUAGUGAUUUUCAAUUUCACGGUCAUUUAGCUCUCUAAACAAAUCGGUAAAUGACUACAAAAGUGCAAAUAAUGUCAGAAAGUUUUGAAAAAUGAUGACGUCGCUUUGAAUGGUGUGUACGGAACGCAAAAAAGUCUGGAGUUGUAAUAAGUCUGAAAAAUCGAAGUGCCAAUGUAACAGAUGAGUUCUCGUCAGAAACCCUUAUACUUCGAAAGAGAUUGUCCAGUUUGUACACGAAGUGCGUCCAGUUUUUGCCGUAACCCUCUCUACUCUUUUGCACAAGCUAUGUGGGUGAAAUAAUGAUACCACACCAAGUUUCGACAUUUUCAGAGUUGAUUUUGUAGUGAUUUUCAAUUUCACGGUCAUUUAGCUCUCUAAACAAAUCGAUAAAUGACUGAAAAAUAGUAAAUGAUGUUAGAAAGUGUUGAAAAUUGAUGACGUCGCUUUGAAUGGUGCGUACGGAACGCAAAAAAAGUCUGUUGUUGUAAUAAGUUUAAAAAAAUGAAGUGCCAGUGUAACAGAUGAGUUCUCGUUCGAAACCCUGAUACUCCGAAAGAGAUUGUCCAGUUUGUACACGAAGUGCGUCCAGUUUUUGCCGUAACCCUCUCUAAUCUUUUGCACAUGCUAUGUGGGUGAAAUGAUGAUACUAUGCCAAGUUUCGACAUUUUCAGAGUUCAUUUUGUAGUGAUUUUCAAUUUCACGGUCAUUUAGCUCUCUAAACAAAUCGGUAGAUGACUAAAAAAUAGCAAAUGAUGUCAGAAAGUUUUGAAAAUUGAUGACGUCGCUUUGUAUGGCGUGUACGGAACGCAAAAAAUUCUGGAGUUGUAAUAAGUUUAAAAAAAUGAAGUACCCAUGUAACAGAUGAGUUCUCGUCAGAAACCCUGAUACUCCAAAAGAGAUUGUCCAGUUUGUACACGAAGUGCGUCCAGUUUUUGCCGUAACCCUCUCUACUCUUUUGCACAUGCUGUGUGGGUGAAAUGAUGAUACCAUGCCAAGUUUCGACAUUUUCAGAGUUCAUUUUGUAGUGAUUUUCAAUUUCACGGUCAUUUAGCUCUCUAAACAAAUCGGUAAAUGACUAAAAAAUAGCAAAUGAUGUCAGAAAGUGUUGAAAAUUGAUGACGUCGCUUUGAAUGGUGCGUACGGAACGCAAAAAAAGUCUNNNNNNNNNNNNNNNNNNNNNNNNNNNNNNNNNNNNNNNNNNNNNNNNNNNNNNNNNNNNNNNNNNNNNNNNNNNNNNNNNNNNNNNNNNNNNNNNNNNNNNNNNNNNNNNNNNNNNNNNNNNNNNNNNNNNNNNNNNNNNNNNNNNNNNNNNNNNNNNNNNNNNNNNNNNNNNNNNNNNNNNNNNNNNNNNNNNNNNNNNNNNNNNNNNNNNNNNNNNNNNNNNNNNNNNNNNNNNNNNNNNNNNNNNNNNNNNNNNNNNNNNNNNNNNNNNNNNNNNNNNNNNNNNNNNNNNNNNNNNNNNNNNNNNNNNNNNNGACUAAAAAUAGCAAAUGAUGUCAGGAAGUGUUGAAAAUUGAUGACGUCACUUUGAAUGGUGCGUACGGAACGCAAAAAAAGUCUGGAGUUGUAAUAAGUUUAGAAAAAUGAAGUGCCAAUGUAACAGAUGAGUUCUCGUCAGAAACGGUGAUACUCCGAAAGAGAUUGUCCAGUUUGUACACGAAGUGCGUCCAGUUUUUGCCGUAAUCAUCUCUAUUCUUGUGCACAUGCUGUGUGGGUGAAAUGAUGAUACCAUGCCAAGUUUUGACAUUUUCAGAGUUCAUUUUGUAGUGAUUUUCAAUUUCACGGUCAUUUAGCUCUCUAAACAAAUCGGUAAAUGACUACAAAAGUGCAAAUAAUGUCAGAAAGUUUUGAAAAAUGAUGACGUCGCUUUGAAUGGUGUGUACGGAACGCAAAAAAGUCUGGAGUUGUAAUAAGUCUGAAAAAAUGAAGUGCCAAUGUAACAGAUGAGUUCUCGUCAGAAACCCUUAUACUUCGAAAGAGAUUGUCCAGUUUGUACACGAAGUGCGUCCAGUUUUUGCCGUAACCCUCUCUACUCUUUUGCACAUGCUAUGUGGGUGAAAUGAUGAUAUCACGCCAAGUUUCGACAUUUUCAAAGUUGAUUUUGUAGUGAUUUUCAAUUUCACGGUCAUUUAGCUCUCUAAACAAAUCGAUAAAUGACUGAAAAAUAGUAAAUGAUGUCAGAAAGUGUUGAAAAUUGAUGACGUCGCUUUGAAUGGUGCGUACGGAACGCAAAAAAAGUCUGUUGUUGUAAUAAGUUUAAAAAAAUGAGUUGCCAGUGUGACAGAUGAGUUCUCGUUCGAAACCCUGAUACUCCGAAAGAGAUUGUCCAGUUUGUACACGAAGUGCGUUCAGUUUUUGCCGUUACUCUCUCUACUCUUUUGCACAUGCUAUGUGGGUGAAAUGAUGAUACUAUGCCAAGUUUCGACAUUUUCAGAGUUCAUUUUGUUGUGAUUUUCAAUUGCACGGUCAUUUAGCUCUCUAAACAAAUCGGUAGAUGACUAAAAAAUAGCAAAUGAUGUCAAAAAGUUUUCAAAAUUGAUGACGUCGCUUUGUAUGGUGUGUACGGAACUCAAAAAAUCUGGAGUUGUAAUAAGUUUAAAAAAAUGAAGUGCCCAUGUAACAGAUGAGUUCUUGUCAGAAACCCUGAUACUUCGAAAGAGAUUGUCCAGUUUGUACACGAAGUGCGUCCAGUUUUUGCCGUAACCCUCUCUACUCUUUUGCACAUGCUGUGUGGGUGAAAUGAUGAUACUAUGCCAAGUUUCGACAUUUUCAGAGUUCAGUUUGUAGUGAUUUUCAAUUUCACGGUCAUUUAGCUCUCUAAACAAAUCGGUAAAUGACUGAAAGAUAGCAAAUGAUGUCAGAAAGUGUUGAAAAUUGAUGGCGUCGAUUUGAAGGGUGCGUACGGAACGCAAAAAAAGUCUGGAGUUGUAAUAAGUUUAAAAAAAUGAAAUGCCAGUGUAACAGAUGAGUUCUCGUCCGAAACCCUGAUACUCCGAAAGAGAUUGUCCAGUUUGUACACGAAGUGCGUCCAGUUUUUGCCGUAACCCUCUCUACUCUUUUGCACAUGCUAUGUGGGUGAAAUGAGGAUACCAUGCCAAGUUUCGACAUUUUUAGAGUUCAUUUUGUAGUGAUUUUCAAUUUCACGGUCAUUUAGCUCUCUAAACAAAUCGGUAAAUGACUAAAAAAUAGCAAAUGAUGUCAGAAAGUUUUGAAAAUUGAUGACGUCGCUUUGAAUGGUGUGUACGGAACUCAAAAAAGUCUGGAGUUAUAAUAAGUUUUAAAAAAUAAAGUGCCCAUGUAACAGAUGAGUUCUCGUCAGAAACCCUGAUACUUCGAAAGAGAUUGUCCAGUUUGUACAGGAAGUGAGUCCAGUUUUUGCCGUAACACAAGAAGUCCGGAGUUGUUAUAAGUUAUUAAAGAUAAAAAAGAGGCACAAUGCUCGUUAAUUAGCUUCAAGCCUUUCGGAAUAGUGCAAACUGCACUGCACAUAGCUCCGUGCAGUCUACACUAUUCCUCAAGGCUUAAAGCUAAGCAACGUGUAGAUGAGCAUUUCACGGUCAUUUAGCUCUCUAAGCUAAUCUAGUAGCCAUGUUAAGUCGAUAAUGACGUGGAAUUGUUAUAUGACAUGCAAAUACCUUCUGAGUUAAUGGCACUAGUCAUCAACCCGUGCAACUGCAUGGGCUAGUUUUUUAAACGGUUCAUAGUUACAAUACUUUUCAUGACCACUUGUUUCUUUGCAUCCAGCAAGAAUAUAAAUUUGUUGUGUGUGAACCAUUAAAUGAACAAUUAAUAUGAAAAUAGAAAACUUAUAUCCUGAAAGUUUACAAUCUUCAUAAAAUAUUUAUAUUUUAUUUUAAGACAAACGGGAAAUUAAAAAUCCUACUUAUAGAGAUCCUGAAACAUAAUUCAAAUGUCGCAUAAAUUACGUAAUUUUGAAUGAUAAGUACUAAAAAUGUAAUAAUUUGUUUAGUUAAUAUUAAUCCUUUUUUUAUUUGGGAGUCUACUUAAUCAUGGGGUAUUUUGCAUAAUGCUUAGGCUUGUCAAAUGAAAUAAGCAUUUCAUAACAACAGUGUACCUCCCUACAGUUUAAUAACAAACUUACUCUACAAACACCGAAAACCGAACCAAAGACUGAAGAAGCAAUCAUAAGUGUCAUACUUCUUAAAUUCUCCUUUUUUUUCCCGGCACCACCCAUGGAGUAGUCUUUCCACCGUGUUUGACUCUCGUUGUGGUAGCAAAUGAUGGGUCCAAGUUUUCGCAUAGUAUUGUCCGUUUGUUUUAUCAUGAUAGAGUACUCCAUUAGUUGGCACCGCUCUUAUAUUUGUGUGUGAUCUUUUAGCAGUUCAACAUUAUAGUUCUUCCACCCAUAUGUUCGCAAUGUUAAAUCUAUGGAGAAAAAGAUUCAAAUCUUCACUAUUGUACCACAAAAGCAAGUCACAUGAAUAGCUCGCAAUUAUUUAACUACUGGUGGUUGGUGCCAGGUAUAUUAGCGUUAGGAAAGUAAAUGUACAUACUGAACAUUUGACUGUGGAAGAAAAUGAAUUUUCUUAUUUACUCUUAUUGAAUUCUAAAUAUAUUUUGGAUAUUUGUUUUCAGUAAUACACCUAAUUUUGGAAAAUCUAUUUCAUAGCCUUGUAUUUUUGAAAUAUUUUACAAAACAUGACACAAAUUGUUGUGUUUUUUCACAUACAUAUUUAUAACAUUAAUACACUCUUUAUAUGUAAUGUGAUAUUUAUUAUAUAAUUUUUUAAUCAUACAUAACUAAAUUCUUAUUAUUUUCAAAUCACAAAUUUUAAAUGAUAUGAUAACUUACAUUUUAAAAGCUCUAUUUCGGGACAUUAUAACUAAAAACUAUCUGAGCGAAUCGGGCACCAUAAUGUAUUUGGUGUCUACACUUUGUCGCAUACAUAGCCUUUUUUAUUUUUAAUGUAAUUGCUAAAAUAUGUAAUUAUGUAGAACUUAAUAUUACAUUCUAUUACACAGAUUGGACUUAUAUAGGUUGGAAAAGAAUUAAAUCUAUGCUGUCAAACCUACCGAAUAGCAUUCCUCCGGCACAUUGUAUAUCUGGCAUUUAUUAGUAAUGUGUCUAAAUCAGUUCGGGAUAAAUUCACUCUACAUCGUCAUAAUGGCUUGUUGUUAAAAUUUGGCAUCCUGACGCAUUACUUGGAAUUUUUAUAAACUCAGUGUAAACAGUUAUGUUAUCUUUUUAAACAUAAGUUAUUUAGUUCAAUUCGGAGUACUAUAUAGUAAUUUUCAACAGUAAAUCUAGCCUAUUUCAACUCGGUCAUUAUAAACAAUAAAUCUAGCCUGUUUCAACUCGGCCAUUAUAUUUAACUUAUUUAAGACAUAAGGUAAUCUAACUUUUGAACAAUCUUUAGAAAUCUACAUAUGUAGAGGUCAAGUAGGACAUACAUAUGUGAAAUUCCUUAAAAUAAUUUGAUAAUUGUUAUAUUAAAGAAAAUAAUAUUAUAAUUUAUUAUCUGUACUUACUAUAAUUGCAAUACUUUUUGAUAGCAUGUUCCCGUUGCAUAGUGUCGCUUACUGCACAAUAUCUUAAUUUGUUAUGUGUCUCGGAUAGAAAAAUAUUGUAUUUCCGCGUAUGUAUAUGCAUGUCUAUAUAUGUUUCACACACAUGAAAUUUUUUUAUAUAUUAAAAAAUGAUUUCGCCUGAGUUACAUCCAUGCAUGCUAAUUUCCUGUCUAUCAUUGGAGUUUAGAUCUAUGCAUGUAUGUGCUUGACUAAGCUCUGCACAUAUAUACGUGCCGGUCAAAUCAUAUACAUGAACGUACAUCACUCUAUUCUACUAUUAAGGGAUUCGUUGAGCACCUCGUCAAAGAAACAAACCUUUCAGAUCAACUUGUAAAUUUUCUUUUUACAUAUUUGCAUUUUUUUAGCAUAUUUGCAUUUCUUUCCUAAAAUAUUGCAAUAUUUGCAAAUAUCUGAAUCAUAUUCUUUUGAUUGACAAUAACACAAUGGCUUACCAGCAGAUCAAAACAGAUAUCUAGCUAGUGCGAAGGUUGUGCCACCUCUUGAUUGUUUCCUCCAUGAGCAAGCAAGCUUCUGGUAACGGUAACAGUCAUGGCGACGGAACAUGAUGUGCCGGCGAGCCGCAGACAUUAGAAAGAUCUGAAAAGAAGCAGAUAGGCAUGAUGCAUAAAUCUGGAAAGGAAGAAGAAUAUGCAUAACUCAAAAGCAUUGAAGCCGUCGGUUUUUGCAUUGCUCUACGAUCAGUUAAUGUACGCAUGCAUCGUAUAUGUACGCAUCCAGCCGCCGGAAUUUACUUCUCCUGCCUUCGUUUGUCAAGGGCAAAAAUACUGGCCAGCAGCACAAAUUGAAGACCAGCUUUCGGCACCUCCAUAACGCUCGUAGAAAAGUUCUCAAUGACUUGCAUCGGGAAUAUCUCUCCAGACCAGGGCAUGCGCCAAUUAAUGCUUCUUGCCGUGUCAUGUAUGCCGGGUCAUGUAUCUCUACGGGGACAACAAAAUUCAACUUGUUUAUUUUUGGAUAAUCAUUGGGAGAUAGAGACCCAGCACAGGACGUCUCCCAUGCGUGGGACAACCGAGGUUUUUUUUUUCAAUCUUAGGCUUCAUCAACGGCUAAAAUAUAUUAUAUUUUAAUCUGACGGAUGUAAAUCUUUAACUUAUAAAAUUGACGUGAAUCCUCGUAUGGCUCUUCCAAUUAGUAAAUAUAUAAGAUAGUAGUAGACGUGAAGAAUAAAGGGGCAGUAAUGGGAUAUUAAAUGUGGCAGCUAACUUGCUAGGCCUUCGAGUUAUAUUUUGUUCAGCAUUAAGUGGAAAACAUAUUUUGGCAUCCUUUUCCUCCUCUCGACUCUGACAAAAUGUUAGUGAUAUUCAAAUGGAAAAGCUUAGGCAAGAAAUAUUCCGAGGAAAAAUAAUGCAUCUACUCUAAAAUAUAUUUUCAUCAAUAGUAGUCCACUACUACCAUGAGCCAAUGGCCAUGGUUCUAUUCAAAAUUUUAAUUUAUCAAGAUCAGGCGUAGACUUGAUGUUGACAUCAAUGGCUAUCUAGGCUUAGAGAGAUGAGAGGAGUGAAGAACAAAAAAGGAGCGCCAAUAAUGGUUAUAACCCAUAGGGGAUAAAAUAAGGACGCCGCUAGUUGGCAUGAAUUGAUACAGGUAGACAUCACUUACUCUGCGUCCCUGAAUAGAGGCCAUAAUUUGUGUUGCUCUAGGGACCCAUAAUUUAUGAAUUCUGCUCACAAGAGAUCCGACUGUUGUGGGGAUCAAACUUUAGCACGCUGCCCUUAGAGCAACUCCAACGCGUCAACCCAAAUGGACGGCGAUUUUGUUAUAUUUUCGUCUGUUUGUGUCGACCGUCCACUCGGUGUCCGCCUAAUUUUCUUUUUGGGUCAGCAGUGCGCCCAAUGCCAGCGACUCAUUUCAUGUCCGUGCACAAAUUUUAAAAAGGCCCGCGGCUGUAGAUCAUGGCAGCGGCCAAGCCGUCACCCAAAGUUCAUGCCGGCACCAUGCCAGCAGCCGACAUACAAUGCCAGCUCCAAAAAAGCACCACACAGUUUGUGUUGGCGCACUUGCCAGCGACUGGCAUAGAUGCCAGCAAACAAAAAAGGGGCGGGAGUUCGACCACGCCAUCGCGACCGUAGUCAUGCCAACACACUUUUCGGCAUGCAAAAAAGGAUGGCGCUUUCCGCCAUAAAUCACUCGUCGUCGAACUUGAGCAUGUCGGCUUGCAUCUUGUCGAACCACGACCUCUUCCUCGGCGACAUGGUGUUGAGGUCCACCUUCAUGAUCUCCACACCCGUCAUCAUGCUAGCGAGAACCACUUCUUUCGCCUUGGUCUUGACAUUUGCGGCAUCGAUAUCUAGCAUCUUGGCUUGCACUGGUGCAGAACCGGGCUUUAGCACCAGUUCGUAAGGCCCUUUAGUGGCGGUUCUUGAACCGGUACUAAGGGGGGGGGGGCUUUAGGGAUUUUGGUUUUAUUAUUUAUUUUUCCUUUAAUUUUGUAUUUCCAUUUAUUUUAUUUUUCAUUUGCUGGUAUUUUACGAACUACAUAUUGUACACGUUAUGCAUAUAUAUAAAUAUAAUUUCUCGUAGAACCGAUCAUAUANNNNNNNNNNNNNNNNNNNNNNNNNNNNNNNNNNNNNNNNNNNNNNNNNNNNNNNNNNNNNNNNNNNNNNNNNNNNNNNNNNNNNNNNNNNNNNNNNNNNNNNNNNNNNNNNNNNNNNNNNNNNNNNNNNNNNNNNNNNNNNNNNNNNNNNNNNNNNNNNNNNNNAGCUAAUCAUUGAUAUAUACUACAUACUAAACGUACAUACUCUCUAUUUUGACGGAUACUACAUACAACAUACAAAAUGCAAGUGGUGGUAAUUACCACCGCUUGGAGGAAGCAUUUGAGGCACCACCAUUUGAAGCACCGCCAUUCACACAUAGAGCAGAAAAGAGUACCGGUUGGAGCGACCAACCGGUUUAAAGGGGUGUGCUGGCCCAGGUGCGAUGCACAAAGUUUAGUCCCACCUUGCUGAGCGAAGGGCGGCCGCACUGGUAUAUAAACCCAGCCGCGGCUGCUCCUUUGAGCUCCUCCCUAACGCAGGCCUUCUGGGCCUACUUGUGUUGCGCUGCCCUGUUGGGCCUACUAGCCUUGCGGGCCUACCUCCUGGCCCGACUACAGGUUGGGUUUCUAGUCGCAUGCAGGCCGCUGUGGCCCAGUAGGCGGGCUUUUAAAAAAAUAUUGUUUGCUUUAUUUAUUUUCUUUUAUUUAUUUCUGAGUUGUUUUUCCUGUAUUUCGAAUUUCUUUGUGAAUAUUUUUGCUUUAGGUACAAAAAAUUACAAAAUUUCUGUUAGUGCCAGUAGUUUUCAAAUUUGAAUAGUUUAAAUUUGUCUCCUUUAUUUAUUUUUAAGUUGUUUUUUGCUGUAUUUAGAAUUUCUUUGUGAAUAUUUUGCUUUAGGUAAAAAAAAUUACAAACUUUAUGUUAGUGCCAAUAGUUUUCAAUUUUGAAUAGUUUAAAUUUGUCUGCUUUAUUUAUUUUCUUUUAUUUAUUUGUGAGUUGUUUUUUGCUGUAUUUAGAAUUUUUUGUGAAUAUUUUUCUUUAGGUACAAAAAAUUACAAAAUUUCUGUNNNNNNNNNNNNNNNNNNNNNNNNNNNNNNNNNNNNNNNNNNNNNNNNNNNNNNNNNNNNNNNNNNNNNNNNNNNNNNNNNNNNNNNNNNNNNNNNNNNNNNNNNNNNNNNNNNNNNNNNNNNNNNNNNNNNNNNNNNNNNNNNNNNNNNNNNNNNNNNNNNNNNNNNNNNNNNNNNNNNNNNNNNNNNNNNNNNNNNNNNNNNNNNNNNNNNNNNNNNNNNNNNNNNNNNNNNNNNNNNNNNNNNNNNNNNNNNNNNNNNNNNNNNNNNNNNNNNNNNNNNNNNUAAGUUGUUUUUUGCUGUAUUUAGAAUUUCUUUGUGAAUAUUUUUGCUUUAGGUACUAAAAAUUACAAACUUUCUGUUAGUGCUAGUAGUUUUCAAAUUUGAAUAGUUUAAAUUUUUCUGCUUUAUUUAUUUUCUUUUAUUUAUUCCUGAGUUGUUUUUUGCUGUAUUUAGAAUUUCUUUGUAACUAUUUUUGCUUUAGGUACAAAAAAUUACAAACUUUAUGUUACUGCCAGUAGUUUUAAAAUUUGAAUAGUUUAAAUUUGUCUGUUUUAUUUAUUUCUGAGUUGUUUUUUGCUGUGUUUAGAAUUUAUUUUUGAAUAUUUUUGCUUUAGGUACAAAAAAUUACAAACUUUCUAUUAGUGCCAGUAGUUGUCAAAUUUGAAUAGUUUAAAUUUGAAUUAUUUGAAAUUUUUGUGAAUAACUAGUUUCGGAAUAACUUUACUUUAAAAAUAGAUUUUUCAGUGAUUCGUUUUUCUUAUGUCUAACAUUAGUGUGUUUUAUCAUUAUAUUCAAUUUGGUAAUACUUAGGUUAUUUAAAAAAUGAAAUGCCAUUGUAACAGAUGAGUUUUCGUCUAAAAACUCUGAUACUUCGAAAGAGAUUGUCCAUUUUGUACACUAAGUGCUUCCAGUUUUUGCCAUAACCCUCUAUACUUUUUUGCACAUGCUAUGUGGGUGAAAUGAUGAUACCAUGCCAACUUUCAACCUUUUCAGAGUUCAUUUGUAGUGCUUUUUAAUUUCAGGGUCAUUUAGCUAAAAAAAUCAUUAAAUGCAUGAAAAAUAGCAAAUGAUGUCCGAAAGUGUUGAAAGUUGAUGACGUGGCUUUGAAUGGUGCAUACUGGACGCACAAAAAGUAUGGAGUUGUAAUGAGUUUCAAAAAUGAAAUUCCUUUGUAACAGAUGAGUUUUCGUCCGAAACCCUGAUACUCCGAAAGAGAUUGUCCAUUUUGUACACGAAGUGCAUCCAGUUUUUUCCAUAACCCUCACUACUUUUUUGCACAUGCUAUGUGGGUGAAAUGAUGAUGCCAUGCCAACUUCCAACCUUUAAGAGUUCAUUUGUAGUGUUUUUCAAUUUCAGGGUCAUUUAGCUAAAAAAUCAAUAAAUGCAUGAGAAAUAGCAAAUGAUGUCAGAAAGGUAUGAAAGUUGAUGACGUGGCUUUGAAUGGUGCAUACUGAAUGCACAAAAAGUUUAGAGUUGUAAUAAAUUUAAAAAAUGAAAUGCCUUUGUAACAGAUGAGUUUUCGUCCGAAGCCCUCAUACUUCAAAAGAGAUUAUCCAUUUUGUGCACGAAGUGCAUCCAGUUUUUGCCGUAACCCUCUCUACUUUUUUGCACAUUAUAUGUGGGUGAAAUGAUGAUACGAUGCCAACUUCCAACCUUUCAGAGUUCAUUUGUAGUGCUUUUCAAUUUCAGGGUCAUUUAGCUAAAAAAAAUCAGGAAAUGCACGAAAAAUAGCAAAUGAUGUCAGAAAAGUUUGAAAGUUGAUGACAUGGCUUUGAAUUGUGCAUACUGAACGCACAAAAAGUCUAGAGUUGUAAUAAGUUUAAAAAAUGAAAUGCCUUUGUAACAGAUGAGUUUUCGUCCGAAACCCUCAUACUUCGAAAGAAAUUGUACAUUUUGUACACGAAGUGCAUCCAGUUUUUGCCGUAACCCUCUCUACUUUUUUGCACAUGCUAUGUGGGUGAAAUGAUGAUGCCAUGCCAACUUUCAACCUUUGUAGAGUUCAUUUGUAGUGCUUUUCAAUUGCAGGGUCAUUUAGCUAAAAAAUCAGUAAAUGCAUGAAAAAUAGCAAAUGAUGUCAGAAAGUGUUGAAAGUUGAUGACGUGGCUUUGAAUGGUGCAUACUGAAUGCACAAAAAGUCUGGAAUUGUAAUAAGUUUAAAAAAAUGAAAUGCCUUUGUAACAGAUGAGUUUUCGUCCGAAACCCUGAUACUCCGAAAGAGAUUGUCCAUUUUGUACACGAAGUGCAUCCAGUUUUUGCCGUAACCCUCCCCUACUUUUUUCCACAUGCUAUGUGGGUGAAAUGAUGAUACGAUGCCAACUUCCAACCUUUUCAGAGUUCAUUUGUAGUGCUUUUCAAUUUCAAGGUCAUUUAGCUAAAAAAUUAGUAAAUGCAUGAAAAAUAGCAAAUGAUAUCAGAAAGGUUUGAAAGUUGAUGACGUGUCUUUGAAUGGUGCAUACCGAAAGUACAAAAAGUCAGGAGUUGUAAUAAGUUUAAAAAAAUGAAAUGCCUUUGUAACAGAUGAGUUUUCGUCUAAAACCCUCAUACUUCGAAAGAGAUUGUCCAUUUUUUUCUACACGAAGUGCAUCCAGUUUUUGCCGUAACCCUCUCAACUUUUUUGCACAUGCGAUGUGGGUGAAAUGCUGAUACCGCCAACUUUUAACCUUUUGAGAGUUCAAUUUUAGUGCUUUUUAAUUUCAGGGUCAUUUAGCUAAAACAAUCAGUAAAUGAGCUAAAAGUAGCAAAUGAAGUCAGAAAAGGGUUGAAAAUUGCUGAUGUGCCUUGGAAUGGUGCAUAUUGAACACACAAAAAGUCUGGAGUUGAAAUAAGUUAUUAAAAAUAAAAUCCUUUUGUAAUAGAUGAGUUUCGUCCGAAACCCUGAUACUUCGAAAGAGAUUGUCCAGUUUGUAGAAGAAGUGCAUCCAAUUUUUGCCGUAACCCUCUCAACUUUUUAGCACAUGCUAUGUGGAUGAAAUGAUGAUAUCAUGCUAAGUUUCAACCAUUUCAGAGUUGAUUUGUAGUGCUUUUCAUUUUCAGGGUCAUUUAGCUAAAAAAAUUCAUUAAAUGCAUAAAAAUAGCAAAUGAAGGCAGAAAAGAGUUGAACAUUGAUGAUGUGACUUUGAAUGGUGCACAAUGAACACACAAAAAGUCCGGAGUUAAAAUAAGUUAUAAAAAUGAAGGAGAGGCGCAAUCCUCACUGGCACAUUGCUUAGCUUCAGGCCUUGACAAACUACACAUAGCUCUGUGCAAUCUACACCAUUUCCUCCAGGCAUGAAGCUAAGCAACGUGCAGGUGAGCAUUGCGCCUCUCCUUCAUCGUUCCUCGUCUCUGCACUCAGGGCUUAUAAACCGCUGAUACGUCUCCAACGUAUCUAUAAUUUUUGAUUGUUCCAUGCUAUUAUAUUAUCAAUCUUGGAUGUUCUAUAAUCAUUUUAUAGUCAUUUUUUGGUACUAACCUAUUGACAUAGUGUCAAGUGCUAGUUGUUGUUUUCUGCAUGUUUUUUACAUUGCAGGAAAUCAAUACCAAACGGCGUCCAAAUUCAAUGAAACUUUACGGGGAUUUUUUAUGCACCAGAAGACACCUAAUGGGCCAAGGCUGCGCCUAGGGGGUGCUCCGAGGAGAGCACAACCCACCAUGGCGCGCCAGGAGGCCCGGGCACGCCCUGGAGGGUUGUGCCCACCUCGGGUGCCCCUCGGGCCGCCUCUUUGCUCUAUAAAUAUCCCAAUAUUCCAGAAACCCUAGGGGAGUCGACGAAAAUCAAUUCAAGCCUCCGCAGAGUCCAGAACCACCAGAUCCAAUCUAGACACCAUCACGGAGGGGUUCACCACUUCCAUUGGUGCCUCUCCGAUGAUGCGUGAUUAGUUCUUUGUAGACCUUCGGGUCCGUAGUUAGUAGCUAGAUGGCUUCCUCUCUCUCGCCAAACUCUCAAUACAAUGGUGUCUUGGAGAUCCAUAUGAUGUGACUCUGUUUGCGGUGUGUUUGUUGGGAUCAGAUGAACUUUCAGUUUAUGAUCAGAUCUAUCUUUUUAUAUCCAUGAAAGUUAUUUGAGUUUCUUUGAACUAUUAUAUGCAUGAUUUCUUAUAGCCUCGUAUUUCUUCUCCGAUAUUUGGGUUUUGUUUGGACAAAUUGAUCUAUUUAUCUUGCAAUGGAAAGAGGUGCUUUGUAGUGGGUUCGAUCUUACGGUGCUUGAUCCCAGUGACAGAAGGGGAACCGACACGUAUGUAUCGUUGCUACUAAGGAUAAAACGAUGGGGUCUAUCUCUACAUAGAUAGAUCUUGUCUACAUCAUGUCAUCAUUCUUAUUGCAUUACUCCAUUUCCCCAUGAACUUAAUACACUAGAUGCAUGCUGUAUAGCGGUCGAUGUGUCGAGUAAUAGUAGUAGAUGCAGGUAGGAGUCGGUCUACUAAUCUUGGACGUGAUGGCUAUAUAUUGAUCAUUGCCUGGAUAUCGUCAUGAUUAUUUGGAACUCUAUCAAUUGCCCAACAGUAAUUUGUUUACCCACCGUUUGCUAUUUUGCUCGAGAGAAGCCACUAGUGAAACCUACGGCCCCCGGGUCUCUUUCUCACAUUAUUUGCCUUCGCGAUCUAUUUUAUUUGCCUUUUGUUUGCAGAUCUAUUAAACCAAAAAUACAAAAAUACCUUGCUGCGUUUUACUCUUAUUUAUUUUAUUUGGUGUUCGAUCUAUCAAUCUACUACAAUUAUCUCACGUCUGUUUGCCAAUUUCUGGCGCCGCUACCCGAAAGGGAUUGACAACCCCUUUAACACGCCAGGUUGCGAGGAUUUGUUAUCUGUGUGCAGGGGCUAUUUACAUUCUAUUGCUAGGUUCUCCUACUAGUUCGAUAACCUUGGUUUCAUAUCUGAGGGAAAUACCUACCGCUGCUAUGCUGCAUCAUCCCUUUCUCUUUGGGGAAAUACCGACGUAGCUUCAAGCCGCAUCAAAAGGAAUUUCUGGCGCCGUUGCCGGGGAGGAUCUUCAACAUAUACGAGGUUCCGAAUCACAAAUCUCAUCUCCUUGCAAUUUACAUUAUUUGCCAUUUGCCUCUCAUUUUCCUCUCCCCCACUUCACAAAAAUUUGCCAUUUUAUUCGUCCUCUUUUUCGUUCGCCUUUUUCUCGUUUGAUCUUUUGUUUGCUUGUGUUGCCAUGUGCCUUCUAUAUGCUUGCGUCUUCGCUUGCUAAAAAUAUAUUGAUAUGGAUCCUCAUCCACUUGCUAAUCUUUUUAAAAGAUCCAAUCAUGUUGAACCAGUUGCUAGUGAGUUGAGUGCACUAGAUUAUCUUUAUGAAGUUUUUCUUGAGAUUCGUGAAUCUAAAAAUUGCGAUGAAGAAAUUUAUGAAGUGAUUCAUGAUAGCUCCUUGAAUGAAAAGCAUGAUUGCAAUGAUUUUACUAUAAAUCCUAUUAAUGUCAAUUGUGCUAAUAAUAUGCAAAACCCCAAACUUUGGGAUGCUAAUUUUGCUAUGUCCACUACUUGUUGCAAUGAUCAUGAUUGGGGUGAUUCUUCUUAUGAGCUUGAAAUUUUAUUUAAACCUCAUGAUGAAUAUGAUAUUGAUAAUAAUGUUUGCAAUAAUAUUGAAAGUGGGUAUGGAAGAGCGUCAACUUUAGGUAAAAAUAAUCCCACAUAUUUGGAGAGUGUUCAAUCUUAUGAUUUUUUUUAUGAAAGUGGGUUCGGAGGGGUCAUGACUUUAGUUGAUGUUAAUCCCACUAUCUUGGAAGAUUAUAAGACUUGUAUGCAUGUGGAUCAUGAAAAGAAAGUUUUAUAUGAUUGCUAUAUUGUUGAAUUUGAGUAUUAUCCUACAUGUAAUUAUUAUGAGAAAGGAAAAUAUGGUUGUAGAAAUUUUUAUGUUACUAAAUUACCUCUCGUUAUGUUGAGAUCGUCAAUGUUUUAUUCCUCUUCUUUGCAUAUGUUAGAUGUUUCUUGUCUUGAUAUUUUGUUUUCUUAUAAAAUUCCUAUGCAUAGGAAGUAUGUUAGACUUAAAUGUGGUUGUCAUAUGUUUCAUGAUGCUCUCUUUGUGUUUCAAUUAUUAUCUCUCAUGUGAGCAUCAUUGAAAUUUUAUGCCUAGCUAGGGGCAUGAAACUAUAGCGCUUGUUGGGAGGCAACCCAAUGAAUAAAAUUUGUUUUUACCUUUUGCUUUCUGUUCUUGAAUGUUUGCACAAUUAUGCUAAUGUUAUGAUUGUGUGUUUUGUGUUUUAAUUAGUGUUUGUACCAAGUAGAACCUAUAGGAUCUUCUUGGGUGAUAGUUGUUUGAUCUUGCUGAAAAAACAGAAACUUUUGCGCUCAUGAAAACAAUUCUUAUUUUUUACCAGAGCGUGAUAAAAUGCCAAUUAUUUUUGCAGAAGAUUAAUAUACAAAUUUCUUAGGUCUUCCUAUUGUUUUAGAAUUUUUGGAGUUUCAGAAGUAUUCGAACAAUUCAGAUUGCAACACAUUGUUCUGUUUUUGACAGAUUUUGUUUUCUUUGCGUUGUGUGCUUGUUUUGAUGGCUCCAUGGUUUUCUUUGUUGAGUUUUUGCCAUAGAAAAGUUGGAAUAUAUUAGAUAUAAUGCAAGAAUAAAAUAUGAAUAGGUUGCAACAGUACUUAUAGUAGUGAUUUAUUUUCUUAUACUAAUGGAUCUCACGAAGGUUUUGUUGAGUUUUGUGUGAUUGAAGUCUUCAAGUUUUGGGUUAUCUUACGAUGGAUGAAGGAAUAAGGAGUAAGCAAAGCCUAAGCUUGGAGAUGCCCCGGCAACCCAAGCUAUUAUCCAAAAGAUAGCAAGCAAGUAAGCUUGGGGAUGCCCCGAGUGGCAUCCCCUCUUUCUUCUAACGACCAUCGAUAUUUUACUCGAAGCUAUAUUUUUAUUCGUCACAUACUAUGUGUUUUGCUUGGAGCGUCUUGUAUGAUAUGAGUCUUUGCUUGUUUUAUUUUGUGUUUUAAGUCUUGAUUCCUUGCGGGACACACCUAUUUGAGAGAGCCAAAAUUAUGCAUGACUUAUUAGAAUUGCUCUCUAUGCUUCACUUAAAUUUUUUAUGAGCCAUGGACUUGCUCUAGUGCUUCACUUAUAUCUUUUUGAGCACGGUGUGCUUAGUUAUUUUUUAAGAAAUGCUCUCUUGCUUCACUUAGAUUUGUUUUAGAGGUAGUAAAUUUUUCAGGAAAUUCUCUCUUUCUUCACUUAAAUUAAUUUGAAAGAAAGAAAUAUUAUGCUCAUGAUCUUCACUUAUAUUUGUUUGAGCUUAUCAAAAGCAACAUAUGAAAAUUAGUUCCAAAGUGAUAGAUAUCCAAGAAGGAUAUAAUAAAAACUUUCAUGAAGAUCAUUGGACAAAAUAAACUUGAUUCUUAGUAAUAGUUUUAAGAUAUGAUGAUGUGAUAUGUGAGUCAUGUUGAUGAGUAAUUAUGCUUUACUAAGAAUAUUGGUGUUAAGGUUUGUGACUCCCUAUGCAAGCACGAAAGUCAAUAAUUAUGCAAUGAAAUUAUAUCCUACUUGUGGUGCAUUAUUCGGUGUUAAUUAUGCUUAAUGCUCGCUUAUGAGAUUAUUCGUUUCUUGGUUGGUUGCUUCUCAAUCUUUUGCUAGCCUUCAUUUUGCACUAAGUAUGAUCUCUACUUGUGCAUCCAAAAACCUUUAAACCAGUUUUGCCACAUGACUCCACUAUAUCUACCUAUAUGCGGUAUUCUUUUGCCGUUCUAAGCAAAUUUGUAUGUGCCAUCUCUAAUUUUGAAAAUAAACUUCUCUUUUGUGUGUUCGUACCGCUCGCAGAGCUGUGAGGGGUGGCUAAUAUUUUCCAUGCUAGAUGUGUUAUUCUCACGAUGAGUGUUUAUUCACUUGUCAUUGCACGAGAGUAAGGCAAAGGUAUUAGGGAUGCCCAGUCCCGAAAUGAAAAAUGAAUUUACUUUAUGUUGUCAAAUAAUAAAUUCCUUGGAAAGUGUUGGUACGGAGGGAAACCGUGGAUACGGCUAGCCAAGGAAAGUGAAAGUAUGGUUGAAAAAAGAAUAAACUUUAUUUUCUGUUUGGGAACCGCCUAUGAUAUAUCUAGCAUGGAAAGUGUUGGGAACUCUAAGUCGUUUUCGUUGGUGGGAAGGACACACCUCCUGAAAUGUUCUUAUCUCUAAGUUUUUUCGCUUUGAGCUUUGGCACGUCUACAAAUCCCUACUUCCCUCUGUGAAGGGCCUUUGUUUUACUUUAUGCAAUUUUUAUUAUUGAAUUUGAAUCUCCUUAUAAAAGCACCAACUCGGAGGCACUAUGAUCUUACUUGAGCAUUGGGUGUAGCUAAUAUGCAAGUGUGUUUCAUGAAUGGAUCAAUGAUUGAGCAUGAUGGGCUAGGGAUAACUUAUUUUAGCGUUGAUAUUUUGAAAGACAUGGUUGCUUGUUGGUAUGCUUGAGUAUUUAAGUUAUCAUAUCAAAACUAGACUAUUGCUUUGAACAAUAUAAAAGUCCAAAUGUCCAUGCUAUAAAGAAAACAAUAUGAUAUGACAUGUUACGCAGUAUUCCACAUCAAAAAUUCCGUUUUUAUCACUUACCUACUCGAGGACGAGUAGGAGUUAAGCUUGGGGAUGCUGAUACGUCUCCAACGUAUCUAUAAUUUUUUAUUGUUCCAUGCUGUUAUAUUAUCAAUCUUUGAUGUUUUAUAGUCAUUUUAAAUAAUUUUUUGGUACUAACCUAUUGACAUAGUGCCAAGUGCCAGUUGUUGUUUUCUGUAUUUUUUUACAUCGUAGGAAAUCAAUAUCAGACGGAGUCCAAAUGCAAUGAAACUUUACGGAGAUUUUUUUAUUGACCAGAAGACACCUAAUGGGCCAAGGUUGCGCCUGGGGGCGCUCCGAGGAGAGCACAACCCACCAGGGCGCGCCAGGAGGCCCAGGCGCGCCCUAGUGGCUUGUGCCCACCUCGGGUGCCACCCGGACCACCUCUUUGCUCUAUAAAUACCCCAAUAUUCCAGAAACCCUAGGGGAGUCGACGAAAAUCAAUUCCAGCCGCCGCAGAGUCCAGAACCACCAGAUCCAAUCUAGACACUAUCACGGAGGGGUUCACCACUUUCAUUGGUGCCUCUCCGAUAAUGCGUGAGUAGUCCUUUGUAGACCUUCGGGUCCGUAGUUAGUAGCUAGAUGGCUUCCUCCCUCUCGCUAAAUUCUCAAUACAAUGGUCUCUUGGAGAUCCAUAUGAUGUAACUCUUUUUGCGGUGUGUUUGUUGGGAUCAGAUGAACUUUAGUUUAUGAUCAGAUCUAUCUUUUUAUAUCCAUGAAAGUUACUUGAGUUUUUUUGAUCUCUUGUAUGCAUGAUUUGUUAUAGCCUCGUAUUUCUUCUCCGAUAUUUGGGUUUUGUUUGGCCAACUUGAUCUAUUUAUCUUGCAUUGGGAAGAGGUGCUUUGUAGUGGGUUCGAUCUUAUGGUGCUUGAUCCCAGUGAUAGAAGGGGAACCGACACGUAUGUAUCGUUGCUACUAAGGAUAAAAUGAUGGGGUCUAUCUCUACAUAGAUAGAUCUUGUCUACAUCAUGUCAUCGUUCUUAUUGCAUUACUCCCUUUCCCCAUGAACUUAAUACACUAGAUGCAUGCUGGAUAGCGGUCGAUGUGUGGAGUAAUAGUAGUACAUGCAGGCAGGAGUCGGUCUACUAAUCUUGGAUGUGAUGCCUAUAUAUUGAUCAUUGCCUGGAUAUCGUCAUGUUUAUUUGUAGUUCUAUCAAUUGCCCAACAGUAAUUUGCUUACCCAUCAUUUGCUAUUUUUCUCGAGAAAAGCCACUAGUGAAACCUAUGACCCCCGGGUCUCUUUCUCAUUUUAUUUGCCUUCGCAAUCUAUUUUAUUUGCCUUUCAUUUUCAGAUCUAUUAAACCAAAAAUACAAAAAUACCUUCUUGCGCUUUAUUCUUUUUUUUUUAUUUGGCGUUCGAUCUAUCAAUGUACUACAAUUAUCUCACGUAUGUUUGCCAAUUUCUGGCGCCGUUACCCGAAAGGGAUUGACAACCCCUUUAACAUGUCGGGUUGCGAGGAUUUGUUAUCUGUGUGCAGGGGUUGUUUACGUUGUGUUGCUAGGUUCUCCUACUAGUUCUAUAACCUUGGUUUCAUAUCUGAGGGAAAUACCUACCUCUGCUCUGCCGCAUCAUCCCUUCCUCUUUGGGGAAAUACUGACGUAGCUUCAAGCCGCAUCAACCGCUGCGAGUCCCUCUUGCUAGGCGAGGUGGGACUAAAUUUUAGCCAUUGCCAGGACAAGGCCUUUAGUCUCGGUUGAUGGCUCAAUUAAAAUAUUUUGUUAUGAUCCACUUAUAGAAAGUUAUAAUAUUCUUCAAUAGCAAAAAGAAUCAACUAAAAAUCUCUAGUACCGGUUCGUGGCAUGAACCGGUACUAAAGGUGCUGGUGGGGGGCCCAGCCUGACAACAGCCUGCCACCACCUCUUUAGUACCGGUUCGUGGAACGAACUGGUACUAAAGGUUCGCCACGAACUAGUACUAAUGAGCACCGCCCGCCUAGCUGUUGGAACCGACACUAAUGGUCACAUUAGUGCUGGUUCAGUUACAAACCGGGACUAAUGUGCUUCACAUUAGGCCCUUUUUCUACUAGUGUUGCUUCUCCGCCUCCAUCUCAAGCAUCCUCAUUUGCUUCUCUGCCUCCAUCUCAAGCCUCCUCCUUUAGAUCUUCAUGAAGGCGUUCAUUUGUUCUUCCUUGUCUUGUCGGCGCUUCUCCUCCCUUGAGUCCUUCUUAGUCAUCAUGCCCUCCAUGGUAGCGAUCAAGGCAUUGGACGCCGCAUCCCUCUUGUCCUACUUCUUGGAGUUGGUCUUCCCCCACGGCCGUGGCUUCUCGCCCUCCCCAACCUCCUCCACGACUUUCUCUCCCCCACGCAACAUGAGGGCGGCAUAUUGCACCUUGAACUUCUCCUCGUCUUUGAUGACCCUCCAACAAUGAGAGAGGUUGAAGGACUUACCAUCAUGUUGGACCUUGAAUGCCUCCAAAGCUUGGAAUGCCUACAAAUGAAAUGCAUGCAAGCAUAUUGGCAAAUGGAUAUGAAUAUGGACUUGCAAGAAUAAACGGAAGAGGGGCGCAUGCAUGCAUACCAUAUCUUGCAUGCCGAUGCCGCUCACCGGGCGUGACUUGAUGCUCUCAAAGGUGGCACAAAACUUGUCAUGCUCUUGUUGGAUCACCUUCCAUCGGUUCGAAAUGGACACCCACCCGCGCAUGCUUUAUAUCUGGUACGGCAGAAACUUCUUGCGUUCGUGGAACUCACGAUGGACACGAGUCCAAAAGGUUGAUUCCUUUUGUUCGGCACCGACCAUGGGGUCUUGCCCAAUGUCCCUCCAAAACUCACAAAGGAGCUUGUCCUCGACCGUGGUGUAUGCCUUCGUCCGCCUGCUCUUGUGCUUUGGCUUCAGCCCGGCGGCUUGGCUGGCGAGCCCGUCCUCUUCCUCAAGGCCGUAGUCCUCCGGAAACUCGUGGUCGAACAGGAAGUCGUCUAGGUCCAGGCCGAAGUGAUCUUGCAUGAAGGCGUCCUGCAUGCUAUCUUGAUCAUAGGUCGACGGCGUGAACGGCCCUCAGCCGUCCUGGCUUUGUGUCUCCUCUGAAUCGUAGGCAGCCGCGGCGGCACCACAGGCGGCCGACGUACCACCCUCGAAGAUGAUGCUCACCAUGAAACGGUCGGCCGUCUUGUCUUCGCCGGAUGACGAGGCACCGACUACCGGUGUGGCGUUGAGAUCGAUGGGCGCGGGCGCGGGCAUGGAAUGCGCCACCACGCUCACCUCCAGCGAGCAUUCCCUGAAGAAUUGGGAGGCUUGCAAGUAGACGUGGAAGCCGGGAAUCGAGUAAGACGCCGACGCGCGAGGCGACUCUGGGAGCACCAUCCGAGGAAACGCGGACGAGUCGGAGCUGGCCACGGCCACAGCGGCGUUGACGAGCCCGUGCUGGCCAGGGUUUAGCCCUAGGUAGAUUAGCGCCUCCCUCAUUGCCGCGGCGACGUGGGCGGCGGUGUCCUCCUGCUGCGCGGCGGCGGCCAUGGCGAUGGCAGCGGACGCUGCUUCGUCCCACGCGUCCGCCGCGUGCCUUCGGCCCUUUCGCUUCGGUGACUCCGCGGCCCGCUCCUCGGACGUCAGCUGCUUCUUCUUCUUGGGCACGGUGGCAGUCUUGCGGGAGGCGCGCGGCUUGCCUUUGCCGAAGGGGGCGGCUGUGAUGCUGGACGAGGCAAGGGCGACGAGGCCGCCGACAGUAUCGAGGUCCUCAUCCAUGGCGUGCGGCCGGGAGCGAGCACGGGCGGAAGGUUUUUGAGAAAGUGGACGAAAAUGUUGGAGGCUUUGCCACCAAUUGGCAGGUCAGGGGUAGUUGGCACGCAACGCGCUUCUCCGUCUCGUGUCGCGCGCCAACGCAAAUGAGGCUCAAAAUUGGGCUGAGAAUGGGUCGGCAGGCGAACGAAAAGCGGACACGCGUCCAUUUGGGUCGGCACAUUGUGCCGACUUUUCUGUCCGCACCGACCCAAAUGAACGCGCGCGAACGAAAUGGGUCGUCACGUUGGAGUUGCUCUUACGUGGCACUGUAACAAGAAAUGAGGACCAGUGGAAACCAGCAUAUGCACCUAGAAGAAUCGUAUGGAUCUGCAUAUGUAAUUGAUCUAUAUCAUACGGACCCAUAAAUGAUAGGAAGGUCCUAGCUACCAGGUACCAGCUAUCCUGGUUACUCCAUUUGCUGCCCCUCCAACCUGGGUUCCGGUCAUGUCCUCGGGGUCUGUCGGUGGUUCCGUGUUCUUGUUCUGGACGGACGCUUGUAAGAUCAGGUUUUCGAUCGGGAGCCUUCUGUUGACAUUAUAAAAGUGCGUGUAUUCAAAGGAGAUGUAUGCAUUUCUCCGUGACAAAGCAAAUUAAGUUCUGCUGCUAGCUAUUUUCAAAAAAGAGUCUUGCCCCACCACUUGCGUCGUUUGCAAAGCCCUUAAAUAUACUGAUAUGUUAUACACACACACAUAUACACAUGAGAUUUAAUUUUAAAGAGCACACGGACAUGUUCGUUCUCGUGUUAAUGAAAUCCUAGAAAAUCUCAUUAAUUAACCAUGGGAUCUAUAAUUCCGAGAUCUUUAGCUGUUGGAUGUAUGUAAUGCCUUAAGAUGCAUUAAAACAAAUAUACGUGAGAUUUAAUUUUAAAGGCCUUAAGGUGCAUAAAAAAUACGCAUGAGAUUUAAUUUUAAAUAGCACAAGGACAUGUUCAUUGUCGUGUUAAUGAAAUCCUAGAAAAUCUCAUUAAUUAACCUUCGGAUCUGUAACUCCGAGAUCUUUAGCCAUUGGAUUUACAUAAUGCCUCAACCUGCAUCAAAAAAAAUAUACGCAUGAGAUUUAAUUUUAAAGGCCUUAACCUGCAUAAAAAAAUAUACGCAUGAGAUUUAAUUUUAAAGAGCAGACAGACAUCUUCAUUGUCGUCCGCUGGCUGUAUGAAUUAGAAUAACAUAUAUUUACUUAGUUGGAUUAGAGAGAAGAGAAAAGAGAAGAGAAGUGGGCUCUGGAUUAAAGCAAGUACAAUAAAAUGACGUAGGCGGGCUAUAAAAGAUGUCAUCUUAAAUUUGUGCUUUUUUAGUUAACCUUAAAUUUGUGCUUAGUUGAAGGAGAGAGAAGCGGGCUACAAGUGUGACAAAAGCCUUUUUCAGUAGGCAGGCUACAAACUUACAAUCGACUGUAGCACGAGCUCAAACAACCUUUGUAAGAAGAUAUGGGCCAUAUAUUAAUUCACAGUGUGACUUAAUGUUGACAUGAAUUGAUACAGGUGGACAUAGUUAGAGCAACUCUAGCAGACCCCGCAUCCCGCCCCGACUGUUAAAAUAACCGCCAAAAUGCGGGUCGGGCAGGAAAACCAGCCCGAUCAGACCCCGCAUCCCGCCCCCGCCCGCAAAAAAAUUUAGGGGGCGCGGCAAAAUCCCAACCCCAACCCGGGAAAACGCGGGUUUCCCUCUCGCGGCUGCGGUGCCCUGCAUAUAGGAGGAAGCGGCUGGUGAGGGGACAUUUCAUGCCGCGCUUUCUCCCACCAACCACCUCUCCUCUCCCCCCUCGCGCCGCUGCCGGCCGCCGCCCAAGAUUCUGGCGAAAGCAGCCGGCAGGAGCACGCCGGAAGGCCGCCACGCACACGAGGCCUCCCCUUCCUCCCCCUGCGUCGGCGGGCCACCGGAUUUGCAGAUUUGCAGCACUUCAUCGCGGGUCGCCGGAUUUGGCUUUUUCCGGCCGCCGGUUGCUGUCCCAAGCUAUGGAGUGGUCGGGGAGCCUCUCCCACAGCCCAGGCAAGGGCGCAUUGCCGCAUGCAGGUACGGGUUCGUCCGCCCGCCGCCGCCGAAGGUUUGCGGGCUUGGACUCAUCCGGCCGUCCACCGGGCUCGGCGCUCACGCAGCGUCUUUGUGGCAUGCCGAUGCCGCUCAUAGAGUGUGACGACUGCACGCGGAAAGUGCUGCGGCUCACUUCGGGCACGCCGAAGCACCCUGGGUGGGUGUUCUUCAAAUGCGAAAAUGACGGGGUACGUGCACUUGCGGUAGCUCGUUUCAUAGUUCAUUCUUUAGUUCAACUGCGGUAGCUCACUUCGAGCUUGCUCACUCUUUUGUGUAGGACGAUGGAUGCUCAUUUUGGUUUUGGGAAGGCCAAUACAUUUAUUUGUUGAUAGAAAGAAACUUAAUAGAUGUUAGUGCACUCCUUAGUACAAUCGAAGGCAAUGAUGCGGCUGCAUGUGCAAAUAGAGGGGAAGCAACGUCUACUUCUUUCGAACCAAAGAUGAAGAAAGAAGAAUGCAAAAUCAAGAAUCCACAGAUCAACAACGAAUGCAUGGAGAAGAUAUUAGUCCAACUAGUGGGGGCAGUUAUGGAAGUUGGAAAUCUUCUAAAAUGCAUACUUGUGGUUCUUAUUUUCUUUGGUCUUGCUAUUCUAGCAAAGAUUUGGUGAUGUCUUUUGUAUCCAAUGUUGUUGAUAAAGCAAAGCAAUGCAAUAUGCUAGAUCAAAUUAAGGUGCAAAUUUAAGUUUUGCGGGCCGGGAGAAGUUGCACCAGAUCAGACGCGGCAACCCAACCCGUAAAAAAGCAUAUUCCAGGAAUAUCGUUUUUACGGAUCCAUUAUGCGGGGUCUGCAACUGCGGCCGUCCGCGCCGGCCCGCAAAGCCGUUUUCCCGCGAACUGCAAAAACGUUUAGCGGGUCGGGAGGAUGUGGGGUCUGCUAGAGUUGCUCUUACUCUGCGUCUGUAAAUAAAGGUCAUCAUUUUUAUUGCUCUAGGGACCCAUAAAUGAUAGGGACUGUCCGCUACCAGCUACCAGCUAGUAGCUACCCUGGUGACUACAUUUGCUGCCCCUCAAACAUGGGUUCCCGACAUGUUCUCAGGGUCUGUCGGUGGUUCCAUGUUCUGGCCUUUGGGGUUGGUUUAACUAGUGGUAUGGGGGUUCUUGCAUCGCCCUGUACUCUCGAUCGGGACCCUUUAAUUCUAGGUGACAUACAGUGCGUGUAUUUAAAGCCGAGGCAUGGAUCCUCCGUGCCAAAGAAAAUUAAUUCAGCGGCUACUCGGGGAGAGUUGUGGCAGCAUAUCCGGGAUGCCAGCUUUUUAUUUUGGGUUUUGAUUGUCAAAGUUUUAGAUCUUAAAAAAAACUAAAAUUAAGUGCUGUUUUCAUAUUCGUGUUUCUCGUGACCAGCGCCUUGAAAUAAUAUCCAUUUUGAAUAUAUUUUGACGACUUUGAAAAAUGUUAAGUUUCAAAUGUUGAAACUUAGUAUGAGCAACCAAUAAAAAUCAAUUAUUUUGUACCUACGCCUGACAGAAAAAUGCUUACAGUUAUAUCCCUGAAACUUGCUGAAACUUUGCAUUUUUCAUCAUUGAAACUUAAAACUGUUUAAGGGAUUUUCUUUUUUACUGUGCCCUCAUGUGGGAUUCAACUACUCUUUUCUCUCCGUGAGAUCCACAUAAAAAAAGCACAAAUUUAAGAUGAGUGCCCUGCACUUACAUGCCCCUGCGAAUUUCCGCAGCUACUAGCUAUUUUUGGAAGAAAAAAAUCUUGCCCCGCCACUCCCAUCAUUAGCAGAGCCCUUAAAUAUACUCACAUGUACCAAAUUACGAGUCAGAAUCAAACAUGCGUUGGCAUCAUUACCUACGAACUCUACUAAACAAUGUUCCAACUAUCCUGCGAGUCAAAUCUAAUAACUCUUGUCUUGCACGUUGCAUUGUCCAUUGGCAGAUCUUUUUAAGAAUUUUACGUCAGAUCUAAUUUUAUUUGAACGAAUGAAAGAUAAGCAAGUAGUAGUAAAAUCGACCCAAUUUGCACAGCCGAAAUGUGGACCAGACAAUUUACUCUUUGUUACGGGACUAAGAAAUUCGGACCGGCUAAUNNNNNNNNNNNNNNNNNNNNNNNNNNNNNNNNNNNNNNNNNNNNNNNNNNNNNNNNNNNNNNNNNNNNNNNNNNNNNNNNNNNNNNNNNNNNNNNNNNNNNNNNNNNNNNNNNNNNNNNNNNNNNNNNNNNNNNNNNNNNNNNNNNNNNNNNNNNNNNNNNNNNNNNNNNNNNNNNNNNNNNNNNNNNNNNNNNNNNNNNNNNNNNNNNNNNNNNNNNNNNNNNNNNNNNNNNNNNNNNNNNNNNNNNNNNNNNNNNNNNNNNNNNNNNNNNNNNNNNNNNNNNNNNNNNNNAUGUCUCCCAUUUCUCAAUCCCAUCCCGACGGUGUGUCUACCAUGUUUAGAGGGCGCAUGGGGGAGUUACUCCAUUGGUUCUCGCGGGAUUUGAUCGAUGAUGGUUUUCCGUGGAUUUCCUUGAAUCCAGUUUUUGUUCAUCCUCAUCCGUGCGUUUAAAUAUCCCAACAAGGCGAAGAUUUGGUUGUGCACAGGCAACUGAGGAGGUGACCUACUUCUUUACUGUCUCCUAUGUCCCUUGUUACCCACUGAUCCUAGAUCCACAGCUCGAGACCCCCUACCCUGAGGUCUACCAGUUUUACCACUGACAACCGGCCACAAGGGAGAAAUCCCUUUGAAUUUAGAGAUAAGAUCUUAUCUCUAGAUUUAACCCUUUAAAUUUAGAGAUAUGACCUUAUCUCUAGAUUUUAAAGACAUGGAACUUAGGGACGAUGCGGCCAGCCCAUGUGGGUUGUUGCCCCACCCCUCGGUCUAUGUGGGGACUUUUCGGGUCGUUGGGCCCCAUGGUGGAACCCCGGAACAUUUCCGGUACUCUACCAAAUAUUCCCAAACUUUUCUGGAACCCAUAAAACCACUUUCCUUACAUAACUCUUUACCUCCAGAGCUCCUCGUGAUGUCCCGGAUUCUAUCCAGGACUCUGAACUACCUUCAGACUUACCACUAUGAAUGUCCCAAAACUAUCCAAUAGUGGUAAGUCUGAACGUUAAGUGUGUGACCCUGCGGGUUCGAGAACAUGCAUAAAUGACCGAGACACCUCUCCAAUCAAUAAUCAAUGAACAUCUUUAUCGGUUUGAACCACGAUGUCAAUGAUUCAGUUAAUCCCGUAUACAAUUCCCUUUGUCCAAUGAUUUGUUAUUUGCCCGAGAUUCGAUCGUCAGUAUCGCCAUACCUAGUUCAAUCUCAUUACCGGCAAGCCCCUUUACUCAGUCCUUAAUACAAGAUCCACGUGACUAAACACAUUGGUCACAUGCUUCCAAUCUAUUCACGAUGUUGUAUUACCGAGAGGACCUAGAGAUAUCUCUCUGUCAUAUGGAGUGACAAAUCCUACACUCGAUCUAUGUAACCCAACAAACACUUUCUGAGAUACCUAUAGAGCACCUUUCUGAUCACCCAGUUACGAAGUGACGUUUGUUUACCCAUAAUGUAUUCUUCCAGUAUUAGGGAGUGGCACGAUCUCAUGGUCUAAGGAACAGAUUCUUGACAUGAAGAAAGUUGUAGAAAAUAAACUAAGUGAUACGAUCUGAUGCUAAGCUUAUGGUUGGGUCUGUCCAUCACAUCAUAAUCCUAAUGAUGUGAUCCCAUUAUUAAAUGAUAACUCGUGUCUAUGGUUAGGAAACCUUAACCAUCUUUAAUUAAUGAGCUAGCCUAGUAGAGGCUCACUAGGGACACGUUGUCUAUUUAUGUAUCCACACAUGUAUUUAAGUCUCUGGUCAAUACAAUUCUAGCAUGCAUAAUAAAUAUUUAUCAUGAACACGGAAAUACGACAAUAACAUCUUUCUUAUUGCCUCUAGGACAUAUUUCCUACAGAUUAGUAGGAUAAAAGAUCAAGGUGGCCUUGGCAUUCAUGGCAUGAAGGUCAAGAAGGAUGCCUUACAUAGGAAAUGGUUAUUCAAAAUACUUACUAGGGGUGGCGUUUGGCAAACCUGUUGCGAAAGAAGUAUCUAAUACUAUGCCAAAAACUUAUCUCUCACACAUAUUGGAAAGCUGGUGACUCACACUUUUCGGGUGGUGUCGUGGAAUUCUCACGGCAGAUGUCCUAGUGUGAGGACUUAGUCGUGAGGCCAACGCAUCUAUGUGGUAGCUUGAGAGGGGUUGAUUGGGACGAGAGACGCAACACACAAGACAAGAAUUUAGACAGCUUCGGGCCCCAGGAAACAUCAUCCAAUAAUAGCCCUACAUGCUGUUUGUGGCUAGGUCUCAUUAUGAUCAUGAGAGAGUCAUCGGUAAGCCGGCUCUUUGUGUCUAGCCCUAGAGAUUGUUUCUUGUUUCUUGUCCCUCUUGGGGUGCCCUGCCCCUCCUUAUAUAAGUUAGAGGGGCGGGUUACAUAUGGAGUCCUAGUAGGAUUAGGACUAGUCUAUCUUUCUUUACAAGUUGAAUACAAGUCCGGGUCUUGCUUCCUUGUGAAGGAAAUAAUCCUCACGCCUUUCAUCUUAAACCGGCCCACCAAAGUAUAAGCCAGCCUGCUGGGCCUUGGGCCUUGUCGUCCGUCUGAUCAGCCCGCCGGGUCUCCAGUGAAUUACAAUGUCCAGGCGGGUUACCCUGUGAACCGCCAUGUUCGGGCGGAUCGCCAGUGAGUCGCCAAGCUCCAGCCAGGUCUCUGGUGAGUCGCCAAGUCCGGCCGGGUCAUACCGCGGGGUAUAUCCCCGACAUUAGCCCCCAGUUUAAUUUGGAUUUAUCCAUGUUAAACUGAUCCUGCAACAUAAACACAAGAACAAAUUUGACAGGUUGUGCUCCGGGUUAAAUAUUCUUGUAAGCCGGCACCUGAUCAUCCUUAAGUCCUUGACAUUUUCUCCUGAAAUAUCCGGGUCAAUAUUGGUCUUGAAAUAUCCAGCUUCAUAAUCCAUUUGCUGACAUUGGCUCUUGUAAAGAAAUAUUAUAAGAAAUAAUCCAUUUGAUUCGGCCUUCAAUGCUCUGAUUUGACAAAAAUAUUGCUCUUGAAAUAUCCAACUGAUAUUCAGCCGGCUUAAAGAUGUAGAUUCUUGCCGACGAUUGCCACAAUUGUCGGGUUAGAAAUAAAUGAUGCCGGGUCAUGAUUGUUGCAGACACCGGGUUAAUCUGGUCUACUCCAAACUGAGAAUUUGAAGAUUUUUUUCUCCCUUAUAUGCAUAUUACCUGUAGCCCCUAAGUCUUAAGGGGAGAACAUAGUGAUAACUUAAGACUUGCUUCAAUAUAAGUGUUGCAACCUUGAAGAAAUCCGGUUUAUUCAUCUCAAUCAUUAGUCAUAAGCUGAAUAUUCCACAUUCCACAUAUGUAGCCCCCAAGUGCCGAGUUGUCAUGCUUGCAGCAACCUGGGACUUGUAAUUGCCUUAUGCUCAUAAAAACUUCAACUAGUGUAGCCCCCAAGGGCCGGGUCAUUAUGCAAUAAUGAGCAGGGACUUUGUAAAUAUGAUCAUGUAAACUUGACCAGCAACGUGUAGCCCCCAAGGGCCGGGUCAGUAAGAUAUUACCGAGCUGGGACUUUGUAUAUGAUUCAUCGAUAAUAACAGCAUAUGAUGUGAUCUCCACCAUGGGGUUUGAACCCACGUCCAUAAGGUUAAGAGCUUUGUACUCUACCAACUGAGUAGUGGAUCUUUCAAUAUAAUGGAUUAAGGCUUGUGUACCUUGAAUUUUCGACAAGAGCAAUUGGUAGCCCCCAAGGGCCGGCUCAUUUAGAAUGUGAUGAGUCGGGUCUUCAAUAAGUUGAACAAAAAAUGACUUUGCAUUAGCCCCCAAGUGCAAUGGUACAUGCUGGCAGUAACAUGGGACUUGCAUAUUCGAUGUAAUAUCAAUUUGAAUAAUGUAGUCCCCAAGUGCCAGGUCGUAAGCCUGCAGCGACUCGGGACUAUUCCUUACAUUAUAGAAUAAAUCAUAUCCAUCGAUAAAAUAAUAGCCAUUGCGCCAAAGCGACUUUGAAUACCUCAUCUGUUGAUAAGUAAAUCCGGAGUUUAAAUACCCGGCGGCUCUUGGCCGAUGGCGAUUUAAUACGCCUCCAUUGUAAGCCGGAAUUUUUAUAAUCCGGCGGCUUAUAGCCUUUCAGAACAUCAAGAAUUGAUAACCCUUCUGAGACUCCAAUUUCAAUCUAUGAUGAUGGGCUUGAACUUAAUCAUUUAUGUAAGUCAUAGCUCUGCAAAUCCUGCAUAGAGUUUAAACAACAUAUGCCCUGGCGACUUAACGUCAAGCCAGGGCGGGUAACCACCCAAAUGUAGUAUCCUGCACACAAGUAGAUCACAAGAUCCCUUGGCGGUUUACCGCAGGGCGGGUCAUAAUAUCUCACUGUUGGAAAUAUGCCCUAGAGGCAAUAAUAAAAUGGUUAUUAUUGUAUUUCCUUGUUCAUGAUAAUUGUCUGGUGUUCAUGCUAUAAUUGUAUUAACUGGAAACCGUAAUACAUGUGUGAAUACAUAGACCACAACAUGUCCCUAGUAAGCCUCUAGUUGACUAGCUCGUUGAUCAAUAGAUGGUUAUGGUUUCCUGACCAUGGACAUUGGAUGUCAUUGAUAACGGGAUCACAUCAUUAGGAGAAUGAUGUGAUGGACAAGACCCAAUCCUAAGCAUAGCACAAGAUCGUGUAGUUCGUUUGCUAGAGCUUUUCUAAUGUCAAGUAUCAUUUCCUUAGACCAUGAGAUUGUGCAACUCCCGGAUACCGUAGGAAUGCUUUGGGUGUACCAAACGUCACAACGUAACUCGGUGGCUGUAAAGGUGCACUACAGGUAUCUCCGAAAGUGUCUGUUGGGUUGGCACGAAUCGAGACUGGGAUUUGUCACUCCGUAUGACGGAGAGGUAUCUCUGGGCCCACUCGGUAAUGCAUCAUCAUAAUGAGCUCAAUGUGACUAAGGAGUUAGCCACGGGAUCAUGCGUUACAGUACGAGUAAAGUGACUUGCCGAUAACGAGAUUGAACAAGGUAUUGGGAUACCGACGAUCGAAUCUCGGGCAAGUAACGUACCGAUUGACAAAGGGAAUUGUAUAUGGGAUUGAUUGAAUCCUCGACAUCGUGGUUCAUCCGAUGAGAUCAUCGUGGAACAUGUGGGAGCCAACAUGGGUAUCCAGAUCCCGCUGUUGGUUAUUGACCGGAGAGUCGUCUCGGUCAUGUCUGCAUGUCUCCCGAACCCGUAGGGUCUACACACUUAAGGUUCGGUGACGCUAGGGUUGUAGAGAUAUUAGUAUGCGGAAAUCCGAAAGUCGUUCGGAGUCCCGGAUGAGAUCCCGGACGUCACGAGGAGUUCCGGAAUGGUCCGGAGGUAAAGAUUUAUAUAUGGGAAGUCCUAUUUUGGCCACCGGAAAAUGUUCGGGAAUUUUCGGUAUUGUACCGGGAAGGUUCUAGAAGGUUCCGAAGUGGGGCCCACCUGCAUGGGGGACCCACAUGAACGUGGGUAGUGGGGGCAAGGCCCCACACCCCUGGUCAAGGCGCACCAAGAUCCCACCUUAGAAGGAAUAAGAUCAUAUCCCGAAGGGAUAAGAUCAAGAUCCCUAAAAAAGGGGAUAACAAUCGGUGGGGAAGGGAAAUGAUGGGAUUUCUUUCCCCCACCUUUGCCAACGCCCCAAUGGACUUGGAGGGCAAGAAACCAGCCCCCUCCACCCCUAUAUAUAGUGGGGAGGCGCAUGGGAGCAGCAACCCAAGCCCUGGCGCCUCCCUCCCUCCCGUGACACCUCUUCCUCCCCGCUUGCGCUUGGCGAAGCCCUGCCGGGAUCCCGCUACUUCCACCACCACGCCGUCGUGCUGCUGGAUCUCCAUCAACUUCUCCUCCCCCCUUGCUGGAUCAAGAAGGAGGAGACGUCCCCGCUCCGUACAUGUGUUGAACGCGGAGGUGCCGUCCGUUCGGCGCUAGGUUCAUCGGUGAUUUGGAUCACGACGAGUAUGACUCCAUCAACCCCGUUCUCUUGAACGCUUCCGCUCGCGAUCUACAAGGGUAUGUAGAUGCACUCCUCCCCUCUCAUUGUUAGCAUCUCCUAGAUUGAUCUUGGUGACACAUAGGAAAAUUUUGAAUUUCUGCUACGUUCGCCAACAGUGGCAUCAUGAGCCAGGUUUAUGCGUAGAUUCUAUGCAUGAGUAGAACACAAAGUAGUUGUGGGCGACGAUUUGUUCAAUUUUCUUACCGUUACUAGUCUUAUCUUGAUUCGGCGGCAUUGUGGGAUGAAGCGGCCCGGACCGACCUUACACGUACUCUUACGUGAGACAGGUUCCACCGACUGACAUGCACUUGAUGCAUAAGGUGGCUAGCGGGUGUCUGUCUCUCCCACUUUAGUCGGAUCGGAUUCGAUGAAAAGGGUCCUUAUGAAGGGUAAAUAGCAAUUGGCAUAUCACCGUUGUGGCUUUUGCGUAGGUAAGAAACGUUCUUGCUAGAAACCCAUAGCAGCCACGUAAAACAUGCAACAACAAUUAGAGAACGUCUAACUUGUUUUUGCAGGGUAUGCUAUGUGAUGUGAUAUGGCCAAAAGGAUGUGAUGAAUUAUAUAUGUGAUGUAUGAGAUUGAUCAUGUUCUUGUAAUAGGAAUCACGACUUGCAUGUCGAUGAGUAUGACAACCGGCAGGAGCCAUAGGAGUUGUCUUAAUUUGUUGUAUGACCUGUGUGUCAAUGAAAAACGCCAUGUAAUUACUUUACUUUAUUGCUAACCGUUAGCCAUAGUAGUAGAAGUAAUAGUUGGUGAGACAACUUCAUGAAGACACGAUGAUGGAGAUCAUGGUGUCAUGCCGGUGACGAAGGUGAUCAUGCCGCGCCUCGAAGAUGGAGAUCAAAAGGCGCAAGAUGAUAUUGGCCAUAUCAUGUCACUUUAUGAUUUGCAUGUGAUGUUUGUCAUGUUUACAUCUUAUUUUCUUAGAACGACGGUAGCAUAAAUAAGAUGAUCCCUCACUAAAAUUUCAAGAGAUGUGUUCCCCCUAACUGUGCACCGUUGCGAAGGUUCGUUGUUUCGAAGCACCACGUGAUGAUCGGGUGUGAUAGAUUCUAACGUUCGCAUACACCGGGUGUUGACGAGCCUAGCAUGUACAGACAUGGCCUCGGAACACAAGCAAAACACUUAGGUUGACUUGACGAGCCUAGCAUGUACAGACAUGGCCUCGGAACACAAGAGACCGAAAGGUCGAACAUGAGUCGUAUAGUAGAUACGAUCAACAUGGAGAUGUUCACCGAUGAUGACUAGUCCGUCUCACGUGAUGAUCGGACACGGCCUAGUCGAUUCGGAUCAUGUAUCACUUAGAUGACUAGAGGGAUGUCUAUCUAAGUGGGAGUUCAUUAAAUAAUCAAAUGAACUUAAUUAUCAUGAACAUAGUCAAAAGGUCUUUGCAAAUAAUGUCGUAGCUUACGCUUUAGUUCUACUAAGAUAUUUUCCUAGAGAAAAUUUAGUUGAAAGUUGAUAGUAGCAAUUAUGCGGACUAGGUCCGUAAACUGAGGAUUGUCCUCAUUGCUGCACAGAAGGCUUAUGUCGUUAAUGCACCGCUCGGUGUGCUGAACCUCGAGCGUCGUCUGUAGAUGUUACGAAACAUCUGACAUACAUGUUUUGAUGACUACGUGAUAGUUCAGUGUGUGAUGCUAACGGUUUAAAAUUGUGGCACCAAAGACGGUUUUGAAAUGUCGCAGAACAUAUGAGAUGUUCCAAAGACUGAAAUUGGGAUUUCAGACUAAUGCCCACGUCAAGAGGUAUGAGACCUCUGACAAGUUUCUUAAGCCUGCAAACUAAGGGAGAAAAGCUCAAUCGUUGAGCAUGUGCUCAGAUUGUCUGAGUACUACAAUCACUUGAAUCGAGUGGGAGUUAAUCUUCCAGAUGAGAUAGUGAUGGUUCUCCAUAGUCACUGCCACCAAGCUAUUAGAGCUUCGUGAUGAACUAUAACAUAUCAGGGAUAGACAUGAUGAUCCUUGAGCAACUCGCGAUGUUUGACACCGCGAAAGUAGAAAUCAAGAAGGAGCAUCAAUUGUUGAUGGUUAGUAAAACCACUAGUUUCUAGAAGGGCAAGGGCAAGAAGGGAUACUUCAUGAAACGGCAAAUCAGUUGCUGCUCUAGUGAAGAAACCCAAGGUUGAACCCAAACCCGAGACUAAGUGCUUCUGAAAUGAGGGGAACGGUCACUGAAGCAGAACUACCCUAGAUACUUCGUAGAUGAGAAGGCUGGCAAGGUCGACCGAAGUAUAUUGGAUAUACAUUAUAUUAAUGUGUACUUUACUAGUACUCCUAGUAGCACCAGGGUAUUAGAUACCGGUUCGGUUGCUAAGUGUUAGUAACUCGAAAUAAAAUAUGCGGAAUAAACGAAGACUAGCUAAAGGUGAGAUGACGAUAUGUGUUGGAAGUGUUUCCAAGGUUGAUGUGAUCAAGCAUCGCAUGCUCCCUCUACCAUCGAGAUUGGGGUUAAACCUGAAUAAUUAUUAUUUGGUGUUUGCAUUGAGCAUAGACAUGAUUGGAUUAUGUUAUCGCAAUACGGUUAUUCAUUAAAGGAGAAUAAUGGUUACUCUGUCUAUUUGAAUAAUACCUUCAAUGGUCUUGCACCUAAAAUGAAUGGUUUAUUGAAUCUCGAUCGUAGUGAUACACAUGUUCAUGCCAAAAGAUAUAAGAUAGUAAUGAUAGUACCACAUACUUGUGGCACUGCCAUUUGAGUCAUAUUGGUAUAAAACGCAUGAACAAGCUCCAUGUUGAUGGAUCUUUGGACUCACUCGUUUUUGAAAAGAUUGAGACAUGCGAACCAUGUCUAUUAGUAUAUAUGCAUGAAGAAAGUCCAUACAGAUGGAUCAUUUGGACUCACUUGAUUUUGAAUCACUUGAGACAUGCAAAUCAUACCACAUGGGCAAGAUGACUGAAAGGCCUCGUUUUCAGUAAGAUGGAACAAGAGAGCAACUUGUUGGAAGUAAUACAUUUGAUGUGUGCAGUCCAAUGAGUGCUGAGGCACGCAGUGGAUAUCGUUAUGUUCUUACUUCACAGAUGAUUUGAGUAGAUGCUGAGAAUAUUUACUUGAUGAAACACAAGUUUGAAUUAUUGAAAGGUUCAAGUAAUUUCAGAGUGAAGUUGAAGAUCGUCGUGACAAGAGGAUAAAAUGUCUGUGAUAUGAUCAUAGAGGUGAAUAUCUGAGUUACGAGUUUGGCACACAAUUAAUAAAUUGUGGAAAUUGUUUCACGACUAAUACCGCCUGGAACACCAUAUUGUGAUGGUGUGUCCGAACAUCAUAACUGCACCCUAUUGGAUAUGGUGCAUACCAUGAUGUCUCUUAUCGAAUUACAACUAUCGUUUAUGGGUUAGGCAUUAGAGACAACCGCAUUCACUUUAAAUAGGGAACCACGCAAUUCCGUUGAGACGACACCGUAUGAACUAUGGUUUAGAGAAACCUAAGCUGUCGUUUCUUAAAAGUUUGGGGCUGCGACGCUUAUGUGAAAAAGUUUCAGGCUGAUAAGCUCGAACCCAAAGCGGAUAAAUGCAUCUUCAUAGAAUACCCAAAACAGUUGGGUAUACCUCCUAUUUCAGAUCUGGAAGCAAAAGUGAUUGUUUCUAGAAAUGGGUCCUUUCUCGAGGAAAAGUUUCUCUCGAAAGAAUUGAGUGGGAGGAUGGUGGAGACUUGAUGAGGUCAUUGAACCGUCACUUCAACUAAUGUGUAGCAGGGCACAGGAAGUUGUUCCUGUGGCACCUACACCAAUUGAAGUGGAAGCUUAUGAUAGUGAUCAUGAAACUUCAGAUCAACUCACUACCAAACCUCAUAGGACGACAAGGAUGCGUACUACUUCAGAGUGGUACGUAAUCCUGUCUUGGAAGUCAUGUUGCUAGACAACAAUGAACCUACGAGCUAUGGAGAAGCGAUGGUGGGCCCGGAUUCCGACGAAUGGCUCGAGGCCAUAAAAUCCGAGAGGAUCCAUGUAUGAAAACAAAGUAUAGACUUUGGAAGAACUACUUGAUGGUCGUAAGGCUGUUGGGUACAGAUGGAUUUUAAAGGGAAGACAAACAAUGAUGGUAAGUGUCACCAUUAAGAAAGCUCGACUUGUCGUUAAGAUGUUUUCCGGCAAGUUCAAGGAGUUGACUGCGAUGAGACUUUCUCACUCGUAGCGAUGCUAAGAGUCUGUUAGAAUUAUAUUAGCAGUUACUGCAUUAUUUAUGAAAUCUUGCAGAUAGGAUGUCAAAACAUUGUUUCCUCGACGAUUUUCUUGAGGAAAGGUUGUAUGUGAUACAACCAGAAGGUUUUGUCAAUCCUGAAAGAUGCUAACAAGUAUGCAAAGCUCCAGCAAUCCUUCUAAGGAUUGGAGUAAGCAUCUCGGAGUUGGAAUGAACGCUUUGAUGAGAUGAUCAAAGAUUUUGGGUUUAUACAAAGUUCAUGAGAAACUUGUAUUUCCAAAGAAGUCAGUGGGAGCACUAUAGAAUUUUUGAUGAGUAUAUGUUGUUAACAUAUUGUUGAUCAGAAAUGAUGUAGAAUUUCUGGAAAGCAUCCAGGGUUGUUUGAAAAGUGUUUUUAAUGGAAAACCUAGAUUAACCUACUUGAACAUUGAGCAUCAAGAUCUAUAAGGAUAGAUCAAAAAUGCUUAAUAGUACUUUCAAAUGAAUACAUACCGUGACAAGAUUUUGAAGGAGUUCAAAAUAGAUCAGCAAAGAAGGAGUUCUUGGCUGUGUUACAAGGUGUGAGUAUUGAGUAAGACUCAAGACCUGACCACGGCAGAAGAAAGAGAAAGGACGAAGGUCGUCCCCUAUGCUUUAGACGUAGGCUUUGCAAUAUGCUAUGCUGUGUACCGCACCUGAAGUGUGCCUUGCCAUGAGUUAGUCAAGGGGUACAAUAGUGAUCCAGCAACGAAUCACAUGACAGCGGUCGAACUUAUCCUUAGUAUCUAGUGGACUAAGGAAUUUUCUUGAUUAUGGAGGUGGAAAGGGGGUUCGUCGUAAAGGGUUAUGUCGAUACAAACUUUGACACUAAUCCGGAUGACUCUGAGUAGUGAACCAGAUUCGUAUAGUAGAGCAGUUAUUUGGAAUAGCUCCAAGUAGCGCGUGGUAGCUGCAUCUACAAGAUGACAUAGAGAUUUGUAAAGCACACACGGAUCUGAAUGUGGCAGACCCGUUGACUAAAACCUCUCUCGUAAGCAUAACAUGAUCAAACCCUAGAACUCAUUGACUGUUAAUCACAUGGUGAUGUGAACUAGAUUAUUGACUCUAGUAAACUCUUGGGUAUUAGUCACAUGGCGAUGUGAACUUUGAGUGUUAAUCACAUGGUGAUGUGAACUAGAUUAUUGACUCUAGUGCAAGUGGAAGACUGUUGGAAAUAUGCCCUAGAGGCAAUAAUAAAAUGGUUAUUAUUGUAUUCCCUUGUUCAUGCUAUAAUUGUAUUAACUGGAAACCGUAAUACAUGUGUGAAUACAUAGACCAGAACAUGUCCCUAGUAAGCCUCUAGUUGACUAGCUCGUUGAUCAAUAGAUGGUUAUGGUUUCCUGACCAUGGACAUUGGAUGUCAUUGAUAACGGGAUCACAUCAUUAGGAGAAUGAUGUGAUGGACAAGACCCAAUCCUAAGCAUAGCACAAGAUCGUGUAGUUCGUUUGCUAGAGCUUUUCUAAUGUCAAGUAUCAUUUCCUUAGACCAUGAGAUUGUGCAACUCCCGGAUACCGUAGGAAUGCUUUGGGUGUACCAAACGUCACAACGUAACUCGGUGGCUGUAAAGGUGCACUACAGGUAUCUCCGAAAGUGUCUGUUGGGUUGGCACGAAUCGAGACUGGGAUUUGUCACUCCGUAUGACGGAGAGGUAUCUCUGGGCCCACUCGAUAAUGCAUCAUCAUAAUGAGCUCAAUGUGACUAAGGAGUUAGCCACGGGAUCAUGCGUUACGGUACGAGUAAAGUGACUUGCCGGUAACGAGAUUGAACAAGGUAUUGGGAUACCGACGAUUGAAUCUCGGGCAAGUAACGUACCGAUUGACAAAGGGAAUUGUAUACGGGAUUGAUUGAAUCCUCGACAUCGUGGUUCAUCUGAUGAUAUCAUCGUGGAACAUGUGGGAGCCAACAUGGGUAUCCAGAUCCCGCUGUUGGUUAUUGACCGGAGAGUCGUCUCGGUCAUGUCUGCAUGUCUCCCGAACCCGUAGGGUCUACACACUUAAGGUUCGGUGACGCUAGGGUUGUAGAGAUAUUAGUAUGCCGAAAUCCGAAAGUCGUUCGAAGUCCCGGAUGAGAUCCCGGACGUCACGAGGAGUUCCGGAAUGGUCCGGAGGUAAAGAUUUAUAUAUGGGAAGUCCUAUUUUGGCCACCGGAAAAUGUUCGGGAAUUUUCGGUAUUGUACCGGGAAGGUUCUAGAAGGUUCCGAAGUGGGGCCCACCUGCAUGGGGGGACCCACAUGAACGUGGGUAGUGGGGGCAAGGCCCCACACCCCUGGUCAAGGCGCACCAAGAUCCCACCUUAGAAGGAAUAAGAUCAUAUCCCGAAGGGAUAAGAUCAAGAUCCCUUAAAAAGGGGGAUAACAAUCGGUGGGGAAGGGAAAUGAUGGGAUUUCUUUCCGCCACCUUUUCCAACGCCCCAAUGGACUUGGAGGGCAAGAAACCAGCCCCCUCCACCCCUAUAUAUAGUGGGGAGGCGCAUGGGAGCAGCACCCCAAGCCCUGGCGCCUCCCUCCCUCCCGUGACACCUCUUCCUCCCCGCUUGCGCUUGGCGAAGCCCUGCCGGGAUCCCGCUACUUCCACCACCACGCCGUCGUGCUGCUGGAUCUCCAUCAACUUCUCCUCCCCCCUUGCUGGAUCAAGAAGGAGGAGACGUCCCGCUCCGUACGUGUGUUGAACGCGGAGGUGCCGUCCGUUCGGCGCUAGGUUCAUCGGUGAUUUGGAUCACGACGAGUACGACUCCAUCAACCCCGUUCUCUUGAACGCUUCCGCUCGCGAUCUACAAGGGUAUGUAGAUGCACUCCUCCCCUCUCGUUGCUAGCAUCUCCUACAUUGAUCUUGGUGACACGUAGGAAGAUUUUGAAUUUCUGCUACGUUCCCCAACACUCACAUAUAACCACUAUGAUAUUGAAUUUGUACUGCCGGUUUACAUGACCUGUGCAAUAAGGGUGAUAACCCAAUCUUUAGAAAUCAAGACUUCCAAAUGUUUAUGAUUGUCAUAUGAUGGCGACUUAUCAACCAAAGUCAAGCCGGGUUAAUCGAAGCCACAUAUAUACUUCAGAUAUGAUCAAAAGAACUUCAAAUAAAAUACAAAAUUUUGUUUGCAAAAAGAGACUUCAAAAAUUUUGAGGCUUCUGAUUCGAAUACUAUCAGAAAACCGUCCCAAAGGGGUUAAGCUAAGAUUCGAAUACGAUCAUAUAGCCCCCAGUGGCUUUGGCGUUGCCGAUCAAGAGGGUACCGACAGCUAUGUUCUCUUUGGUUCGAAUACGACCUAUGUUUGAACAGGAAGCCCCCAAAUGACCUGGAGAGUUGUUUAACGACGCUGAUUCGAAUACGAUCCAUGUCGGUUCCCAAAAGGGGUUGAGCUAUGAUUCGAAUACGAUCAAGAAGCCCCCUAGUGAGCUCAGCAGUGUGCCGAUCAAGAGGGUACCGACAGCUAUGUUCUCUUUGGUUCGGAUACGACCUAUGUUUGAACAGGAAGCCCCCAAGUGAUCUUGAGAAUAUUUAACGACUCUCAUUCCAAUACGAUCAGGGUCACACCAAAAGGGUUAAGCUAAAUUUGAAUACGAUCAGCUCCCAACGGUCAUUAAAGCAGGUAGUUAUGUUUGAGUUGUGCUUUGUAACAGACUCUCCUUGGUCCCUUUAAUUUUUCUUGAAAACUUGAACUUUGCGAGAGAUAAAAUCUUUUUAAAACCGGAAGUUCUUAAACCGGAUAUUAAGAGUUUCAAAGCAUGGUGAUAGACAAAUUUACCUUGAACCGGGUUUUGAACCGGAUUUGAGAUCUUCAAAGCAUUGUGGCAGAUAAAUUUCAUUUGAACCGGAUUUUAAACCGGACAUUAAGAGCUUCAAUGCUUUGUGGGAGAUGUCAAGUCUCUUGAUAAGGAUCUAAACCGGAAUCCUUCUUUUUAAGCCAGAUAUUUUUCUGACGGUCUUUAAAUUUUUACCAAUAUGGCGGUAGCCUCCGGGACCGGGUUAUUUUUUUCCUCCAAUGACCCAGAGUUCUUGAAUGCAUUGAAACCGACCAAUGUUGCCGAGUCAUAUCAUUGUAACCCCUGAGUCUCAAAACGACUCAAGGAGUUGGCUUUGAGAUUCUCCAUAUUGACCAUAGCAUAAGGUGUAUAUCAUUGGUGUUGAUAGUGCGAUGUGAAUCCACAGAAGGUUGAGGUGACUGCGGCGGAUUAUAAAUGAUCAUGUAUGAGCCGUGUCAGCAACUCGGCCAAUGGUCCCUUCCAACUGGCUGUUUGAAGUUAACCAAACUAUAGUGGCGGCGACUUGUGCGCCUGCCCAUUUAAACCAUCCAGUGUAGACGGCGGCUGAUAAUACAUGAUAAUUUGCCUCCAAUUUUGUUGGAAGAAAAACCAGGCUUCCCAAGCAGUGACUUGCUCAUACUCGAUGAUCAGCUCACGCAGACAGGUGCGGCCCGGUAUGUUGAUAUAGACCAGGCCGCAAGAGACAGAUGGUAAAAACAACCGUGGCAUCAAAGGUGGUACAGACAGAUGAGUUGGUCACGACGUUGUAAACCGGUGUGGUCGGGCGAGUCAAUCGCCGGCGCGGUAAGCCGCGCGGAUGGGCGAGUCAACCACGUCGUGUUGAUGUAGUGAACAAUUGUCCUACAUCAAAAACAUCGCAAGCAAGAGUAAUUGCUCUUUUUUAAAGAAAACAAUAUAUAAUAUAUAAAAAUUUACUGGAUUGAUUUCACCUGAUAUGUUAGGCCAGAAAAUAUCCACCGCGGAGUUGAUCAUCACGACGGUGAAGCUGAAAUCAAUCACGGCCGAGUCGGCCGCGGGAACAGACAGACGGGUCGGCCGCGGCGUUGUAAGCCGGUGCGGUCGGGCGAGUCAAUCGCAUGAGCGAUAAGCCACGCGGACGCUGAGUCGGCCGCGGGGGCGGACAGGUAAGUUGUCCGUCACAUUGUAAGGCGGCGCGUUGAUGUAGACCGGACCACAGGGGCGGUGGCUUGCGCCCACCUGUUGACCAGUAAGCGGUCGCAGAUGCCGUUGCAUGAUGAUGCUACCGCACACUCCAUGGAUACGGCAUUACACCAUCUUUAUGAUGAAUCCUUGUCCUGCACAUAAAAGUGUACAUAGCAAAGCGAUUGUUUUUUGACAAAAAACAAUAUGCGCUUAAUAAAAUAAUCUUAGAUGGAUAUCACCUGAUUUGUUCGGAUGACCGAUGAUCCAUUCAAUGCAACAAAAAACGGCUCUGGUAGACCGGUAACCCAUGGCGAGUCAACACAGCAGAAGCGACUCAACGCAGCCCCGGCAGCUCGAGGCACGGCGGGUCUCAGCUCACGGCGGGUUGAGGUGUGGCGGUUCAAGGUCACAGCGGGGGGACUCGCAGGCUCAGGCGAGGCCGUUUUGAAGAUGGUUGGCAGCGGCGCGGUGACUCGCCACGGUGCGCCGAAAUAGCAGCAGCGUAGUGGGAGAAACAGCCGGUCUGUUGAUUUUGACCGUGAUGUGAAGCUCGCGGGGCAGCCACGAAGGCGCUGGGACGGAGUGGCUCCGAUGUGCGAGACGUGCCACCACAAGGACGCACGUAGGAGAAGACCAGAGGGGCAUCGAAGUCGGGUCCGCGGCGGCUCUGGAGAUGACAAGUGUGCGGGAGGCAAGGCCGUGCUGGCCAGCAGAAAACGGCGAGGUGCCGGCGACUUAGCGUAAAACCGCGGGUCAGAGGCGGCUCGGAGUUGAGUCCAUGUCCUGCUCUGGUCGUUGUUGGUUUGACAAUUCCCUUUAAGUGCUCCUUUAAAAUUUCCUUCAUCACACGUGGUGUCGUGCCAGGCAACAGCAUGGCCGGACUAAAAAUCCACUAGACCUUGAUUUUUAAUGCUCCUGUAGAUCUUGGGGACUGCGUGUGAGCUGACUAUUAAAACCUUCAAAUUCAUGCACGUACAGUGGCUGUACUAGUUGAUGCUACGUGCAGAAGGUAAGGUAAUCUAUCAGGCUUUGUUUUUCGCGUUGAUCAGCACUUGGACCCUUGAUCAACAGUUGGCUUGAUCCGGAGACUUCACAGGGCUGAAGCAAACUGUCUUGAUCGCCGCUGUACCAACAGAUGGCGCUCGUGACGCGUGUUUGGCUGUCUUUGAUCACCUCGGACUUGGACAGCUAUAUAUGGACCAGCAGAAGCGACCUGGCGAAUCGGACACGGCGGCUAGAUUUGACAGCGGCACAGUAGAAAUUCGAGUCGGCCUCGGUGUACUGCUGCAGCAGAAACUAACCCGGACUCGACGGAUCAUCUAAUUGUGGCGGCGCUCACCAUGCAACUCUAAUCUUUCUUGAAUUCAGACCUCGUACGAGUAUUAGAUCUGACUGCUCGCUUUGGAGACAAUGUAAAUCCUUCCGCGACGAUUCUUCUUUCAUCCGAAGAAAUUGUCAACUUCUCGACCCUUGAAAGAGAUCCCUCCAAGAACUCAUCACCACCGUGCGCAGCCCCACGGUGGGCGCCAACUGUCGUGGAAUUGUCACGGCAGAUGUCCUAGUGUGAGGACUUAGUCGUGAGGCCAACGCAUCUAUGCGGUAGCUUGAGAGGGGUUGAUUGGGAUGAGAGACGCAACACACAAGACAAGAAUUUAGACAGCUUCGGGCCCCGGGAAACAUCAUCCGGUAAUAGCCCUACAUGCUGUUUGUGGCUAGGUCUCAUUAUGAUCAUGAGAGAGUCGCCGGUAAGCCGGCUCUUUGUGUCUAGCCCUAGAGAUUGUUUCUUGUUUCUUGUCCCUCUUGGGGUGCCCUGCCCCUCCUUAUAUAAGUUAGAGGGGCGGGUUACAUACGGAGUCCUAGUAGGAUUAGGACUAGUCUAUCUUUCUUUACAAGUUGAAUACAAGUCCAGGUCUUGCUUCCUUAUGAAGGAAAUAAUCCUCACGCCUUUCAUCUUAAACCGGCCCACCAGAGUAUAAGCCAGCCUGCUGGGCCUUGGGCCUUGUCAUCCGUCUGAUCCGCCCGCCGGGUCUCCAGUGAAUUACAAUGUCUAGGCGGGUUACCCUGUGAACCGCCAUGUUCGGGCGGAUCGCCAGUGAGUCGCCAAGCUUGUCCGGCCGGGUCAUACCGCGGGGUAUAUCCCCGACAGGUGGUCUAAUACGGGUAAAGAAACGCAUUUUUCGCUUUGGAUCCUUUACAAUAAAAGAUGGGUCAAAAAUUCGAUUCUGGGAAGACAAGUGGCUAGAAAAUGCUUGGAUCCAAUAAAAAUAUCUAUCUUUGUACUGCAUCAUUCAUCACAAUAAUGAUACUCUUGUGCUAGUGCUUAUUUCUUUCAUGCCAGAUAUUUCUUUCAGGCGAGAUUUGAUUGGCCUAUGUCUUAUGUGAUGGUAAAAUCAUUAUCCUGAUUGGAUUUAAUUAACCUGACACAAGGGCGGGGAUGUGUUUCAUUGGAAUCUCUCUACAUAUGGGUCCUUCAAGUCAACUUUAUGUACCAUGCACUAACGCAUUCAGAGGUCCUAGUGGAUAAUAAAAUAAUAGAAGAAGAUAUGGGCCAUACUCCCUCCGUCCAGUGAAGAGUGAAAUCUAGAGAUUUUAGGACAAAUUAUGGAGUAAAAUAGAAAAUGCAUUGGAAAGGUGCAAGCCACCAUCUUUCUUCUCUUUAAUUAUCCAAUCCCUAAUGUGUUUAGUGCAUGUAAAAAUUAAGAAGACCAUGUGUAGAUUGUUAUUGGUCUUGGUUACCAUGUGAUGAGAGAGAAAUAUAUUUUUUUCUACUUUAAAGUGCAUUGAGAAGAUAGAAGUACACUCUUUUGUGGACAAAUUUUAAAGCCAAACGUACACUCUUCACCGGACGGAGGGAGUAUAUUAAUUCCUAGUGUGACUUAAUGUUGACAUGAAUUGAUACAGGUGGAUAUAGUUACUCUGCGUCCGUAAAUAAAGGUCAUCAUUUUUGUUGCUCUAGGGACCCAUAAAUGAUAGGGACUGUCCGCUACCAGCUACCCUGAUGACUCCAUUCGCUGCCCCUCAAACAUGGGUUCCCGACAUGUUCUCAGGGUCUGCCCGUGGUUCCAUGUUCUGGCCUUCGGGGUUGGUUUAACUAGUGGUAUGGGGGUUCUUGCAUCGCCCUGUACUCUCGAUCGGGACCCUUUAAUGCUAGCACUUCUGGUGACAUACAGUGCGUGUAUUUAAAGGCCAGGCAUGCAUCCUCCGUGCCAAAGAAAAUUCAUUCGGCGGCUACACGGGGAGAGUUGUGGCAGCAAAUCCGGGAUGCCAGCUUUUUGUUUUGGGUUUCGAUUGUCAAAGUUUUAGAUCUUAAAAAAACUAAAAUUAAGUGUUGUUUUCAUAUUCGUGUUUCUCGUGACCACUGUUUUGAAAUAAUAUCCGUUUUGAAUAUAUAUUUUGACGACUUUAAAAAAUAUUAAGUUUCAUAUGUUGAAACUUAGUACGGGCAACCAGUAAAAAUCAAUUAUUUUGUACCUACGCCUGACAGAAAAAUGCUUACAUUUAUAUCUCUGAAACUUGCUGAAACUUUGCAUUUUUCAUCAUUGAAACUUAAAACUUUUUGAGGGAUUUUCUUUUUUACUGUGCCCUCAUGUGGGAUUCAACUACUCUUUUCUCUUCCGCGAGAUCCACAUGAAAAAAAGCACAAAUUUAAGAUGAGUGCAGGGCUUGGCAGAUGAGUGCCCUGCACUUACAUGCCCCUGCGAAUUUCCGCAGCUACUAGAUAUUUUUGGCAAAUUUAUUGUUUGCUCUUUUACAGGUGUGCCACUUAAGUAUUUAAACCUAUAAGGAUUUCUGCACUGGUGCUAAACUCACUUAUGAGAGCAUACCGGAUUUUCUCAUAUGAGCUAACAAAGAAUCAAACAUAGUUAUAUCUUGUAUUAUUUUCUCAUUAAUUACUUACCCACUGGGCUGAAGCAGUUAUUGUAGCAUAUCAUGCAACACUCAUGGUUUUCCAACAUGUUUCCUUAAGGGGUCUUAAUCAAGAUGAUUUACAUUCAAAAACAAUCAUUGAGUAUGGAUCAUUAAGAAUAAUUUGAUCCUACUUAAUCCAUGCUUAGGAAAUAAGAAAAUGGUUACUCAAUGAGCAAACGCUGCCUGUUGCUGCCUCCUCACCAACAAACUUUGGUUCUUCACAUCCCUUACCGAAGAGGCACCUUUACAUUGCAUCCCUUGUAUACUACUAUAUAUAUGUGAUCUUCAUAAAGAGUUCAGCGAUUUCUCCAUUGUUGAGUUCCUUACACUCAAUAUUCAAUAAUAGUUAUUUCCAAAUUCACAUAAUCAGUUGGCAGGAUGGUCACCAAAGUACAUUCAUCCAUCGAAAGAAACACACAAAAGAAAACAGUAACAGCACCAAAAAAACUACACGUUGUCCAAUUAUGAAUAAUGUUUCGUCCGUGUAACAAGAGCUUCGACGGUCAUUUUCUUAAGCAUAAUUAAAUAAAAAACUAAUCAUAGACUCUGAUUGUAAAGCAUUCCAAAAGAAAUUCAUAUGUCAGUUCUUCAACGCUUAUUGUGUUGGAAGCCUGUCCUCAAAUAUUCUCUCCUUCGCCUUGUCGGCCUGCAAAUAAAUAUCAGUUAUUUUUUCUUACUAUCCUUGGUACCAGUGCUUAGGGUUUUGAUAGACAGGUCGCUAGUUAUUGAAAUGAAACAUUUAAGACAAGGAGAAGCAUGCAUUAGGGCAACUCCAACUAUGUGCAUCAAAUCGGACACAUCUAACAUUCAUGGGCACGUCCGGACGUGUCCACAAAGAGCAUAUAGGGGGCGGCCAUCCAAGCCUAUGCACCAAAUGUCCGCACCUUUUCAAAGAAAAUAAAAUAAAGCUAGACCAAAUGUUGGCUCACUUUAAAUCAUCGAUCGAUAGCAAUUCAAAAGUGUUGGAUGAAAGUACUUCUCGAAAGCAGCCUUCAUUACAUACUUUCUCUCCUCGAGUUUGCACUUCUUCAUUACAAAUGUUGUUCAUCCAGAUGUUGUGCCCUUUGAGCUUCAUCCAACAGUGCAUAAAUGCGAAGAACUUGCCCUCCGUCCUUUGGUAUAGCAUGGGCUGCGCGUCUGGGCUAUACAAUGACGUGAUCAUCAAGUGUAACAUUGAGCAAUUUGCCAUUUGUGCUUGCUUCAUGUUAAACAAGGAGAAAGUCAAAGAAAUUCUCAAUGGUAUUUGGCCGAACACUUGCCGGGGUUGGCCUCCAUUAUGGAGGGCAUCGGCAAGGGGGCGGCCAAUGCAUGGGCUGCCGCCGGAUACUGGGUGCAACCGCGGCGAAGUACAAUGCGCCUGGUGGAGCAAUGGAGGUCUAGCAAGGCCUAGGCGCGGGACGGAGUGGUAUAGCAGCGGCGGUCUUGGUGGGUGCGGAUACAGAUUAAGAGUGGGACNNNNNNNNNNNNNNNNNNNNNNNNNNNNNNNNNNNNNNNNNNNNNNNNNNNNNNNNNNNNNNNNNNNNNNNNNNNNNNNNNNNNNNNNNNNNNNNNNNNNNNNNNNNNNNNNNNNNNNNNNNNNNNNNNNNNNNNNNNNNNNNNNNNNNNNNNNNNNNNNNNNNNNNNNNNNNNNNNNNNNNNNNNNNNNNNNNNNNNNNNNNNNNNNNNNNNNNNNNNNNNNNNNNNNNNNNNNNNNNNNNNNNNNNNNNNNNNNNNNNNNNNNNNNNNNNNNNNNNNNNNNNNNNNNNNNNNNNNAUAGUCCGACCAGGCGGGCGUCCGGACUCCCAAACCUCCAAUGAGUUUGCUUCCGGUUUGGCUGAUGUUGGACGUCCGGAUUAGGCCGCGGGCAUUUGAUGCAUGGCAGUGGAUGGCAAAAAAUGUACAGGCAGCGCAGUCCGGACCUUGCGGGCAAUUUGAUGCAUGGCAUUGGAGUUGCCCUUAGCAAUACCUAAGGCAUGUUCUGAUCACGAAUCAUCAGGCAUAAAAACUGAGAAAGGACUUACCAUCUUGUUCCAGUUUGUGGUAGCCGUAAUAACAGACAGGAGAGUGACCUGUGUGGCUCCACCAGCCAGUAUGCCAAUCCAAAACCCCUUUGCUCUUAGUUGCAUUGCAAAACCAAAGUAGAGUGCAACGGGGAUACCAACAAGAUAGAAGGCACCCAGGUUAACAUAAGCCCCUAGAUGCUGCCAUCCACAGCCCCGAGACACACCUGAGUGGUGCAAUGGAAGCAUUCAGUCUAUUAGUUUAAUUUAGUUUAUGAUGCUAUAUGCCAAAAGAAAGACAUGUGGAUACCUUGAAGGACUGCCAUGAGGCUGUCUGUAAUUGCUGAAAUGGAAAGUAGGGGUACCAUUCUUGUGACAUAACGCCUGACCUCUUCCUCAUUGCUGAACGCAAUUCCAAUAAAGUGGCGCAGUAAUAGAAGAGUUGUGCUCACUAAGAAUGCUGAGCAGACCACAAUAGACAAGGCAACACACACCACCAAGCGGGGACCUUGUGUGUUGCCGGCGCCUAAUUCAUUUGAGACGCGCACACUGGCACACGGACAACAUAUAUACGUAGCAUGUUAAAUUCUGUAGAAACAGGUGAUACUGACGAUAUAUAGCAACAAAUGCACUAGCUAGUAGCUACCCACCUGGUAGCUAUUCCAAUGCCGUAAGGAAGGUUGGCCAACAGUAUCAUUGUAGAUACGCUGUUCCAAAAGGACAUCAGUAUGGUAAACUUCAUAGAAUAUGAUGGAUUCAAGUAUAAUCUUAUUUAGGGUUCUACUAAUGCAUACCAUAUAGAAAGCACAGAGGUUUCCAGUGCAGGAUUUGGUAACAUCCCGGAAAGCAGAACAAGCAGCUCGUAAGACCACCACUCCAGACUGUGGUCAAGGAAAGCUAGGUUAAUAUUCAGAGGUUUCCGGGAUGUUUUGAUGCUAGAGAAUACAUAAUUAGAAGCUAAACUUAAAGUAAUAUAUGUGCAGAAAUUAUCCAGUUCAUUUCAAGAGGAGAGGGAAGAAUAUAUCCAGUGGUAUUGCGAGCGGGUGGCAAAAAAACAAAAGGUAUCUGAUCAGGAUCUGCUCACAACAAAGGCGAAGACGAAGACGGACUUUCUUUUGUUGAAAGAUGUCUUCACAACAAAGACGAAGAGGAAAACAAACUUGAUUUGGACAAUCAAUCCGAGACGAGCCGACAUUUCAAAUUUUCAAAUGGUUUGUAAAAGACCAUCAUCCUUUUCUGACAGUAUUCUAACAGACCAAUCAAGUGUGCAAGGGUGCUGUGGCAAGAACAACAGAAAAAUAGUAUUUCCUCCAUCCGAAAAUAAGUGUCGCUCAAAUAGAUGUAUCUGGACGUAUUUUAGUGCUAGAUACAUCCGUUUGAGCGGUACUUAUUUCCAGACGGAGGGAGUAGGUAUGAACGAACAUAAGUAGAAAGAGAUAUAAAAAAUAGCAACAAUGCUUGGAUCUUAUGGGCUGCAAGUGCACCACUAUUAAAAAGGUUUUGCCACGUACUUGUUAUUAUUAAUAUAUUUUUUGAGAGGAACGUACUUGUUAUUUUCCAUGCUGACACCUUUAGAAACGUUGGCUACUGAUACACAAACUAUAUAGAUUUGUCACAUGAAGAUACCAUUAGUGUUAUGAAUGAUCACAUCAUUAUAAUUAUAAUCUUAAUUAUUUGCCAAAAGGUGCACGUUGGAAACUAUAUUAAUGUCCACAAGAACAAGUAAAAGUGAAUGAAGAGUGCAUAAGAGUUUGCUGUAUUGGACAAUAUUUUGCUUGCCAAAAUAUGAAAUACUAGAUAAAAUAGCAUAUGUUAUUUUUUGUGCUAGAGGUUAAAACAACAUCAUUAUAGAAACAUGGCAAAUAACAUUUACUUACCAAAUCAUAAGAGCCGAUGGUACAGCCAAACGCAUGAAACUGCCAAUCCCUCUAAAAGCUUCCCACGAUGGUGGAGCGCGUGUUUUCUCACAAGAGGGUGAGAACUUAAUGUAAAGGCCAAGAAAAGUCACUUCAACCCAAUCACAAAUGCUAACGGAUAAAGCAGCUCCAGCAUUACCCAUCCCAACUUUGUAAACCAUGAACCAGCAAAGAGGAAGAAAUACCGCAAUUGUAAUCAAGGAGCUAAGAACCAUUGGAAAUAUUAGGCUUUGACAUUGCAGAAACUUUGAAAAGCAUUGAGUAACACCGAAGGCAAAUAAACCAGGGAUAAGCCAUAAUGCAUAUUUGCCAGCCUCAUUUGCAAUUUGUGGUUCCUGGCCCAUGAGAGGAAGUACUUCCGGGAUGAAACACCAAACAAUGGAGAUGGGCACACUCACAACAAGAAGUGCAAUGAUGGACCUGUAGGUACAUAAAGAUAAUGUAUGAUAUUGUUCUGCUCCAUAGGCCUGCCCACAAAGAGUUUCCAAUCCGCCUGCCAGUCCAAUCUAAAAGGGAAACUGCAUCAGUAACAAAUUAUACAUAUUGUUGCUGAAUAAAUGGAAGUUAAACUAGGAUAAAGUGCAUCGACAUUACUGAAAGAAGAGUUUUGCUACACCUACACAUUAAUCUUAUGGAAUUAAAUUUACAGGAUGAGGUGGCAACAUCUGAUUGGAAGGGAGGAGACUCAUAGUAAAUUCGGGGAAGACGGGUUACUUGGAGGUUAGGGGGGAGGGGUGGCAGUCCAUACGGGUCGCUCAUAAGUUUGGAUUUUCGCUGAAAGAAUAUCAAGAAUAACAAACGUGGCUUGUGCAAGGUGGGCAACAGUUGCUAUGAAGAUUUUGUUUCAAUCAUCACUGCAAAGAAUGCGAACAUCACCCUGGCCGAAUUUUCUCAACACCCAACUCAGUCGGAUCAAGUGACUGAUUAUAUUUUUCGCGGGAAUAUAAUAGAUCGAUAUUGCCCACCGAAACUAGCUAUAUGUACAGCGGGGUGGGGUGAAUCAAGCACCACAGGUCCAUUGUAAAAAAGAUUAAUCGAACGACCUAGCUAGCCGCGUGCGGUCGGCGCUAAUCAGAAAGGUUGAGAAAUGGAACCAUCUGAUUUGAUUCAUUCCCAGUAGUCAUGAGAUGAUCAUUUUUUUUUAGAAAAGAGGGGAGAUCCUGAAUGAUCCACACAACCUUUUGUUUAUCAUAUCAAAGUACAUCAUCUGACCAUAACAAAGUUCAUCUUGCCAACGGAUGCUUCUAUUACACUCGUGGUCUCUAAAAGAUGAGAACCCACUAUGUAGCAUCCACAUCAAUAAUUCAAGCAUUUAUGUCCUUAGUACGAUUCUUUGUAGGAACUAUCCGUAAUAACAAAGAACAUCAGAAGUAGCAGAGAUCUCCGCACGAUGCAACUGGAUAAAUGGCGGUCGCAUGGAGGGAGAAGACACUGAGACAUCUGGACCGGUCGCCGAUCUUGUACACAUCCGGAUGGGAUUCAGGGGCUGCUCUAACGGAAUUGAAAGUACCAAUAGCUAAACAUAAACGAAAUAAAUUAAUGUGCGCUGCAUGCUUGCUCACAAGGACGCUGAAGCCGGAGACGUUGGUGAGGGAGUUGGCGAUGGCCGCACCGGCGAGCGCGACGUCGCCGAGGUGCCCCACCAUGACGGUGGAGAUGAACUGCAUCGUGACCUGCAGCAGCAUCACCACCACCAUCGGCGCCGCAAGCCCCGCCAGCUGCGCGGCUUCCCUACACCAGCGCCGGCUGGUACUGCCGGGCUCUUCCCACCUCGCGGCCAGCAGCGGCGCAUCGGAAGAAGAGUCCAUGGAUCCCCCCGACCAAAGCUCUGCCCAAGCAACGUGGGUGUGGUUAAUGAAAAUGGUAAAUGCGGGAGCUACCAUCCGUCUAGCUGUCUCCCUUUGCACAAUGCAUGGAGCUCGAACUAUAUAUAGAGUAUUACUCCAGUCGUAGUAGCUACGGAAACUAUUUCCUCUGUCCAGAUUUAUUAGUUUUGUCAGAGCAUCGGUAAUUGAGGAGCUAAUUUGAUUUCAUAUACAUCCACUGACCCGUCUUGGCGCUGUUCAGGCAUAUUCACUUAAGCCCACAUUUAUCUGUGCACGCAGUGGUAACCCCACUUUUCUCCCUAUUAUAUGCCCGAUUACAUGCAUAUGAAUGGUAGGGACAGAACCUCAAAAAAAAAAGAAUGGUAAGGACAAAAAAAGAAAAUAAAAGAAAAUAGUGAAGGUGAAAAAGUGGUCCGGACUCUGGAGUGUGCCAAAUUCGACGUGGCAGACUGCUCAGACAUACCACAACAUCUCAUACCCUUUCCACGUAUGGGCUCGGUAUAAGGGGUGCCAGAAAGCCCGCGCCCAUGUAUAUAGUUUUGAGUUAAUGAUACUCCCUUUCAUCCAUAUUACUUGUCACACGGACGUAUUUAGACGUUUUUCAGUGCUAGAUAAAUUCGUUUGAGCGACAAGUACACUAGUAGAAAAAGGACCUUACGUGAGACACAUUAGUCCCGGUUCAAUUUUGGCUCGGUACUAAUGGUAUUAGUCCCGGUUCAAACGGCUAUGCAUUAGUCCCGGUUCAUGUUGAACCUUUAGUACCGGUUCGUGCCACUAACCGCUACUAAAGGGGUGGUGGCAGGCUGGCGUCAGGCCGGGGCCCCACGAGCCCCUUUGACUAAAGGGGUUUAACCUUUAGUCCCGGUUGGAGACACAAACCGGGACUAAAGGGCAAUUAUCAAACUCUACCCCCCUCCCCUCUCCCUGUCUAUCGCCAUUUCAGUUUUGAAAAAAACAAAACAAAAUGAUAAAAACUUCAAAAAUUAAGAUCCUUCGAGAUGUAGUUAUGUUACUACAUCUACUAGUUAGGAAAAUUUAAAAACUUAAAUUUGGACAUGUUUUGCAAAAAAAUAUGAUGAAAAGGUAAAACAACUAUAUCUUUUGCAUCCGAUAUCGGAAAACAACGUAUAAUAUAUCAAAAUGUUCAGCACGAAAAUACGCAUCCGAUUUUGACGGCUGUAGGCCGUUUUGCAAAUUUUUAGAAUCCUCAAACUCUAAAAGGAAAAAAGUUAUGCUCACAUUUCAGUUUUUUUUUUGAAUUUUGGUCAAACUGUGGUCAAACUACUUAUUCAAGAAAUAUUAGUGUUACUAAAUAAUUAUUUCAGUUUUUUGAAUUUUGGUCAAAUCUGGUCAAACUAUGGUCAAACUACUUACUCAAGAAAUAUUAAUGUUACUAAAUAAUUAGUGUUUUUUAGAAUAAUAGUUUCAAACUCAAACGAUGAACGUGUGACUUCAUGCUCAAGCUAAACUCCUGAGGGUUAAUAGGAUUGACAGCUUAAUAUUGUUAGGAAACAACAAGUGCGGACUUGGAAACUAGGGGGAAUAGAACUCAGAAGUUAAGCGUGCUCAGGCUGGAGUAGUAAGACGAUGGGUGACCGGCCGGAAACUUAGGUGAUUUGGGAUGAGUGAUCCACACUUGAGCAGUUAUGAGUGGUGAUUAGAGACUAAAUCGUCAAAUAAUUAAGAAAAUUGAAAAUCGGGAAAAAAAUCAAAGUUUUUUCCAAAAAAUUCAAAAAAAAAACCUUUAGUCCAGGUUGGUGUUACCAGCCGGGACUAAAGGUCCCGCAUACCACGGCGCGGGCUCGUGCCACGUGGUGGGCCUUUACUGGCGGUUCGUGUUGAACCGGGACUAAAGGGGGGGCCUUUGGUCUCCAACCUUUAGUGCGGGUUCCGAACCGGCACUAAAGGCCCUUAAGAACCGGCAUGAAAGCUCCGUUUUCUACUAGUGGUAAUACAUAUCAGAUGGAGUAGUGGAUUUAACUAGACGGGGAAGCAACGGAUGGGCGGCGGCUUUCAGAUAUGACGAUGGUGGUCCUACCGGGGUGGCUUGUUCGGCGGAGCGGGUUGGGAUGGCACGGGCCAGAGGCUGCUUCGCUGCCUCCCAAAGGUGGUGGUGGGCUGCGGGUGUAUGCGACAACUCAGAUCCGUCGUGGAUCAUCUGGUUGAUGCGGGAUCGACUCUGGCCUACCUUGGCUUCUCUGACGCGGCUCUGGUGGGCGGAGGGCUAGGUCAUGGCAGGGAGCUCCCCCUGCCUUGGUCUUGUUCGGCCGUCAUGGCAGCGAGCUCCCCCUGCCUUGGUCUUGUUCGGCCGUCAUGGCAGGGAGCUCACCCUACGCGUUUUGGCUCACGGGCUCAGAUGAGUCCGGGAAUGAACAAAAAAUCAUUAAAAAUUACUAAAUAAAUUCAAAAAAAAUCUGAAUUUUUUUUGUGCAGAAAUAUAACUGAGUGUCUGAUGUUCGUACCGAAUUUCAGAACACUUGAAUGUUUGAGUAGCUCUCAGCAAAAAAGGACGAAUUUAAUGUAUGUGAAAAAGGUUACUAUUUGUGCAUUGUCUGGACCCUUUUUUUACUGAGAGCUAAUCCGAUGUCCAAAUGUUUUGAAAUUUGGCACGCACUUCACACACUAAAAUAUCUUCCAUUCAAAAAAAUAGAUUUUAAAAAAAAAAUCUAUUUUUGCUGAAUUUACUGUUCACCAGGUGGAGCAGCGUCGAAGACCACAGACAUGGUGUCGGGCGAGCGCGCUCGGAGACAGAUGUCUGUAGUUGUGUCUCCCCCGGUCCACCGGGACUGGCUGGAGAUGCAGGCGUGGGUGCCUCCUACCAUGGAGGCAUCGAUCCAGACUAUGUGGCUGAUGUAUGGCUAUGAUUGUAAGGGGACGCCAUUUGCUUCUCCUACCGUGGUGGGUGCACCGUGAUGUGGGCGGUUGGUGGUGUCUCUGAUAUGGAUGUCGAGGUGGCAACCCUGGAUGGCGGUCUGAUGGUUCGCUCUCUAGCGGGCCCCAUGGCAGCAGUGAUAGGUGGAGCGACGGGUGGCUCGGGUGUGCUCUUUGUCUCCGGCAGUGGUGACACCUAGAUCCAGAUCUGGAGGUCUGAACUCGUCGUGCUUACCCUGGAGACCUCGUGGUGUCAUGGGGGAGCUGUCGAGUAAAGCCCCAUGCUUUGCCGUCAACGAGGGUGAUGCUCGCGGGUGCCGCUUUGCUCUUAAAGAUAUCACCGUGGUGCUCUUCUUCUUGUCUGGGCUCGGAGUAAAAACCUUUGUUCGGUGUGGACUCAACAACGCUGACACUUAGGGCUAUUCGCUCUCCUAAGAGUGUUGUCGUUGAGCUUAGAUGUUAUAGGGCAUAGUGUGACGUUGCUAUCGGUUCUUCCUAUGCUCACUUUGGUAGUAUAGCUGCAUGCGUUCUGUGUGAUCCGGUUAUCCUGGGAUCUAUUAGAAUAAUCCGAGGCAUACCGUUGAUCAUCCGAGGACCAAGGAACCACACGAGCACGACACCGAGAUUUGUUAACGAGGUUCACCUUGGCUACAUCCCCGGGGCUUGACUAUGGGCGCUCCUCCCCAUGACAUCGCUACAAUACCGCACCCCGUCGCCCUGCACGCCGGCACAUGCCGCCGGCUUCCCUUGCGUUCCUAUGCUAUUAUGUUGGCAUGGGUUACAUCGUGUGUCUACCCCCAUUAUAUAUGAGAGGCCUAGGAUACAAGUGUCCUAUUAGGACACGACUCUAUAUCCUAUCUAAACACAAUACUACUCAAAGUCCAACUCUAACCUAUCUUAUACGCAAUAUUCGACACAACUCUAACAGGAUCUGCAUUGUAUGAGGACUACCUCAUCACCUUGUAUUGGUCAGCCAUGCACUUUGUUCGGUUGUUGCAUUAUACUCUCUCUGUUCAGAAUUAUUGGUCGCAGAAAUGGAUGUAUCUAGUUAUAUUUAUAUAGUUCUAUAUACAUCAAUUUCUAUUCAUUUUUGAGACAGGUAGUCCCGGACGGAAGGAAUAUAUAAAGCGGGGCGCCUGGUUCAAACUUUAAAGAGAGACAUAACCACAAAGGAGACGUAAGAAGGCAAAUAACUACAGCGCAAUUGAUGUCAUGUCAGCAAGAAAUGUUCUUAAGGGCCACUCCACAGCUUCCCACUACGAACCUAAAUCUUCAUGAAACUUGAGAAAAUCAUACUCGACGAAAAUCAUACGCUUGUUUUAGAUGCCUGUCGUCGUUGGUUGCUACAGAAGAUGGAUUUAAAUAAUUGAAAUUAAGUUUUUUUUUAGCACUCUCUCUGAGCCAAAUUAAUUAACAUAGCUCUAGUACAACUUUUUCUUUUUGAGUUUGGACUUGGUUUGGCUGUGUGCAUCUUUUUUUUUGAAAUGUUGGCUGUGUGCAUUUUAGUUAUGCAGAAGCCAGAUAAUACUUAAAAACUUUGUAAGCAAUAAAGCGCCCCUUAUCGAACAAUAGAAUUAUGCAGAGGACUAACACUUAACUCUCGAGUAGUAACUGGUUGAAACUUACCAGCUCUACGUGGUUGAUGUUGACAUCCAAUUUCGAAUACAGAACAUAUUUCCCAAACCAUUCAAAAACAUCACAUUGCCAUCUUGGUUAUUACCCUUUAACCUCCUCACAGCAGAUUCCAUCUGCAUACACUCAGUGUAAGAACGCAGCAGAUCCAUUAAAACAUGUAGUACGAAUUAUCACGUUAUACUAAAAUUUUAGAAUCAACAAGACAUUAGCUACAUAUUGACUUCUUUAAUUAUUUAUGAAGACUGCCUCUAGAGAAUUGUUGGCAUGUCUAUGACGGUAAAUUUGCAGCUCAGUUAAAGUGUGCUUGGUUGGUUAAACAAGGUAUACUAGAUGAUUUUCCCGCGCGUUGCUGCGGGAUUUUAAAGAUUAAUUUUGGAUAUAUUAUAUAAGAAUGAAAUGAUCUAAAUCAAAAGCUAUUAUUUUCAAAAGUAAUUAUAUGUGAACAAAGAGUAUGCAUGUACGUUGGACCAUUGGAGAUGGAACAAUUAAAUUGGAGUAUGCAUGUGCUACAAAAUAAUUCUAGUGGGUGAUGAUAUGUGGAGGGCUGCAUGUUGAGAUAAUUAGACUUAAUGGGAUCAACUAUAUAUUUAUUAUAGAUGGGAUAGGUUGUUUGCUUGGUUGGGUGGAUGGGAGUAUCAAAAAAGAUUAAUUAGCUAAAUGAUACCUCCUAACUUCUACAUUAACACCAUCAAGACCUAGUGAACCUACUUAAGUCAAACCAGAAAAACAUGUACCUGUUUCAGAUAAUCAUCCAUGAACAUGAUUGCAUGGUCAUCAUGCCCAGUACUGAGUUUGAAAACAUGAAGUACAUUGUCUUUCUUCAAUGACUGCAAAAAUGAUUUCUAUAUAUGUUCAGAUUUUCAUCAAAGCAAGGAAAAUUUUCUCUGGUGCAGUUGAAGAUUACUACACAUUGGUAAACAAUAAUCACCAACAGUUUAACACAAGAAUAGCUAGAAAAGAAUCCAAAGGUAAAACACAAACUCAUCAUUGCAUUACAACAGUUGUGUAUACAUAAAGAAUUAUUGCAUAAGUUCAAAACAAUACCUUGAAAUCUCUGGCAGCUUGUGUCCUGUCCUUCACGCUAUUAUAGUUUGGGACUGCAAAAUGAAUGGUUGUGUCACAGCCUACAAGUGAACACAAGAAAAAGGUGAAUUUCGGAUCUGAAUCACCAUUAAAAAAGGAAACAGUUAGAGAAGAAGCACACACUGAGUUUAUAUAACCAUCUUUAUUAUAUAACAACAUGUUACAUGGGAGUAUUGUUACAUCCCUCCAUUAAGAGGAGGAGCAAACAUAAGUACAAGAGUUUAAUAGUGGCCGUGUCCCCCAACCCACAAAUAACUUUGGCACAUGCACGCACAGACCAGAAUUUUGCAACAGAAAACAUCACUAACCUAUGCACACGGUGGCUCUCGCAGCCAGUGAUGGUAGGCCUGAAUCGUCGCUCCACCUCUGCCUUGAUGUUGUUGGCCAUUGUCUGAAGGUCCUGGUUCUCUCCCUCGAACACCAGGUAGCUAUGUUCUCUCCAAAAUCCCUACGGGCCAAAUUUGUACAAUCACUAUCGAGUCCAGGUCUUUUUGCCGAUCUUUUGGCAGUGCUUUUCACCUAGACAGCCACCAAAUUCACCUGAAGUGGCGAGCUGUUCAUUUUAAAAUGACUUGCCACAGUUAUGUCAACCAGGAUCAUUGCUCUCUUUCUCGGCCUCCCGCAGAACUUCACAAGUUAUGAGUUUGCUGUAUGAGUAUAUAACUGAAUGAAGUAGUCUUUGAACCUGCAAACAGAGCACUUAAUCUACUUCUCAACGCACUGGAAUUUUUUGCAAUGUCUCUCUGUACUAAUUGUCCACUGCUACCCUACCACGAAGAAGUAGCGAUUUCUCCACCAAUCCAGCUCGCAAUCGGAUUAAACACUAGGCAAAGAAAUUCCUCUCUGCAACUAUAUAUCCAUACAAAAGUACCAUUUACUCCUGGAUCGAGCACUAAGCCACUAACUGACGGACGGAGAAUGGAUGACUAACCUUCUAGUUGCAACCGCAUGACCUCUGACCUGCCCUGCCGGCGGCUCACAGCGAUGGAUAGCGGACUAGCCUGCCAUCUAGGGUAAUUGCAGACGGCCAGAGUUGCAACGGAGGCCUCAUCGUGAUACACGACGACCUCCGUAGCUGGGAUCAGAUGUAUUUUCUAAUUUGAAUUGAAUAUGUAGUGUCACCAUUCCAGAUUUUUGGUACAUAUGAACAAAAAUAAAUUUAUUCAUGGGCCAUUCAACACUUUUCAACUCAUCGGAUACUGGCUCAGAUCGAGUUCACAUAUCAUUAACAUAUUUCGAACCAAAUCCAUAAUCAUAAAAUCCUCUGGUUUUAUUCAAACAAGCGGUGGAGAUGCCCCAUCCCUCCUAGCAUUGUUUUUCCUUAUCAUUUAGGAUCUCUUCAUUCAGCCUUUAAUAGAUUAAUAACAAAAAAACAUAAGUAUGGCCUAGAUAUAUAAGAUGCUUCAGAAUAGCUGGGCACAAACAAGUUGGCAUGAAACGGUCUAGAACUUCUUUUGCGGGAAAAAAUCUAGACCUUCUCAAAAUCCAACAAAUAAAAUAUGCUCGUUGUCCAUGAUCUAGGAGGGUAUCUACGAAUAGGUACUUAAGGUUUGUUCAUGAAAAGUAUUAAAAUAUUUGGCAAUUUUCCUUUUGGGUAGACAAAGUACCUAGAAAUAUGUAAAUUCAUGCUUAUACACCUGAACAUGCACCAUAGUAGACCAAAUUAUGUUGCCAAAGUAUAACGAACAUAUUAUAUUUUUGAAUAGGUUAUCUGUGUAAAUGGUCUACACAAUUCAAAUAAGUAUCAACUUCAUGCCCAAAAGAUUUAGUAAAAGGUACCGGGUGGUCCCAAUGAAAUAUUUACAUAACAUUACAAACUUAGUCCACCAAAAGAAUGAUUUGAUCCAGAAAAAUCCUUCUUCACACAUAGAUCGAACUGAUGAUGACGUAUCUAGAGUUAGGACCGGAUAUAUGCUAGUAACUUGUAAGCAAUUACCAUCCUUUACAUGUAAGGGAAUUCUAUGAGUCAUGUCAUGAUCUAUACCUCUCAGUUCAUCUUAUCAUCUUAGAGAACAAUACAAAGUUAGUUUUAUAAAAAAGCAACCGAGUCUAGACGAACCCUCCACAUACAAGGCUUUAAUAAUCGAGCAUAUCUUAACAGUCCACACACGAUUGCAACUUAGUCCUACACAGGUUUUGCCUUUCUUGUUUAUGGUUGACAGCCUAUACAAGGUUCCAAACUCGGUUGCAAAAGUGAUACUAUCCUGAUAAAUGUGUGACAUGUAAAGUGAAUAAGGCGAGUCAUAUAUACCACACAUCAGGGUUUCUAUAAUUUGUGUGUGAUCAUAUGCACAACUAAAAAGCAACUUUGAUGAUCAAUCCAAAAGUACGCUUGUAGCUAGUGCAACCUAACACAAUGUACCAAAAAAUCAUUUCUGAUGCAUCCAAAUAGAAUUAUUUAAGUUGAUGCAAAGAAGGAAAGAGGUGGUGCCCGGACUACUAUAAAUAGGCAUGAAGUAUAAUGAUCAUCACAAGCACAAGCAUCAAAACCAAGCAAAAGUAGUUAGCACCAAUCCAUCAUGAAGACCUUCCUCGUCUUUGCCCUCAUCGCCGUUGUGGCGACAAGUGCCAUUGCACAGAUGGAGACUAGCUGCAUCUCUGGUUUGGAGAGACCAUGGCAGCAGCAACCAUUACCACCACAACAGUCAUUUUCACAACAACCACCAUUUUCACAACAACAACAACAACCAUUACCUCAACAACCAUCAUUUUCGCAGCAACAACCACCAUUUUCGCAGCAACAACCAAUUCUAUCGCAGCAACCACCAUUUUCACAGCAACAACAACCAGUUCUACCGCAACAAUCACCAUUUUCGCAGCAACAACAACUAGUUUUACCUCCACAACAACAACAACAACAACUUGUGCAACAGCAAAUCCCUAUUGUUCAGCCAUCCGUUUUGCAGCAGCUAAACCCAUGCAAAGUAUUC
rnacentral:lncRNA from 1 species